rnacentral:lncRNA from 1 species
AUGUGCCUCCUCAUUCAGCCAUUCAGCUUCAUGAUCACCAAUGUCGACGACGUGCCAUGUAAUCUGAUAGGCGAGGCCUCUUGCCCGCAGUCUUGGUGUUGAUCGUCAUAAAUAUCAUCAUCCACUGCCAUCGCAUCAGGUAACAACUGCGUUGGCCCAUGAUCAACAACAUCAGUCUCACUGACAUCAGCAACACGGUGGCCUAAUAGGUGGACCCCGCAGGGAAUUUUAACGGGUGCGGGCACUUUGCCACGCAAGUCAAAUAUAACUUGACACGUAUUAACCUGCUUCGUCGGUGGUUCUUCAAACACGUACCUCGCGUGCCUAUUUGAUUGACGAGUUUCCAAUAAUGGAAUAGACGUGAGGUACACAUGACUUUCCAAUAAUUCAACACAUUCGUCAUACAGAUGAACUGCGUCUAAUUCAAAAUGUGCCACAUUGACGAGUUUUCCAUUGAGAAGAAUCUUGGCAGAACCAAUAUUACCAGCACAUAGAACCAAUCUUAACGUCUCCCAUUUUAAAUUUGGAGGAAUUUCAAAACUAACUUCACAUCCAGCAUCGUAUCUGCAACUCAAAUAUUGUCUAACUGUUGUUGCAUCUUUACAACAGCUGAACCACUUUGGAACUUCAUCGCCUGGAAGAAUAAUUUCGAAAAGAGAAUGCGGGGAAGAAACAGAAACCUGAUUCAGAAAAAUAUGUUCUGUGAUGUCGUAGCCGCAUAGUCUAACGCAAUUGGUCAAACUCAGAUACAUAUGGUCAUCCUUCCGCGGGAGUUCUGGAAUUUUCUCCAAUGAUGUGCAGUUAUCCAGCAAUACCCAAGCCAGUUUUGGAAUUUUUUCCAAUGAUGUGCAGUUAUCCAGCUCUACGAAUUCUAUUCUUCGUGGAAGCACUUGUUCUGGAAUUUCCAGAAGACUCUGGCAAUUAAUCAAAUAAAGAUUCCGCAAGUUGACAAAUUUGCUAAAGGAUAUUGGAAGAUUGACAAAAUUGCUUUGCGACAGAAAAAGUUCUGUUACUGUGGACCAGCAAAGGAGCCGGAGGAAACUAAUUUUUGAUAGAUUGCAUCCCAUGAGACUAAAUUCAUACAGGUUGGGAAGCAAUUCGGAGUUCCCCGUAACUGUGAAGUUCUCACAAUAAUCAGCUUGUAAUAUUUCAAGACCAGUAAAAUAUGCAAUUGAUGAAGGCAAUUCUCUUACGCCACUUCCUGAUAUACUCAAAAACCAUAGUGAUUCCAUCUCGACUUCUAUUUCCGGGAAAUUCUCAAGGCUUUUGCAAUCACUAAGAUCAAGUUCUUCAAGAGAUUUCAAUCUAAGUGUUGCAAACCUUGUAAGAUUGAAGCAUCCACGAAGAUCCAAUAAUCGAAGCCCAGUAAGAUAUGCAAUUGAUGGAGGCAAUCCUCUUAUGCCACUUCCUGAUAGUCUCAAAACCCGUAGUGAUUCCAUCUCGACUUCUAUUUCCGGGAAACUCUCAAGGCUUUUGCAAUUACUAAGAUCAAGUUCUUCAAGAGAUUUCAGUCUAAGUGUUGCAAACCUUGUAAGAUUGAAGCAUCCACGAAGAUCCAAUAAUCGAAGCCCAGUAAGAUAUGCAAUUGAUGGAGGCAAUCCUCUUAUGCCACUUCCUGAUAGUCUCAAAAACCGUAGUGAUUCCAUCUCGACUUCUAUUUCCGGGAAACUCUCAAGGCUUUUGCAAUCACUAAGAUCAAGGUUUUUAAGAGAUUUCAUUCUAAGUGUUGCAAACCUUGUAAGAUUGAAGCAUCCACGAAGAUCCAAUAAUCGAAGCCCAGUAAGAUAUGCAAUUGAUGGAGGCAAUUCUCUUACGCCACUUCCUGAUAUGUUCAAACCCCAUAGUGAUUCCAUCUCGACUUCUAUUUCCGGGAAACUCUCAAGGCUUUUGCAAUUACUAAGAUCAAGGUUUUCAAGAGAUUUCAGUCUAAGUGUUGCAAACCUUGUAAGAUUGAAGCAUCCACGAAGAUCCAAUAAUCGAAGCCCAGUAAGAUAUGCAAUUGAUGGAGGCAAUCCUCUUAUGCCACUUCCUGAUAGUCUCAAAACCCGUAGUGAUUCCAUCUCGACUUCUAUUUCCGGGAAACUCUCAAGGCUUUUGCAAUUACUAAGAUCAAGGUUUUCAAGAGAUUUCAGUCUAAGUGUUGCAAACCUUGUAAGAUUGAAGCAUCCACGAAGAUCCAAUAAUCGAAGCCCAGUAAGAUAUGCAAUUGAUGGAGGCAAUCCUCUUAUGCCACUUCCUGAUAGUCUCAAAACCCGUAGUGAUUCCAUCUCGACUUCUAUUUCCGGGAAACUCUCAAGGCUUUUGCAAUUACUAAGAUCAAGGUUUUCAAGAGAUUUCAGUCUAAGUGUUGCAAACCUUGUAAGAUUGAAGAAUCCACUAAGAUUCAAUAAUCGAAGCCCAGUAAGAUAUGCAAUUGAUGGAGGCAAUCCUCUUAUGCCACUUCCUGAUAGUCUCAAAACCCGUAGUGAUUCCAUCUCGACUUCUAUUUCCGGGAAACUCUCAAGGCUUUUGCAAUUACUAAGAUCAAGUUCUUCAAGAGAUUUCAGUCUAAGUGUUGCAAACCUUGUAAGAUUGAAGCAUCCACGAAGAUCCAAUAAUCGAAGCCCAGUAAGAUAUGCAAUUGAUGGAGGCAAUCCUCUUAUGCCACUUUCUGAUAUUCUCAAAAACCGUAAUGAUUCAAUCUCGACUUCUAUUUCCGGGAAACUCUCAAGGCUUUUGCAAUUUCUAAGAUCAAGGUUUUCAAGAGAUUUCAGUCUAAGUGUUGCAAACCUUGUAAGAUUGAAGCAUCCACGAAGAUCCAAUAAUCGAAGCCCAGUAAGAUAUGCAAUUGAUGGAGGCAAUUCUCUUACGCCACUUCCUGAUAUGUCCAAACACCAUAGUGAUUCCAUCUCGACUUCUAUUUCUGGGAAACUCUCAAGCGUUUCACAUCCAACUAGACAAAGUUCUUCUAAGGAUUUCAAUCUAAGUGUUGUUCCAAACCUCAUAAGCUUAACGCAUCCAGAAAGAUCCAAUUCAACAAGUUUAUCAAGGAAUCCAACAGAACCAUGGACCUCAACCAAACGUGUGCAAUUUGUUAGAUCCAAGUACUUUAUGUUUGGGAUUCCAGAUAAGUCAGGGAUUUUUUCUAAGAAUUGACAACCCAUCAAAUUCAUAGUUGUCAACUUUGACAAAUGCUGUGAGACAAGAACACAAAAACAGGAAAUAAUUAAUCACACGCUUCAAAAGACAAAAGCUUAGAAAACUAUUUUUCAUUUUUUUUCCUUCUGAAAUUAACAACUCUAUUUAAAAUUAUAUAUAAUGGAUGAAAAUAAUUACAAAUGCAUACCUUAAAGUUAAAUCCAUCCAAUUGUCUGAUAUGACUACAAGGCAUAUUGAACUCAACAAGAUGAUUUCCUUGAAAAUUGGGUGGCAAAGAUUGUAACUGACAUCCGUUAGGCAUAUUGAACUCAACAAGACGAUUUCCUUGAAAAUUGGGUGGCAAAGAUUGUAACUGACAUCUAUCCCAAUGAAUCAAUCUUAACGUGUUGGGCAGAUAGUUAAUGUGCCCACAUAGAGAUGCAUUACAGUUUAUGAAAAUUUCAAGAUUUACCAUAUUACGGAAGCAUUCUGGAUUCAAGGUUAUCUUAGCUGGGUUUGGAAGAUUCACCAUGAUGCCUUGAAUAUUUCUUGUUCCCUAAGAUAGAAAAGCAUUAACAUUAAAAAAUGAAGUCAUUUUACAAACCAAAAUGCAAGCACAUUUUGUUAAGAAAAUUAUAUAGGUUACAUAAGGUAUUCUUUAUUCUCAAAUUGAAUAUAAUAACAUAUGUGAUACUUACUGUACUUUCCGUUAGAACUUGUUCAACAUCCUCGUAAAACCACAAUCUACUACGCUUGCCGGGAUCAUUGGGGCAUUCUUCGUGAACUAUAUCUUUGCCCAGUUUUUCUAGUAAGUCAUGCAUCUGAAUCCUACCAUUGUCAAUAGUUAUCAUUGCCUUCUCAAUGAGUACUUCAAUACAAUCUCGGGAGACCUUGUUCUUAGAAUUGCUUACUAUUUGUAGCACAUAGUCCUUAGCUUCACCUUUGAAAAAACAUGCAAUGUCUAGAAAAACUUGUUGCACGGAAUUUUCCAAGGCAUCAUAACUUUUUUGAAGUAUUUUUUGAAUACCUGUAUAUGGUUCUCCUUCAUAACUAUCUAAUAUAUCUUGCCAACGAUCUUUGUCUUUAUUACGAAGAUGAGAACCUAAAAGUGUUAGAGCUAGUGGAAUGCCUUGAGCAUACUCUAGUCCACGCUGUGCGAGUUCCAAAUAAUCCUUUGGAGGUUUGUUGGUUCCGAAGGCACUGAAACUAAAAAGCUCAAGAUCUUGGUUGCCAUUUAACUUUUGGACCUCGUAUAUCAAAUCAAUUCCAUGACAUCCGCUAUCUUGUGUAGUUGUAAUGACUCUACUUCCCUCACCAAACCAACCAACACCAGCCAAAUUGUCUAAUUGCUUCAAUUGAUUCACAUCAUCAAGAAUUAAGAGAAUUUUUUUAUGGCUCAACCGUUCUUUUAUGACACAAAUUCCUUCAUCAACACUAUGAAUUUUCCAUUCCCCGCCAAGAAUUUUAUGAAGAAGAGUCUCCUGUAUCCUGUAGCUUGAUUAAGCAUUGAAUUUUCCCUAACAUUUUCCAAGAAACAUCUUCCUUCAAAUUUAUGUGCAAUGGCAUUCCAUAUAGCUUUUGCAAUUGUUGUCUUGCCUAUUCCAGAUGUUCCCCAUAUCCCAACCAUGCGACGACCAUUCCCACCAACAUCUAAAAGCUUUUUCACAUCUUGGACACGAGAAUGAAUUCCAACUGGGUGCUUGGCCACAUUCCAAUAUGUGCGGCUCAGUACUUGGCUUAAGAUUCCAUCAACGAUGUUGUUGAUAAAUGUAGUUUCAUAUCUGCCAGUUGAACCAAAUUAGAUUUAAACAAAUCCAACCACGCAAAAGAACACAACAUACUCAAGUACGUAAUAGUUGUUCUGACCAAAAAAGAAAAAAAGAUGUAAUAGUUGUUUAACCACAAACCUAUGUUAUGUAUCAUUUAUACUUGUAUGCCUUUUGAAGAGAUUAAUAUAUGGAUUUUGAACUUUCUACUUACAGCUAUCAAAAAUACAAAAGUACCCAAGAAAAUAAAUCUUCUCACUACAGUUGUAUAUUUUUAUAACAGAAUACUUCUCACUGCGUAAUGGUUGCUCAACUUGCCGCUAUUCGGUUUCACGUUUUUUUGUCAAGACGAAAUUAUCAUAUAAUACUUAGCAAGCAACAUAAGAUCCUACAAAGCAAUCUAAAGCAAACAUUAAAAAGUAGAUAUUAUCGGUUUUCAAAGUCGAUAUGCAAAAUGAUUUCUUACAGAGAAAUUAUUUGUUAGCUAGCUAAGUUGACUUUGGCUUACCUUGUUCUACUUCAAAUGAUAAAGUUUUAUGAUGACUCGUUUGGGAGUGAUUCUGGAUAGGUCAAUAAUCACUUUUAUGGAGAAGUACAUGGGAAGUGUUUCUCUCAAUAAUCACUUAAAAUUAUUUAAAAUGAUUAUAUAAAGAAGUACGUAGAAGGUGUACCAAAUAAGUGACAGAAUAACUCCCAAACGAAUUCGAUAGAUUUUCGUCACCAUUGGCCUAAGAGUUGGAUUAACAAAAUCGUAUAACACGGUGCAAACAUAUCCUCGCUAGAUCAAGUUCCAAUGAUCAAUUGCAAUUGUGUCUAUAAUUUUAGCUGGAAAAAUUAAAAGGAAAUUCCAAUGCAAAAGUACUCGUAAUUUUGUAUUUAUUCAAUUUCCAAUAUUAUGAAUUACAUAAUUACAUUACUCUAUUGAGAAAAGUGGAGGGCAUCUUCAUCAAAACAUUUUUUAAUAUUCUGAAAAUUGAUAAAUUUUGUAAUAUUUCUGGAAAUGUUACUUUAGCUAAUCAUGUGGUGACUCAUACAAUAUUCUCUAUUUCCAAUAAUUCUGCAGCAGCUGUGGCAAUCCUGUACCCACCCACGUGUGGCAGCACACAAGACUUGAUGUCAUUUUACUUUUUCUAUUUUUUUUUAAAUUAUAUAUUAUUAGUGCGUAACAAUUAAAUGUGACAUGGAAAUUUUUUAUAAAAAAAAUUAUUAAAAUAUAUAAGUUUUGCCUUAAAAUAUGACAUCGAAAUUAUUUAUAAAAAAAAAAAUUAAAAUAUAGAUCUUCUCCCUACAAAUUAAUAAUGAGUAACAAUUAAAUGUGUGACAAAUGGUAAUGAGAAAGAAGAGAGAAAAAAUUAAAUAUGAAAAUGAUAAAGAUAGAAAUAUACGUACUCUCCAUCCUUGAAAGUAUGUCCGGACAAAUUUGCUGCUUCUGUAAGAGCUUCCCUCCAUAUGAGCACUUUUUCCUUGUCAUUCUUGAAUUUCCUUUUAAUAAGUUCUUCAAAUGCGUCACCAAAUUUACUUUUUUGGUUUCGCACAUCCGUCGGAUCCACCUUGUAAAAAAUGGGCAAAACUACUUGUUGCUUUGAUUGUUUACAUUGAAGGAUCUUGACAAGUUCAUCCAAGCACCACCUCGAAGAUGCAUACUUUUCAGAGAAUACAAUGAGAGAAAUUCUUGAUUCUUCAAUUGCUUUGACAAGGGCUGGCGAUAUUUCUUCUCCUCUUACAAGCUCUCGAUCAAUGAAGGUGUAGAUGCCCUUACGGACUAAAGCCUCGUGCAAAUGAUCUGUAAAAUUGGUGCGUGUAUCCUCACCUCUAAAACUCAAAAACACAUCAUAUGUCCAUGAUGAAUCAUGAGUGAAAGAAGAAGAAGAAGAAGAAGAAGAAGAGACUGGUUGAGUGGUCAUAGGGGGCAGAUCUGAAGGAAGUUGAGGUUGAGUAGCCCAACUCCCUAUACACCUGAAUAAGGAUUUGAAGAACAUCGAAGAAUUGAAGAAGAAGCAGAGAGAAUCUUAUCUGAUUUUGUAUUGAUUUUCUUUCUUAAUAAAACGAUACAGUAAAAAUUGGGUAUGGCAGUGGCGCUCUGGUUAGAUUUAUGAGGGCUUGACGAGGCAGUUUCCUACCACCUUCCAUGUGGGGGAGCUUUCGUUUCAACUUCAAGUCAUCAAAGGCUAGAUUUUCUUUUUCAUACUGAUGCGGUCUUUAAUUUGGUGAAGCAUCUAUAGGUGAGAGAGGCACUACCUUUCUUUACCUUUUCUUUACCUUUUCUUUGCUGAAUAAAUUGCUUUAAGGGAGUGAACAUGGCCAGUAUUGCUAAAUAGCAGAUAUGGGCCUACAUUGCUUUAAGAUAUGGGUCAAACGGUGAUAUUAUUAUUUCUUUUUCUUUUUUCUUUGAUGCGCUUUCUUUCAAAUGAUGAUCUUUCUAUCCAAAGAUUUUGUUUUUAGGUCUGAAAAUAAAAAAUUGAAAGAAUACUGAAACUGUUGUAAAAUAUAAAGUAGUGGAGCCCACUUACUAUUUGUUUGUAGACUUUGGUGCAUGAGUUUAUUCACGGGUGAAUAGUGAAUAGUGAAGAUGAAUCACGGGUGCCAUUUAUCUGCCUAUAAAUAGGCAACCUGCAAAGAAGAGGAAAAUAAGAAGACAAAGAAGAAAAAGGGAGAAACGGAAAGAAAACAAAGAAGAGGAAAGAGAGAAGAGAGAAGAGGAAAGAGAAGAGGAAAGAGAGAAGAGGAAAAAGAAAAGAGGAAAGAGAAAAGAAAGAGAGUCAGGCAGAGAAGAGGAAGAGAAGGAAGAAAGAGGGUGAGUGAGCAGAGAGAAAAUUCAGUGAGCCACACAUAUUGAAAACACUAAAGUUGUAGCCCUAUUAUUUUACAUAGUGAAAAAGUUACUACUGCUGCUCUCCGGGGACGUAGGCAUAGCCGAACCUCGUUAAAUACUGUGUCUCAUCUACUUUACGUGCAGCUCAAUAUUCGCACAUAUUCCAGGUCAUUUUAUAACACGUUAUCAGCACGAGAAGCUCUCAAGUAUAAUUUUUGUGCUGCACUAUUAUUUAUACUACUAACCAUUAUGUUGAUGUAAAGAAGAAAAGCCAACGCAUCUAGCUUUCCACUAAUAUAUCAGUAUAAUAUAUAUAUAUAUAUAUUAUAUAUAUGAAAAGUUGAUGGUAAUAUAAUAUACUAUAUUUAUCUGCUUUUCUAUUACUAACCAUUAACAAAAAUGGACCCUUGGUAAUACUAAACAUAUUAUCAGUGGGAGACCGUUACUAAUACUAACACUUUCCUUAUCUUGUUCAGUGGUGGUUUUUAUUCCCACAUUUAUUUUAUUUACUGUAUGGUGUAGGUUUAUUACCCAUACAACAGUAUUUAUUUAAAAGGGUGGUGCGGGUUUAUCUCCCACGCCUUUGCAUUUAUUUAAAUGUAUGGAGCAGAAUUAGUGCCCAUACAAGCACGUUUACUUUAUCGCAAAUUGACUUUUACUUAAAGUAUUAUUUAUGGUAUGAUGUAGGUUUAUUACCCAUACGGCAAUAUUUAUUUAAAGGGUGGUGCAGGUUUAUCGUCCACGCCUUUGCUUUUAUUUAAAUGUAUGGAGCAGAAUUAGUGCCCAUACAAGCACGUUUACUUUACCGCACAUUUAAUUUUAUUUAAGGUAUGGUGCGGGAUUAACGUCCAUACAGCAAGCUAUUUAAUUUAUUUAAGGUAUGGUGCGGGAUUAACGUCCAUACAGCAAGCAAUUUAAUUUAUGAAUUUAAUUUACUGCACAUUUAUAUUUAUUUAAAGGGUGGUGCGGGUUUAUCGUCCACGCCUUUACUUUUAUUUAAAUGUAUGGUGCGGGUUUAUCGUCCAUACCAGUAAUUUAUUUACCAGUAAUUUAUUUUAUGGAUUAAUUGUGCUGUAUGAUGAGUUUUUACAGUAUGCAGAUCAGGACCAGAAGUUCCUUGAUCCUCAUCAUACAAUUACAUCAGGACUUGAAGAUCCUUGAUGAUGAUAUUAAUAUGAGAGCUGGCAGUCUCUCCGGUACUGUAUUUGUAAACAUGUGAUCGAAAUUAAGGGUCCUUGAUCCCUGACAUGUAAAUAAGGACCUAGAGUUCCUUAAUGAUGUAACAGUACCGUAUUGGUUCAUAGUGCCGUACACAUUGAUGAUAACUGUACUGGCAGAUGAAUAGAUACGUAUUCAUGACUUGAUGAAUAGUACUAUUCACAUGAAUAGUGACGUAUGCAUAAAUAUGAACCAUUUUGGGUAAACCGUCACUAUAUACAAAAGGGAACCUGCAGUUUCAUGGUACCGUACACAUUGAUGAUAACUGUACUGGCAGAUGAAUAGAUACGUAUUCAUGACUUGAUGAAUAGUACUAUUCACAUGAAUAGUGACGUAUGCAUAAAUAUGAACCAUUUUGGGUAGACCGUCACUAUAUACAAAAGGGAACCUGCAGUUCCUUAAACUCAUGGAUGAACAAUUAAAUGAGAUGCCAGAAGUUCUUCAAAAUAUGGACAAUUAUGUAAGAGCUUGAAGUCCCGAAAUAUGUACAGAAAAUUGUAAAAAUGUUCAUAUCAUGAGAAUAUGUGGGUUUGGCCUGAAGUUCAAAAUUUAACAGUGUUUAGAACCUGAAGUUCCAACAAUUAAAUGGACAACCCUUGAGGUAUUAUUGCAAAUUGUGGUAUGCCACAUAUUUCUUUGGCAUAAGAAGAUGAUGAAUUUAAAGUUCGAUUUUGUUAUAAUCGACACCUCAAGGAAGAAAUAUAUUUUGUGAAUUCCGGUUGUUAAGAAUAUACCGCGAAAUGGAUAAUAUCAAUAUAAACCUCAAAUAAUGAAUUGAGGCUCCCCACAUAUUUUGUUAUAUCUGGGCCGGAAGCCCAUGGAUCCAAAUAUAUGAGAGAUCCUGAACUUGAAGUUGUGGGUAUAUAGUAGUUAAUGCUCUUCACUACUAUAUUGCGAUAUUAUCAUGGCUUUUACUCAAUUCACAUUUCAUGUCCAUUUGAAAAGGGCAAAUAAAUUCUGAGUUUGUGCCAAGGCCAAAAGUUUCGGGCUCCCAUACGUUGAAAUAUGAAAUUUGGGAAAGUCGAUGUGGUUAUUUGAACCUAUAAGGCACAAGGUUCCAAACCGUCAUUUUGAAAAGACGUAAAAAACCACAGGUGCAAAUUUUAAGAAUGUGCGCAAUUAUUAUAACAGGAAAGGAGCAAGAUGAAACGCAGUUGCUCCAAUCAAGUUUUGCAAAGGCCAUAUCUAUAGGAGGAAAUAUGGCUACAGUUUCCAGGAUCCCAAAAUUAUCUCAGAUCCCCAUAUUAUCUUUUUCUUUCCCAGAGUCCAAAACUUCACGUGGCCUCUGAUAAUGCCUGUCGGCACUUUCGGCGUUUUCAAGUAUUAUUUUCAAAGCCGAUCUUGCUUUACGGAUUUCACGGAGCUACUUUUUCAAAGAGUAUCCCGAGAAUCUCGCAAUUUUCCUAUGGUUAAUUUGAAAUUCACCGGUUCUACCUAUUCAUUGUAUUUGUGUAUAAAUGUGUUACUAACAAAAUUUUCUUUGCAGAAGACAUCCAGUUUUCUCCAUACCUAGUGAUGCGAUAUCUACUUGUUUUUCUUAUCAGUGAGCACUCAAUAUGCCUAAGAAGCAAGACUAUCUCUGAUCAUCCAUUCAGGAAGCGAGACUAUCCCUGAUCACGUUUCGACCACAUCAGGGAACUGUGAAGGCAACCUUAUGCUCUAAUCUCCGGAAGUUCUUCUAAAUUAGAAGAAAUGAGAGCUUGUCGUUUGCUCCCACCAGCUUCCUUCCUUGAUUGCUGAGCAUGUUGUCUGCUCCCACCAGCUUCCUUCCCUAAUUGCUUGCUCCCACCAGCUUCCUUCCCUAAUUGCUUACCUUACCUUGCAAUCAAUAUCACAAUUUUUGCAUUUUUUCUCUUUUUGUAACUCUCUGUUCAUAAGAGAUUUUAUUUCUUUAGAAUGAACAUCUGAAGAAAGAAUCCAUGAAGUGAUCCUAACUCUGAGAGUUAUUUGUUUUUGACAGAGAAAAGAAUUGUGAUUUUUGCUCUUGCAGGAUAUAACAAGAUCAUCAAGCGAUACUUUAUAUUUACUGGGCCGAUACGAGCUUGAAUGAUACUUGAGAAAAGUUUCUCCCACCUAAGGAUGUAAGCAAUACUUGUGUUAUUUUAUGCUUAUAUACCUAUUUGAUAUUUUAUCUUGAAAGGUAACCAAAUGGGAAGAUAAGUCAGUUCCAAAAGAAUGGCUUGUAUGUAUCCAUGAAUUAUUAAUGCAAAUUUUACAGAUUGCAAGUUGGAUACAUUGAUAAUACACUGCACAGAUUAAAGUCCCAUAAGAACAGAAUAUGGGUAUAGCAGUGAUCAAUAUGAUGCACGCCUGUUGCGUAGCAAAUGAUGUGGAUUGAAGUCCCGAAAGGACAAUCCUUUGACAUGUCAAUAUUGAUAUUAUGCACGCCUAAUGCGUAGCAAAUUAUAAGGGUCAAAGUCCCAUAAUAUGGGUUAAAGUCCCAUAAAUUAAUUGACAUGUAUGUAUUAAUCUGUGGAUACAUUGAUAAUACACUACACAGAUUAAAGUCCCAUAAGAACAAAAUAUGGGUAUAGCAGUAAUCAAUAUGAUGCACGCCUGUUGCGUAGCAAAUGAUGCGGAUUGAAGUCCCGAAAGGACAAUCCUUUGACAUGUCAAUAUUGAUAUUAUGCACGCCUAAUGCGUAGCAAAUUAUAUGGGUUAAAGUCCCAUAAAUUAAUUGACAUGUAUGUAUUAAUCUGUGGCAUGUCUGCAGCAUGACAGAUAUAUGGGUUCUAAAUGUUCCAACUCCCUAAAUGGAGAUUAUCCACGCCCUACUAUAAAAUAACGCUCCGUUGGAGGUUAUAAUCCACAUUCUCACAUAAUAAAAGCCCUCUGAAGUGGCUUGGGUACCCAAAAGCAAAGAAAUGCUUAUAAUUGAUGCAUGCGCAUGCAAAUGAGAAUGGUGGGAUCAUGAAUUGAUGAAUGACAAUUUUUAGUUUUGGAGUAGCUACUCAAAUCAUCAAUGGGCUGUGUUGAUUGGAACCACGUUCAAUUAUUAAAUGUCGACAAUAUCAUUGGCCAAAAUGGAACGAGGUAAUUCCAUUAUAGAUGAGAAUGAACGUGAAAGAACAAACCCACAGUACGAACCCCAAAAUUUGUUAAUACUGAAAGUUAUACUUGGGUGUUCGGAAUAAAAGGGAAUAUACCUACUUUGUAUGACACACUGUUUCUGGCAGAAACAAGGAAUGUUGGGUUUUCUCCAUAUUUACAGAUUCAAUUGUGCCCCCCUUAUUACACAAUUACGGAGACCAACAUAUUAUCUUUAAGGGUUAUUAAAUGCACGGAGCAUAUCGCCAGAAGCGAUUCCCUAAAGAUGUAUAAAUAGCUGGGUUAAAGCUAUAUAAUGUGUCAUAAAGUUUAAUUCCUUUAAACAAAAUCCUUGAAAGGAUUGAAAUUGCAUGAAGCAAGUCCCUGAAUGACAUGUGCCUGAAGCACAAAAUUUGUACUCAAUAUUAAUAUGCAUAAAUUACCUCAGUGAGUACAUUGAUUAUAAUGUGAUUGCAACACAUUAAAACUUCUGCAGAAUUCACGAAAUAUUUGUCUCGACUUAAAGAUCGAGCAUUGUGCCAACGAGAUUCUUGCUUAUACUAAGAAAGUAUUGAAACAUUUUUAUGAGGAUUAUCCGUUGGGCACUUUAAGGAUUUUCCGGAAGUGUAUUGGACCGGACAUCAUAUUUUCCAGAUAAGGCUCAACUCCAUCACCAUCAUUUUGGGAUGAUGUGAGGUAUAUUUGAUGCUAUCUCCGCAUAACACCAUGUAUGGGCAUAUUCUUUCAUAUGAUCUUACAAAUAGCCCAGGUUUUGUUGGAAACGCGGACUCUGAAAAUUUCUAUGAUUUACAUAGAGAUAGCUCACUGGAAAUAUAUUUACUAUAUGAAUUGUUGGUGGCUACAUCAUUCACUCACUCCGAAAGAUUCUCACUCCAAAAGAUAGUUAUGAAGACAUCAGGGGGAGAUAUUAAUCAGGGGGAGCAUCCAGAAGUAUGCUAUACAGAUUGUUGUACUAUUCUUUCUUCCUUCCAUCAGUUCUCUACCUUACUAGGUUUUUCUCCAAGCAAAGUCUGAUGAAGCAACUGACAUAUUAUUUGUGGUCUCCAAGGGGGAGUGUUGUAAAAUAUAAAGUAGUGGAGCCCACUUACUAUUUGUUUGUAGACUUUGGUGCAUGAGUUUAUUCACGGGUGAAUAGUGAAUAGUGAAGAUGAAUCACGGGUGCCAUUUAUCUGCCUAUAAAUAGGCAACCUGCAAAGAAGAGGAAAAUAAGAAGACAAAGAAGAAAAAGGGAGAAACGGAAAGAAAACAAAGAAGAGGAAAGAGAGAAGAGAGAAGAGGAAAGAGAAGAGGAAAGAGAGAAGAGGAAAAAGAAAAGAGGAAAGAGAAAAGAAAGAGAGUCAGGCAGAGAAGAGGAAGAGAAGGAAGAAAGAGGGUGAGUGAGCAGAGAGAAAAUUCAGUGAGCCACACAUAUUGUAAACACUAAAGUUGUAGCCCUAUUAUUUUACAUAGUGGAAAAGUUACUACUGCUGCUCUCCGGGGACGUAGGCAUAGCCGAACCUCGUUAAAUACUGUGUCUCAUCUACUUUACGUGCAGCUCAAUAUUCGCACAUAUUCCAGGUCAUUUUAUAACAGAAACAAGUUUUAUGGUUUGUUUUUUCUUAAACUGGUCUAAUAGCAGCAAUAUUGACGACUAUCUCUAUGGUAUUUAGUUAUAGUCAGUUGAAGCAAUUACUUUGUAAUGCGAAGGUACCUACAAUUUGUUGAAGUAAAUGGUAAGGAACCUUCAAGGAAACUUCUCUUGGACGGUGAUACCUUCUUUUACCUACAAAACAGGCCAAGUACAAACUAGACUGCACCUUUGCCGCACCAUGUUUGUCUAAAACAUCUUCACACGGUAGAUCACCCUGUGAAGUAUAUGAUAUAAACUAGUUAUAAAAUGUUAAAAUAAAUUUGAUCACAGCUUGGAGUAAUUUCAUACAAUCAAAACCGAAAGGACCAUAAGUACCAAUACCAUACCAAAUCAAGUAGAAAUUUUAGUGCCUUUGCUACAAUAUACAAUUGCUAGAACAAGAAACACAUUCAAAGCAAAGGCAUAUCAAUGUCUUUAAGCAGUGGCUAAUUACUGUGUAACAUGAUUGAACAGCCACAAAAAUAAAAGAAGAGGCACACUCCCAGUCUUUUGAUGAAAGUCUUCUAAGUGCAAGUGAGAGCCAUAAUAGUAAAGGGUAAGGAAAAGAACCUUCAACGUUGUCUUUGAUAGUGAUACUUCCUUUCUAACGCGCAACAGCUUUCUUUCAUCGGUUCAUGAUGAUGCUUUUUUCUUUUUGACUAACAUCUCUUCACAAUUGUUUAGCCUUCGUUGACUGGAUUCACCUCAUCAAGAGAAAUUUCAUUUGCACCUUCAAGCGUGAGGAGUCCAUAACUUCUUGUCUUUGAUGGUGACACACUUUUUGCUAUAUGAUAAAUAGGUACCUUAUGAAAAAGUAGGUACUCAAAAAAUAUAUAUAUAUAUAUGGAGGUUUCUUCGUCCCAUCAAGCAGAGUUCCAACGUAGUGCACUAAAUUCAAAUUUCCACACUCUAUGCUCCGUUUGGAUGAAGGAAUUGCAAAUUACAUAGAAUUCUAAAAUGACGGAAUUUAGAUUUCCGUCAUUUCAAUUUCUGGCAAUUGAAGAUUUUAGUGUUUGGAUUUAUGUAUGUCGAAUUUUGUAAAUGACAUAAAUUGAAAAUUCCAAUGUUUGAAUAGCUCAUGUAAAUUGAAAAUGACAGAUAUUAAAUAUUUUGAAAGAACAAAAAAAUGAUAACCGACAUAGAAGGUAUUCCUUGAAAUAUAAAAUAACAUAUCGUUUUAUGAACUAAAUAACUCAAUUUAAACAAACAGAGCAUAUUAGCAAACCAAAUCACUCCCCACGUGCAAUUAAUAUCAACAACAUACUCUCUUUUUUCUCAAUUGGGAGUGCCUUCAGCAUCUAAAAUUAUUCGUCAUUUUCUAUCAGCCAAACACAUGCUUUGAGUUGUUCAUUUUCACUAAGACCUAGUACUGCUUGUACUUAAGCAUAUACCUCUGCUGGAUCAAGGUUCAUAGUAUCAGAAUGGAUAAACUCUUCAAAUGAUAAAGUCAUUCUAGCAAUCGAAUCAGCAAUAACAUCUUUGAUAGCACCUCUUUUCUUUGUAGGAAGAAUAUCAUAAGAAUUUGAUGCAUGAUUUCUUCUCUUUUGACCAUUUGUUGAGGUUGGUGAAAUAUCAUCAAUAACAUGAAUAUCUUCUAAAUCUUGUGUAUCACCAUCCAAAUCAACACGAUCAACUUCAUUAGUAUGAGUCAUAACCUCAAUUGCAUCUGCAACUGUUUCAGCACCCUUUCCAGUGGCUCUAUCUUUGCCACACAAAUCUACUAUAUCAUCCCAAUUUUCUAUAACUUUAAAUCGAAAACCUCUAGCAUCAUCAUGAGACUACCAAACAAAUAAUCAAAGUCAAAUAAGAAAGAGAGAAGACCAAAAUCGAUUUUCAGCAGCAUAUAACAAUCAAUAAAGCUUUUCGUUUCCUUACAGAGUAUAUAAAAAGCUUUUCAGCAGCAUAGGCUUUUUCUUCAGAGUAAGGAAACGAAGGGUAAAACUUGAACAAAGCGAUAACACAAAGCGAUAAAGCUAGCAAACAAUUACAGAGCUGUACCAUAAACACAAAUCACACACUAAUUUUCAUGGGCAUAUAGUAUUUUGUUAAAACUUCCCAAAAUCUAGUCAUAGUGCCGCAAAGAUCACAAAAAUCAUUCAUAAAUUUACUCAGAAAUACCCAAUUUUGAUAGCCAUUCAAAAACCAUAGUAACCCUAAAAUAGAAAAACAUAAAUUGAAGGAGAGAAAGGCUUGAAGACUAACCUUCAAAUUUGAUCCAGGAGAAGUGUACUUUUUUUUAAAAAGAGAAGUGUACUCUUUUUUUUAAUGAAAAGUUCGGCCCUUUUUUUUUAAUGUAAGUUUUGGUACACUAGAAAAAAUGAAUUCAUGCACUAUAAAAAUUGUGAAAUGACGCAUAUUUUGGUGGAAAUUAAACUCGGAAAUUUGAUGUCUCAAUUUCCAUGAUUUUUUCCGCGCGUCAUUCUUAAGUUGCCAAACAAGGGAAUUGUCAAUUUCUCCUCUUAAAUUCUCAAUUUUUAGCUAAAUUCCGAGUUAUUUUCCCUCAUCUAAACGGAGGGUCAAUGUAUCUAAAAUUAUAAAGUUUUAAUAGGAGAGAAAAAGAGAGAGAAAAAGAAAGAAAGAGUAUUUUGGCAUAUUUAGAAUUUUCAUUAAAGGGAGCCAAGUGCUUCCCGUGUUUUUGUCUUGUAGCGCUUUUAAGAAGAAGCACCUCUCAAGUGCUUCUUCCAAAACCACUCCAAGUGCUUUUGGAUCUCACCCAAAGCGCUAUUGCAAUUUUUGCUAAACACCAUUUUUAAAAGACAAAAGCGCUUUAAUCCAGUUUUCGCUGCUCCAAAAGCACUCCCAAACGAGCCCUAAUUCUCUCAAUUCCUCCAUUUUCCUUCCUUCUGCAAGUAUUCAACAAGAAAUAACAUUAAAAUAAAAACUAGUUUUUUUAUACAUAAGUAAUAAAAACUAGUCUUUUUUAUACGGAAGUAAUAAAAACUAGUUGGUGUACAUUUUAUAUGUGUUGAAAGCUUUAAAUUUAGCCAUUUGAGUGUAACUCAGUUGGUUGAGCUCUUCCACUUUCACUCAUGCAUGCAGAAAUUCGAACUAUAAUUAUAUAUUAUUGUAUUAAACAAACACAAAUUCAUAAUAAAUCAGACAACUUUAGUUAUUGAGGUAAUAAAUUUAUCAAUUAGCUCCCCAAGUCACUAGAAAGUAGGGGUGGGCACGGUUCGGUUUGGACCGGUUUUUGCCUCAAAUUAGAACCGAUCCGGUACUAUUCAACCAGUUUGGUUCGGUUCGAUUUUAAUAAAAAAAAUUUCAAAAACUGUCCGGUUCGGUUUGAAUCGAUUUCGGUCCGGUUCCGGUUCCGGUUCAGUUUUGAACCGGAUUAUAAAAAUUGUUUUUUUAAAUUGUUUUUUAAUACAAUUCUUAACUGAAAUAUUAUUUUUUUACUUGAAAAUUAACAAAUUAUUCAAUUUCAUAUAAAAAAUAAAUAUUAAAGUGAGAAAAGAGAGAUAUUUUGACAUUGAACUUGGAUAAAUAUUAUGUUUUUUUUAGUGAAAUUAAAAAUAUAGCAUUAAAUAUAAAUAUAUAUUGAAAUUAUAUAUUUUUUUAGUUUCACCGGUUCGGUUCGGCCCGGUUCGGUUUUUGAAGACAUGGAACCGGAUCCGAAACCGGUCCAAACCGGUCCGGUUCGGUUUUUGACCGGUUUUUGACUUUUUGGUCAACUCGGUUUUUUUUCAGUUUGGUUCGGUGCGGUUCGACUCGGAUUUCCGGUUCGCCGGUUUGAGUGCCCACCCCUACUAGAAAGAGGUGAAAGACCCACGACUUCUAUAUUCAUGGCCUACAUCAAAUUGCUACAAAUAUAGUCAAUAAACUUCGUAUUUUUGUUAUCCUACAUAAAAUUGCUCACCUGGGGUUAAUUACUUAUUAUCACUCAUGCUCAUAUAAGAAAGAAAUAAUAUAUAUAUAAAAAAACUAGAGAAACUAGUUUUAGUUCCAUUUCACGACAAACCUCUCUUUUCUCUCUCAAGCACUUUCUCCUUUCUCCUUUUACCCAUCCUACCUACAGAGCAAUCAAUCUUAAACAAACGCUAAAAAAGAUAAAAACUAUUUUCUCUCUCUUUUUUUGGGAAAAAAAUAAUGGAUAAAGCAUAAAACUCAUAUGAAUAAUUGAAAUUGUGAUUUCAUUUCUUCUGUGAAAAAAAAGUACUUAGCAUCUCAGGUAGGUGUGAAAGUUGGAUUGGAAAUUCUAAUUUCGACCAAUUUUUAUUCGAAAUUUUUUAACUUUUAGUGAGUUCAAAUCAAUUCCAACAUCCAAAAGUUUCGAAAAUUCUAGAAUUUUUUUUUUUUUUUUAAAGGAUUAGAAUUAGAAUGUAACUCAAGAUUACAAAAAUUCUUAAUUAUAUCGGAGUUUCAAGGUUAGACUACAUAUAAUGAGUAAUAUCUAUGGCCACCAGAUGCACUUUGCAUAAGCGAAAAUAAUGAAACUAAUGUUAUAGCCACAAUAUCAUAAUAUAAUUAUGUUAAAUUUUAAACAUGGAAACUUUAAAUAGAAAACUUGAUCAAUCAUGAGGAUACCAUGGCAUCUAAUUUCUUCGUUAUGAAGAAACAUGUGAUUUCUUUUGAUUCUAAAACAUGCAAACUAUGAUCUGACACCACAUGUAAACUGUAUUGACUGCACAUAACAUAAGUAGAACACAUGUAUUUUAGUAUUCCAUUAGAGUUGUCGGAAAUCAAGAACAUACAAGAUCUCUUCUCCUCAAUCCGACCCCUCACACACUCAUUAUAGAUGGGGUGAAUACUUUAGUGUAGGUUACAUUGAUCGGGUAAGUCGUGGCACCUGUAUUUAUAUGCAUCUGCCUAAGAGUCUUGCCCAUCAAGAAACUCUCUAGGAAAAGAAAACCCUUGUCCAUAUUAAGAUAGAGUCAAAAAAAAAAAAAGGGGGCAAAUUUUCUGAUAUAUAUUCUUCUCCAAUAUGGAGGUAUUUAUAAGAAGGGUACAAAGAUUAGUUAACCCUCAAUACAAUAGGAAAUAAAUCUAAAUUACAAUAUGAAAUAAAUAUCAAUUACAAUAGUACAAAAUAAAUAGGUAAGUAAUAACCAAAAAACCUAACAUAGUAAGGAACCAAAAUCAUAAGUAAAUAAGGACUUGCUAACACUCCCCCUCAAAUUGCCACAAAGAUGUUUCGCAUGCCCAACUUGACAAGCGGGUCAUAGAACACUAUACUUGACAUUAACCAAAUCGAACCACUAUAGAAAUGGCCAAAAAUUUGAUUUGUUCCAAGAAAUACAAUGUUUGUUGUAAUAAAACAGGCCCAAUUAAAGGACCUUUCAAGCCACAUGGGCUUUGAGUCGUUCAUAAUUAGAAAAGUAAAUGUCCAAAGAUCAAAGCCCAAGCACGGGUUUCUCCAAAAGGUUUGACUUUCCCAGAAAACCAUUGCGAAGCAGCUUUUACUCGGCUAAUAGCGUGAACACCUAAAUUUGAACUCAAAGUUGAUUUCGACAAUUAAGAAAAAGUCAAACAGCAAAGAGAGGGUUGGACAGCCGCAUUAACUGUGAUUUGAAUCAUGAGACUCAUCAACAUCAACUUGUUAAAAUACAACUAAUCACAUGGAUCAAAAUGAAAACAAAGUCCAUUAGUUUUAUUUGCAAAGAAGAAACUUGUACAAGGUGGAUGCAUCUCUUUACCAAACAUCCAAUUUCGAGAACCAAUGAGUCUAUAAAUGGAAGUAGAAAUUAUGGUCCAAAGAACAACCAAUCUCUAGAACAAACAACCAAUUUGAAUAAUAUUUAAAUACUCUAGAGUCAACACCUUUUUGAAAACUUUGGAAGAAUUGUAGAGAGAAUUCAUAGAAACUGAUUUUCUUAUUUCUCUUGUUAACUUGUAAUUACAUCAUUACAGUGCUUAUAAAUCUGCACCUACAGCAUAACCACUUCUUAUCAGCCUAACCACAUUCUAACAGACUAAAAAAUUAGAGUGGCACGUGGAUAUACUCUAUCAGACCCCCGCAAGCUCAUGGGAGAGAGGCUUGAGCAUGAGAUUGGAGUAGUGAUAAUUGAAUUGAGGUGAGCACAAGCCUUUCGUUAGGAUGUUAGCAACUUGCUGAGAAGAGGAAACAUGUUGAAGCUGGAUUUCACCGCGUGUGACCUUCUCACGAAUAAAGUGACAGCCAACUUCUAUAUGCUUAGCACGAGAAUGCAUAAUAGGAUUAGUAGAGAGGGCCAUAGCAGACAGAUUGUCACAGUAAAGAAGAGGAGAUUUGGCAAGAGGAAAGGAGAGAUCUGUCAACAACUGCUGUAACCACACAAUUUUAGCAGCAGUGGCAGCUAUGACACGAUAUUCUGCCACGGUGGAAGAUCUAGAAACAAAUUGCUGUUUCUUAGAACUCCAAGAAAUGGGAUUGGAGCCUAAGAAAAUAACAUAACCAGUUGUAGAGCGCCUAUCAUUGGGAUCACUAGCCCAAUCAGCAUCGGUGAAAGCAUGAAGAUCCAAAGAACCCUUGUGAAAUGUCAAUCCAUGAUGCAUGGUACCCUUAAGAUACCUAAGAAUUCGUUUCACAGCAAGGUAAUGAGUCUCAAGAGGAGAGUGCAUAAAUUGGCAAACCUGAUUUACGGAAUAAGCAAUGUCAGGCCUCGUGAAAGUCAAAUAUUGCAAAGCACCAACUAGACUUCGUAAUGAGCAGGAUCAGAAAAGAGGAGAUUGUCAUCUCCAAGAAGCUUGUGAUUAGGAUGAGAAGGAGUGACACAAGGCUUGAAUUCAAAAAGGUUGGCUUUAAACAAAACAUCCUUGAUGUAUUUAGACUGAGUCACAGAAAUACCAGCAUAUGUAUACUGAAUGUGCAGGCCAAGGAAAUAAUGAAGAUGUCCAAGAUCAGUCUUAUCAAACUCCUUGGAUAAUAAAGUGAUCACAUAAGCAAUUGCAGCAGGGGAAGAACCAGUCAAGAUAAUAUCAUCGACAUACAAAAGCAAUAAAACCAAAGAGGUGGCAUCUUGCUUAACAAAGAGAGAGGGAUCAGCUUGAGAGGUACGAAAUCCAAUACAAGGAAGAUAAUUGGUAAACCUUUCAUUCCAAGCUCGAGGAGCUUGCUUGAGACCAUAUAAAGAUUUAUCCAAUCAGCAAACAUGAUGAGGAUAGAGAGGAUCAACAAAACCUUGUGGUUGAGACAUGUAGACUUCCUCUUUGAGAAUGCCAUGAAGAAAGGUAUUUUUGACAUCUAAUUGGUGAAGUUUCCAGCCAAAAGUUGCAGCUAAGGCUAAUACCAAACGGACAGUGGUAUGUUUCACCACAGGACUAAAAGUCUCUGCGUAAUCCAAGCCAGCCUCUUAAGAAAAACCUUUGGCAACAAGUCUGGCCUUAUAUCUAGCCAUUGAACCAUCUGGAUUUCGCUUUUAGCCUAUAAACCCACUUGCAACCUACCAGAUUUCUAUUAGUAGGCAAAGGUACCAAAUGCCAACUGCGUUGCUUUUGUAAAGCAUCAAAUUAAUCUUGCAUAGCCUGCUGCCACUUAGACUUUUUUACUCCAGAAGCAUAAGUGGAAGGUUCUGUAACAGAGAGAUCUGAAGAGGCUUGAACAGCUGAUAGGAACACCUUUUCCUUGACAAUGCCAGAUUUUCUCCUAGUCUGCAUAGAUGAACAUUGGGAGGUGUUGAUGAUUGGCUCAAAAAUAGUCAAAAGCAAAACUGCUUUCGGCUGGCAGAUAUCUUGCGGUGCUUUCGGCUAGCAGACAAAUUGGAGACAAUUAAUGGCUAGCAUUGAUGGCUUACUUUUACUUUUUUGACUUGUGUGUUUUGCUUUUGCCGUUGGGUGGUUGAAGAGCAAAUGUUUGGCUUAUAAAAGGGAACAUGCAUUUGGGAAAAAUGUAGAGCGGAAAGCACCGAGAGUUGAUGAGAGAAGAGAGAAGUUGGGAGAGAGAAAAAUAAUAGUUUGGGCAACUAAGCUUUUGUUGCUAUUGUUGAUUAUUUUUCCCUCUCUAAAUUGUACUCAAUUUGUAUCCCCUUUAUAUUCUUGAGUGUGUGAGCUUGGGUAUAUUUGGGGCUUGGGUUUUCUGAGUGGUUAAACACUAUUGUAUUCUCUCAUUGAUUAUAGUGGAAUACUCCGUCGUCUCCAAACUGGAUGUAGGCAAUUGCCGAACCAGUAUAAAUCUUGGUGUUGUUCUUGUUGAUUUUUUUUGUUCAAUUUUUCUCCUGCCUGUCGUUAUUUAUUUUUCACUCGCAGUUGGUUGACGCUUCCGCACAACAAGUGGUAUCAGAGCUCCAGUUUUUCGACUGGGGUUUCGUGGGAGUGAAAAAUCUGUUGGUGCUACAGUGACGAGUGAAUAGUGCACGUGAAUAGUGUCGGUGCUACAGUGCCCCCCGUGAAUAGUGCUGUGCUACAGUAGCAGUGAAUAGUGCCAGGCAGAUUUGAUGGCUGGAGAAAAAGUUGAAAUUUUGAAGGAAAAGGAAUCGACAUCGUCUUCGUCGGCACCUACAUCCAAUAGACAUCCAAUUGCCAGUACAAGGUUAGAGGUUGAUAAAUUUAAUGGCUCCAAUAAUUUUGGUAUGUGGCAAUGUGAAGUUAUGGAUGUGUUGUAUCAACAAGAGUUGGAUAUGGUUCUGGAGGAUAAACCAGAAGAUAUUGAUGACAAGCAGUGGACUCGAAUUAAUCUCCAUACUUGUGCCACUAUUCGAUCAUUCCUUGAUAAGGAGUUGAAAUACCCGUAUAAGAAGGAAACUUCUGCUAAGAAGUUAUGGAUGAAAUUGGAGGAGAAGUAUAUGACCAAGAGCGCAGAAAAUCGGCUCUUCUUGAAGAAACGACUCUUCCGAUUUCAAUAUCGUUCAGGUAUUUCUAUGCAUGAACACCUCAAUGAUUAUAAUAAAAUACUGGCUGAUUUAGCAAAUCUUGAUGUGAUAAUUCCUGACGAGGAUAAGGCACUAUGUUUGUUAAAUUCAUUGCCUGAUGAUUAUGAUCAUUUGACAACUACUUUGUUGUAUGGAAAAUCCGAGGUGAAACUGGAUGAGGUGUCUGCGGCAUUGGUGAAUCAUGAGUGUCGAAAGAAGGAACAGAAGACUCAAAAUUCACAAACCGAGGCACUUGUUGCAAGGGGUCGAACAGAGGAAAGAAAAUCUGGGAAGCGGGGAAAAUCUCGUUCAAAGUCACGAGGGGAAGUUUCCUGCUAAAGAUGAAUGUGCCUUUUGUCGCCAAAAGGGUCAUUGGAAGAAAGACUGCCCCCAAAUUGAAGAACAAAGAGAAGGAGAAAGCCGGUUCUGAAGCAAAUGUUGCAAAAUCUGGAGAUGUUGAUUUCGAGUUUGCUUUGGCUAGUUCAUCUGCUGAUGGUCACUCAACUGAGUGGAUUUUGGAUUCAGGUUGCACCUAUCAUAUGUGUCCCAUUCGGGAAUGGUUUUCUAGCUUCGAGGAGCUGGAUGAUGGAGUUGUUUUGAUGGGCAAUAAUAAUGCCUGCAAAACACAAGGGAUAGGCAAAAUCCGUUUGAAGAUGCAUGAUGGAACAGUCAGAGAAUUAAGUGAUGUUCGGUAUGUACCGGAUAUGAAGAAGAAUCUCAUCUCAUUGGGCGCUUUGGAAUCCAAGGGUCUCAAGAUCACCAUGGAGGGUGGAGUUCUUAAAGCUGUGUACGGGGCACUGGUGGUGAUGAAAGGUACAAGACGAAAUAACUUGUAUUUCUUGCAGGGUAGUACAGUUAUUGGUGGAGCAGCUGUCACCGAAGCUGCUGACGCAGAUAGCACAGACACCACAAGGUUAUGGCAUAUGCGUCUUGGGCAUGCUGGUGAAAAAGCGUUGCAAGGAUUGGUGAAGCAAGGCUUAUUGAAAGGUGCAAAGGCAUGCAAAUUGGAAUUCUGUGAACAUUGUGUGCUGGGUAAGCAAACUAGAGUGAAAUUUGGCACUGCUAUUCACCACACUAAGGGCAUUCUAGAUUAUGUUCACACUGAUGUUUGGGGACCUUCCAAGAAUGCAUCUUGGGGAGGUAGCCAUUAUUUUGUCUCCUUUGUUGAUGACUUCUCUAGAAGAAUAUGGGUGUACACCAUGAAGCGUAAAGAUGAAGUCUUGAAGAUAUUCCUGAAGUGGAAAAAGAUGAUUGAAACGCAAAGCGGUCGAAAGAUCAAGACUCUCAGAUCAGACAAUGGUGGUGAAUAUAAGUCUGAUCCUUUCUUGAAAGUUUGUCAAGAUGAGGGUAUUGUGAGGCACUUCACGGUUAGGGAGACACCGCAACAGAAUGGGGUGGCAGAGCGCAUGAACCGUACUUUGCUUGAGAAAGUUCGGUGUAUGUUGUCUAAUGCUGGUUUAGGCAAGGCGUUUUGGGCUGAGGCGAUUACUUAUGCAAGCCAUCUCAUUAAUCGGUUGCCUGCUGUUGCGAAUGAGGGCAAAACGCCCAUGGAGGUAUGGUCUGGUAAACCUUGUACUGAUUACAAGUAUUUACACAUAUUUGGUUGUCCUGCUUACUAUCAUGUCAGGGAAAGCAAGUUAGAUCCAAGAGCAAAGAAAGCUCUAUUUAUGGGAUUUAGCACUGGCGUGAAGGGAUACCGACUUUGGUGUCCAGAUGAGAAGAAAUUUGUUGUAAGCAGAGAUGUGACUUUUGAUGAGGCUGCUAUGGUAAAUCAGAACAAGCAUGAAGGUGAAAUUGAAGCGACUAAGACCAUGAGUAGUUCAAAGCAGGUGGAGUUACUGAAGACUCCAGUUGUUCCAGUAAGGUCUUAUACUACAGACACUAGUCCUACAGUUGAUUCUGAUGAAGAGGACGAGGAUGAUGAAGAGGAGGCACCUACCCAAGAGCCUCCACAGCAACAAGAUUCUAUUGCAAUCAGAAGAUCGAGAAGGGAGAUUCGAAAGCCUGUUCGAUUUACUGAUAUUGUGGCAUAUGCACUUCCCGUUAUUGAAGAUGAUAUUCCAUCCGCCUACAAAGAAGCUGUCAGAAGUUCAGAGAGCGUGGAGUGGAAGAAAUCUAUGGAUGAGGAGAUGAAGUCUCUUCAUAAAAAUGAGACUUGGGAGCUGGUUCAGUUACCAAAGGGGAAGAAAGCAAUUGGUUGCAAAUGGGUUUAUGCCAAGAAGAUGGAAUCUUUGGGAAAAGACAAUGUGAGAUUCAAAGCCAGAUUAGUAGCUAAAGGAUAUGCUCAGAAGGAAGGCAUUGACUACAAUGAGGUAUUUUCUCCUGUAGUAAAACAUUCCUCUAUUCGUAUUUUGUUGGCUUUGGUUGCGCAGUUUGACCUUGAGUUGGCUCAACUUGAUGUCAAGACUGCAUUCUUACAUGGUGAUUUGGAGGAAGAAAUUUAUAUGUCUCAGCCAGAAGGUUUUAAGGUUGCUGGAAAAGAAAAUUGGGUUUGCAAAUUGCAAAAAUCAUUGUACGGCUUGAAGCAGUCUCCAAGACAAUGGUAUAAGCGAUUUGAUCGGUUUAUGAUCGGGCAGAAGUACACAAGAAGUCAUUAUGACCAUUGUGUAUACUUUCGCAAGCUACAAGAUGGAACCUUCAUCUAUCUGCUUUUAUAUGUUGAUGAUAUGCUUAUAGCAUGUAAAAGCAAAGUGGAGAUUGAAAGGUUGAAGACUCAACUGAGUAAUGAAUUUGAGAUGAAGGACUUAGGAGAAGCUCGGAAGAUACUGGGUAUGGAAAUUGAAAGAGAUAGAGCGAAGGGCAAGAUUAGUCUGUGUCAAAAGCAGUAUUUGAAGAAGGUACUACAGCGUUUCGGGAUGAAUGAAAAUUCAAAACCGGUUAGUACACCUCUUGCCCCUCAUUUCAAACUUAGUGCUUCUAUGUCUCCUAAAACUGGUGAAGAGAGUCAUUACAUGGCUCAAAUUCCAUAUGCAAGUGCUGUUGGUAGUUUGAUGUAUGCUAUGGUGUGUACGAGGCCUGAUAUUUCACAAGCUGUUAGUAUUGUCAGUAGAUAUAUGCAUAAUCCAGGAAAAGGGCAUUGGCAAGCUGUGAAAUGGAUUCUACGGUAUAUUCUGGGUACUGUGGAUGUUGGUUUAUUGUUUCAGCAUGAUAAAGUUACUGGUCAAUGUGUUGUUGGAUAUGUGGAUUCUGAUUACGCAGGUGAUUUGGACAAGCGUAGGUCCACUACAGGUUUUGUAUUCACUAUUGCUGGAGGUCCAGUGAGUUGGAGGUCGAUUCUACAAUCUACAGUUGCUCUGUCGACUACGGAGGCUGAAUACAUGGCGGUAACAGAAGCUAUAAAGGAAGCCAUCUGGCUUCAAGGAUUGCUUGAUGACUUGGGGAUUGAACAGGACCAUGUGGAUGUUCAUUGUGACAGUCAGAGUGCUAUUUAUUUAGCAAAGAAUCAAGUUCAUCAUGCACGUACAAAACACAUUGACGUGAGGUUCCAUUUUGUUCGUGAGAUUAUUGACGAGGGAAAUAUUCUUCUUCAGAAGAUUGGGACCGCUGAGAAUCCUGCGGAUAUGUUGACAAAGCCAGUUUCGUUGCUCAAGUUUAAGCAUUGCUUAGACUUAAUUGGCAUUUGUAAAGUUUGUUGAUUGCCCCAUGGGGGAUUGGGAGACGACCAUUCAGAGUGUUGCUUCGAGGUUUUGAGCCAAGGUGGAGAUUGUUGAUGAUUGGCUCAAAUGCAAUCUUUUGGCCUAGGAAGGCAGUAUGUACAGAAGAAGGAAGAGGCAUAGGAUAGAGACCAUUAUGACUGAGGCCCAAGAAAAGAAUUUGCCCUGUCCGCUUGUCCUGUAUGGUUAAACGAAACUCAUCAAAAAUACAUUGGCAUUUGUUAUCAGCACACAAUUGAUGAACAGAUAAUAAACUCUAUGAUAACGGGGGGCAUAUGUAGAACAUUGGUAAGUUGGAGAGAACUUGUAGGAGUAGGAAUUGAAGAAUAACUAAUAUGAGCAAUAGCUAAACCUGGUCCAUUUGCAGCAGUAAUGGUCUCAGAACCAAUAUAUGAAGUAGGAGCAGACAAAUUCCCAAAUUCAGUCGUCAUAUGGUUGGUUGCACCAGUAUCAGCAAUCCAAACCUCAGUGGAGGGUGAAGAGGAACAAGCCUGAGCAGCCAUGGCAGUCAUUGGAGUAGAGUGUGAGGAACUAAAAGGAACACUUCUCAAUAGAAACAUGUCAUGGCAGUAUGAUUUGUUUUCAAACAAAUUUGACAUGGUUCAGCCUCAGAGUGAGAUGGAAUUGUAGAUCGAAAACGACAAGUAGCAGCGAUAUGACCCUUUUUCUGACAAAUUCGACAAAUAAGCACAGGAGGACCAUAACUGUUUCAAAAAGGUUGAUGAGGCUUACCAAGAAUACAUUGAGCACCAUUACCAAACUGAGGAGGAGAAUUGGAGAAUUGCUGAGGAGGAUUAGAAUAAGACUGAUUCUUGGGAUAAAAGCGUGAACUAUUAGGGUAGCCAUGUUGAUUAUAGAACAUCUUGCCUUUGCCUUCAUCUUGAAAUCCAUAGGAAGAAUUAUGAGACCCGUAAGGCAUAGGGGAAUAAGGAACAGAAUUCAUACCAGACCCAUGAGGAAUUCUGAGUCGCGACAGCCAUAGCAGACAUGAUUGGAACAUUGUGAGUAGAUUCCUCAAUUGUGGCCUCCUCGGCCUUCAAUUGAGAUCGAAGAUCUUUCAAAGAAAUACCAUGAUCACGACCUCGAAUCACAACCUUGACCGUAUUAUAUUCAGAAGGUAAGCCUUUGAGAACCAAAAUGGCAGUAUCAUCAUCUGGAAUUUCAAAGCCAACAGCAGAAAGCUGAUCACAAACAUCCUUGAUUUUCUGAACAUAUUGAUCAAUAGUUUCCAAGCCUUUCUUGAUAUUCUGAAGAUCAGGCUAUAAUUGGAAAAUGCUUGCUCUAGUAACACUUGCAAAUCGUUCACGAAGAUUGACCCACAUGGCGUUAGAGGUUGAGCAACCUAUAACACACGAAAUAGCCGAGGGCAACAACGUCGCAGUAAUCAAAGUCAUGAGUGAUGUGUCCUGAAUCGUCCAAAUCGUGAAUGCGUCGAAAAGAACAGAGCCAUCCUCCGUGACCAAGAAUUGAGGCGAGCAUUUGAAUGAACCAUUGAUGAACCCUAGAAUUCUAUUUCCACGCAGCAAGAGCUCCAUUUGAAAAUUCCAAGUGACAUAAUUUGUAUCAUCUAGUUUAACAGAAAUAGUGUUACCAACACUAGAAAUCAAGGAAGAAAUUGGGGAUUGAGUUAGGGCUAACUGACCUAUUGUUACCAAAUAAAAAUGGAUAGAAUAAAUAAGAUAGCAGAGUAAAUUCAACCAAAAACAAAUACCAUAAAAUAUGUAAAAAGAAGAUGCACAAAAGGAUGGAGGUGGGGUGAGAGUGGGCCUGGAGCCUAACAGAGGGUGCCGGCACGUGGAACCCAAGCACAGACAAACGGAGCGCCAUCUGCUGCUCUGAUAAGCCAGCAUUCUUUGUUGCACACAAAGACGUCUACUUCGUUGUCAGCGACGGAAGACCUCUACCUAAUUACAGGCAAAGCGGCAUUUUGCAAAGCCACCUCUCCCACUCUCCAUUCUGCGACAGGAGUUGGAAGCCCACAAUCUCGCCCCACAACCCCAAAGCAUCUCUGGCCAAAUUUGCGCCUCGCAUAUGACGUCUGACACCGAUUUCAUGCGGACGACCAUAAAAUAUGUAAAAAGAAGAUGCACAAAAGGAUGGAGGUGGGGUGAGAGUGGGCCUGGAGCCUAACAGAGGGUGCCGGCACGUGGAACCCAAGCACAGACAAACGGAGCGCCAUCUGCUGCUCUGAUAAGCCAGCAUUCUUUGUUGCACACAAAGACGUCUACUUCGUUGUCAGCGACGGAAGACCUCUACCUAAUUACAGGCAAAGCGGCAUUUUGCAAAGCCACCUCUCCCACUCUCCAUUCUGCGACAGGAGUUGGAAGCCCACAAUCUCGCCCCACAACCCCAAAGCAUCUCUGGCCAAAUUUGCGCCUCGCAUAUGACGUCUGACACCGAUUUCAUGCGGACGACGUUACACACUCUUCCCUUCCAUGCCAUCCUUAUUGCCCCCACUUUGGGUCACAAGUCAGCGUGACUUGACUCGGCAAUGGAGUCUCGUAGAACUGAUCAUAUAAAUAGCACCACCGAAGUAUAAUUUGUCGAUGUGGGACAAAAUUGCGCGGCCUGGCGAGUUUCUUUGUAUUUUUUUUUUCCCACUUGAAAAAGAGUAAGUGGGUUUGUUGUCGGGGCGGAGCUAGGAUUUUAUAUUUGAGGGGGCCAAAAUGUUAAACACAAAAAGUUUAGUUGUGUUGUAAAUGUGGAGCCCAAAUGCCUAUAAAUAGGGCUUCUCCAUUUGUAACAAAACACACAAUAAGAAGAGAAAAACUUCUCUCUCUCUCCAUCAAAAAAAAAAUAAAAAUGGAACGAGGUAAUUCCAUUAUAAAUGGGAAUGAACGUGAAAGAACAAACCCACAAUACGAACCCCAAAAUUUGUUAAUACUGAAUUUAUACUUGGGUGUUCGGAAUAAAAGGGAAUAUACCUACUUUGUAUGACACACUGUUUUCUAGCAGAAACAAGAAAUAUGUGGCAUACCACAAUUUGCAAUAAUACCUCAAGGGUUGUCUAUUUAAUUGUUGGAACUUCAGGUUCUCAACACUGUUAAAUUUUGAACUUCAGGCCAAAGCCACAUAUUCUCAUGGUAUGGACAUUUUUACAAUUUUCUGUACAUAUUUCGGGACUUCAAGCCCUUACAUAAUUGUCCAUAUUUUGAGGAACUUCUGGCAUCUCAUUUAAUUGCUCAUCCAUGAGUUUAAGGAACUGCAGGUUCCCUUUUGUAUAUAGUGACGGUUUACCCAAAAUGGUUCAUAUUUAUGCAUACGUCACUAUUCAUGUGAAUAGUACUAUAUCGUGGCCGUCACCAUGGGUCUAUCAGAGUUUAGACUUAUGCUCAGGCUUCCAACUGGGACCGCGACAGGAUGGAGAUCCCAAAUUUUCUCUAUCGAAGUCUGGCCUGUUUUGCAUCUCAGGUAGGUCUGGAAAGUUGCAAUUCCCAUAAGUGACAGUCUUCCAUCCUCAAAACUGCGUAAGUUCCAUUAGCAAGUUCAAUCAAAGCGGACACCGCCGCUCAUCGCCGGGCAACCACCUCUGCCUCUGCCUCUGGAAUCCACAGAUCUCAAAAACCUCAUGAAUUCCAACUUCGACUUCGAUCUGGGUCUCGGAUCGAGUCGACCUAAAUCGCUCAACGACCAGAAGAAGAAAACCUCUUCCUUUUCCUCCACCGCGACGGGGCAAUCCAGACCCCCCUGGCAACCCCGUACUGAUCACGUUCUUUGUAAGCCACGGAGAGCAGGUUGCGCUCCUCCACUGUCAGCUCACCGGCGGGGGUUGCGCCAGAGGAGGCGGACGGAAUCGAAAGCUCGGCCGAAAGGUAGCUCAUCUUCCUGCCCAGUUUGGAUAAAUCAGGGGGCGGAUCGAAAUCGGAAGAGGGUGUGGAUUUCUUGCCUCAUUCCUUCCAAGUAUCGUCCUCUUCGUCGUCUACGACAUCGUCCAGGUCGUCAGUGAUCUACAUGAACAGCAAGCAUAGCCCAUCUGCAGUGAAUGAGCUCAGACUCCUUGGACCUCUCUAAGUUUUCUGGCACUUCUCCUAGCCGAAGUGGGUGAGCAUAGGAAUUGGGGUGUGGUUGAGGCCAAAGAAACUAGAAAGAAGCUUGAGGGAGCAAGGCCUUACGGGCAAUUCCUACAAGCUUUUGUUUGGAGACACCAAAGAGAGCUCAAUGAUGCUGGAUUGAGUUUUGGGGUUGAAUUGGUGCAGUGACUCAGAGAUGACUUUGUGAGAGAAAAUAUUGAAGCAGAUGGAAUUCAUCCGAACACUCCCCCUUGGAGACCACAAGCGAAUUCGUGCUGAUAACGUGUUAUAAAUCAAGAGGAAUUGGAGAGGGAAUUGAGAGAGAAUUUAGAUGGAGAGAGAGAGAAGUUUUUCUCUUCUUAUUGUGUGUUUUGUUACAAAUGGAGAAGCCCUAUUUAUAGGCAUUUGGGCUCCACAUUUACAACACUCCCCCUUGGAGACCACAAAUGAUACAGAAUAUGUCUCGUUAAAAACCUUGCCAGUAAAAACCCAGUGGGACAAAAACUGGUCAAAGGGAAAAAGAGUACAUAAUCAUGUGUAAUAUAAAAUUCUAUGUAUAUUGACGCGCGUGCGACACUGCCUCGUUAAAACCUUGCCAGGAAAAAUCCAGUGGGAUAAAAACCUGGACGAAGGAAAAAGAGUACAGUGUUUGAAGAUCUUUAUUGAUAGCGCGCUCCCCCUGAUGCUUGGCAAAAUAUCUUUAAGUCAUACUGUUGUUCACCUUUCUGAAUAUCGUAGUUGACACUGCUUCUGUGAGUCAAUCUUGAGUGACACUGCCUCGUUAAAACCUUACCAGGAAAAACCCAGUGGGAUAAAAACCUGGAUGAAGGAAAAAAAGUACAGUGUAUGAAGGUCUUUAUUAAAACCAUGCUCCCCCUGAUGAAUAUCUCCCCCUGAAAAAUUUAGGACUAGCUUUUGUCCAGUAAGCGACUAUAGAAAUUUUCAUAGUAUACCCUAAACCCUUGAGCUACACUGCCUCGUUAAAACCUUACCAGGAAAAACCCAAUGGGAUAAAAACCUGGAUGAAGGAAAAAGAGUACAGUGUGGAGCUGAGCUCUAUCUGGUCUAGUAUACUUCCGGAAAAAUAUUUAAGGACCAACGGAUAAGACUCAUAAAAAUACUUCAAUACUUUGUUAGUAUAAGCAAGAAUCUCGUUGGCAUAAUGCUCAGUCGAGACAAAUAUUUCGUGAAUUCUGCAGAAGCUUUAAUGUGUUGCAAUCACAUUAUAAUCAAUGUACUCACUGAGGUAAUUUAUGCAUAUUAAUCUUGAGUACAAAUUUUGUGCUUCAAGCACAUGUCCUUUAGGGACUUGCUUUAUGCAAUGUCAAUCCUCUCAACGGAUUUUGUUUAAAAAGGGGAUUAAACUUUAUGACACAUUAUAUAGCUUUAACCCAGCUAUUUAUACAUCUUUAGGGAAUCUCUUCUGGCGAUAUGCUCCGUGCAUUUAAUAACCCUUAAAGAUAAUAUGUUGGUCUCCGUAAUUGUGUAAUAAGGGGGGGCACAAUUGAAUCUGUAAAUAUGGAGAAAACCCAACAUUCCUUGUUUCUGCUAGAAAACAGUGUGUCAUACAAAGUAGGUAUAUUCCCUUUUAUUCCGAACACCCAAGUAUAAAUUCAGUAUUAACAAAUUUUGGGGUUAGUAUUGUGGGUUUGUUCUUUCACGUUCAUUCCCAUUUAUAAUGGAAUUACCUCGUUCCAUUUUGGCCAAUGAUAUUGUCGACAUUUAAUAAUUGAACGUGGUUCCAAUCAACACAGCCCAUUGAUGAUUUGAGUAGCUACUCCAAAACCAAAAAUUGUCAUUCAUCAAUUCAUGAUCCCAUCAUUCUCAUUUGCAUGCGCGUGCAUCAAUUAUAAGCAUUUCUUUGCUUUUGGGUACCCAAGCCACUGCAGGGGGCUUUUAUUAUGUGAGAAUGUGGAUUAUAACCUCCAAUGGAGCGUUAUUUUAUAGUAGGGCGUGGAUAAUCUCCAUUUAGGGAGUUGGAACAUUUAGAACCCAUAUAUCUGUCAUGCUGCAGGCAUGCCACAGAUUAAUACAUACAUGUCAAUUAAUUUAUGGGACUUUAACCCAUAUAAUUUGCUACGCAUUAGGCGUGCAUAAUAUCAAUAUUGACAUGUCAAAGGAUUGUCCUUUCGGGACUUCAAUCCAUAUCAUUUGCUACGCAACAGGCGUGCACCCAUAUAUCUGUCAUGCUGCAGGCAUGCCACAGAUUAAUACAUACAUGUCAAUUAAUUUCUGGGACUUUAACCCAUAUUAUGGGACUUUAACCCAUAUAAUUUGCUACGCAUUAGGCGUGCAUAAUAUCAAUAUUGACAUGUCAAAGGAUUGUCCUUUCGGGACUUCAAUCCAUAUCAUUUGCUACGCAACAGGCGUGCAUCAUAUUGAUCACUGCUAUACCCAUAUUCUGUUCUUAUGGUACAUUAAUCUGUGCAGUGUAUUAUCAAUGUAUCCAACUUGCAAUCUGUAAAAUUUGCAUUAAUAAUUCAUGGAUACAUACAAGCCAUUCUUUUGGAACGGACUUAUCUUCCCAUUCGGUUACCUUUCAAGAUAAAAUAUCAAAUAGGUAUAUAAGCAUAAAAUAACACAAGUAUUGCUUACAUCCUUAGGUGGGAGAAACUUUUCUCAAGUAUCAUUCAAGCUCGUAUCGGCCCAGUAAAUAUAAAGUAUCGCUUGAUGAUCUUGUUAUAAACGGAAAAAGAAGAGGAAAGAAACAAAGAAGAGGAGAGGAAAGAGAGAAGAGAGAAGAGGAAAGAGAAGAGGAAAGAAAGAAGGGGAAAGAGAAAAGAGGAAAGAGAGAAAAGGAAAGAGACAAGAGGAAGAGAAGGAAGAAAGAGGAAAGAGAGAGCAGAGAGAAAUUCUCCUAGAGAGAAACUUCAGUGAGCCACACAUAUUGUAAACACUAAAGUUGUAGCCCUAUUAUUUUACAUAGUGAAAAAGUUACUACUGCUGCUCUCCGGGGACGUAGGCAUAGCCGAACCUCGUUAAAUACUGUGUCUCAUCUACUUUACGUGCAGCUCAAUAUUCGCACAUAUUCCAGGUCAUUUUAUAACACGUUAUCAGCACGAGAAGCUCUCAGGUAUAAUUUUUGUGCUGCACUAUUAUUUAUACUACUAACCAUUAUGUUGAUGUAAAGAAGAAAAGCCAACGCAUCUAGCUUUCCACUAAUAUAUCAGUAUAAUAUAUAUAUAUUAUAUAUAUGAAAAGUUGAUGGUAAUAUAAUAUACUAUAUUUAUCUGCUUUUCUAUUACUAACCACUAACAAAAAUGGACCCUUGAUAAUACUAAACAUAUUAUCAGUGGGAGACCGUUACUAAUACUAACAUUUUUCUUAUUUUAUUCGGUGGUGGUUUUAACCCCAUAUUUAUUUUAUUUACUGUAUGGUGUAGGUUUAUUACCCAUACAACAGUAUUUAUUUAAAAGGGUGGUGCGGGUUUAUCGUCCACGCCUUUGCUUUUAUUUAAAUCUAUGGAGCAGAAUUAGUGCCCAUACAAGCACGUUUACUUUAUCGCAAAUUUACUUUUACUUAAAGUAUUAUUUAUGGUAUGGUGUAGGUUUAUUACCCAUACGGCAAUAUUUAUUUAAAGGGUGGUGCAGGUUUAUCAUCCACGCCUUUGCUUUUAUUUAAAUGUAUGGAGCAGAAUUAGUGCCCAUACAAGCACGUUUACUUUACCGCACAUUUAAUUUUAUUUAAGGUAUGGUGCGGGAUUAACGUCCAUACAGCAAGCUAUUUAAUUUGUUUAAGGUAUGGUGUGGGAUUAACGUCCAUACAGCAAGCUAUUUAAUUUAUUUAAAGUGUGGUGCGGGUUUAUCGUCCAUACAACAGUAUUUAUUUAAAAGGGUGGUGCGGGUUUAUGGUCCACGCCUUUACUUUUAUUUAAAUGUAUGGAGCAGAAUUAAUGCCCAUACAAGCACCUUAACUUUAUGAAUUUAAUUUACCGCACAUUUACAUUUAUUUAAAGUGUGGUGCGGGUUUAUCGUCCAUACCAGUAAUUUAUUUAUCAGCAAUUUAUUUUAUGGAUUAAUUCUGCUGUAUGAUGAGUUUUUACAGUAUGCAGAUCAGGACCAGAAGUUCCUUGAUCCUCAUCAUACAAUUACAUCAGGACUUGAAGAUCCUUGAUGAUGAUAUUAAUAUGAGAGCUGGCAGUCUCUCCGGUACUGUAUUUGUAAACAUGUGAUCGGACUUAAGGGUCCUUGAUCCCUGACAUGUAAAUAAAGCUUCUCAAGAGUUCCUUAAUGAUGUAACAGUACCGUAUUGGUUCAUAGUGCCAUACACAUUGAUGAUAACUGUACUGGCAGAUGAAUAGAUACGUAUUCAUGACUUGAUGAAUAGUACUAUUCACAUGAAUAGUGACGUAUGCAUAAAUAUGAACCAUUUUGGGUAAACCGUCACUAUAUACAAAAGGAAACCUGCAGUUUCAUGGUGCCGUACACAUUGAUGAUAACUGUACUGGCAGAUGAAUAGAUACGUAUUCAUGACUUGAUGAAUAGUAUUAUUCACAUGAAUAGUGACGUAUGCAUAAAUAUGAACCAUUUUGGGUAAACCGUCACUAUAUACAAAAGGGAACCUGCAGUUCCUUAAACUCAUGGAUGAGCAAUUAAAUGAGAUGCCAGAAGUUCCUCAAAAUAUGGACAAUUAUGUAAGGGCUUGAAGUCCCGAAAUAUGUACAGAAAAUUAUAAAAAUGUUCAUACCAUGAGAAUAUGUGGCUUUGGCCUGAAGUUCAAAAUUUAACAGUGUUGAGAACCUGAAGUUCCAACAAUUAAAUGGACAACCCUUGAGGUAUUAUUGCAAAUUUUGGUAUGCCACAUAUUUCUUUGGCAUAAGAAGAUGAUGAAUUUAAAGUUCGAUUUUGUUAUAAUCGACACCUCAAGGAAGAAAUAUAUUUUGUGAAUUCCGGUUGUUAAGAAUACACCGCGAAAUGGAUAAUAUCAAUAUAAACCUCAAAUAAUGAAUUGAGGCUCCCCACAUAUUUUGUUAUAUCUGGGCUGGAAGCCCAUGGAUCCAAAUAUAUGAGAGAUCCUGAACUUGAAGUUGUGGGUAUAUGGUAGUUAAUGCUCUUCACUACUAUAUUGCGAUAUUAUCAUGGCUUUUACUCAAUUCACAUUUCAUGUCCAUUUGAAAAGGGCAAAUAAAUUAUGAGUUUGUGCCCAGGCCAAAAGUUCCGGGCUACCAUGCAAUUUGGGAGAGACAAUGUGGUUAUUUGAACCUAUAAGGCACAAGGUUCCAAACCGUCAUUUUGAAAAGACGUAAAAACCACAGGUGCAAGUUUAAGAAUGUGCGCAAUUAUUAUUACAGGAACAUACAACAGAUAAAUUUUUUCCACCUGCAAUGAAGGUGCAGGCCCUGUAAAAUCUAUAAAAUUACAUUAUGUUCUGGAAGCCUCUGAAGGAAGAGUACGGCGCCUCUUAAGCUUGGCCAUGAGCUUCUCGUGGUCUCCCAAAAUUCUUUCAUUGGAUACCUGCAGCAUGUCUGGCCUUCUCAGUGUAUCAACGGAGUACGAACUCACCAGUUUCAGGAAGGAAUUAUUCUCCCCUUUAAGUUUCUCAACCUCCUGUUGAGACUCAUGAAGCAUUCUUUGAAGAGACGAAUUUUCAGUUGUCAGCUUCUCAACCUCGUUUGCUCUAGCACGCAAACGAUCAGCCAUGUUAGAAACAGAAGCAGCACUCUGAAUGCUAAAAGCCAUUGAGUCAUCAAUAGCCUCUUCCUCAGACCUCCCUGUUAACAGCAUUUCAUCCAUUGGAGUAAUGAAAUUCCUAGCUACUAUGACAGCAGUAGCAUCAUUCAUCAUCACAGAAUCAUUAACUCUGAGAUGACGAUUUUGGGAUACAAAGGAUGGACGCCAAACUUGGGCAUCAUUGGUAGUUGUGGGAGCAUCAUUUAAAUUGAAAUAAUUUGGGCAGGAAGAAGAGGAAGCCAUUUUUAAGAAGGUUUCGAAGAAAGUCUUAGGAAAACUAAAGUUUCAGAAAAUGAAGAAAUUUGAGUUGAAACGCAGUUGCUCCAAUCAAGUUUUACAAAGGCAAUAUCUAUAGACGAAAAUGUGGCAACAUUUCCAGGAUCCCAAUAUCUUCUCGAAUCCCCAUAUUAUCUUUUUCUUUCCCAGAGUCCAAAACUUCACGUGGCCUCUAAUAAUGCCUGUCGGCACUUUCGGCGUUUUCAAGUAUUAUUUUCGUCAAAGCUGAUCUUGCUUUACGGAUUUCACGGAGCUACUUUUUUAAAAGUAUCCUGAGAAUCUCACAAUUUUCCUAUGGUUAAUUUGAAAUUCACAGGUUCUACCUAUUCAUUGUAUUUGUGUAUAAAUGUGUUACUAACGAAAUUUUCUUUGCAGAAGACAUCCAGCUUACUCCAUACCUAGUGAUGCGAUAUCUACUUAUUUUUCUUAUCAGUGAGCACUUAAUAUGCCCGAGAAGCAAGACUAUCUCUGAUCAUCCAUUCAGGAAGCGAGACUAUCCCUGAUCACGUUUCCGCCACAUCAGGGAACUGUGAAGGCAACCUUAUGCUCUAAUCUCCGGAAGUUCUUCUAAACUAGAAGAAAUGAGAGCUUGUCGUUUGCUCCUACCAGCUUCCUUCCUUGAUUGCUUACCUUACCUUGCAAUCAAUAUCACAAUCUUAUAUACCUAUUUGAUAUUUUAUCUUGAAAGGUAACCAAAUGGGGAGAUAAGUCCGUUCCAAAAGAAUGGCUUGUAUGUAUCCAUGAAUUAUUAACGCAAAUUUUACAGAUUGCAAGUUGGAUACAUUGAUAAUACACUGCACAGAUUAAAGUACCAUAAGAACAGAAUAUGGGUAUAGCAGUGAUCAAUAUGGGUGCACGCCUGUUGCGUAGCAAAUGAUAUGGAUUGAAGUCCCGAAAGGACAAUCCUUUGACAUGUCAAAAUUGAUAUUAUGCACGCCUAAUGCGUAGCAAAUUAUAUGGGUUAAAAUCCCAUAAUAUGGGUUACAAUCCCAGAAAUUAAUUGACAUGUAUGUAUUAAUCUGUGGCAUGCCUGCAGCAUGACAGAUAUAUGGGUUCUAAAUGUUCCAACUCCCUAAAUGGAGAUUUUCCACGCCCUAUGUAAAAUAACGCCCCAUUGGAGGUUAUAAUCCACAUUUUCACAUAAUAAAAGCCCCCUGAAGUGGCUUGGGUACCCAAAAGCAAAGAAAUGCUUAUAAUUGAUGCACGCGCAUGCAAAUGAGAAUGAUGGGAUCAUGAAUUGAUGAAAGACAAUUUUUAGUUUUGGAGUAGCUACUCAAAUCAUCAAUGGGCUGUGUUGAUUGGAACCACGUUCAAUUAUUAAAUGUCGACAAUAUCAUUGGCCAAAAUGGAACGAGGUAAUUCCAUUAUAAAUGAGAAUGAACGUGAAUGAACAAACCCACAAUACGAACCCCAAAAUUUGUUAAUACUGAAAUUUAUACUUGGGUGUUCGGAAUAAAAGGGAAUAUACCUACUUUGUAUGACACAAUGUUUCUGGCAGAAACAAGGAAUGUUGGGUUUUCUCCAUAUUUACAGAUUCAAUUGUGCCCCCCCUUAUUACACAAUUACGGAGACCAACAUAUUAUCUUUAAUGGUUAUUAAAUGCAAGGAGCAUAUCGCCAGAAGCGAUUUCCUAAAGAUAUAUAAAUAGCUGGGUAAAAGCUAUAUAAUGUGUCAUAAAGUUUAAUCCCCUUUUUAAACAAAAUCCGUUGAGAGGAUUGACAUUGCAUAAAGCAAGUCCCUAAAGGACAUGUGCUUGAAGCACAAAAUUUGUACUCAAGAUUAAUAUGCAUAAAUUACCACAGUGAGUACAUUGAUUAUAAUGUGAUUGCAACACAUUAAAGCUUCUGCAGAAUUCAUGAAAUAUUUGUCUCGAUCGAGCAUUAUACCAACGAGAUUCUUGCUUGUACUAAGAAAGUAUUGAAGCAUUUUUAUGAGGAUUAUCCGUUGGACACUUUAAGGAUUUUCCGGAAGUAUACUAGACCAGAUAGAGCUCAGCUCCACACUGUACUCUUUUUCCUUCAUCCAGGUUUUUAUCCCACUGGGUUUUUCCUGGUAAGGUUUUAACGAGGCAGUGUCGCUCAAGGGUUUAGGGUAUACUAUGAAAAUUUUUAUGGUCGCUUACUGGACAAAAGCUAGUCCUAAAUUUUUCAGUUAUAAAAUGACCUGGAAUAUGUGCGAAUAUUGAGCUGCACGUAAAGUAGAUGAGACACAAUAUUUAACGAGGUUCGGCUAUGCCUACGUCCCCGGAGAGCAGCAGUAGUAACUUUUCCACUAUGUAAAAUAAUAGGGCUACAACUUUAGCGUUUACAAUAUGUGUGGCUCACUGAAUUUUCUCUCUAGGAGAAUUUCUCUCUGCUUUCUCUUUCCUCUUUCUUCCUUCUCUUCCUCUUGUCUCUUUCCUUUUCUCUCUUUCCUCUUUUCUCUUUCCCCUUCUUUCUUUCCUCUUCUCUCUUCUCUCUUUCUUUCCUCUUCUUUGUUUCUUUCCUCUUCUUUUUCCGUUUCUCCCUUUCUCUUCUUUUUUUCUCAUUCUUUUCACUUUGCAGGUUGCCUAUUUAUAGGCAUUGAUAAAUGGCACCCGUGAUUCAUCUUCACUAUUCACUAUUCGCCCGUGAAUAAACUCAUGCACCAAAGUCUACAAACAAAUAGUAAGUGGGCUCCACUACUUUAUAUUUUACAACACUCCCCCUUGGAGACCACAAAUAAUAUGUCAGUUGCUUCAUCAGACUUUGCUUGAAGAAAACCUAGUAAGGUAGAGAACUGAUGGAAGGAAGAAAGAAGAGUACAACAAUCUGUAUAGCAUACUUCUGGAUGCUCCCCCUGAUUAAUAUCUCCCCCUGAUGUCUUCAUAACUAUCUUUUGGAGUGAGAAUCUUUCGGAGUGAGUGAAUGAUGUAGCCACCAACAAUUCAUAUAGUAAAUAUAUUUCCAGUGAGCUAUCUCUAUGUAAAUCAAAGAAAUUUUUAGAGUCCGCGUUUCCAACAAAACCUGGGCUAUUUGUAAGAUCAUAUGAAAGAAUAUGCCCAUACAUGGUGUUAUGCGGAGAUAGCAUCAAAUAUACCUCACAUCAUCCCAAAAUGAUGGUGAUGGAGUUGAGCCUUAUCCGGAAAAUAUGAUGUCCGGUCCAAUACACUUCCGGAAAAUCCUUAAAGUGCCCAACGGAUAAUCCUCAUAAAAAUGCUUCAAUACUUUCUUAGUAUAAGCAAGAAUCUCGUUGGCAUAAUGCUCGAUCUUUAAGUCGAGACAAAUAUUUCGUGAAUUCUGCAGAAGUUUUAAUGUGUUGCAAUCACAUUAUAAUCAAUGUACUCACUGAGGUAAUUUAUGCAUAUUAAUCUUGAGUACAAAUUUUGUGCUUCAAGCACAUGUCCUUUAGGGACUUGCUUUAUGCAAUGUCAAUCCUCUCAACGGAUUUUGUUUAAAAAGGGGAAUAAACUUUAUGACACAUUAUAUAGCUUUUACCCAGCUAUUUAUAUAUCUUUAGGAAAUCGCUUCUGGCGAUAUGCUCCUUGCAUUUAAUAACCCUUAAAGAUAAUAUGUUGGUCUCCGUAAUUGUGUAAUAAGGGGGGGCACAAUUGAAUCUGUAAAUAUGGAGAAAACCCAACAUUCCUUGUUUCUGCCAGAAACAUUGUGUCAUACAAAGUAGGUAUAUUCCCUUUUAUUCCGAACACCCAAGUAUAAAUUUCAGUAUUAACAAAUUUUGGGGUUCGUAUUGUGGGUUUGUUCUUUCACGUUCAUUCUCAUUUAUAAUGGAAUUACCUCGUUCCAUUUUGGCCAAUAAUAUUAUCGAAAUUUAAUAAUUGAACGUGGUUCCAAUCAACACAGCCCAUUGAUGAUUUGAGUAGCUACUCCAAAACCAAAAAUUGUCAUUCAUCAAUUCAUGAUCCCAUCAUUCUCAUUUGCAUGCGCGUGCAUCAAUUAUAAGCAUUUCUUUGCUUUUGGGUACCCAAGCCACUGCAGGGGGCUUUUAUUAUGUGAGAAUGUGGAUUAUAACCUCCAAUGGAGCGUUAUUUUAUAGUAGGGCGUGGAUAAUCUCCAUUUAGGGAGUUGGAACAUUUAGAACCCAUAUACCUGUCAUGCUGCAGGCAUGCCACAGAUUAAUACAUACAUGUCAAUUAAUUUCUGGGACUUUAACCCAUAUAAUUUGCUACGCAUUAGGCGUGCAUAAUAUCAAUAUUGACAUGUCAAAGGAUUGUCCUUUCGGGACUUCAAUCCACAUCAUUUGCUACGCAACAGGCGUGCAUCAUAUUGAUCACUGCUAUACUCAUAUUCUGUUCUUAUGGGACUUUAAUCUGUGCAGUGUAUUAUCAAUGUAUCCAACUUGCAAUCCGUAAAAUUUGCGUUAAUAAUUCAUGGAUACAUACAAGCCAUUCUUUUGGAACGGACUUAUCUCCCCAUUUGGUUACCUUUCAAGAUAAAAUUUCAAAUAGGUAUAUAAGCAUAAAAUAACACAAGUAUUGCUUACAUCCUUAGGUGGGAGAAACUUUUCUCAAGUAUCAUUCCAGCUCGUAUCGGCCCAGUAAAUAUAAAGUAUCGCUUGAUGAUCUUGUUAUAUCCUGCAAGAGCAAAAAUCACAAUUCUUUUCUCUGUCAAAAACAAAUAACUCUCAGAGUUAGGAUCACUGCAUGGAUUCAUUCUUCAGAUGUUCAUUCUAAAGAAAUAAAAUCUCUUAUGAACAGAGAGUUAUAAAAAGAGAAAAAAUGCAAAAAUAAUGUGAUAUUGAUUUCAAGGUAAGGUAACCAAUCAAGGAAGGAAGCUGGUGGGAGCAAACAACAAGCUCUCAUUUCUCCUAGUCUAGAAAGACCUCAGGAGAUUGGAGCAUAAGGUCGCCUUCACAGUUUCCUGAUGUAGCGGAAACAUGAUCAGGGAUAGUCUUGCUUCCUGAAUGGAUGAUCAGAGAUAGUCUUGCUUCUCGGGCAUAUUGAGUGCUUACUGAUAAGAAAAACAAGUAGAUAUCGCAUCACUAGGUAUGGAGUAAACUGGAUGUCCUCUGCCAAGAAAAUUUCGUUAGUAACACAUUUAUACACAAAUACAAUGAAUAGGUAGAACCGGUGAAUUUCAAAUUAACCAUAGGAAAAUUGCGAGAUUCUCGGGAUGCUUUUGAAAAAGUAGCUCCGUGAAAUCCGUAAAGCAAGAUUGGCUUUGAAAAUAAUACUUGAAAACGCCGAAAGUGCCGACAGGCAUUAUUAGAGGCCACGUGAAGUUUUGGACUCUGGGAAAGAAAAAGAUAAUAUGGGGAUUCGAGUUCCCUUUUGUAUAUAGUGACGGUUUACCCAAAAUGGUUCAUAUUUAUGCAUACGUCACUAUUCAUGUGAAUAGUACUAUUCAUCAAGUCAUGAAUACGUAUCUAUUCAUCUGCCAGUACAGUUAUCAUCAAUGUGUACGGCACUAUGAACCAAUACGGUACUGUUACAUCAUUAAGGAACUCUAGGUUCUUAUUUACAUGUCAGGGAUCAAGGACCCUUAAGUCCGAUCACAUGUUUACAAAUACAGUACCGGAGAGACUGCCAGCUCUCAUAUUAAUAUCAUCAUCAAGGAUCUUCAAGUCCUGAUGUAAUAUGAUGAGGAUCAAGGAACUUCUGGUCCUGCGACACUGCCUCGUUAAAACCUUGCCAGGAAAAACCCAAUGGGAUAAAAACCUGGACGAAGGAAAAAGAGUACAGUGUUUGAAGAUCUUGAUUGAUAGUGCGCUCCCCCUGAUGCUUGGCAAAAUAUCUUUAAGUCAUACUGUUGAUCAGCUUUCUGAAUAUCGUAGUUGACACUGCUGCUGUGAGUCAAUCUUGAGUGACACUGCCUCGUUAAAACCUUACCAGGAAAAACUCAGUGGGAUAAAAACCUGGAUGAAGGAAAAAGAGUACAGUGUAUGGAGGUCUUUAUUAAAACCAUGCUUCCCCUGAUGAAUAUCUCCCCCUGAAAAAUUUAGGACUAGCUUUUGUCCAGUAAGAGACCAUAAAAACACAAGUAUUUCUUACAUCCUUAGGUGGGAGAAACUUUUCUCAAGUAUCAUUCAAGCUCGUAUCGGCCCAGUAACGCUUGAUGAUCUAGUUAUAUCCUGCAAGAGCAAAAAAUCACAAUUCUUUUUCUGUCAAAAACAAAUAACUCUCAGAGUUAGGAUCACUGCAUGGAUUCAUUCUUCAGAUGUUCACUCUAAAGAAAUAAAAUCCCUUAUGAACAGAGAGUUAUAAAAAGAGAAAUAAUGCAAAAAUAAUGUGAUAUUGAUUGCAAGAGAAGGUAAGCAAUCAAGGAAGGAAGCUGGUGGGAGCAAACAACAAGCUCUCAGUUCUCCUAGUCUAGAAGGACCUCAGGAGAUUAGAGCAUAAGAUCGCCUUCACAGUUUCCUGAUGUAGCGGAAACGUGAUCAGGGAUAGUCUUGCUUCCUGAAUGGAUGAUCAGAGAUAGUCUUGCUUCUCGGGCAUUUUAAAUGCUCACUGAUAAGAAAAACAAGUAGAUAUCGCAUCACUAGGUAUGGAGAAAACUGGAUGUCUUCUGCAAAGAAAAUUUCGUUAGUAACACAUUUAUACACAAAUAAGAUGAAUAGGUAGAACUGGUGAAUUUCAAAUUAACCAUAGAAAAAUUGCGAGAUUCUCGAGGUACUUUUGAAAAGUAGCUCCGUGAAAUCCGUAAAGCAAGAUCGGCUUUUGAUGAAAAUAAAACUUUGAAAACGCCGAAAGUGCCGACAAACAUUUAAUGGAGGCCACGUGAAGUUUUGGAAUCUGGGAAAGAAAAAGAUAAUAUGGGGAUCUGAGAUAAUAUUGGGAUCCUGGAAACUGUAGCCAUAUUUCCUCCUAUAGAUAUGGCCUUUGCAAAACUUGAUUGGAGCAACUGCGUUUCAACUUGCUCUUUUCCUGUUAUAAUAAUUGCGCACAUUCUUAAAAUUUGCACCUGUGGUUUUUUACGUCUUUUCAAAAUGACGGUUUGGAACCUUGUGCCUUAUAGGUUCAAAUAACCACAUUGUCUCUCCCAAAUUGCAUGGUAGCCCGGAACUUUUGGCCUGGGCACAAACUCAGAAUUUAUUUGCCCUUUUCAAAUGGACAUGAAAUGUGAAUUGAGUAAAAGCCAUGAUAAUAUCGCAAUAUAGUAGUGAAGAGCAUUAACUACUAUAUACCCACAACUUCAAGUUCAGGAUCUCUCAUAUAUUUGGAUCCAUGGGCUUCCGGCCCAGAUAUAACAAAAUAUGUGGGGAGCCUCAAUUCAUUAUUUGAGGUUUAUAUUGAUAUUAUCCAUUUCGCGGUGUAUUCUUAACAACCGGAAUUCACAAAAUAUAUUUCUUCCUUGAGGUGUCGAUUAUAACAAAAUCGAACUUUAAAUUCAUCAUCUUCUUAUGCCAAAGAAAUAUGUGGCAUACCACAAUUUGCAAUAAUACCUGAAGGGUUGUCCAUUUAAUUGUUGGAACUUCAGGUUCUCAACACUGUUAAAUUUUGAACUUCAGGCCAAAGCCAUAUAUUCUCAUGGUAUGGACAUUUUUACAAUUUUCUGUACAUAUUUCGGGACUUCAAGCCCUUACAUAAUUGUCCAUAUUUUGAGGAACUUCUGGUAUCUCAUUUAAUUGCUCAUCCAUGAGUUUAAGGAACUGCAGGUUCCCUUUUUUAUAUAGUGACGGUUUACCCAAAAUGGUUCAUAUUUAUGCAUACGUCACUAUUCAUGUGAAUAGUACUAUUCAUCAAGUCAUGAAUACGUAUCUAUUCAUUUACCAGUACAGUUAUCAUCAAUGUUUACGGCACCAUGAAACUGCAGGUUCCCUUUUGUAUAUAGUGACGGUUUACCCAAAAUGGUUCAUAUUUAUGCAUACGUCACUAUUCAUGUGAAUAGUACUAUUCAUCAAGUCAUGAAUACGUAUCUAUUCAUCUGCCAGUACAGUUAUCAUCAAUGUGUACGGCACUAUGAACCAAUACGGUGCUGUUACAUCAUUAAGGAACCCUAGAUCCUUAUUUACAUGUCAGGGAUCAAGGACCCUUAAGUCCGAUCACAUGUUUACAAAUACAGUACCGGAGAGACUGCCAGCUCUCAUAUUAAUAUCAUCAUCAAGGAUCUUCAAGUCCUGAUGUAAUUGUAUGAUAAGGAUCAAGGAACUUCUGGUCCUGAUCUGCAUACUGUAAAAACUCAUCAUACAGCACAAUUAAUCCAUAAAAUAAAUUGCUGGUAAAUAAAUUACUGGUAUGGACGAUAAACCCGCACCAUACAUUUGAAUAAAAGUAAAGGCGUGGAUGAUAAACCCGCACCACCCUUUUAAAUAAAUGUAAAUGUGCAGUAAAUUAAUUUCAUAAAUUAAAUUGCUUGCUGUAUGGACGUUAAUCCCGCACCAUACCUUAAAUAAAAUUAAAUGUGCGGUAAAGUAAAGGUGCUUGUAUGGGCACUAAUUCUGCUCCAUACAUUUAAAUAAAAGUAAAGGCGUGGGCGAUAAACCCGCACCACCCUUUUAAAUAAAUACUGUUGUAUGGGUAAUAAACAUACACCAUACAGUAAAUAAAAUAAAUGUGCGGUAAAGUAAAUUUGCAGUAAAGUAAAUUUCAUAAAGUAAAGUGUUAGUAUUAGUAACGGUCUCCCACUGAUAAUAUGUUUAGUAUUACCAAGGGUCCAUUUUUGUUAAUGGUUGGUAAUAGAAAAGCAGAUAAAUAUAAUAUGAAAUAAUAGAGAAGAUAAGGGAGCAGAGAUCUUAUCGCUUAUUCUUUCGCUUAUGCCAUUGCUGAGUGAUCCCCUUUUAUUUUAUUUUAUUUAUUUGUUUAUUUAUUUAUUUUUUAUUUUUUAUUUUUUAUUUUUUAUUUUUUCUUUCUGUCGGUGGGUUUGCUGUUGGAUCUUUUCCUGAGUGCCCUUGCUUUUUCUGAGUGAUCCCUUUGUGAGUGCCCUUGCUUUUCUGAGUGAUCUUUUUCUUUCAAAAACUUCCAGUGGGUAUCUUUUUCUUUCACUGCUCGGAAAGACCCUGUCCAAAACUUGUAGCCACUGUACCCUCUUAGCCCCACGUCAACCGUGCGAGAGAAAAGAUGGGCAAGAGAGGCACCCCAGCCACCAUCACCGAAAGACUCCUUGGUGAUUGAGUCACCCAAAAGGUAAAUCUUUGGCCUCAUCUUUUGAUUUGAUGAGAGAGAGAGAGCCCUGAGCUUGGUGGGCUUAGCCUUGCGCUUGUUGACAAGCGGCUUCUUGACGUCAUCGGCAGGAUAGAACUUGGGCGGCUUCUGGGGUUGGGUCACAGCCGCUGGCUUCGCGUCAUGGCGUGGGAAAACGCCGCCGUUUUUGGCCUUGAUGGCCCAAAGACCACGCUUGCGGGACAUCUUGGACCUCGAGAACUUACCCACCCCACGAACCAGAUCUGGUCGAUAUGUUCCUCGAGCUGUGCUCAUGGAUCUGGAGCCUAGCACCAUGGACAGCAUCAGAUCUGGGCCAUAUGGCCAGAUCUUCUGACCUGAUAACUUCGUUUUCGGUCAAUCGGGUGCUGGAAACAACUGGGCCAAUUUAGCUAUCCUAAAGAUGUAUAAGUCCGUUCCAAAAGAAUGGCUUGUAUGUAUCCAUGAAUUAUUAAUGCAAAUUUUACAGAUUGCAAGUUGGAUACAUUGAUAAUACACUGCACAGAUUAAUGUACCAUAAGAACAGAAUAUGGGUAUAGCAGUGAUCAAUAUGAUGCACGCCUGUUGCGUAGCAAAUGAUAUGGAUUGAAGUCCUGAAAGGACAAUCCUUUGACAUGUCAAUAUUGAUAUUAUGCACGCCUAAUACGUAGCAAAUAUUAUAUACAUAAUAUAUAUUGCUAGAGGUUUCUGCAACUUUUAGCUUUAUUGCCACUUUUAGCUUUCCACCAACAUGAUAAGAACCCACCGGAACAAAUAUAUUCAUAUAUACAUAUACAUACAUAUGUAAUAUUAAUAUUGAAAUGUGGUAAUAUAAUAUGCUAUAUCUAUUCACUUUUCUAUUACUAACCACUAACAAAAAUGGACCCUUUGGUAAUACUAAANNNNNNNNNNNNNNNNNNNNNNNNNNNNNNNNNNNNNNNNNNNNNNNNNNNNNNNNNNNNNNNNNNNNNNNNNNNNNNNNNNNNNNNNNNNNNNNNNNNNCCGUUACUAAUACUAACAUUUUUCUUAUUUUAUUCGGUGGUGGUUUUAACCCCAUAUUUAUUUUAUUUACUGUAUGGUGUAGGUUUAUUACCCAUACAACAGUAUUUAUUUAAAAGGGUGGUGCGGGUUUAUCGUCCACGCCUUUGCUUUUAUUUAAAUAUAUGGAGCAGAAUUAGUGCCCAUACAAGCACGUUUACUUUAUCGCAAAUUUACUUUUACUUAAAGUAUUAUUUAUGGUAUGGUGUAGGUUUAUUACCCAUACGGCAAUAUUUAUUUAAAGGGUGGUGCGGGUUUAUCGUCCACGCCUUUGCUUUUAUUUAAAUGUAUGGAGCAGAAUUAGUGCCCACACAAGCACGUUUACUUUACCGCACAUUUAAUUUUAUUUAAGGUAUGGUGCGGGAUUAACGUCCAUACAGCAAGCUAUUUAAUUUAUUUAAGGUAUGGUGCGGGAUUAACGUCCAUACAGCAAGCAAUUUAAUUUAUGAAUUUAUUUUACCGCACAUUUACAUUUAUUUAAAGUAUGGUGCGGGUUUAUCGUCCAUACCAGUAAUUUAUUUAUCAGCAAUUUAUUUUAUGGAUUAAUUGUGCUGUAUGAUGAGUUUUUACAGUAUGCAGAUCAGGACCAGAAGUUCCUUGAUCCUCAUCAUACAAUUACAUCAGGACUUGAAGAUCCUUGAUGAUGAUAUUAAUAUGAGAGCUGGCAGUCUCUCCGGUACUGUAUUUGUAAACAUGUGAUCGGAAUUAAGGGUCCUUGAUCCCUGACAUGUAAAUAAGGACCUAGAGUUCCUUAAUGAUGUAACAGUACCGUAUUGGUUCAUAGUGCCGUACACAUUGAUGAUAACUGUACUGGCAGAUGAAUAGAUACGUAUUCAUGACUUGAUGAAUAGUACUAUUCACAUUAAUAGUGACGUAUGCAUAAAUAUGAACCAUUUUGGGUAAACCGUCACUAUAUACAAAAGGGAACCUGCAGUUUCAUAGUGCCGUACACAUUGAUGAUAACUGUACUGGCAGAUGAAUAGAUACGUAUUCAUGACUUGAUGAACAGUACUAUUCACAUGAAUAGUGACGUAUGCAUAAAUAUGAACCAUUUUGGGUAAACCGUCACUAUAUACAAAAGGGAACCUGCAGUUCCUUAAACUCAUGGAUGAGCAAUUACAUGAGAUGCCAGAAGUUCCUCAAAAUAUGGACAAUUAUGUAAGGGCUUGAAGUCCCGAAAUAUGUACAGAAAAUUAUAAAAAUGUCCAUACCAUGAGAAUAUGUGGCUUUGGCCUGAAGUUCAAAAUUUAACAGUGUUGAGAACCUGAAGUUCCAACAAUUAAAUGGACAACCCUUGAGGUAUUAUUGCAAAUUGUGGUAUGCCACAUAUUUCUUUGACAUAAGAAGAUGAUGAAUUUAAAGUUCGAUUUUGUUAUAAUCGACACCUCAAGGAAGAAAUAUAUUUUGUGAAUUCCGGUUGUUAAGAAUACACCGUGAAAUGGAUAAUAUCAACAUAAACCUCAAAUAAUGAAUUGAGGCUCCCCACAUAUUUUGUUAUAUCUGGGCCGGAAGCCCAUGGAUCCAAAUAUAUGAGAGAUCUUGAACUUGAAGUUGUGGGUAUAUAGUAGUUAAUGCUCUUCACUACUAUAUUGCGAUAUUAUCAUGGCUUUUACUCAAUUCACAUUUCAUGUCCAUUUGAAAAGGGCAAAUAAAUUCUGAGUUUGUGCCCAGGCCAAAAGUUCCGGGCUACCAUGCAAUUUGGGAGAGACAAUGUGGUUAUUUGAACCUAUAAGGCACAAGGUUCCAAACUGUCAUUUUGAAAAGACGUAAAAACCACAGGUGCAAGUUUAAGAAUGUGCGCAAUUAUUAUUACAGGAACAUACAACAGAUAGAUUUUUUCCACCUGCAAUGAAGGUGCAGGCCCUGUAAAAUCUAUAAAAAUUACAUUAUGUUCUGGAAGCCUCUGAAGGAAGUUGAGUUGAAACGCAGUUGCUCCAAUCAAGUUUUGCAAAGGCAAUAGCUAUAGACGAAAAUGUGGCAACAUUUCCAGGAUCCCAAUAUCUUCUCGAAUCCCCAUAUUAUCUUUUUCUUUCCCAGAGUCCAAAACUUCACGUGGCCUCUAAUAAUGCCUGUCGGCACUUUCGGCGUUUUCAAGUAUUAUUUUCGUCAAAGCUGAUCUUGCUUUACGGAUUUCACGGAGCUACUUUUUCAAAAGUAUCCCGAGAAUCUCGCAAUUUUCCUACGGUUAAUUUGAAAUUCACAGGUUCUACCUAUUCAUUGUAUUUGUAUAUAAAUGUGUUACUAACGAAAUUUUCUUUGCAGAAGAUAUCCAGUUUACUCCAUACCUAGUGAUGCGAUAUCUACUUGUUUUUCUUAUCAGUGAGCACUUAAUAUGCCCGAGAAGCAAGACUAUCUCUGAUCAUCCAUUCAGGAAGCGAGACUAUCCCUGAUCACGUUUUCGCCACAUUAGGGAACUGUGAAGGUGACCUUAUGCUCCAAUCUCCUGAGGUCCUUCUAGACUAGGAGAAAUGAGAGCUUGUUGUUUGCUCCCACCAGCUUCCUUCCUUGAUUGCUUACCUUAUCUUGCAAUCAAUAUCACAAUUUUUGUAUUUUUUCUUUCUUUUAUAACCCUCUGUUCAUAAGGGAUUUUAUUUCUUUAGAAUGAACAUAUGAAGAAUGAAUCCAUGAAGUAAUCCUAACUAUGAGGGUUAUUUGUUUUGACAGAGGCAAAAGAGUUGUGAUUUUUGCUCUUGCAGGAUAUAACAAGAUCAUCAAGCGAUACUUUAUAUUUACUGGGCCGAUACGAGCUUGAAUGAUACUUGAGAAAAGUUUCUCCCACCUAAGGAUGUAAGCAAUACUUGUGUUAUUUUAUGCUUAUAUACCUAUUUGAUAUUUUAUCUUGAAAGGUAACCAAAUUGGGAGAUAAGUCCGUUCCAAAAGAAUGGCUUGUAUGUAUCCAUGAAUUAUUAACGCAAAUUUUACAGAUUGCAAGUUGGAUACAUUGAUAAUACACUGCACAGAUUAAAGUCCCAUAAGAACAGAAUAUGGGUAUAGCAGUGAUCAAUAUGAUGCACGCCUGUUGCGUAGCAAAUGAUGUGGAUUGAAGUCCCGAAAGGACAAUCCAUUGACAUGUCAAUAUUGAUAUUAUGCACACCUAAUGCGUAGCAAAUUAUAUGGGUUAAAGUCCCAUAAUAUGGGUUAAAGUCCCAUAAAUUAAUUGACAUGUAUGUAUUAAUCUGUGGCAUGCCUGCAGCAUGAGAGAUAUAUGGGUUCUAAAUGUUCCAACUCCCUAAAUGGAGAUUAUCCACACCCUACUGCUAAAUAACGCUCCAUUGGAGGUUAUAAUCCACAUUCUCACAUAAUAAAAGCCCCAUGAAGUGGCUUGGGUACCCAAAAGCAAAGAAAUGCUUAUAAUUGAUGCAUGCGCAUGCACAUGAGAAUUGUGAGAUUAUGAAUUGAUGAAUGACAAUUUUUGGUUUUGGAGUAGCUACUCAAAUCAUCAAUGGGCUGUGUUGAUUGGAACCACGUUCAAUUAUUAAAUGUCGACAAUAUUAUUGGCCAAAAUGGAACGAGGUAAUUCCAUUAUAAAUGAGAAUGAACGUGAAAGAACAAACCCACAAUACGAACCCCAAAAAUUUGUUUAUACUGAAUUUAUACUUUGGGUGUUCGGAUAAAAGGGAAUAUACCUACUUUGUAUGACCCACUGUUUCUAGCAGAACAAGAUGUUGGGUUUUCUCAUAUCCACAGAUCCAUGUGCCCCCCCCCCCCCUNNNNNNNNNNNNNNNNNNNNNNNNNNNNNNNNNNNNNNNNNNNNNNNNNNNNNNNNNNNNNNNNNNNNNNNNNNNNNNNNNNNNNNNNNNNNNNNNNNNNNNNNNNNNNNNNNNNNNNNNNNNNNNNNNNNNNNNNNNNNNNNNNNNNNNNNNNNNNNNNNNNNNNNNNNNNNNNNNNNNNNNNNNNNNNNNNNNNNNNNNNNNNNNNNNNNNNNNNNNNNNNNNNNNNNNNNNNNNNNNNNNNNNNNNNNNNNNNNNNNNNNNNNNNNNNNNNNNNNNNNNNNNNNNNNNNNNNNNNNNNNNNNNNNNNNNNNNNNNNNNNNNNNNNNNNNNNNNNNNNNNNNNNNNNNNNNNNNNNNNNNNNNNNNNNNNNNNNNNNNNNNNNNNNNNNNNNNNNNNNNNNNNNNNNNNNNNNNNNNNNNNNNNNNNNNNNNNNNNNNNNNNNNNNNNNNNNNNNNNNNNNNNNNNNNNNNNNNNNNNNNNNNNNNNNNNNNNNNNNNNNNNNNNNNNNNNNNNNNNNNNNNNNNNNNNNNNNNNNNNNNNNNNNNNNNNNNNNNNNNNNNNNNNNNNNNNNNNNNNNNNNNNNNNNNNNNNNNNNNNNNNNNNNNNNNNNNNNNNNNNNNNNNNNNNNNNNNNNNNNNNNNNNNNNNNNNNNNNNNNNNNNNNNNNNNNNNNNNNNNNNNNNNNNNNNNNNNNNNNNNNNNNNNNNNNNNNNNNNNNNNNNNNNNNNNNNNNNNNNNNNNNNNNNNNNNNNNNNNNNNNNNNNNNNNNNNNNNNNNNNNNNNNNNNNNNNNNNNNNNNNNNNNNNNNNNNNNNNNNNNNNNNNNNNNNNNNNNNNNNNNNNNNNNNNNNNNNNNNNNNNNNNNNNNNNNNNNNNNNNNNNNNNNNNNNNNNNNNNNNNNNNNNNNNNNNNNNNNNNNNNNNNNNNNNNNNNNNNNNNNNNNNNNNNNNNNNNNNNNNNNNNNNNNNNNNNNNNNNNNNNNNNNNNNNNNNNNNNNNNNNNNNNNNNNNNNNNNNNNNNNNNNNNNNNNNNNNNNNNNNNNNNNNNNNNNNNNNNNNNNNNNNNNNNNNNNNNNNNNNNNNNNNNNNNNNNNNNNNNNNNNNNNNNNNNNNNNNNNNNNNNNNNNNNNNNNNNNNNNNNNNNNNNNNNNNNNNNNNNNNNNNNNNNNNNNNNNNNNNNNNNNNNNNNNNNNNNNNNNNNNNNNNNNNNNNNNNNNNNNNNNNNNNNNNNNNNNNNNNNNNNNNNNNNNNNNNNNNNNNNNNNNNNNNNNNNNNNNNNNNNNNNNNNNNNNNNNNNNNNNNNNNNNNNNNNNNNNNNNNNNNNNNNNNNNNNNNNNNNNNNNNNNNNNNNNNNNNNNNNNNNNNNNNNNNNNNNNNNNNNNNNNNNNNNNNNNNNNNNNNNNNNNNNNNNNNNNNNNNNNNNNNNNNNNNNNNNNNNNNNNNNNNNNNNNNNNNNNNNNNNNNNNNNNNNNNNNNNNNNNNNNNNNNNNNNNNNNNNNNNNNNNNNNNNNNNNNNNNNNNNNNNNNNNNNNNNNNNNNNNNNNNNNNNNNNNNNNNNNNNNNNNNNNNNNNNNNNNNNNNNNNNNNNNNNNNNNNNNNNNNNNNNNNNNNNNNNNNNNNNNNNNNNNNNNNNNNNNNNNNNNNNNNNNNNNNNNNNNNNNNNNNNNNNNNNNNNNNNNNNNNNNNNNNNNNNNNNNNNNNNNNNNNNNNNNNNNNNNNNNNNNNNNNNNNNNNNNNNNNNNNNNNNNNNNNNNNNNNNNNNNNNNNNNNNNNNNNNNNNNNNNNNNNNNNNNNNNNNNNNNNNNNNNNNNNNNNNNNNNNNNNNNNNNNNNNNNNNNNNNNNNNNNNNNNNNNNNNNNNNNNNNNNNNNNNNNNNNNNNNNNNNNNNNNNNNNNNNNNNNNNNNNNNNNNNNNNNNNNNNNNNNNNNNNNNNNNNNNNNNNNNNNNNNNNNNNNNNNNNNNNNNNNNNNNNNNNNNNNNNNNNNNNNNNNNNNNNNNNNNNNNNNNNNNNNNNNNNNNNNNNNNNNNNNNNNNNNNNNNNNNNNNNNNNNNNNNNNNNNNNNNNNNNNNNNNNNNNNNNNNNNNNNNNNNNNNNNNNNNNNNNNNNNNNNNNNNNNNNNNNNNNNNNNNNNNNNNNNNNNNNNNNNNNNNNNNNNNNNNNNNNNNNNNNNNNNNNNNNNNNNNNNNNNNNNNNNNNNNNNNNNNNNNNNNNNNNNNNNNNNNNNNNNNNNNNNNNNNNNNNNNNNNNNNNNNNNNNUUUUUACACAAUUUACGGAGACCCAACAUUUUAUCUUUAAGGGUCAUUAAAUGCACGGAGCAUAUCGCCAGAAAGCGAUUCCCCUAAAGAUGUAUAAAUAGCUGGGUUAAAGCUAUAUAAUGUGUCAUAAAGUUUAAUCCUUUUAGACAAAAUCCGUUGAGAGGAUUGACAUUGCAUAAAGCAAGUCCCUAAAAGACAUGUGCUUGAAGCACAAAAUUUGUACUCAAUAUUAAUAUGCAUAAAUUACCUCAGUGAGUACAUUGAUUAUAAUGUGAUUGCAACACAUUAAAGCUUCUGCAGAAUUCAUGAAAUAUUUGUCUCGAUCGAGCAUUAUACCAACGAGAUUGUUGCUUAUACUAAGAGAGUCUUAUCCGUUGGUCCAUAAAUGUUUUUCCAGAAGUAUAUUGGACCGGACAUCAUAUUUUCCAGAUGAGGCUCAACUCCAUCAGCAUCAUUUUGGGAUGGUGUGAGGUAUAUUUGAUGCUAUCUCCGCAUAACACCAUGUAUGGGCAUAUUCUUUCAUAUGAUCUUACAAAUAGCCCAGGUUUUGUUGGAAACGCGGACUCUGAAAAUUUCUAUGAUUUACAUAGAGAUAGCUCACUGGAAAUUUAUUUACUAUAUGAAUUGUUGGUGGCUACAUCAUUCACUCACUCCGAAAGAUUCUCACUCCAAAAGAUAGUUAUGAAGACAUCAGGGGGAGAUAUUAAUCAGGGGGAGCAUCCAGAAGUAUGCUAUACAGAUUGUUGUACUCUUCUUUCUUCCUUCCAUCAGUUCUCUACCUUACUAGGUUUUCUCCAAGCAAAGUCUGAUGAAGCAACUGACAUAUUAUUUGUGGUCUCCAAGGGGGAGUGUUGUAAAGUAUAAAGUAGUAGAGCCCACUUACUAUUUGUUUGUAGACUUUGGUGCAUGAUUGUAUUGUAGAUUCACAGGUGGAUUGUAGAUUCACGGGUGUUAUCCACCCUUUCCCUAUAAAAGGCUUCUCUCUUAUGCAAAGAGAGACAAUGAUCGAUGAGGAAGAGAAUAGAGGGAAACGGAAAGAAACAAAGAAGAGGAAAGAAAGAAGGGAAAAGAAAGAAGAGAAGAGAAAGGGAGAAACGGAAAAAGAAGAGGAAAGAAACAAAGAAGAGGAAAGAAAAAAAAGAAGAGGAAAGUGUAACACCCCGACCCCAAUUUAACCCUUAUUUAAUUAUUUAAUUAUUUAAGGGUAUUUUAGUCAUAUUUUAACCGGAGAGAGUUUGGGACCGCAACUUAUAUUUUUGGAUAGGUCGUACUGAGACGAGUUCAUAGACACGUAGUGGGCUCGAAUCGGAGUUGUAACUAGAGAGAUAUGGUCAAAAGAAGCCCAGUGGCAUAAUCGUAAAUAUUUCGAAAUGGGAUUUUUUAUAAAAUCAGAUUUUUCUCUCUCUCGCUCUCCCGCGACUUCUCUCUCUCUCCCGUCGGCCUCUCCUCUCUCUCUCUCUUCGUAACUCCGGCCACCGGCCGCGGCUGCGGACGGGGCCGGUGUCAAAAGAACCGGCUCGACCUCGGCGUCACGUCCCAGCCCAUCCCCGCCAUCGGCCGCCGCUCCAGCCGCCGGAAAAUGGCGAUUUUCGCUCAGAUGUCGCCGGAUCUUCACGGCCGCCGAUCUCCCUCCUCCGGCCUCCAUUUCUGGCGAUCAAGGUAUGGAAAUUCAUCCCUUCUGCAUGCUCUAGCUGAUGGUUGGGUAGGAUUAGAUCGAUUCUUAGCGUAGACAACUCGAUUUUCGAAUUGAAAAUCGGCCGAAACUUCGGCCGCCAUUAUCGGCCAUUUCCGGCCACUUUUUGGGAAAGGUCCAAGAACAAAAGUGGCUCCAAAUAGGGUGUUAUACCUAGGGUAGGAGUUUGGAGCCGAGAUGUUGAGAUUUUCCGGCGAAGCGUUAUCGCUUUGGGCACCCACGCGCUGCCGGCGCGUGCGGCGGCGCGUGGGCGCUGUAGAAAAAGUAGCGAUGUGUUCCGAUGAGAUCCUUAGGUUGUCACGAGUGCGUAGGAUUUCGCGGAUCUCAAUUCGGACGUCGUUUGACUAUCGAACGGAUAAUCGCAUAGUAUGCGUUAUCCUGGUUCGAUAGGUUGGGACCGUCGGAUGGUCCCAAAUUUAAUAUAUGUUAAUCUAGGUAUUUCUAGGAUCGUGUAGGAAUUCACGGAUCGUGAAUCGGAGCCCCGGAUGUUCCGAAUAAUAAUUUAAAGUUUAUAUUUUAUAUUAACCGUCAGAUCAUGCGAUCGUGAGAAAUCCGACCGUCUGAUCUGAACCAAACUCGCAGGACAAGUGUCAUAUACCUGGUAGAACCCAUAGAGACUCUCGGAUCGGAAAUUGGAGGUUGUGGGUUCUGCAAGUCUGUUUGACCAGGGUUAGAGUAGUUUGACCCUUGGUUGACCGUGAAUCUCCCGGAGUAAUCUCACCCUUCCGGGGGGGAUUAUCGGGAGCUAGACUAUUGUGGAGGGUUACACAAAUAUAAGAAUUAAUUUAUAUAAAUAUAAUUAUAUAUGGUUGUACAAGGGUACAACAGAGUCUAGAGUGUCAGUUUGGAGUGCUAUACGCACUACUUUAGGUACCUCCUCGGACUUUGGAUUCAUUACAAGCACCACCAAGUGAAAGUUAGGUCCCACGUGGCGUAGGUUAUCCGGCGUUGGGACCGGCCCCAUACGUGGCGUUGGUUGUACCGGCGUAUGGGGAGAUUUGUGAUAUUAUGUUCAGGUCUCACGUGGCGUAGGUUAUCCGGCGUUGAGACAGGCCCCGUACGUGGCGUUGGUUGUACCGGCGUACGGGGAGAUUAUGUGAUAUUGUGUUGAGGUCGCACGUGGCGUAGGUUAUCCGGCGUGUUGACAGGCCCCAUACGUGGCGUUGGUUGUACCUGCGUAUGCGGAGAUUUGUGAUAUUAUGUUCAGGUCUCACGUGGCGUAGGUUAUCCGGCGUUGAGAUAGGCCCCGUACGUGGCGUUGGUUGUACCGGCGUACGGGGAGAUUAUGUGAUAUUGUGUUGAGGUCGCACGUGGAGUAGGUUAUCCGGCGUGUCGACAGACCCCAUACGUGGCGUUGGUUGGACCGGCGUAUGGGGAGAUUGGUGAUAUGAUAUUGAGGUUCCCGCGUGGCGUAGGUUAUCCGGCGUUGGGACAGGCCCCAUACGUGGCGUUGGUUGUACCGGCGUAUGGGGAGAUAUUAUGAUAGUAUGGCAUGGUCGAAACGUGGCGUAGGUUAUCCGGCGUGUUGACAGGCCCCAUACGUGGCGUUGGUUGUACCGGCGUAUGGGGAGAAUAUGUGAAAUACAGAGAAAUGAUAUAAGGUAUCGCCCAAGUGUGGAAUUGGGUUUUAGGGAAGAACUACGUGUGGCUUGAUCCCUCAAAGAGGGUACGUAGGCAGCCUGAGGUUAUUAGGUGCAGCCGCAGACUAAAUGUUAGUCAUAUUUGGUAUUUGAAUGGUUUGGUAGUUGGAUAGGAAUUAUUGAAAGGCCGAAGGCCAUUUGUGUGAAUUGCAUGAAAUUAUAUUGUGCAUGCUGCCAGUUGGGAAUAUUAAAUGCGUUUUUAUGCAGGUAUAAAUUUUGGGAAAUGUCCAAAUUAUAGGGGAGACUCUGCCGAAAUUUCGGCAGGAAGUCUCGGUUUUUAGUAAGUGGGCCUGGCAUCGGGGUGAUGUCAGGAAUUCCAAAGGGUUCGUCUCGGAUUUUGAGAAAAUUCGGGGCGGGUCCUUAAAGAAAGAGAGAAGAGAGAAGAGGAAAGAGAAGAGGAAAAAGAAAAGAGGAAAGAGAAAAGAAAGAGAGUCAGGCAGAGAAGAGGAAGAGAAGGAAGAAAGAGGGUGAGUGAGCAGAGAAAAAAUUCAGUGAGCCACACAUAUUGUAAACACUAAAGUUGUAGCCCUAUUAUUUUACAUAGUGGAAAAGUUACUACUGCUGCUCUCCGGGGACGUAGGCAUAGCCGAACCUCGUUAAAUACUGUGUCUCAUCUACUUUACGUGCAGCUCAAUAUUCGCACANNNNNNNNNNNNNNNNNNNNNNNNNNNNNNNNNNNNNNNNNNNNNNNNNNNNNNNNNNNNNNNNNNNNNNNNNNNNNNNNNNNNNNNNNNNNNNNNNNNNCCUGCACGUAAAGUAGAUGAGACACAGCAUUUAACGAGGUUCGGCUAUGCCUACGUCCUCGGAGAGCAGCAGUAGUAACUUUUCCACUAUGUAAAAUAAUAGGGCUACAACUUUAGUGUUUACAAUAUGUGUGGCUCACUGAAUUUUCUCUCUGCUCUCUCUCUCUUCACUCAUUCACCCUCUUUCUUCCUUCUCUUCCUCUUGUCUCUUUCCCCUUCACUUUUUCCUCUUCUUUGUUUCUUUCCGUUUCCCUUUCUCUUCUUUUCUCUCUUCCCUUAUUUCUUUCCUCUUUUCUCUUCUCUCUUUCCUCCCUUCUUUCUUUCCUCUUCUUUGUUUCUUUCCUCUUCUUUUUCCGUUUCUCCCUUUCUCUUCUUUUCUUCUCAUUUCUUUCACUUUGCAGGUUGCCUAUUUAUAGGCAGAUUGGUGCAACUCUCGUGAGUGUGCAGUAAGAAAAAGUUGCCGACAAACUCUACCCAAAGUCUCCAAAUGAAUAGUUAGUGGGCUCCACACAAAAACUUUACAACACUCCCCCUUGGAGACCACAAAUAAUAUGUCAGUUGCUUCAUCAGACUUUGCUUGGAGAAAACCUAGUGAGGUAGAAAACUGAUGGAAGGAAGAGUACAACAAUCUGUAUAGCAUACUUCUGGAUGCUCCCCCUGAUUAAUAUCUCCCCCUGAUGUCUUCAUGACUAUCUUUUGGAGUGAGAAUCUUUCGGAGUGAGUGAAUGAUGUAGCCACCAACAAUUCAUAUAGUAAAUAUAUUUCCAGUGAGCUAUCUCUAUGUAAAUCAUAGAAAUUUUCAGAGUCCGCGUUUCUAACAAAACUUGGGCUAUUUAUAAGUUCACUUGAAAGAAUAUGCCCGUACAAGGUGUUAUGCGGAGAUAGCAUCAAAUAUACCUCACAUCAUUCCAAAAUGAUGGUGAUGGAGUUGAGCCCUAUCUGGAAAAUAUGAUGUCCGGUCGAAUAUACUUCCGGAAAAUCAUUAAAGUGUCCAACGGAUAAUCCUCAUAAAAAUUCUUCAAUACUUUCUUAGUAUAAUCAAGAAUCUCGUUGGUAUAAUGCUCGAUCGAGACAAAUAUUUCUUGAAUUCUGCAGAAGCUAUAAUGUGUUGCAAUCACAUUAUAAUCAAUGUACUCACUGAGGUAAUUUAUGCAUAUUAAUAUUGAGUACAAAUUUUGUGCUUCAAGCACAUGUCCUUUAGGGACUUGCUUUAUGCAAUGUCAAUCCUCUCAACGGAUUUUGUUUUAAAAGGGGAUUAAACUUUAUGACACAUUAUAUAGCUUUUACCCAGCUAUUUAUAUAUCUUUAGGAAAUCGCUUCUGGCGAUAUGCUCCUUGCAUUUAAUAACCAUUAAAGAUAAUAUGUUGGUCUCCGUAAUUGUGUAAUAAGGGGGGGCACAAUUGAAUCUGUAAAUAUGGAGAAAACCCAACAUUCCUUGUUUCUGCCAGAAACAUUGUGUCAUACAAAGUAGGUAUAUUCCCUUUUAUUCCGAACACCCAAGUAUAAAUUUCAGUAUUAACAAAUUUUGGGGUUCGUAUUGUGGGUUUGUUCUUUCACGUUCAUUCUCAUUUAUAAUGGAAUUACCUCGUUCCAUUUUCGCCAAUGAUAUUGUCGACAUUUAAUAAUUGAACGUGGUUCCAAUCAACACAGCCCAUUGAUGAUUUGAGUAGCUACUCCAAAACUAAAAAUCGUCUUUCAUCAAUUCAUAAUCUCACAAUUCUCAUGUGCAUGCGCAUGCAUCAAUUAUAAGCAUUUCUUUUGCUUUUGGGUACCUAAGCCACUUCAUUGGGCUUUUAUUAUGUGAGAAUGUGGAUUAUAACCUCCAUUGGAGCGUUAUUUAGCAGUAGGGCGUGGAUAAUCUCCAUUUAGGGAGUUGGAACAUUUAGAACCCAUAUAUCUGUCAUGCUGCAGGCAUGCCACAGAUUAAUACAUACAUGUCAAUUAAUUUAUGGGACUUUAACCCAUAUUAUGGGACUUUAACCUAUAUAAUUUGCUACGCAUUAGGCGUGCAUAAUAUGAAUAUUGACAUGUCAAAGGAUUGUCCUUUCGGGACUUCAAUCCACAUCAUUUGCUACGCAACAGGCGUGCACCCAUAUAUCUGUCAUUAUGGUACAUUAAUCUGUGCAGUGUAUUAUCAAUGUAUCCAACUUGCAAUCUGUAAAAUUUGCAUUAAUAAUUCAUGGAUACAUACAAGCCAUUCUUUUGGAACGGACUUAUCUUCCCAUUUGGUUACCUUUCAAGAUAAAAUAUCAAAUAGGUAUAUAAGCAUAAAAUAACAUAAGUAUUGCUUACAUCCUUAGGUGGGAGAAACUUUUCUCAAGUAUCAUUCAAGCUCAUAUCGGCCCAGUAAAUAUAAUGUAGCGCUUGAUGAUUUAGUUAUAUCCUGCAAGAGCAAAAAUCACAACUCUUUUGCCUCUGUCAAAACAAAUAACCCUCAUAGUUAGGAUUACUUCAUGGAUUCAUUCUUCAGAUGUUCAUUCUAAAGAAAUAAAAUCUCUUAUGAACAGAGAGUUAUAAAAAGAGAAAAAAUGCAAAAAGAUUGUGAUAUUGAUUGCAAGGUAAGGUAAGCAAUCAAGGAAGGAAGCUGGUGGGAGCAAACAACAAGCUCUCAGUUCUCCUAGUCUAGAAGGACCUCAGGAGAUUAGAGCAUAAGGUCGCCUUCACAGUUCCCGGAUGUGGCGGAAACGUGAUCAGGGAUAGUCUCGCUUCCUGAAUGGAUGAUCAGAGAUAGUCUUGCUUCUCGGGCAUAUUGAAUGCUCACUGAUAAGGAAAAUAAGUAGAUAUUGCAUCACUAGGUAUGGAGAAAACUGGAUGUCUUCUGCAAAGAAAAUUUCGUUAGUAACACAUUUAUACACAAAUACAAUGAAUAGGUAGAACCGGUGAAUUUCAAAUUAACCAUAGGAAAAUUGAGAGAUUCUCGGGAUACUUUUGAAAAAGUAGCUCCGUGAAAUCCGCAAAGCAAGAUCGGCUUUUGACAAAAAUAAUACUUGAAAACGCCGAAAGUGCCGACAUGCAUUAUCAGAGGCCACGUGAAGUUUUGGACUCUGGGAAAGAAAAAGAUAAUAUGGGGAUCUGAGAUAAUAUUGGGAUCCUGGAAACUGUAGCCAUAUUUCCUCCUAUAGAUAUGGCCUUUGCAAAACUUGAUUGGAGCAACUGCGUUUCAACUCAACUUCCUUCAGAGGCUUCCAGAACAUAAUGUAAUUUUUAUAGAUUUUACAGGGCCUGCACCUUCAUUGCAGGUGGAAAAAAUCUAUCUGUUGUAUGUUCCUGUAAUAAUAAUUGCGCACAUUCUUAAACUUGCACCUGUGGUUUUUACGUCUUUUCAAAAUGACGGUUUGGAACCUUGUGCCUUAUAGGUUCAAAUAACCACAUCGUAACGCGAUAUCUGGCCUUACAUAAAAGUACUNNNNNNNNNNNNNNNNNNNNNNNNNNNNNNNNNNNNNNNNNNNNNNNNNNNNNNNNNNNNNNNNNNNNNNNNNNNNNNNNNNNNNNNNNNNNNNNNNNNNNNNNNNNNNNNNNNNNNNNNNNNNNNNNNNNNNNNNNNNNNNNNNNNNNNNNNNNNNNNNNNNNNNNNNNNNNNNNNNNNNNNNNNNNNNNNNNNNNNGCCUCAAUUCAUUAUUUGAGGUUUAUAUGAUAUUAUCCAUUUCGCGGUGUAUUCUUAACAACCGGAAUUCACAAAAUAUAUUUCCUCCUUGAGGUGUCGAUUAUAACAAAAUCGAACUUUAAAUUCAUCAUCUUCUUAUGCCAAAGAAAUAUGUGGCAUACCACAAUUUGCAAUAAUACCUCAAGGGUUGUCCAUUUAAUUGUUGGAACUUUAGGUUCUCAACACUGUUAAAUUUUGAACUUCAGGCCAAAGCCACAUAUUCUCAUGGUAUGGACAUUUUUACAAUUUUCUGUACAUAUUUCGGGACUUCAAGCCCUUACAGAAUUGUCCAUAUUGUGAGGAACUUCUGGCAUCUCAUUUAAUUGCUCAUCCAUGAGUUUAAGGAACUGCAGGUUCCCUUUUGUAUAUAGUGACGGUUGACCCAAAAUGGUUCAUAUUUAUGCAUACGUCACUAUUCAUGUGAAUAGUACUAUUUAUCAAGUCAUGAAUACGUAUCUAUUCAUCUGCCAGUACAGUUAUCAUCAAUGUGUACGGCACCAUGAAACUGCAGGUUCCCUUUUGUAUAUAGUGACGGUUUACCCAAAAUGGUUCAUAUUUAUGCAUACGUCACUAUUCAUGUAAAUAGUACUAUUCAUCAAGUCAUGAAUACGUAUCUAUUCAUCUGCCAGUACAGUUAUCAUCAAUGUGUACGGCACUAUGAACCAAUACGGUACUGUUACAUCAUUAAGGAACUUUAGGUCCUUAUUUACAUUUCAGGGAUCAAGGACCCUUAAUUCCGAUCACAUAUUUACAAAUACAGUACCGGAGAGACUGCCAGCUCUCAUAUUAAUAUCAUCAUCAAGGAUCUUCAAGUCCUGAUGUAAUUGUAUGAUGAGGAUCAAGGAACUUCUGGUCCUGAUCUGCUUACUGUAAAAACUCAUCAUACAGCACAAUUAAUCCAUAAAAUAAAUUGCUGAUAAAUAAAUUACUGGUAUGGACGAUAAACCCGCACCAUACUUUAAAUAAAUGUAAAUGUGCGGUAAAAUAAAUUCAUAAAUUAAAUUGCUUGCUGUAUGGACGUUAAUCCCGCACCAUACCUUAAAUAAAUUAAAUAGCUUGCUGUAUGGACGUAAAUCCCGCACCAUACCUUAAAUAAAAUUAAAUGUGCGGUAAAGUAAACGUGCUUGUAUGGGCACUAAUUCUGCUCCAUACAUUUAAAUAAAAGCAAAGGCGUAGACGAUAAACCCGCACCACCCUUUAAAUAAAUAUUGCCGCAUGGGUAAUAAACCUACACCAUACCAUAAAUAAUACUUUAAGUAAAAGUAAAUUUGCGAUAAAGUAAACGUGCUUGUAUGGGCACUAAUUCUGCUCCAUACAUUUAAAUAAAAGCAAAGGCGUGGACGAUAAACCCGCACCACUCUUUUAAAUAAAUACUGUUGUAUGGGUAAUAAACCUACACCAUACAGUAAAUAAAAUAAAUAUGGGGUUAAAACCACCACCGAAUAAAAUAAGAAAAAUGUUAGUAUUAGUAACGGUCUCCCACUGAUAAUAUGUUUAGUAUUACCAAGGGUCCAUUUUUAUUAGUGGUUAGUAAUAGAAAAGUGAAUAGAUAUAGCAUAUUAUAUUACCACAUUUCAAUAUUAAUAUUACAUAUGUAUGUAUAUGUAUAUAUGAAUAUAUUUGUUUCGGUGGGUUCUUAUCAUGUUGGUGGAAAGCUAAAAGUGGCAAUAAAGCUAAAAGUUGCAGAAACCUCUAGCAAUAUAUAUUUUGUAUAUAAUAUAAUAUUAUUAUACUAAUAUAUUAGUGGAAAGCUCUAUAUAUCAGGUUGGCCUUUGCUUGUCCAUCUCAACCACAAAACACACGGCACAGAUCUAAUCACACCUACACCCACCUCGGCUGGUCAUAAUUGUUAGAUAUUAGAUUAAUAUUAAAUAAUUGAGAUAGAGAAAACAGAGUGCUUAUCUCAUGGUCAUCAAGGCAUAUCCCACAUAGAGAGCGUCUCGUGCUGAUAACGUGUUAUAAAAUGACCUGGAAUAUGUACGAAUAUUGAGCUGCACGUAAAGUAGAUGAGACACAGCAUUUAACGAGAUUCGGCUAUGCCUACGUCUCCGGAGAGCAGCAGUAGUAACUUUUCCACUAUGUAAAAUAAUAGGGCUACAACUUUAGUGUUUACAAUAUGUGUGGCUCACUGAAUUUUCUCUCUAGGAGAAUUUCUCUCUGCUCUCUCUUUCCUCUUUCUUCCUUCUCUUCCUCUUGUCUCUUUCCUUUUCUCUCUUUCCUCUUUUCUCUUUCCCCUUCUUUCUUUCCUCUUCUCUUUCCUCUUCUCUCUUCUCUCUUUCCUCUUCUUUGUUUCUUUCCGUUUCCCUCUAUUCUCUUCCUCAUAGAUCAUUGUCUCUCUUUGCAUAAGAGAGAAGCCUUUUAUAGGGAAAGGGUGGAUAACACCCGUGAAUCUACAAUCCACCUGUGAAUCUACAAUACAAUCAUGCACCAAAGUCUACAAACAAAUAGUAAGUGGGCUCCACUACUUUAUACUUUACAACACUCCCCCUUGGAGACCACAAAUAAUAUGUCAGUUGCUUCAUCAGACUUUGCUUGGAGAAAACCUAGUAAGGUAGAGAACUGAUGGAAGGAAGAAAGAAGAGUACAACAAUCUGUAUAGCAUACUUCUGGAUGCUCCCCCUGAUUAAUAUCUCCCCCUGAUGUCUUCAUAACUAUCUUUUGGAGUGAGAAUCUUUCGGAGUGAGUGAAUGAUGUAGCCACCAACAAUUCAUAUAGUAAAUAUAUUUCCAGUGAGCUAUCUCUAUGUAAAUCAUAGAAAUUUUCAGAGUCCGCGUUUCCAACAAAACCUGGGCUAUUUGUAAGAUCAUAUGAAAGAAUAUGCCCAUACAUGGUGUUAUGCGGAGAUAGCAUCAAAUAUACCUCACAUCAUCCCAAAAUGAUGGUGAUGGAGUUGAGCCUUAUCUGGAAAAUAUGAUGUCCGGUCCAAUAUAAUUCCGGAAAAUCCUUAAAGUGCCCAACGGAUAAUCCUCAUAAAAAUGCUUCAAUACUUUCUCAGUAUAAGCAAGAAUCUCGUUGGCAUAAUGCUCGAUUUUUAAGUCGAGAUAAAUAUUUCGUGAAUUCUGCAGAAGUUUUAAUGUAUUGCAAUCACAUUAUAAUCAAUGUACUCAUUGAGGUAAUUUAUGCAUAUUAAUAUUGAGUACAAAUUUUGUGCUUCAAGCACAUGUCCUUUAGGGACUUGCUUUAUGCAAUGUCAAUCCUCUCAACGGAUUUUGUUUAAAAGGGAUUAAACUUUAUGACACAUUAUAUAGCUUUUACCCAGCUAUUUAUACAUCUUUAGGAAAUCACUUCUGGCGAUAUGCUCCGUGCAUUUAAUAACCCUUAAAGAUAAUAUGUUGGUCUCCGUAAUUGUGUAAUAAGGGGGGCACAAUUGAAUCUGUAAAUAUGGAGAAAACCCAACAUUCCUUGUUUCUGCCAGAAACAUUGUGUCAUACAAAGUAGGUAUAUUCCCUUUUAUUCCGAACACCCAAGUAUAAAUUUCAGUAUUAACAUCUUUUGGGGUUCGUACUGUGGGUUUGUUCUUUCACGUUCAUUCUCAUCUAUAAUGGAAUUACAUCAUUCCAUUUUGGCCAAUAAUAUUGUCGACAUUUAAUAAUUGAACGUGGUUCCAAUCAACACAGCCCAUUGAUGAUUUAAGUAGCUACUCCAGCACCAAAAAUUGUCAUUCAUCAAUUCAUGAUCUCACCAUUCUCAUUUGCAUGCGCAUGCAUCAAUUCUAAGCAUUUCUUUGCUUUUGGGUACCCAAGCCACUUCAUUGGGCUUUUAUUAUGUGAGAAUGUGGAUUAUAACCUCCAAUGGAGCGUUAUUUUACAUAGGGCGUGGAAAAUCUCCAUUUAGGGAGUUGGAACAUUUAGAACCCAUAUAUCUGUCAUGCUGCAGGCAUGCCACAGAUUAAUACAUACAUGUCAAUUAAUUUAUGGGACCUUAACCCAUAUUAUGGGACUUUAACCCAUAUAAUUUGCUACGCAUUAGGCGUGCAUAAUAUCAAUAUUGACAUGUCAAAGUAUUGUCCUUUCGGGACUUCAAUCCACAUCAUUUGCUAGGCAACAGGCGUGCAUCAUAUUGAUCACUGCUAUACCCAUAUUCUGUUCUUAUGGGACUUUAAUCUGCGCAGUGUAUUAUCAAUGUAUCCAACUUGCAAUCUGUAAAAUUUGCGUUAAUAAUUCAUGGAUACAUACAAGCCAUUCUUUUGGAACGGACUUAUCUCCCCAUUUGGUUACCUUUCAAGAUAAAAUAUCAAAUAGGUAUAUAAGCAUAAAAUAACACAAGUAUUGCUUACAUCCUUAGGUGGGAGAAACUUUUCUCAAGUAUCAUUCAAGCUCAUAUCGGCCCAGUAAAUAUAAUGUAGCGCUUGAUGAUCUAGUUAUAUCCUGCAAGAGCAAAAAUCACAACUCUUUUGCCUCUGUCAAAACAAAUAACCUUCAUAGUUAGGAUUACUUCAUGGAUUCAUUCUUCAGAUGUUCAUUCUAAAGAAAUAAAAUCCCUUAUGAACAGAGAGUUAUAAAAAGAGAAAUAAUGCAAAAAUAAUGUGAUAUUGAUUGCAAGAGAAGGUUAGCAAUCAAGGAAGGAAGCUGGUGGGAGCAAACAACAAGCUCUCAGUUCUCCUAGUCUAGAAGGACCUCAGGAGAUUAGAGCAUAAGAUCGCCUUCACAGUUUCCUGAUGUAGCGGAAACGUGAUCAGGGAUAGUCUCGCUUCCUGAAUGGAUGAUCAGAGAUAGUCUUGCUUCUCGGGCAUUUUAAAUGCUCACUGAUAAGAAAAACAAGUAGAUAUCGCAUCACUAGGUAUGGAGAAAACUGGAUGUCUUCUGCAAAGAAAAUUUCGUUAGUAACACAUUUAUACACAAAUAAGAUAAAUAGGUAGAACUGGUGAAUUUCAAAUUAACCAUAGGAAAAUUGCGAGAUUCUCGGGAUGCUUUUGAAAAAGUAGCUCCGUGAAAUCCGUAAAGCAAGAUCAGCUUUGACGAAAAUAAUACUUGAAAACGCCGAAAGUGCCGACAGGCAUUAUUAGAGGCCACGUGAAGUUUUGGACUCUGGGAAAGAAAAAGAUAAUAUGGGGAUUCGAGAAGAUAUUGGGAUCCUGGAAAUGUUGCCACAUUUUCGUCUAUAGCUAUUGCCUUUGCAAAACUUGAUUGGAGCAACUGCGUUUCAACUCAACUUCCUUCAGAGGCUUCCAGAACAUAAUAUAAUUUUUAUAGAUUUUACAGGGCCUGCACCUUCAUUGCAGGUGGAAAAAAUCUAUCUGUUGUAUGUUCCUGUAAUAAUAAUUGCGCACAUUCUUAAACUUGCACCUGUGGUUUUUAUGUCUUUUCAAAAUGACGGUUUGGAACCUUGUGCCUUAUAGGUUCAAAUAACCACAUUGUCUCUCCCAAAUUGCAUGGUAGCCCGGAACUUUUGGCCUGGGCACAAACUCAGAAUUUAUUUGCCCUUUUCAAAUGGACAUGAAAUGUGAAUUGAGUAAAAGCCAUGAUAAUAUCGCAAUAUAGUAGUGAAGAGCAUUAACUACUAUAUACCCACAACUUCAAGUUCAGGAUCUCUCAUAUAUUUGGAUCCAUGGGCUUCCGGCCCAGAUAUAACAAAAUAUGUGGGGAGCCUCAAUUCAUUAUUUGAGGUUUAUAUUGAUAUUAUCCAUUUCGCGGUGUAUUCUUAACAACCGGAAUUCACAAAAUAUAUUUCUUCCUUGAGGUGUCGAUUAUAACAAAAUCGAACUUUAAAUUCAUCAUCUUCUUAUGCCAAAGAAAUAUGUGGCAUACCACAAUUUGCAAUAAUACCUCAAGGCCAAAAGUUCCGGGCUACCAUGAAAUUUGGGAGAGACAAUGUGGUUAUUUGAACCUAUAAGGCACAAGGUUCCAAACCGUCAUUUUGAAAAGACGUAAAAAACCACAGGUGCAAAUUUUAAGAAUGUGCGCAAUUAUUAUAACAGGAAAGGAGCAAGUUGAAACGCAGUUGCUCCAAUCAAGUUUUGCAAAGGCAAUAUCUAUAGGAGGAAAUAUGGCUACAGUUUCCAGGAUCCCAAUAUUAUCUCAGAUCCCCAUAUUAUCUUUUUCUUUUCCAGAGUCCAAAACUUCACGUGGCCUCUGAUAAUGCAUGUCGGCACUUUCAGCGUUUUCAAGUAUUAUUUUUUUCAAAAGCCGAUCUUGCUUUGCGGAUUUCACGGAGCUACUUUUUCAAAAGUAUCCCGAGAAUCUCGCAAUUUUCCUAUGGUUAAUUUGAAAUUCACCGGUUCUACCUAUUCAUUGUAUUUGUGUAUAAAUGUGUUACUAACGAAAUUUUCUUUGCAGAAGACAUCCAGUUCUCUCCAUACCUAGUGAUGCGAUAUCUACUUGUUUUUCUUAUCAGUGAGCACUUAAUAUGCCCGAGAAGCAAGACUAUCUCUGAUCAUCCAUUCAGGAAGCGAGACUAUCCUUGAUCACGUUUUCGCCACAUCAGGGAACUGUGAAGGCGACCUUAUGCUCUAAUCUCCGAAAGUUCUUCUAGACUAGGAGAAAUGAGAGCUGGUUGUUUGCUCCCACCAGCUUGCUUCCUUGAUUGCUGAGCUUGUUGUCUGCUCCCACCAGCUUCCUUCCUUGAUUGCUUACCUUCUCUUGCAAUCAAUAUCACAUUAUUUUUGCAUUAUUUCUCUUUUUAUAACUCUCUGUUCAUAAGGGAUUUUAUUUCUUUAGAAUGAACAUCUGAAGAAUGAAUCCAUGCAGUGAUCCUAACUCUGAGAGUUAUUUGUUUUUGACAGAGAAAAGAAUUGUGAUUUUUGCUCUUGCAGGAUAUAACAAGAUCAUCAAGCGAUACUUUAUAUUUACUGGGCCGAUACGAGCUUGAAUGAUACUUGAGAAAAGUUUCUCCCACCUAAGGAUGUAAGCAAUACUUGUGUUAUAUUAUGCUUAUAUACCUAUUUGAUAUUUUAUCUUGAAAGGUAACCAAAUGGGAAGAUAAGUCCGUUCCAAAAGAAUGGCUUGUAUGUAUCCAUGAAUUAUUAAUGCAAAUUUUACAGAUUGCAAGUUGGAUACAUUGAUAAUACACUGCACAGAUUAAUGUACCAUAAGAACAGAAUAUGGGUAUAGCAGUGAUCAAUAUGAUGCACGCCUGUUGCGUAGCAAAUGAUAUGGAUUGAAGUCCCGAAAGGACAAUCCUUUGACAUGUCAAUAUUGAUAUUAUGCACGCCUAAUGCGUAGCAAAUUAUAUGGGUUAAAGUCCCAUAAUAUGGGUUAAAGUCCCAGAAAUUAAUUGACAUGUAUGUAUUAAUCUGUGGCAUGCCUGCAGCAUGACAGAUAUAUGGGUGCACGCCUGUUGCGUAGCAAAUGAUAUGGAUUGAAGUCCCGAAAGGAAAAUCCUUUGACAUGUCAAUAUUGAUAUUAUGCACGCCUAAUGCGUAGCAAAUUAUAUGGGUUAAAGUCCCAUAAUAUGGGUUAAAGUCCAAUAAAUUAAUUGACAUGUAUGUAUUAAUCUGUGGCAUGCCUGCAGCAUGACAGAUAUAUGGGUUCUAAAUGUUCCAACUCCCUAAAUGGAGAUUAUCCACGCCCUACUAUAAAAUAACGCUCCAUUGGAGGUUAUAAUCCACAUUCUCACACAAUAAAAGCCCCCUGCAGUGGCUUGGGUACCCAAAAGCAAAGAAAUGCUUAUAAUUGAUGCACGCGCAUGCAAAUGAGAAUGAUGGGAUCAUGAAUUGAGGAAUGACAAUUUUUGGUUUUGGAGUAGCUACUCAAAUCAUCAAUGGGCUGUGUUGAUUGGAACCACGUUCAAUUAUUAAAUGUCGACAAUAUCAUUGGCCAAAAUGGAACGAGGUAAUUCCAUUAUAAAUGGGAAUGAACGUGAAAGAACAAACCCACAAUACGAACCCCAAAAUUUGUUAAUACUGAAUUUAUACUUGGGUGUUCGGAAUAAAAGGGAAUAUACCUACUUUGUAUGACACACUGUUUUCUAGCAGAAACAAGGAAUGUUGGGUUUUCUCCAUAUUUACAGAUUCAAUUGUGCCCCCCCUUAUUACACAAUUACGGAGACCAACAUAUUAUCUUUAAGGGUUAUUAAAUGAACGGAGCAUAUCGCCAGAAGCGAUUCCCUAAAGAUGUAUAAAUAGCUGGGUUAAAGCUAUAUAAUGUGUCAUAAAGUUUAAUCCCCUUUUUAAACAAAAUCCGUUGAGAGGAUUGACAUUGCAUAAAGCAAGUCCCUAAAGGACAUGUGCUUGAAGCACAAAAUUUGUACUCAAGAUUAAUAUGCAUAAAUUACCUCAGUGAGUACAUUGAUUAUAAUGUGAUUGCAACACAUUAAAGCUUCUGCAGAAUUCACGAAAUAUUUGUCUCGAUUGAGCAUUAUGCCAACGAGAUUCUUGCUUAUACUAAGAAAGUAUUGAAGCAUUUUUAUGAGUCUUAUCCGUUGGUCCUUAAAUGUUUUUCCGGAAGUAUACUAGACCAGAUAGAGCUCAGCUCCACACUGUACUCUUUUUCCUUCAUCCAGGUUUUUAUCCCAUUGGGUUUUUCCUGGUAAGGUUUUAACGAGGCAGUGUAGCUCAAAGGUUUAGGGUAUACUAUGAAAAUUUCUAUGGUCGCUUACUGGACAGAAGCUAGUCCUAAAUUUUUCAGGGGGAGAUAUUCAUCAGGGGGAGCAUGGUUUUAAUAAAGACCUUCAUACACUGUACUCUUUUUCCUUCAUCCAGGUUUUUAUCCCACUGGGUUUUUCCUGGUAAGGUUUUAACGAGGCAAUGUCACUCAAGAGUGACUCACAGAAGCAGUGUCAACUACGAUAUUCAGAAAGGUGAACAACAGUAUGACUUAAAGAUAUUUUGCCAAGCAUCAGGGGGAGCGCGCUAUCAAUAAAGAUCUUCAAACACUGUACUCUUUUUCCUUCGUCCAGGUUUUUAUCCCACUGGGUUUUUCCUGGCAAGGUUUUAACGAGGCAGUGUCGCACGCGCGUCAAUAUACAUAGAAUUUAAUAUUACACAUGAUUAUGUACUCUUUUUCCCUUUGACCAGUUUUUGUCACACUGGGUUUUUACUGGCAAGGUUUUUAACGAGACAUAUUCUGUAUCAUUUGUGGUCUCCAAGGGGGAGUGUUGUAAAUGUGGAGCCCAAAUGCCUAUAAAUAGGGCUUCUCCAUUUGUAACAAAACACACAAUAAGAAGAGAAAAACUUCUCUCUCUCUCUCCAUCUAAAUUCUCUGUCAAUUCCCUCUCCAAUUCCUCUUGAUUUAUAACAAGUUGUAUAUUUUUUUUGGCCUAUUGAGUAAACUAUUGCGUACAAAAGUACUAAAUUGAAAUGAGUGGUUUUUUCCCAUAAAUGUAGUAUAAUUUUACUAUUAUAUUCACAUUAAAAUACAAUUUUGACAAGUAUUGAUUUGUGGUGAGGGGUCCAUAGGCUUAAGUAUAGCAAUUUUUCUUUGCAUUUGUUACCACAUCCAAUAUAUACAUUCAAAAGGGUUAAAUAAAUUGGAGGGGCCAAGGCCAUCCCAGGCCUUAGUACAGCUCCGCCCCUGUGUCCAGAGAUUAAGGUACGGGCUCCAUUUGCUUCUGUGGCUAUUUCUCCGGAACAUGUUGCACAGGCGAUGAGUUUUUCUCAAAUACUUCUUUCUGACUUCGUUCUCUUCUCUGUAUAGUUUUGCUGGAUAUAAUUCAGUAGAAAUGCUAGCUUUAUAUUGGCCCCUUUUUUUUUCUUCUCAUUUCCUGGAAAUAUAAAUCUCGUGCAAGCUUUACUGGUCCUUUUCUCUCCUUUCCCUUCUUUUUGUUUAAUUAAGCAUAUACAGAAUCAAGAUAUUCAUGUGGUAAAAACUACAAGAGUUCUUUUGUUUACCUUGUAAAGAGAGUAAGUGGGUGUCCAAUUUGAACCAAAAAAAUUUCAUUUCCCUGUUUCACAUAAAAUUGAAAAACUGAAAUUAAUUACCAAACAACUUUUUUCAGUUAUUUUUUUUAAAAUUGAAAAUAAAAAACUGAUGGUUAUCAAACGAACCCUUAAUAUUUUCGUUUCGUCUUGUUUGAGUGGGAUCCCUUUACAUAUUUUAUUGGUUUGUUUUGUAAUUCUUUGUCAUAGGGUUCAGGGAUUAUGAUUAUGAUUUCAUCUUUUCCAGUUAAGGGAUUAUGAUUUCGAAACUUGAUGCUUACCUUUAUUUAUUUUUUAUGUUGAGUCUGAAAAAAGAAAAUGAUUUGGUUGUAAAUUUGUGAAUAAUAGGAUGGUAUGAAAAAAGCUCAAAAAAAAAUUAGAACCCGUUUGAUGACUAUUUCGGUAUUUUAUUUUUAGUUUCUAUUUUUCAAUUCAAAGAAAUUGAAAGCAUAAAACUUCUUUGGUUAUUAAUUUUAAGGCCUCGUUUGAUAACCAUUUUAUUUUAUUUUCUGUUUUUUUAUUAUUAUUAAAGAAAAACAGAAAACAUAUUUGAUAAAACUUUUCAUUGUCAGAUUUCAAAGUUACCCUUUCUAAUUCUCAUGAAUCAAACAUUUUCAAAUAAUCCAUUCUCUAAAACAAACAGUGCUUAAUAAGUAUUGACAUCUGAAUCAAUACUUGAUGAACUAUCUAAGACAACAUGCAAACUACGUUCAUUAGAUAUAUGCUUUUGACCUCAUUAUUCUUGUAGUGACCUACAAUUAGAAUAGUACACUACAAUUAGAAUAGUAUAUUAUCAUUUUGCAUGUCGAAACGGUUUUCGAUUUAUCUAAUUUUUUGUAAGGAUGAUUUAUGAAUGAAGACCUAAAAAAUAGAGAGUUUGGAUCAUUGAAAAAAAUAUUCGUAGAGUACCUUAAAGGGUGUCCCUUAAAUAAAAUUAUUUGAAGGAUCCUCAAUAUAUAUAUAUGUACAUGAUGAGUAGUAUAUAUAUUAUAACAUAAUCAAAGCCAAUUGUUAGAUUUCCUUCAUGAUUAUAACACAUUAUAUAAUAAUUCAUGUUUCUUCAAUAGAUUCUACAAAGGGCCACUUGUUAGAUUUGUAGGCUCACUCCGCAUUGUAUUUCAUUAAUCUAAAUUCUACAUUCUAGAUAAUCAUUCAAAAAUCAUAUCUACAAAAAAUCACUUGAAUCCGAUAUUGUUUGACCACUCAAUUGUGUUAUUGAAAUUUUAGUACUUUCUUGAAGCACUGUGUUCUUUGAUUUUGUAGGAUACAAUUGGAUGUCGAAACGGUUUCCGAUUUAUCUAAUUUUUUGUAAAGAUGACGAGUAGUGUAUAUUCUUUUAAAAACAACAUAAAAAUAGUGGUAUGUUGUAAAAUAAAGAAGGUGGAGUCCAAAAUGAUGCUUACCUAUAAAGCUUCCCCCCCACUUGUAUUGGUAGGGAGAAGGUGGAGUCCAAAAUGGUAAUGAUGAUGCUUGCCAACACAAGAAGAAUGAUUAGGCAACCACUUUGUUCUGCCUACAAAUAAGGCUUCCUCCUCACUUGUAAUAUAUAGAACAUAGAUACAGAUAUGUGAAGAACUCUCUAUUCAAUAAGAGAUCAGUUUCUCUCUAUCUCAAUUCUCUCCAUUUUCUCUCUUGAUUUAUAACACGUUAUCAGCACGAAGCUCUAACCAGCUGAGUUUUCUGAUAAAAACCAGAGACCAAAAUCAACCGGAAUUCUCAGCUUCUCAAUCCCAAUCCUUGGAGGGGAAAUAUGGCUGAGCGGCAGAGCCGAAGAAAUAUCAAACACAUAAACGAGCCUGAAAAACAAAGAGAGUCUGCAGCCAGCAAUCCAAAGCAGAGAAAGAUCUCUGCUGGCGUCCUUGCCCGACUUGCCGUCCGUCACGUCAAAGACGUUGUAUUGGAUCAGCUGCUGUGCUGUUAGCUCCAUGGUUGCGUCCACACAGAUGCUAAAGGAGCAAAUGACAAGAAGCUCACAACUUGCGGGUCCUGGGCUUAGGCCAGCAGGUCAUAGUCCUAGCCCACGGCUUCGGCACCGACCAGUCGGUCUGAAAGCACCUCGUCCCCCACCGACUACAGAGUCGUCAUGUACGACAACAUGGGCGCCGGAACGACAAAGCCCGAAUACGCCGACUCGGUCACCUUCCCCACAGGCCGAGCAGAGUCCUCUGCCUUCUAAGAUCCUACCACCAAGCCUGCUUACAGCUUCAACAACCUGUCCUCUCAGUUUUUUGUGACAACAAACAGCCACCUCUUGUGAAAUGUGGUCAAGAGGGACAAUAUCCUAUCUGAUGAUGAAAGCUCAUCUUUUGGUCUGCGAAGCUUUUUAUGCACAGAAACAGGUGGACCUUGCUGGGCUUCAUGUUCUCCGGGAUGACGAAGAGCGGCGCGGAGAAGAUCAGGCCCGUCCAAGUGUCGGGCUGGGACUGGAAGUACAUGAGCAUGGUGGCAGCGCCGCCCAUGGACUCGCCGAAGAGGAAGGCAGGGAGGCGGAGGUAUAAUUCGUUGCGGCGCACGUGGAGGAAGAAGGAGAGUGAAGCUUCCUCUGACCAAUGCUCCCGAAGAAAAGCUUUUAACUCAGGAGCUACAGCCUCAUCAUCAGACCGAGCAAUACUGUCUGCAACAGCAUAAGUAGCUGCUGGAUCACCCAAGAAGUCGGAAUGGAGAAGAAAUGCAACACCAUCAAGAGAAAGACCACCACCUGUCAGAUGCGGCACAUGCGCACAUGCAACCUAAUAGUCUCCUGACCACUUGGCACAUGCGCACAUGCACACACGGUUUUGUGGCUACUAAUCUUGGUUAAACUGAAAACAGAUGCCUCCAUAUAUUUCUUUACGAUCAGAUGUGGGCCAUAUCUAUGAAUUGUUUUGUAGAUUGAUAUCUUUGAUGAUGGAUAUCGGUGGAGGAAGUAUGGUCAAAAAGUAAGCCACUAAAAGUGGUUGAAAGGCCGGUGUUGAUAUGAUGCAAGGCACUGGAAAUCUAGUAAGCAUGCCCAAAAAGUGACCCUAUGCUGGAGUAUAUUUUGAAAAGUGGGAUACACAGCAAGUUGAUCAGCCUAGUGGAAAGCAAAGGAUUAUUGCCAGGGAUAUGAACACCCACCGAAAUAAAGGGAUAAGUAUUCUGCCUCACUCUAUUUCCUUCAAUUAAAUACAUUAUUAAAAUAUCUACAGAAUUUAAUACUCAUGACCAGUGUAGAUUGCAGGUGGAAAGAAGAAAAAGCCAACGUGAUAUAUCUAGCUUUCCACUAAUAUAUCAGUAUAAUAAUAUUACACUAUUUAAUUGUGGUGUUGAUAAGAACCCACCAAUAAUUGCCUUUAUUUUUAUUUAAAAGUAUGGAGCAGAAUUAGUGCCCAUACAAGCACGUUUAAUUUACCGCACAUUUAAUUUUAUUUAAAGUAUGGUGCGGGAUUAACGUCCAUACAACAAGCAAUUUAAUUUAUGAAAUUAAUUUACCGCACAUUUACAUUUAUUUAAAAGGGUGGUGCGGGUUUAUCGUCCACGCCUUUACUUUUAUUUAAAUGUAUGGUGCGGGUUUAUCGUCCAUACCAGUAAUUUAUUUACCAGCAAUCUAUUUUAUGGAUUAAAUGUGUUGUAUGAUGAGUUUUUACAGUAAGCAGAUCAGGACCAGAAGUUCCUUGAUCCUCAUCAUACAAUUACAUCAGGACUUGAAGAUCCUUGAUGAUGAUGUUAAUAUGAGAGCUGGCAGUCUCUCCGGUACUAUAUUUGUAAACAUGUUAUUGGACUUGAGGGUCCUUGAUCCUUGACAUGUAAAUAAGGAACUCGGGUUCCUUAAUGAUGUAACAGUACCGUAUUGGUUCAUAAUGCUGUACACUUGGAUGAUAACUGUACUAGCAAAUGUACUGUACACAUAAAUAGUGCACUAUAUAUGAAUAGUGAUGUAUGCAUAAAUAUUUACCAUUUCGGGUAAACUAUCACCAUUCAAAAGGGACCUACAGUUCCUUAAACUCAUGGAUGAGCAAUUAAAUGAGAUGCCAGAAGUUCCUCAAAAUAUGGACAAUUAUGUAAGGACUUGAAGUCUAGAAAUAUGUACAGAAAAUUGUAAAAAUGUCCAUACCAUGAGAAUAUGUGAUUUUGGCCCGAAUUUCAAAAUCUAAGGGGAUUGAAUGUCCAUACCAUAAGAAUAUGUGAUUUUUGGCCUAAAAUUCAAAAUCUAACAGUGUUGAGAACCUGAAGUUCCAACAAUUAAAUGGACAACCCUUGAGGUAUUAUUGCAAAUUGUGGUACGCCACAUAUCUCUUUGGCAUAAGAGAAUGAUGAAUUGAGGCUCCCCACAUAUUUUGUUAUAUCUGGGCCGGAAGCUCAUGAACCCAAAUAUAUGAGAUAUUAGCGUGGCUUUUACUCAAUUCAUAUUUCAUGUCCAUUUUGAAAAGGGCAAAUAAAUUCUGAGUUUUGUGUUUAGCCCAGGCCAAAAAGUUCUGGGCUCCCAUACGUUGAAAUAUGAAAUUUGGGAGAGUCGAUGUGGUUAUUUGAACCUAUAAGGCACAAGGUUCCAAACCGUCAUUUUGAAAAGACGUAAAAACCACAGGUGCAAAUUUUAAGAAUGUGCGCAAUUAUUAUAACAGGAAAGGAGCAAGUUGAAACGCAGUUGCUCCAAUCAAGUUUUGCAAAGGCAAUAUCUAUAGGAAGAAAUAUGGCUACAGUUUCCAGGAUCCCAAUAUUAUCUCAGAUGCCCAUAUUAUCUUUUUCUUUCCCAGAUUCCAAAACUUCACGUGGCCUCCAUUAAAUGUUUGUCGGCACUUUCGGCGUUUUCAAAGUUUUAUUUUCAUCAAAAACCGAUCUUGCUUUACGGAUUUCACGGAGCUACUUUUUCAAAAGUACCCCGAGAAUCUCGCAAUUUUCUUAUGGUUAAUUUGAAAUUCACCGGUUCUACCUAUUCAUUAUAUUUGUGUAUAAAUGUGUUACUAACGAAAUUUUCUUUGCAGAAGACAUCUAGUUUUUCUCCAUACCUAGUGAUGCGAUACCUACUUGUUUUUCUAAUCAGUGAGCACUUAAUAUGCCCGAGAAGCAAGACUAUCUCUGAUCAUCCAUUCAGGAAGCGAGACUAUCCCUGAUCACGUUUCCGCUACAUCAGGAAACUGUGAAGGCGAUCUUAUGCUCUAAUCUCUGGAAGUCCUUCUAGACUAGGAGAUAUGAGAGCUUAUUGUCUGCUCCCACCAGCUUCCUUCCCUGAUUGCUUACCUUCUUUUUUUGCAUUUUUUCUCUUUCUGUAACUCUCUGAGGAUUAUUUGUUUUUGACAGAGAAAAGAGUUGUGAUUUUACUAUUGCAGGAUAUAACUAGAUCAUCAAGCGCUACAUUUACUGGGCCGAUACAAGCUUGAAUGAUACUUGAGAAAAGUUUCUCCCACCUAAGGAUGUAAGCAAUACUUGUGUUAUUUUUUGCUUAUAUACUUAUUUGAUAUUUUAUCUUGAAAGGUAACUAAAUGGGAAGAUAAGUCCGUUCCAAAAGAAUGGCUUGUAUGUAUCCAUGAAUUAUUAAUGCAAAUUUCACAGAUUGCAAGUUGGAUACAUUGAUAAUACACUGCAUAGAUUAAUGUACCAUAAGAACAGAAUAUGGGUAUAGCAGUGAUCAAUAUGAUGCACGCCUGUUGCGUAGCAAAUGAUAUGGAUUGAAGUCCCGAAAGAACAAUCCUUUGACAUGUCAAUAUUGAUAUUAUGCACGCCUAAUGCGUAGCAAAUUAUAUGGGUUAAAGUCCCAUAAUAUGGGUUAAAGUCCCAGAAAUUAAUUGACAUGUAUGUAUUAAUCUGUGGCAUGCCUGCAGCAUGACAGAUAUAUGGGUUCUAAAUGUUCCAACUCUCUAAACAGAGAUUAUCCACGCCCUACUGUAAAAUAACGCUCCAUUGGAGGUUAUAAUCCACAUUCUCACAUAAUAAAAGCCCCAUGAAGUGGCUUGGGUACCCAAAAGCAAAGAAAUGCUUAUAAUUAAUGCAUGCGCAUGCACAUGAGAAUGGUGAGAUCAUGAAUUGAUGAAUGACAAUUUUUGGUUUUGGAGUAGCUACUCAAAUCAUCAAUGGGCUGUGUUGAUUGGAACCACGUUCAAUUAUUAAAUGUCGACAAUAUUAUUGGCCAAAAUGGAAUGAUGUAAUUCCAUUAUAGAUGAGAAUGAACGUGAAAGAACAAACCCACAGUACGAACCCCAAAAGAUGUUAAUACUGAAACUUAUACUUGGGUGUUCGGAAUAAAAGGGAAUAUACCUACUUUGUAUGACACAAUGUUUCUGGCAGAAACAAGGAAUGUUGGGUUUUCUCCAUAUUUACAGAUUCAAUUGUGCCCCCCCCUUAUUACACAAUUACGAAGACCAACAUAUUAUCUUUAGGGGUUAUUAAAUGCACGGAGCAUAUCGCUAGAAGCGAUUUCCUAAAGAUGUAUAAAUAGCUGGGUUAAAGCUAUAUAAUGUGUCAUAAAGUUUAAUCCCUUUUAAACAAAAUCCGUUGAGAGGAUUGACAUUGCAUAAAGCAAGUCCCUAAAGGACAUGUGCUUGAAGCACAAAAUUUGUACUCAAUAUUAAUAUGCAUAAAUUACCUCAGUGAGUACAUUGAUUAUAAUGUGAUUGCAACACAUUAAAACUUCUGCAGAAUUCACGAAAUAUUUGUCUCGAUCGAGCAUUAUGCCAACGAGAUUCUUGCUUAUACUAAGAAAGUAUUGAAGCAUUUUUAUGAGUCUUAUCCGUUGGUCCUUAAAUGUUUUUCCGGAAGUAUACUAGACCAGAUAGAGCUCAGCUCCACACUGUACUCUUUUUCCUUCAUCCAGGUUUUUAUCCCACUGGGUUUUUCCUGGUAAGGUUUUAACGAGGCAGUGUCGCUCAAGAUUGACUCACAGAAGCAGUCUCAACUACGAUAUUCAGAAAGGUGAUCAACAGUAUGACUUAAAGAUAUUUUGCCAAGCAUCAGGGGGAGCGUGCUAUCAUUAAAGAUCUUCAAACACUGUACUCUUUUUCCUUCGUACAGGUUUUUAUCCCACUGGAUUUUUCCUGGCAAGGUUUUAACGAGGCAGUGUCGCACGCGCGUCAAUAUACAUAGAAUUUUAUGUUACACAUAAUUAUGUACUCUUUUUCCUUUGACCAGUUUUUUUUUUUUGUCCCACUGGGUUUUUACUGGCAAGGUUUUUAACGAGGCAUAUUACAUAUCAUUUGUGGUCUCCAAGGGGGAGUGUUGUAAAAUAAAGAAGGUGGAGUCCAAAAUGAUGCUUACCUAUAAAGCUUCCCCCCCACUUGUAUUGGUAGGGAGAAGGUGGAGUCCAAAAUGGUAAUGAUGAUGCUUGCCAACACAAGAAGAAUGAUUAGGCAACCACUUUGUUCUGCCUACAAAUAAGGCUUCCUCCUCACUUGUAAUAUAUAGAACAUAGAUACAGAUAUGUGAAGAACUCUCUAUUCAAUAAGAGAUCAGUUUUUCUCUAUCUCAAUUCUCUCCAUUUUCUCUCUUGAUUUAUAACAUGGUAUUUCUUUUCAUUUUAUUAAAGGUAAGAAAUUCAAAACUUAUCUCAAAUUGACUUUAUUGAAAAUUUAAAAUUCUAACUAAACUCCACAGCACACAUGUUCCUUCACUGAUGACGUAGGAAACUUAACAUCCCUCCCUUUGAAGUGAAUUUAUCAAUCUACUUCUAUUUCCAUGGCCUAUAUCAAAUUGCAUUAAACAUAGUCAAUAAACGUCAUAAUUUUGUGAUCGUACUCGCCUGUGGUCCUCUUUUCCUUUCAAAGUACCUGAAGCCAACCUUCCCUAAGGACACCCAGACCCAAUCGAGAUAGAAAAAGGCCGCCCUAGCCCAUAUAACAACCAUACAGCGGAUUAGAGAGAGAAAAUAAAAUAUCGUUUCAGCCCCUCCUUACCCAGAGAAACCUUUACACCCUUCCAAGUCCAUCUUUAUCGCUUUCCCAUUGAGUCACAAACCCACGUAACUACGCGCAGUGAUUUAACUUUCAACAUUUGUGUAUAUUAAAUGUGAGACGAAAGGAUAUCUCGCCAAUGUGGGACUAAUAAUUGUCAUUUGGCAAGAGAAGCCCAAUUUAUUUUCUACUAAAGAUUGAGGUGAAACUCAGAUUGUUUCAACCAUAAUGAUUAAACUUGUCAAAACUCAACAUCAAAACCGACAUGAUUAUCUUCUCAUCUUUAAUUGACAAUCACUCAUCUUCACUUAUUUUAGAAUGCGUUGCUUCGCAAAAAUCAAAACCUGGAGAGUUUGCAACUCCAACUUUGGCAAUUUAUUUCUUGGGUUUUUGCUUACACAAUCUCUAAUUUUUUGCUGUGCGGUGGCGGCUCCAUUUUAGGCCAUAUCGCUGCUUGUCGGUCAAUCAUUAGUUAUGUAAGUUCAGCUCAGUUACGAACCAAUUCCACCCCUAUCUAAAGAGGUUAGUAUUUUUAUGUUACACUUGUAUUGGUACUUUUAGUCGUAUUGAAACUACAACACAAUAUCUAGUAUGCGUAGAAUUAAAAAUUAAAUUAUUGAGGAGUUAUGUUAUGCUUAGAUAAGUAAAAAGGAUGAACAUUUUACUCUGAGAUUUUCCAACUCCAACUUCUGGUAAUUUGCUUCUUGGGUUUUCGCUUACCGGAUUUCUAAUUUUAAUUGAGGAAGUGAACUAGCUAGGAAACCUUAACAAGAAGCAUAAAACCAUUACAUAAUUAUUUUUAAAUAAAAAGAGCCCUCAUCUCACAUCAAGAAAGUACACAUCAAGUUUUUAAAUUCUCUCACAAUUAAUCCUUAAAAGUUCAAACUUAAUUUUUGAAAUUUGGGUUUUUUUAAAAGUUCGUUUAUUAAACCUCUAAUUAGGAAACCCCUUCAAAACCAAACAAAAUUCAUUUAGAAAUUAAAGAGAAAAAAACACCAUAUUCAAAAAUUCCCAAGAAAGAAAAACCAUUAUAUCAAUAAAAAAUUACAUUUUAUUAAACCUCUAAUUAUUAACUUGUAUUAGGAAAACCACAUACACAAAAAGAUGGACGUCGGGGGUUGAAGAGCCCCCACGGUGGGUGGCUACAUGAGGGGUGCCGGUGAGCUACUCUGGAGGGAGUAAUGCAGUAAGAGUGUCUUCUCGCUGCUCUGGUAAGCCAACGAGCUUUACAGCAUGCUGCAAAUUACAUCUUCCAUCUUCGCAAGGCGGAAGAAUAUUCUUGACGGCCUGCACUUCAGGGUUGGCCUAGCCGUUAGGGUUGUCCUCAGGUUCCUAAUUCCCUUCCAAACCAUCCUUAUUGCCCCCACAAUGGGUCACAUGCUCGCGUGACUGAGCUCGGCGUUUCUAAAGCCAAUACUUGGGUAUAUUAGGUGCUUAACUGUUGGCUAUUCUAUCGAUGUGGGAUUGUGAGUAUAUGAAAUAUGAGUUCUCUUUCUUCAUGUAUUUUGAAUGAAAACCUUUGCAUCUCUUUGGUCAUAUCUAUUAAACAUGAAAUACAAAGAUGAUUUUUCUAACAGUUUUUGCGUAUUUCAACUAGAUUAUGAACACCAAACAGAUUGAACAAAAUGGAGAAAUCUAUUGCUUAUUUUGUUUGGUUUCAAACUAUACAAGAUGGUUGCCAAGAGCAGUUUCGAGUGCCAUUCUCAAUGAAGAUCCUGUGCACGUAGAACAAUCCAAAUCUUAUGUUUUUGCCUCAAGAAUUCUGGCGUUUGGAUUUUUAUACUUCGGUGUGUCUUAUGAAGGUCCUCGCCGAUCCUCUUUUAGUAGUGCUUAAACCCUAGAAUGCUAUGCUUCUAUUUUAUUUUAUUUUAUUGUUCGAAAAAUGCAAUGCUUCUAAGGACAAGCGAUAUUGAAAGCACAGCAGGAAAACAAGAAUGCAAAAGGUUUCACUUUCAAUAUGGAAUUUUUAUGAAAAUCUAGAUAGUGACAACAUAUUAACACUAACCUGAUUUGGACAUGGUGAUGAUGUUGAUAGCACAACAGGAAAACCAGAGAGUUCUUCGUUUAGAAGCCGAGCCUUAUAGCAGUGAUUCUAGAUGGGGUGAAUUUCUGUAAAGCUUAAGUAUUUCAAGUUUAUGAGGGAACCCUCUAUUUAUAUGCAUCUCUCUAGGAGUCUUGCCCAUCAAGAAACUCCUAGAGAUAACCUUUAUGUGAUAGGAUUAUCUUCUCAUCUUUAAUGACAAUCACUCAUCUUUACUUCUUUUAGAAUGCGUUGCUUCUCCAAAAUCUAAAACCAUGGAGAGUUUGUAACUCCAACUUUUGGCAAUUUACUUCUUGGGUUUUCGCUUACACAAUUUCUAAUUUCAGGUGGUGCGGUGGCGACUCAUUUUUAGGCCAUUUCGGCACUUGUCAGUCAGUCACUAAUCACGUAAGUUUGGUUUGUUUACCAAACCAAUUCCACACCUAUUUGAAGGGGAUAGUAUUUUUAUGUUACACUUUUAUUGGUACUUUUAGUUGUAUUGAAACUACAACACAAUGUCUAUUUGUGUAGAAUUAAAAAUUAAAUUAUUGAGUUAUGUUGUACUUAGAUAAGUAAAAAGGAUGAAAAUUGUACUAAAAAGGAUUUUCCAACUCCAACUUUUGGUGAUUUGCUUCUUGAGUUUUCGCUUAUCCGAUUUCUAAUUUUAGCCCUCUAAUCAUUUGUCUCUCUCAAAUUUAAUUGAGGUAGUUAACUAUCAAGGAAACCUUAACAAGAAGCAUAAAACCAUUACUUAAUUAUUUUUAAUAAAAAGAGCCCUCAUCUCACAUCAAGAAAGCACACAUCAAGUUUUUAAAUUCUUUCGCAAUUAAUCCUUAAAAGUUCAAACCAAACAAAAUUCAUUUGGAAAAUUAAAAAUUACAGCAAAUUCAAAAAAAAAAAAAUUCCCAAGAAAAGAAAAACCAUUAUAUAUAACUAAAACCCCUUUUAUAAGAUCAUCACACCAAUUUUAUUAUUUUUUCAAUUAGUUGUUAAUAUUUUAUUACACAUAAUGUGGACCCUACGAAUGACAUAUCAUCACUUAACUGAUUUCGCUACGAUCAAAGUAAUGACGGAACCAUAUAGCAAUAAAUUUCCAAUGUGGGGUACUAUAUUAUUAAAAUUGAAAGGGCAUGGAUAAAUAACAUACCUAACGGCUUAAGGAUACAAUUGCUUGGUAACUUAAUUUUAUGUUCGUUUAUUAAAACUAACCCACAGCUGUAAAGACGUCUCUCAUCUUCAUCAAGGAGGAAGUAACUCUAUAGCCCUGCCCUUCAGGGCUGGCCUAACCGAAACGGCCUGCACUUCAGGGCUACCUCUUUCUCUUACUACCCAAGUGCGUGAUGUAACCUGUAACUCCUUUGCAUCCAGAUUGGCACGCCGACAAGGGCCCACUGUGCCCCUCAUGUGCGCGCACAUGCCGUCCGCAGGCUCCUACCCCUUCCUAACCAUCCUUAAUGCCCCCACAUUGGGUCACAAACUCACAUGACUGAGCUCAGCACUUCUCAAACCAAGACUUGGGUAUAUUAGGUGCUUAACUUUUCUCUAUUUUAUCGAUGUGGGAUUGUGAAUACAUAAAAUCUGAGUUAUCUUUCUUCACGUAUUUGAAUGAAAAAGCUUUGCAUCUCUUUGGUCAUAUCUAUUUAACAUGAAAUAGAAAGAUGAUUUUUCUAACAGUUUUUGCGUAUUUCAACUAAGUUAUGAACACCAAACAGAUUGAACAAAAUGGAGAAAUCUAUUGCUUGUUUUGUUUGGUUUCAAACUAUACAAGAUGGUUGCCAAGAGCAUUUUCGAGUGCCAUUCUCAAUGAAGAUCCUGUGCACGUAGAACAAUCCAAAGAGUUGAUUGAUUUGCAGAGUCCAAAUCUUAUGUUUUUGCCUCAAGAAUUCUGGGGUUGGGGAUUUAUACUUUGGCCUUCAGCUUCGACUAGAUAAACAAGUUUAUUGUUGACGCACCAACUUCCCCAAAUAUCCAAUUUGAAGAAAGAAAUUUUCAAAGUCAAUACUCAGUCUCCUCUGAUAAACUUUAUGAAUGGAAUAUUGAUGGUCUGUCUGAACAAGAAAUUAUGAAUAAAUUACAACAUAUGUUUACGGUCGCCAAUAGUUACAUUACUAACCAUAACCUAAAACAGUCAGAAAUAGUACCUCUCCUAGAAAUAGGAUUCACAAGAACCUUACGUAUAAAAAUAAAUUUUUUAAAAAAGAAAAAGAUAAAAUAAAUUAUUUAACAAAUAAAAAUGGAUAGAAUAAAUAAGAUAGCAGAGUAAAUUCAACCAAAAACAAAAGCCAUAAAAUAUGUAAAAAGAAGAGCACAAAACAAAAACCAUAAAAUAUGUAAAAAGAAGAUGCACAAAAGGAUGGAGGUUGGGUUAUAGAGCGGGCCUGGAGCCUAACAGAGGGUGCCGGCACGUGGAACCCAAGCACAGACAAACGGAGCGCCAUCUGCUGCUCUAAUAAGCCAGCAUUCUUUGUUGCACAAAGACGUUUGAUCUUUUCCACUUCGUUGUCAGCCUCGGAAGAUCUCUACCUAAUUACAGGCAAAGCGGCAUUUUUGCAAAGCCACCUCUCCCACUCUCCAAUUCUGCGACGGGGGUUAAGAACCCACAAUCUCGCCCCAACCCCAAAGCAUCUCUGGCCAAAUUUGUGCCUCGCAUAUAGACGUCUGACACCGAUUUCAUGCGGACGACGUUACACACUCUUCCCUUCCAUGCCAUCCUUAUUGCCCCCACUUUGGGUCACAAGUCAGCGUGACUUGACUCGGCAAUGGACGUUCGUAGAACUUGUUAUAUAAAUAGCACCACCGAAGUAUAAUUUGUCGAUGUGGGACAAAAUUGCAUGGCCUGGCGAGUUUUUUUGAUUUUUUUUUCCCACUUGAAAAAGAGUAAGUGGGUUUGUUGUCCAGAGAUUAAGGUACGGGCUCCAUUUGCUCCUGUGGCUAUUUCUCCGGAACAUGUUGCACAGGCGAUGAGUUUUUCUCAAAUACUUCUUUCUGACUUCGUUCUCUUCUCUGUAUAGUUUUGCUUGAUAUAAUUCAGUAGAAAUGCUAGCUUUAUAUUGGCCCUUUUUUUUUCUUCUCAUUUGCUGGAAAUAUAAAUCUCGUACAAGCUUUACUGGUCUUUUUCUCUCCUUUCUCUUCUUUUUGUUUAUUUGUUUUUUAAAUAUAAAAAUAAUAAUUAAGCAUGUACGGAAUCAGGAUAUUCAUGUGGUGAAAACUAGAAGAGUACUUUUGUUUCCCCUGUAAAGAGAGUAAGUGGGUGUCCAAUUUGACCCCAAAAAAAUUUCAUUUCCCUCUUUUCACAUAAAACUGAAAUUAAUUAUCAAACAACUUUUCUCAGUUAUUAGUUUUAAAAAAUAAAAAUAAAAAACUGAUAGUUAUCAAAAGGAUUCUUAAUAUUUUUGUUUCGUCUUGUUCUGAAUGAGAUACCUUUACAUAUUUUAUUCGUUUGUUUUGUAAUUCUUUGUCAUAGAGUUUAGGGAUUAUGAUUUCGCCUUUUCCAGUUAAGGGAUUAUGAUUUCGAAACUUGAUGCUUACCUUUAUUUAUUAUUUAUGUUGAGUCUGAAAAAAGAAAAUGAUUUGGUUGUCAAUUUGUGAAUAAUAGGAUGGUACGAGAAAAACUAAAAGAAGAUUAGGACCCGUUUGAUAACUAUUUCGGUAUUUUGUUUUUAGUUUUUAGUUUUCAAUUCAAAGAAAUUGAAAGCAUAAAACUUCUUUGGUUAUCAAUUUUAGGACCCGUUUUGUAACCAUUUUAUUUUAUUUUUGAUUUUCUUCUUUUUUAUUAUAAAAAAAAACUGAAAACAUAUUUGAUAAAACUUUUCAUUGUCAGUUUUCAAAAUCACCCUUUCUAAUUCUCAUGAAUCAAACAUUUUCAAACAAUCCAUUCUCCAAAACAAACAAUGCUUAAUGAGUAUUGACAUCUGAAUCAAUGCGUGUUGAUGAACUAUCUAAGACAACAUGCAAACUACGUUCAUUAGAUAUAUGCUUUUGACCUCAUUAUUCUUGUAGUGAACUACAAUUAGAAUAGUAUAUUACAAUUUUGGAUGUCGAAACGGUUUUCGAUUUGUCUAAUUUUUUAUAAGGAUGAUUUAUGAAUGAAGACCUUAAAAAUAGAGGGUUUGAAUCAUUGAAAAAAUAUUUGUAGGAUACCUUAACGGGUGUCCCUUAAAUAAAUUAUUUGAAGGAUCCUCAAUAUAUAUAUAUAUAUAUAUAUCCUUUGCAGCCUCUUCCUCUACCCUAGAACGAGACCUAGAGUUAGAGAAAGCUUUAAUUGAUUUAAAAUUGGAAUCACUGAGAAAAACUUCCCAAGUUACCCAUCCUGUUUGUGAAAAAAUUCCAGUACAAGAAGAUACUAAGUCUGAGUCCCCUGAAUCACCCACUCAAUCCGAUUUCAUAGGUAAUCAACUGAGAACACUUAAUAAAAUAUUUGUAAUUAAUUGGAAAUGACUAGAUAGUCAUUUGCAUGCCCCUGAGAAUCAAGGUAGAAGAGAUUAUUACCAUUCAAUCAUCCCUGAUAGAAUUCAAAGACAACAAAUUUUUAAUGAUUGGAAAGAAUACAUGCGCACUGCUAAAGUUGAAAUAUAUUAACUUGAUUUUGUAGAAAACCGACAUUUACCCAAUGAGUUAAAAACUUUAACCCAAGAAAAAUGGGAAAAAGUAGAUCACACUGAGAUUCUUGCUAGUCAUCCACCCGUUGAAACAAUAAUCAUUAAGCAUCAGAAAUCUAAAAUAGUCGCAUGCCCCUUUAAGAUCCCUGAUCCAGAGAAUAAAAUGAUAGUUGAACAAAAUAAUUACACCAACCAAAGUCUAGUUGUCAUAGGUAAACAAUUAGAUAAGAUAGAGACAAAAGUCGACAAGUUACUUCCAACAGAGCUCACACCUAAACAUCAUGAGAAACCCCUAGUUACAUUCCAAGAUUUAAAAUCAAAUCCAACUUUUAAGACAAAAGAAACAAUGACAAAAAUUGAGAAAAUGUUAGAAGAAUUAACGCCAGUCAAAAGAAAAGACAAAGAAAAGGUUGAAUCAAGCGUUAAAGUCCUAGGAUCCUCUGAGUCACCAUUUGUUUUCCAUAACUCCUCUAAGUCUGAAUCAAUCGUUAGUAUGGAAACAUAAACUAGUAAUAUAUCUAAAAUUGAAAAUGCGUUUAGAAAUCUUGAGUUAGAAAAUAAUCCAAAAGUCCAAAGAUUAACAAAUAGAGUCAGUCCCAAUAGUCUAACAAAAAACUGGUAUCCUAAGCCAACACCUUCUGAUAUACAAUUUGAAGAACGAAACACCUAAAGUCAGUUUUCAGUCUCUUCAGAAAAGUUAUAUGAAUGGAAUAUUGAUGGUCUUUCUGAGCAAGAAAUUAUUAAUAAACUUCAACAUAUGUCCAUGGUUGCUAAUAGUUACAUCACCAAUCACAGUUUUAGACAGUCUGAAAUUGUUCCUUUGCUAGAAACUGGUUUCACUGGAACUCUUCAUUCUUAGUGGGAUAAGCAUUUAACCCAUGAGUCUAAGCAACAUAUAAUUCAUGCAGUCAAACUUAAUGAAGACGGUCUUCCCAUUUUUGUUGAACAAAUAGGUCAAGUCAUUGAAGAUGGAGUCAACACUCUGCUAUACACAAUAGUUGAACAUUUCAUUGGAACACCCAGUAAUACUACUGCUAGGAUACAUGAUCAGCUUAGUAACUUAAGGUGCCCAAAAUUAUCUGAUUUUAGAUGGUAUAAAGAUGUGUUUAUUUCAAGAGUCAUGCUUAGAGAUGACAGUAAUCAGUCAUUUUGGAAAGAAAAAUUUGUUAAUGGUCUUCCUAAUUUAUUUGACCAUAAGAUCCGAACAACCCUUAGCAACGAACAAGGUCAUAUUGAUUGGGAUAGUUUAACAUAUGAAAAUAUAAUUAGCACGAUUAAUCAAGUCGGUAUGAGAAUGUGUGUUGAUAUAAAGAUUGGUAAACAAAUUCAGUCUGAGAGAAAUUCUGCUAAAUAUGAGUUAGGUAAUUUCUGUGAACAAUAUGGUCUAAUAUCUAUUCCCCCGUCUAGAAAGAAUAAGUCUAGUCACCACAACCGACAAUUUAGUAAACGUUGCCAUUAUUCACGCAGAAGACAAUCAUUCCAACAUAAUAAUGAGGAUAAAGAAUUUUAUAGUAAAAAGAGAUUCCCCCUUAAGAAAAACUGGAAAAAGAGUCACAGCAAAGAUAAGAAUAAUCGCUUUAAGAAAAGUACCAACAAGAGAAAAGUAAAAUGUUAUAAAUGUCAAAAGUUUGGCCACUAUGCUAAUAAUUGCAAAGUUAAAGACACAAUCAAACAAUUAAAAAUCACGGAUGAAGAUAGAGACAAACUGAUUGAAGUCCUUGAGUUAAGAAAUUUUGAGUCAAGUGAAAAUGAAACCAUGGUUAGUAGCACUGAGUCUUUAGAAUCUAUCUCCUCAGAUUCCCAAUUAAGCUCACCCAGAAUUCAAUUUGGUUGCCAAGAUAAUUGCUUUAAGUCUAAGUCAAUUAAUGUCCUUACUAAGCAAGAAGAAAUGAAGAAUUAUUAAUUGAUUUAAUAAGUAGAGUUGAAAACCCAGAAUUAAAAUCUGAGUAUUUAAGGAAAUUAAGAAAAGUCAUCAGCCAAGAAGAAUCUAAACAGUCUAAUUCCCAAAAGAUAAGUCUGAAUACAACCUUAGAGAACUUUAAUAAAAAGAAAGAAGUCACUUUAUAGGAUUUACAAUUAGAGGUAAAAUUAGUAAAAAAAAAAAUAAUUGAGAUAAAACAAAUAAGUCAAAAGUUACAAAGUGAAAAUUAUGAGAUAAAACAAGAAUUAGUUAACUUAUUAGAAAAGAGAACUUCUGAGUUUACACCAGUUAAUCCCACAAAUUCUGACGAAGAACCCUCCAAUCAGGAUCAUGUCGUCAAUUUAAUCAGAUAAGUCAAUUUUAGAAAAUGAUAUGCUAAAGUCACCAUAUUUGUAAAAAAAAUUUGAGUUAAACACAAUCGCCCUCUUUGAUUCAGGUGCCGACCUUAACUGCAUCCAAGAAGGUCUAAUCCCCACUAAAUAUUAUAAGAAAUCAAAAGAGUCUUUAAGCAUAGCCUCAGGAAAGUCACUCUAGUUAAAUUAUGAAUUCCCUAAGGCCCAUGUCUGUCAAAACAGAAUCUGUUUUAAGACCUCUUUUGUCUUAGUUAAAAAUAUAACUGACGCAGUCAUCUUAGGUUUACCCUUUAUUACCCGCUUAUAUCUUUUCCAGGUCGAACACGAUGGAGUCAUUUCCACCUGUUUAGGUGAAAAGGUUAAGUUUGAAUUCCUGAGUAAACCAGAGUUACAUAAUUUAAAAGAAUUACAGAAGAAUGCAGUCACUAAAAUAAUCAGAGUCAUUCAAAAUAAAGAUAAGCAACUAGAGUUUCUCCAGGAAGAAGUUAGAACAAAACAAAUUGAGCAACAACUUAGUCAUAAGUCAUUACAGUCACAAAUUCGAUAGUUUGAAGAAAAAUUAAAACAAAAAGUCUGUUCUGAGUUACCCAAAGCUUUUUGGGAUAGGAAACAGCAUGUAGUCAGUCUUCCUUAUGUCAAGACCUUUAGUGAGAAAAAUAUACCCACUAAAGCCAGACCAAUACAAAUGAGCAAAGAAUUAACGAAAUUUUGUAAAACUGAGAUCACAUAAGUACUUGAGAAGGGGGUCUUGUCCUGCUUUCUAUGUCCAAAAAAAUGCUGAACUAGAACGCGGAGUCCCGAGAUUAGUCAUUAAUUACAAGCCGCUUAAUACUGUCUUAGAAUGGAUUAGAUAUCCGAUUCCUAAUAAAAGAGAUCUAAUUAAUAGAUUAGAAAAGUCAGUCAUUUUUUCUAAGUUUAACAUGAAGAGUGGAUUUUGGCAAAUUCAAAUUUGUGAGUCUGAUAGAUACAAAAUUGCUUUUGUUACCCCAUUUGAUCAUUAUGAGUGGAAUGUCAUGCCUUUUGGUCUUAAGAAUGCGCCCAGUGAAUUUCAAAAUAUAAUGAAUGAGAUUUUUAAUCCUUACAGUCAUUUUUCCAUAGUCUAUAUUGAUGAUGUGCUCGUCUUUUCUGAGUCGAUAGAGCAGCACUGGAAACAUCUGCAUAAAUUCUUAUAGAUAGUCAAACAAAAUGGAUUAGUUGUUUCUGUUAAGAAAAUUAAGUUAUUCCAAAUUAAUGUGAGAUUCCUUGGGUUUAAUAUCUGUCAGUCAUAGACAAAAGUCAUCCAGUUUGCUGAUAAGUUUCCUGAUCAAAUCACAGACAAAAGUCAACUCCAAAAAUUUUUAGGAUCUCUAAAUUAUGUUUCUGAUUUCUAUAAGAAUUUGAGAAAACAAUGUAAGCCUUUAUUUGAUCGUCUCCAAAAUAAUCCUCCUCCUUGGUCAUCUAUUCAUACUGAUAUAGUCAAACAGAUCAAAGCUCAUACUAAAACACUUCCCUGUCUUGGUAUCCCUUCUGCUCAUUCAUUCAAAAUAGUUGAAACUGAUGCCUCUAACAUUGGUUAUGGAGGUAUCCUCAAACAAAGAGUUAAUUCUAGUCAAUCUGAGCAAAUCAUUCGAUUCCAUUCUGGUACUUGGUCUUAGUCCCAAAAUAAUUAUAGUACUAUUAAAAAAGAGAUAUUAUCUAUUGUACUAUGCAUUAAUAAAUUUCAGUCUGAUUUAUUAAAUCAAAAUUUUUUAAUCCGAGUUGAUUGUAAGUCUGCUAAGCAUAUUUUAGAAAAAGAUGUUCAAAAUAUUGCAUCCAAACAAAUAUUUGCAAGAUGGCAAGCUAUUUUGAGUAUCUUUGAUUUUGAUAUUGAGUAUUUGAGAGGAAGUGAGAAUUCUGUCCCUGAUUUUCUUACCAAAGAAUUUCUACAGGGAAAACAAUGGCAGAAAGAAGAAAAGAAAAAGACAAGCAAAAGAGUCAAAUUGGUCAAUCUAGUCAACCCAGUCAUCCCCAGUCACUCCGAGUCCUCCCUCCAUCAAUGAGUCAAGCCAAACAUGAGUCACCUUCGCAGAUUGUCCCUUUCCCGGGAUGUUCUCCUAUCCAAAUUAGUAACAGAUUUGCCAACCUAGGAGCCCCAGUAGGCCGAGUUCGCCCUAGUUUCCAGUCUGCCCUAAUAUCCAGUCAUGAUCCCUUCCAGGAUAUUGCUCCCAGUUGCCUCUUAUCAUAAGACGUCUCCAUACACGAUCAAAAGUAAUAUCACCUAUUCGUAAUUGAGUCAAAAUACAAUUCCAUUGCCAAUCCAAUCACCAUUGCCAAAUCCUACUUUCCACCAAAUAGUCAUUUCAUUCCUCCAGCACCAUUCAAAAAUUUAAAAUUUUACAGAGACAUCCUCCAUGAGACCCAAUCCAUCACAAUUAAAACAAUCAAAGACAGAGACAACCCCCAUAUCAUCCUUUAUCAUUCUCUUUACAUCCAUCAAAUCAUCGGUGAGAAUGAAUGGAGCAGUCACCUAUAUAAUCUCAAAGUUCUUCAGUCAGAACUUCAAUACAGUUAUUAUGAUUAUAUCGAAGCAUGGUAUUCUAUCUUGCUUCACCAAACAGUUGAUUUUAGUCAUUCAUGGUUCCUCAAUUUUGACAGCAAAUUUAAGAGUCCUUUCCCCUACUAGUUCAAUCAUUGGUGGGAAAAACAUGGUCCAGUCAUUGAUCUAUUUCCUCCUCCAAUGCAAGAUUUAGUCAAUUAUUUCACUAAUAAAAAUAAGUUUAAAGAGUCUGAGUUGUUCUUCCCAAAUCUUCUCCAUUUUGUUGCUAAGUACAAAGUCCCUUGGAUCCUCAAAUGGUCAUACCAAGUUAAUUGGGAAACUAGAGUCCUAUCCCGUCAAUUUUCAAUCAAAUGGUGGGAUAAAUUUAAACUUGAGCAUAUUGCAGAUUAUGUUUAUGCUGAUUUUCCUCCAGUCAGGAAUCCACAGCCUGAGAAAAAGUCAUCCCCUGCUACAUCACAUUCUUCUCUUCCAAUCGAGGAAAAAUCUAAGUCUGAGUUGCAGGAAAUUGCUCGCCAGCUAAUGUUACAAGCCUCACAAAUGAAUGAAGAUGAUGAUAGUGAUGCCACUCCCAAGUCACAAUCAUCCACCAGUCAACCAAAGUCAUCCCCAAAAUGCGGUGGAGUGAUUACCCUCUUGAUGAUCAAAUCCAUGGUCAAGACCCUUAUGAUUUUAGUCCUCUUGACCUCAGAGAUGAUUAAAGUUGCCCAACAUCAUGAGUCCUGAGACAGACAAAGCAUUCGGAAUCUUGGACCCGUGCUUUAACAGUCUGGUAGCCCGUGCUCCUUUAGUCCGAUUCUCCGACAAAGUAAAAUUUACAGCACUCAGUAAAAGCAAAAGCUUUCGCGUGCUUCUACAGUCACUCUCCAAGCAUCCAAUGUUGCCAGCUCAUCAAUAGUUACUUUAUUUGCUUAUUUAAGAAGGCCUUGGCCUCAGUCAUCCACGUAAUGUAAUUAGUACACUAUAAUUUUCUCAGUUUCAAAGUUCUAUCAGCAUCAAUGCUCUGAAGAACUAAGUGGUGAAACUAGAAUCUUUGUAAGUGUUUUACAUUCAAGUUAUCAAUUAUAUUUUGAGUAUUUUGAAUAAUGCUAUUUUUGAUUGCAUCUAUUUUCAUAUAUUCAUUAAUUUGUUUCAUGCAUAAGUUGAGUCUGUUUUAUUAUCUCUGCCUCUGUUCUUAUAUUAUCCCUUCUAUCUCUUCUUGGUUCUAGACCCUUCUAGCAAAUAAAGUAACUAUUGAUGAGCUCGCAAGAUUGGAUGCUUGGAGAGUGACUGUAGAAGCACGCGAAAGCUUUUGCUUUUACUGAGUGCUGUAAAUUUUACUUUGUCAGGAAAUCGGACUAAAGAAGCACGGGCUACCAGACUGUUGAAGCACGGGUCCAAGAUUCCGAAUGCUUUGUCUGUCUCAGGACUGAUGAUGUUGGGCAACUUUAAUCAUCUCCGAGGUCAAGAGGACUAAAAUCAUAGGCGUCUUGACCAUGGAUUUGAUCAUCAGGAUAUAUAUUUGUGUGUAUGUGUGUGUAUGUACAUGACGAGUAGUAUAUAUAUUAUAACAUAAUCAAUGCCAAUUGUUAGAUUUCCUUUAUGAUUAUAACACAUUAUAUAAUAAUUCAUGUUUCUUCAAUAGAUUCUACAAAGGGCCAUACUUGAUUUGUGUGUGAAUAUAUUCAUGUACAUAAGUAAAUAAGAAUCCUUUUCUUUUUAAAACUACGACAUAAAUUUUUGUAGCUUUGUGUAUCGUCAAAGGGGCAAGGCAUUCCUUCAAUACUUUUAAAAAAGUACACGGCAUUGGAUACCUUUAAAGACAACUUAAAAUACGUUGACAUUUCUCUUCAUUUUAGUGCCAAUCAAAAAUUCUAAACAAUAUAUGAAAUUUAUUUUAUUGAAAAUUGUACUAAUAUUGUAAAAUCUGGUAUAAGGAAUUCUAUAUUCCAUGGUAUUUACAUACAAUAUGUGCAGGUACAUAUAUAGGGAUUGAUACAGCAAUAUAGAUCCCACAAUUAUGCAGUUAGCCAAACUAGGACCCCAAACACGAGGUCAUGCUAUCUCUAAACUAGGCAAGAAUCAAUUACAAUAUUCUCAAAUAUCAAUUGGAAUAAACCCAUAUCUCAACACUCCACCUCAAAUUGGCGAGUGGAUAUUGUACACUUCCAACUUGCCAAGUAGUGUUCCAAAGGAAGCCUUCCUUAAUGGUUUUGUGAAGAGGUCUGCCACUUCAAAUUUGUUGGCGUGUAUGUAGUGGAAACCAAUCCUGGUGUAAUAUUUUGUCGCACCAAAUGACAAUCCAGGUCAAUAUGUUUUGUCCUUUCAUGGAAGACAAGGUUUUUGGCAAUGUGUAAUGCUGAUUGGUUAUCGCAGUGUAGUGUCAUUGGUUCUGAAUGUUGAAUGCCCAAAUCAUUGAGAAUAUAUCUCAACCAUGUUAACUCGCAACAUGUAUCCACCAUGGCACGGUACUCCGCUACUGCAGACGAACGUGCAAUGGUGUUUUGUUUCUUUGAUUUCCAUGAGAUCAGAGAGUUGCCAAGGAAGGUAGUAAACUUUACAAACCAGUUACGUGAAGCUUGUUUCAGACCAUAUAGAGAUUUGUGUAGCUGACAUACCAAAUUCUCCCCAUGUCGGCUAAAAUCAGGCAGGAGAGUCAUGUAAACCUCCUCGUCCAAAUCGCCAUGGAGGAAGGCGUUUUGAAAGUCGAGUUGAUGUAAGGGCCAAUUACGGACGGCGGCAAGAACAAGAAGACAUUGGAAUGUAACUAGCUUGGCAGUGGGAGAAAAGGACUCGAUAUAGUUGAGGCCCUCUUGUUGAGUGUAGCCUUUGACUACAAGUCGCGCCUAGUACUGUUCGACAGAGCCGAUAGAGUGGUACUUCACCUUGUAGACCCAUUUGCAGCCAAUGGGAGGCUUUCAUGCAAGUAAAGAGGUAAGAGACCAUGUGUGAUUUUGCUCAAGCUCCUGCAGUUCCUUUGCCAUGGCAUCGUACCAAAGAGGGUCAGUGGAAGCCUGGGCAUAGGUAGUGGGCUCUAUGAUUUUGGAGAUGCUGCAACAAAAGUGUGAUGAGUAGAAGACAAGUGAUCAUAAGUUUGAAAAUGGGACAAUGGAUACCUGGAACCUUUACCCGGUGUGGAGGAAGAAGACGACUGAGCAGGGGUAGGCAGCAUGGUAGAUUGCAGUGAAAGCCACGUAGAAGGAUGGAAGGUUGAGGAAUACGGUGAGAGCGAAGAAGAGGAGGUGGAGAAGGAGGAGAGGGCAGCAAUAAGGUAAGAGGAGAUGGCAUGGUGGGACUAUUUUGAUCAUGAGUCAUGGUAGGGGAGGAUGGUGAAGGAAGUGUGGUGUCGUGAGGGGAUUGAGAAAAAGAAUGGUCGGUGAGGUCACCUAGGGUGGUGUGUGGGGUAUCUAGAGGAGGUGGAAUAGGUGGGUCAGAAAGUGGUAUGGGUAUGGGUUGGUCAUGGUUAGCAGAAAGUGGCGUGGGCUAGGAAACAGGCAUAUGAGGGACCAUGUGUGGGCUUAAAGUGGAGGAGACGUAGGGAGGAUGGGGAUGGUGGUUGUGUGGGGAGUAGCAAAAGGAAAAAUAUUUUCAUGAAAAAUAAUCGCGGCUUCUGAAGAAUUUGUGAAUGUCAAGAUCAUAAAGAUGAUACGCCUUUUGCCCAAAAAGAUAGCCAAUGAAGAUUCAUUUUCUAGCUCGUGGAUCAAAUUUAUUGGUUGGUUGAAGGUUAGUGGCGUAACAUAGACAACCAAAGAUGCGAAGGUGACGAUAUGGUGGUGGAUGGCCAAAGAGGAGUUCACAAGGGGUUUUAUCAGUCAAAAUGGCGGUAGGUAAGCAAUUAAUGAGGUAGGCUGCGGUGAGAACACACUCCCCCCAGAGUUUGGAAGGGAGGUGUGCAUGAAAGCAAAGGGCACGAGCCAUUUCUAAGAGAUGUCAGUGUUUUCGUUCGACAACACCAUUUUGCUGGGGUGUGUAAGUACAAGUGUGUUGAUAGAGAACACCAAGAUCUGCAAAGAAAGUUCAAAGCGAGGAAAACUCUCCUCCAUUGUCCACACGGAUAGCUUUUAUUUGUUUAUUAAAUUGUGUGGACACAAAGGAAAAAAAAGAUUUCAGCAGAUUUUGUGUUUCAAAUUUCAGUUUCAUCAAAUAAAUCCAUGUGGUACGAGAGAAAUCAUCAACAAUAGUUAAAAAAUAUCGGGCACCAGAAUGAGAGGCAAUCUUAUAUGGACCCCAGAUGUCACAGUGAAUUAAAUCGAAAGGUGUGUAGGGGUCUUUUUGUUCCAAUAGCUUGACGAAUGGGCUUGGGCUGCCGUAAGAAGAAAAUGAACAGAAAUUCCCCAAGUGCUUGAGUUCGAGAACCAAGCUCCCAAGAGGGUUUUUGAAAAGUCUGAUGAAACUUAAAAAAAAGACACUCUUAGGUUCUUUUCACUAAUAGCUAGAUAAUCAUAAUAAAUUGAUGAGUGACUUAGCUUGGGGAGCUUGUGGCAUGGGAGCUAAGCUUUCACAAGUUUAGCAAUUUGAGAGAGAGAGAAGCAUGGAUUUCUUACAGAGAACGAAAGUUUGAAGUAAGACAGAGGAAAAUCAGAACAAUUUCUAUCUUAAAGGAAGAAGAAAAACAAAUGAAGAAGAAGAUUGGGUGACUUGAUUAAAUUCUCAGUUUCUUGACAAAGCUUGGUCAGGCUGUGAAUGAUGAUUUUUCUGGGUAGAGAAAGCUCCCUUUUAUAGGCAUAAAGAACUCCUAAUUUUUUCUAAUGUCACAUCCCGGGAUCAGCUCCGCCGUAACACGAUAUUGUCCGCUUUGGGCCCUCCUCUCUGCCCGCACGGUUUUGUUUAUAGGAGCUUACUAGCAACUUCCCAGUGGGUCACCCAUCCUGGGAUUGCUCUAGCCCCUAACUCGCUUAACUUUGGAGUUCCCAUGAUUCUGAAGCUAGUGAGCUCCCAAAAGGCCUCGUGCUAUGGAGGCGGACAUGUACAUAUAAGGCACAUCACCCCCUCUCCGUUGGUCGAUGUGGGAUGUUACAAUCUACCCUCCUUAAGGGCCCGACGUCCUCGUCAGCACACUCGUACCACACGGCAGAGUGGCUCUGAUACCAAAUUGUCAUAUCCCGGGAUCGGCUCCGCCGUAGCACGAUAUUGUCCACUUUGGGCCCCCCUCUCUGCUCGCACGGUUUUGUUUCUGGGAGCUCACGAGCAACUUCCUAGUGGGUCACUCAUUCUAGGAUUGCUCUAGCCCCCAACUCGCUUAACUUCGGAGUUCCCAUGACUCCGAAGCCAGUGAGCUCCCAAAAGGCCUUGUGCUAGAUGUAAGCGGGCAUGUACAUAUAAGGCACAUCACCCCCUCUCUGUUGGUCAAUGUGGGAUGUUACAUCUAACCUCCUCGUUCCUUUUCCUUUGCUUCUUUCCAUUCAAUCCUUUUUUGUGCAAGUUUCCUAUCCAAGGCGCAUAGGUAAGAAGCCCUUUGGGGUUCCAAGGUUUGGAUGCAGUUGGACUUCUCCAUAAGGGUGAGGGCCACCCACUUUCUUCCCUGUUUUUCCUAUGGAGGCUAACAGAGGAAAAGAAGAAUGGACAACUCGUUUUGCCUAAUGAGUAUCCCUCCUUCCCUACGAAUUUCCUUUGGUUUCUAGAGUGGCCUCCAUUGACUCUGUCAUAGAACUUUGGGCAAAGGCUGAACACGCUUGCUAGAUAUUUUGGAGAGCACUUGGGCUGGGCUUUUCCCAAGAUUUUGGGUCAGUAGUAGUCUAUUCUACAACCACUAGUUAACUUGUUUUCGUCAAGCCACUAGAAGUAGUUGGCCUAUAGCAUUUUUAACAAAGUAUUUGGGUACUCUAAUUAACAUAGGGUUUCCAAAGCAAACUACUAUAUUCUUUCUAAGGCAUUGGGUUAUGUUCUCUCUCCCAUGCUAGCCCAUGUGUUUGGAUCCAAGAAAUGGGCUUGAGUUUUGGUGCUCCCAAGCAGCCCAAAACUUCCAUUCCUUGAUCCCUCAAUAGGCCUUGCGAACGCUUGUACCCAUCCACACCAUAACCUUCUUAGCAAGCCCCAGGUAAUUACGUGGCUUGGGCCCACUUAAGCUUGUUGCAUGGCUUAGCAUUAAAAUAGUGAUUCUUCUCAUGGCUUUGCGUAUUGAUUUCAUUGCAUGAUAAUUUGGCCAUGACUAGAUCAAAUAGCAUUGGAUUCGGUGAGCGUGAAUUUACAAAGCUAGUGAAUUUUGGUCCCUUUGUGCAUGCUUGCUUGGCGUGACUCAUGGCUCCCGGCCUAUGUAAGCGCGUUCUUCGAUUUCUCUUAUGCCCCGAUCCAGCCUUUCUCGUGACUUAUUCGAGUUGGGCUAAGAAUGACCCUGGGCCUAGCCCUUGGAUUUUUGGGCCUCAACAAGGUGCAAUACUUUUUAUUGAACUAUAUUGCAUUGGAAGGAAAAGGUAGCCUAGUUUGUUUGGCCAAAGGACAAAAAUCACAAACAUGCGUAGGAAGUGAAAUAUCAUAAAAAUGUUUAGACAAAGAGCGAAGUUUGGCAUUGGAAGGGUGUCCUAAUCGAAGAUGCCAGAGGUUGUGGGAAGCAGACACAUGAUAUCUGGAGGAAGAAUGGAGCUGCGGAGCAAGUCGUUGUGGAUCGAAAUAAUACAGGUUUCCAUGCCUCUUACCCAACCCAAUCAUCUUCUUCAUGCGCAAGUCUUGUACAUAACAAAAGGUGGGAAAAGAACAAACACAACAAUUUAGUGAUGCAGUAAGGCCAGGGACAGACAAUAAAUUAACAUUGAAAGAAGGGACACAUAAGACAUCGGUAAGACGAAAAAUAUCAUUAAAGUUAACAGUGCCUAUAGAUGUGAUGGGUGCCUUUUCCUCUGUGGCUCAUCCUGCUGGUGGAAGAUGUGUUGGUGAAUUUUCAGUUAAGAGUGCAUGAGAAUUGGUGAUAUGGUUUGUUGCGCCACUAUCUAUAACCCAGGCAUGCGAUAAAUAAGAAUUAGUUUGGGAACUAAGGCAAAAAGGAUAAUUUAGACCUGGAAAAUUCGCUUGGGAUUGGGAAAAUUCCUCCUUGCCAAUAGUACCAAUAAUUUGCUGACAUUGCUCAAGUGUGAGAUGAGGAGCUAUGUUUUGUAGGUGAUGAAUUUGUGCAUCUGGACUCUGAACAUUAUUCACAUUGGUAUAUUGCCGGUUGCUUCCAUGAGAUUGGCAGUUUUGUGAAGGGCGACCGCUAUCAUCAAGUUUGGGUACCACCUCCCUGCCGUGCCACUUGUGCCCUGGAGGAAAACCUUUAAGAAAAAAACAAGUAUCGAUUGUACGAGUUUUACCAUUGCAAUAAGUGCAUUGUUUCGACUCUCUAGGAUUUCCACGAGGUUGAAAGGAUGGUCAUAUGUUGGAUGACAAAGGCCGCUGUUGAAAGCCUUGCUUGCUAGUAUUGCCUUUCAUAGUGUGUAUACUGAGCAUUGCCAUGCUCUUGUUGUUGGCUGUGUUGUGGUGGGUGGAAGCAACUUGCUGCUGCUUCUCUUCUUGCAAAAGGAGGCUGUGUGCCUUAUGGGCAGUGAGAAAAGGUUGCAUAAGCAAUAUCUGUCCUCUAAUGGCUGCAUAGGAUUCAUGGAGCCCCAUUAGAAGUUGCAUUGAACCUUGCUCCUCCUCUCGCAUUGCAAUGGAUUUCAAAGGCCCACAAGUGCAGGGUUCCAUGUUGUUGUAGGAUGACAGUUCAUCCCAAUACCCCUUGAGUUUCGAAUAGUACGUGGAUAAGGGCAUUUGAUCUUGUGUAAGAGUAGCUAUUUCCUUGUGAAUCUGGAAAACCCUAGGCGCAUUAGUCUGCCAGAAUCUCUCUUCAAGGUCUGCCCAAAUUUCGUGGGUUGAGUCAGUGUAGAUAACACUAUUCGCAAGAUCUGGAUCCAGUGAGUUCAAGAUCCAUGAUAAGACCAUGUCGUUUCAAUGCCGCCAUCUAUCAAAUUCUGGCUUCGCUUUUAACGGCUUCUUGAUUGAACCAUCGAGGAAGCCUGUCUUAUUCUUCGCGCUCAAGGCUAGACGAAACUGGUGGCUCCAAGUGCUAUAGUUAUCUCUGGAUAAUGGCUUACCGACCAGGACCAUUCCAGGAUGGCCAGAUUGGAAUAAACCCAUAUCUUAACAAAUAUAUGUACCACACAUGCUCCUCCAUGAAUGCCAUACGAACCAACCUUCCUUCCUUUGCAGUUCAUAUAUAUAGCUUCUAUUCAGGGAUUCUUCAAAUUAGUUUAUUUGAGGGACACCUUUGUAGGGCUCACUCUCAUUGUAUUUCACUUAGGGUUAGCAAUGGGUUGUGUCAUGUCGGGUUCGUGUCGUGUCGCGAUAAUAAACGUGUCAAGAAUGCUCAAUCCGAAGCCAACCCAUUUAAUAAACAUGUCGUGUCGGGUUCGGGUCAUCUUUUAUUGUGCGGGUUUCAAGUUGUGUAACUGGUUCAUAAAUAAUAACAUGCAUGUUACGAAACUCACAACUGAAAAAAUUUAAAUUAAAAAAAAAACUGAGAGAGGAGAGAAAAUAUAAGAAAAAGAAAGAAAAAAAGAUAGAGAGAAGGAAAAGAAAGAAAAAAAAAUAGAGAGAGAUGAGAGAAGAGAGAAGGAAAGAAAGAAAGAAAAAAGAGAGAGGAGAGAAAACUAAAGAGAAGGAAAAGAAAGAAAAAAAAUAGAAGAGAGAAGAGAGAAGGAAAAGAAAGAAAAAAAAAAGAGAGAGGAGAAAGAAGAGAGAAGGAAAAGAAAGAGAAAAAAUAAAAUAAAAAAUGGGAAGAGAGACGGAAAAGAAAGGAAAACAAAUGAAGAAAAAGAAACAUUAUAAAUAUCAAAAGGCAUACCAUAUAAUCACAAAGUUCUUUGUAGCAUGGUGGAUAAGAUGUUGGAGAGAAAUGAGGAUGGUAGGGGUUUGAAAUCCCUUGUUAUGUGCUGAAGUCUCAAUUUCUCUUCAUUUUUUAGCGGGUUAGCCUGUAUGACACGAGUUGACACGACCCGUUUAAUAAACGGGUUAAAUAUGUGUUUUAACGGGUUGACCAGACAUCAGAGUGAAUUAACGUAAAUGGAGUAGUACACUUGUUCGUACUCAACGAGUAGGGCACACGGUGACUCUUGGCCAAAAUACAAGUAUCACAUCUGAAGUCAGAGUCCUUGAAACCUGAGAAUAAAUCUGGUAUAAGAUGCUUCAUAUAACUAAAAGACAGAUGUCCCACCAGAUUUGCUUUUGUUUGCUAUCAAAGGGAUGUGUCACGCUGUUAGCUAUGCCGGGACUGAAGUCAUCGACAUAAUAUAGCCCCCCUCUCUUAGUACCACAACCAAGAAUCUCCUUAGUGUGAAUAUCAUGAAGCAAACAAAAACUCGGGUAAAUGAGUACACAACAAUUCAAUUGUUCAGUAAGCUGACUAACUGACAACAAUUUAAUGGAUAAAGAUGGAACAAGUAAAGUAUUAGACAGUGUAAGAGAGGAUGAGAGUGCAACAGUGCCAGCCCCUGUCACAGGAUAAGUAACACCAUUGGCAUUUGUAAUACAGGUUCGUUGAGGUUGUGUAGUAUUCACAAAAUCAUCAGGAUCAAACUUCAUAUGAUCAGUUGCACCGGAAUCAAUUAUCCAGCUCCUGGAAUCAAUCUUAUCGGAAGUAUGGAAUCCAUAACCAGUACCAUUACUGGUCAUAUUGCAUUGUCCUCGAUCUAUAAGAGUAGCCCACCAAUUGGGGUAGCCAUGCGAUUUAAAACAAGUCUCACAAGUGUGUCUCGGAUCACCACAAUAUGCGCAAUCUAGUCCAUGUGUCGGGGUCGUUAGUCUAGUAGUCAUAAUCUGUGCAGCGGAAGAUGCAUAGGAUACAGGUUGAGUAGGAAUUGGGAUCGGAAUCUGAGCCUGAGUCGGGGCCUGAGUCGAAGUCGAAAUCGAGAUCAGGGUCUGAAUCAGAGACAAAUUUGGGGUUGGGGUCAUCAUCGGAGUGGGGGUCGGGGUCAUCGUCGUCAUAGUCGGGGUCGGGGUCGUUAAAAGAGGAUCCUGAUUCUGGAUCAGAUUCGGGGUCAAAGUCUGCAUCUGUAGGAGCGGAGCCAUCUGGGCACCCAACUCAACGAUGGUUGGUGGAGAAUGAGAGAAGGAGUCGGUGGUGCUACCUCCAUGAGGGUUGAAAAAAUCAUCAACCCCCAUAGCAGCGGCGGGGGUUUGAAACUAGAGUCAGCAAUUCCAAGAUCGCCGCUCUGAUAUCAUGCUAAAAUAUGAAAACUAUGAGAGAAUAUUUGUUUGUGGGAAUUUUCUUUGUAUUCUUCUCCUUGUAGGAGGUCAUAUUUAUAAUACAACGAAACCUGAAUGGGCAAGUAAAUAAUAAAUUCCUAAAUCUAUUUGCAGUAGGAAAUCAGGAAUUAAAGUAAAUCAAUUACAAUUAUAAUAGGAAUUCUUGGUGUGUAAGGAAAGUAAGUCAAUAUCCACAAGUCACGCCAACAUUGCUUCACAAAAAUCGAAACCAUGGAGAGUUUGCAACUCCAACUUUUGGCAAUUUAUUUCUUUGGUUUUUGCUUACACAAUUUCUAAUUUUAGGCUGUGCGGUGGCGGCUCCAUUUUAGGCCAUAUCGCCGCUUGUUGGUCAGUCAUUAGUUAUGUAAGUUCAGCUCGGUUACGAAUGGAUUCCACCCCUAUCUAAAGAGGUUAGUAUUUUUAUGUUACACUUGUUUUGGUACUUUUAGUUGUAUUGAAACUACAAUACAAUAUCUAGUAUGCGUAGAAUUAAAAAUUAAAUUAUUGAGGAGUUAUGUUGUGCUUAGAUAAGUAAAAAGGAUGAACAUUUUACUCAAGAGAUUUUCCAACUCCAACUUUUGGUGAUUUGCUUCUUGGGUUUUUGCUUACCUGAUUUCUAAUUUUAGCCCUUUGAUCAUUUGUCUUGCUCAAAUUUAAUUGAGGAAGUUAACUAGCUAGGAAACCUUAACAAGAAGCAUAAAACCAUUACAUAAUUAUCUUUAAAUGAAAAGAGCCCUCAUCUCACAUCAAGUUUUUAAAUUUUAUCACAAUUAAUCCUUAAAAGUUCAAACUUAAUUUUUGAAAUUUGGGUUUUUUUAAAAGUUCGUCUAUUAAACCUCUAAUUAGGAAAACCCCUUCACAACCAAACAAAAUUCAUUUAGAAAUUAAAGAGAAAAAAAAAACACCAUAUUCAAAAAUUCCCAAGAAUAACAAACCAUUAUAUCAAUAAAAAAUUACAUUUUAUUAAACCUCUAAUUAUUAACUUAUAUUAGGAAAACCACAUACACAAAAAAAGAUGGACGUAGGGGGUUGAAGAGUGGAGGCCCACGGUGGGUGGCGACAUGAGGGGUGCCGGCGAGUGAGGAUCCACUCUGGAGGGAGUAAUGCAGUAAGAGUGUCUUCUUGCUGCUCUGGUAAGCCAACGAGCUUUACAGCAUGCUGCAAAUUCCAUCUUCCAUCUUCGCAAGGCGGAAGGAUAUUCUUGACGGCCUGCACUUCAGGGCUGGCCUAGCCGAAACGGCUUGCACUUCAGGGCGACCUAUUCCUCUUCCUACCUCCUUUGCACCCAGAUUGGCACGCCGACAAGGGCGCACUUGCCCCUCAUGUGCUCUCACGUGCCGCAGGUUGUCCUCAGGCUCCUAACCCCCUUCCAAACCAUCUUUAUUGCCCCCACAAUGGGUCACAUCCUCGCGUGACUGAGCUUGGCUUUUCUAAAGCCAUUCUAUCGAUGUGGGAUUGUGAAGAUAUGAAAUCUGAGUUCUCUUUCUUCAUGUACUUUGAAUGAAAACCUUUGCAUCUCUUUGGUCAUAUCUAUUAAACAUGAAAUAGAAAGAUGAUUUUUCUAACAGUUAUUGCGUAUUUCAACUAGAUUAUGAACAUCAAACAGAUUGAACAAAAUGGAGAAAUCUAUUGCUUGUUUUGUUUGGUUUCAAACUAUUGCCAAGAGCAGUUUCGAGUGCCAUUCUCAAUGAAGAUCAUGUGCACGUAGAACAAUCCAAAUCUUAUGUUUUUGCCUCAAGAAUUCUGGCGUUUGGGAUUUAUACUUUGGUGUGUCUUAUGAAGGUCCUCCCUCUUUUAGUAGUGCUUAAACCCUAGAAUGCUAUGCUUCUAUUUUAUUUUAUUUUAUUGUUCGAAAAAUGCAAUGCUUCUAAGGACAAGCGAUAUUGAAAGCACAGCAGGAAAACCAGAAUUGCAAAAGGUUUCACUUUCAAUAUGGAAUUAUUAUGUAAAUCUAGAUAGUGACAACAUAUUAACACUAACCUGAUUCGGACAUGGUGAUGAUGUUGAUAGCACAACAGGGAAACCAGAGAGUUCUUCGUCUAGAUGGGGUGAAUUUCUGUAAAGCUUAGGUAUUUCAAGUUUAUGAGGGAACCCUCUAUUUAUAUGCAUCUCUCUAGGAGUCUUGCCCAUCAAGAAACUCCUAGAGAUAACCUUUAUGUGAUAGGAUUAUCUUCUCAUCUUUAAUUGACAAUCACUCAUCUUUACUUCUUUUAGAAUGCAUGCUUCUCCAAAAUCUAAAACCAUGGAGAGUUUGUAACUCCAACGUUUGGCAAUUUACUUCUUGGGUUUUCGCUUACACAAUUUCUAAUUUCAGGUGGUGCGGUGGCGACUCAUUUUUACGUCAUUUCGGCACUUGUCAGUCGGUCACUAAUUACGUAAGUUUGGUUCGUUUACCAAACCAAUUCCACCCCUAUUUGAAGGGGAUAGUAUUUUUAUGUUACACUUUUAUUGGUACUUUUAGUUGUAUUGAAACUACAACACAAUGUCUAUAUGUGUAGAAUUAAAAAUUAAAUUAUUGAGUUAUGUUGUACUUAGAUAAGUAAAAAGGAUGAAAAUUGUACUAAAAAGGAUUUUCCAACUCCAACUUUUGGUGAUUUGCUUCUUGGGUUUUCGCUUAUCCAAUUUCUAAUUUUAGGCCUCUAAUCAUUUGUCUCGCUCAAAUUUAAUUGAGGUAGUUAACUAGCAAAGAAACCUUAACAAGAAGCAAAAAACAUUACUUAAUUAUUUUUAAAUAAAAAGAGCCCUCAUCCACUACUACAUUUUACGAUUUGCGCGACGAAGAUAAUUUCGUCCCGCAGAGUUACAUUUAAUCGCACAAACUCAAGCGCGACAAAAAAUUCAUCGCUCAAAGAGCGUGAAGAAAGACUUUGCGCGACCAAUUGUUUCACUCAUCGCGCAAAAUUGUGCCACGGUUACCUUUCGUUACACAAAAAGUUCAGAGACGACACAACAGUUUUUCGCACGAACUUAUGCGCGACGAAAGAAGGUUCGUCGCCACAACAAUGCACGGCGGAUAAUAUUCGUCGUGCGAUACGUCUCAUAGACAUUUGAGGCACCAAGAGUUCUUCGUCGCGCAAUUCGUGUCUACAUAUUUUGCGCGACGAAAAAUUGUUGUCGCUCAUAUCCUUUUUGCGCGAUGAAAAGAUUCGUCGCGCAAGAAUAAAUUAUUUGUAUUUAAAAAAAAUGUAUCAUUUUUAUUUCGUAAUAUGUGAAUUUGCGCGACGAGAAAGGUUUCGUCGCGCAAAAUUAAUAUAUAUAAAUAUUAUUUAAUUAUUAUGUUUUUUUCAAUUUUAUAAAAAAAUAAAUUUGGUUUUUUUUUUUGGUAAUAAAAUGAAAUUCCAAUAAAAAAAAGAAUUGUAAAGAACAAAUUUAUUAUAUAAAAUAAAAUAAAUGUAUGCUGCAAGAGAAAUAUUUAAAAAAUAAUUAUGAAAAUAAAAAAACUAAUCAAAUAAUAUUCCAAAAUCUAUAUUGUCGUCUGGCACAUGCGGUUCAGAGGUCUGGGGGUCUACAGCGGCCAUCGUCUGGUGGGGAUGCUCGGGAUGGACGGGCUCGGAGGUUGGCGCAUCAAAAUGCGGGACUGGAAUGCCGGACUGUGCGAGGGACUGCAGAAUGACCGACAUCUGACUCUGAAGAGUGGCCACCUGUGCUGUCAAAGCAGUGACCUCACUGUUUGACUGCGCUGAUGAACGGGGUCUGGGUUUCCUUCGCCUGGCAUGUCCCAUCCCUCGACAAUAUAUCCUCGGUCUCCUCCCUAGAGUCUGAUCCAAUGUCUCCGUCAAGAUCUGAAACCUAGCAUCCUGUGGAGGAUCCACAGACUCGAUCGGAGUAUCGGGAGGAAGUUGGGAGGCGGAUUCCUGAAGAACCAACUGGCUCCUCUCCACCAUCGUCGUCUGUUUAACAUAACAUAAAAUAUAAAUUAAAACAUUCAUAUAAUAACCUUUAAACUUGAAUGCGUAACAUAAGAAUUAAAAUUAAAUAAUACGUACAUGAAGGGACUCGGCCAACUCAUUCCCAGGUCGAACAUAAACGUUGCCAAAGACGUCGAUCUAUGGGAAUUUGGACCCCCCCUAAAUUGAACAAGAGAAGAAAAAUAUUAGUACGAAAAAAUAAAUUUAGAAUAAUGAAAUAUUAAAAAUUACAUAAAAAUUAUUUUAUUAUUACCUGCCGCCGUGCAUCCAUCCCAUAGGAGAAGGGCCUGGAACCUGAAUGAUGGAGAAGAGUCUUCUUCUUCCUAUUGCCCUUAUUGACUUUGGCUUUAUUCUUUUAUACAAAAAAUAAAACGUAUUAGUUGAAAUUGAAAUUAAAUAUAAAAAAUUAAAAAAACAUUAGUAAGAAAAAUAUAAUAAAUUUGAAAUUCAUAUUAUAAAUUACCACAAAAGCGCACGCCUGAAAAUGAGCGCAGAGCCACGCCCAACUAUCCUCCCGCCCCUAAAGCUCCUUCGGGCAACCCUCCUGAAGAGCGACUUGCGAAUCAUCAAACGCCUCAAAAUAGUGGUGCAAGUCGCUCUUCCAUUGUUUGUACCUCUCAGAGAAGAGUCUGUUGACAUACGUCAACGACUUGUCGUCGAGGUCCUCCAAGUUGUAGUUCGUCUGCAAUAAAUUAAUUACAUACAUUUAAAUAAUAGAAAUAUAAAGUUUGAAAUGCCUACAUACCGACAACUGGCCGCGAACCUCCGUCUUUAUCUCAUCAGGCAUGACCUUCCAAGACUUCCAUUUCAUCGGGCAAUGGCUCCGAACGACAUGACCAAUGUUGUGGGCCAAGGAGCUAUGCAACUCCACCUUCGGUGCAGCCCGAUGUCGCUCAUUGUAUCCGAUGUUGAUACGACUGUUAGUCACCCGGGUGACCUUCACCGUCUUCAACUGCCGACACGGCCCUCGGGUGUUCUUCUUGGCUACAAAGAAAGAUGACAUUAAUGUUAAAUAAAUAACAAAUUUAACUAUAAAAUACACACACAAAAACCAAACCAAAAACAAAAAUAAAAACAAGAACAUAAACAUAAACAAAAAUAAAAACAAAAAUAAAAAUAACUGGAGUUUAAGGAAAUCUAUACCUGGCUGUGACCCCGACGCAUCAGUGGAUGUGGUGUCGGUGGUGCUGGCAGGCCAAUGACGCCGCCUGGAGCUAACAGGCUGCGCCACUGAUGAAGCAGGCGCCUGGGACCCCGUGGGACCAACUGCCAAGUGGUCCAUCAGUGCUGGCGCAGUGGCAGCAGAUGUCGGCUGAGCCGGGGGCUCCGAACUCUGCGUAGUCGUCACCGCCCUACGACGUCUAAUCAGGUCUGACAUCUGCACAAUUUCAUUAAUACACAUACAAAUUAAUACAAUAUACAAAUAUUUGAAAGCACAUACAAUUUUAUUAAGAUUCUUGACUUAGGGUUUGCGAGUUCGGAGUAUCCGGGACUCCGAUCCACGAUCCAUCAAAUCCUAGACGAUCCUAGAAAUACAAGGUACACCAUACAUGAGUUUGAGUUUCAUCCAAUGGUCCGAACAUAACAAACUCGGAAAUCGCACAAUAGAAAAAAUCCGUUCGAGACUCAAACGGUAACCAAAUUCUAAUCCGAAAAGACCUACGCGCUCGUGACAACUAGGAGAUUGCAUUGGGACCCAAUGCAUGAUUGCUACAGUAUCCCAAGCGCCACCACACGCGUCGGCAGCGCGUGAAUGUCCAAAGCGAUACCAAUCGCAGGAAAAUUCUAAAAACUAAGGGUCAAGGUUCCUACCCUAGGUUGAAAACAUCAAUUGGAGCCAAUUUUGUUCGGACCUACCCCGAAAAAUGGCCAGAAGUGGCCGGAAUUGAAAUUCAAAAACCGGCAGAAACUUAGGGUUUCAAAUCCAUUGCCCUAUUGCAACAAUUACAGAAAUCCUACCCAACCAUCAGCUAAAGCAUCAAAAAUAGUCCAGAAACCAUAUCUCAGGUGUCGAAUUUGGUCGCCGGAGGAGAGAGAACGACGGCAGUGCAGUUUCGGUGAAAACUGAGGAAAUUAUGGCGGCUGGCUUGACGGUGACGGCGGGGAAGCUCUGGGGUACCAAGGUUGUGGCGGCGCGGUCUAAAUUCCACCGAGGUAGGGGCUGAGUGACGGCGGAGAGAGAGAGAGAGAGAGAGAGAGAGAGAGAGUUAGGGCAAAAAUCAGAAUCUGGGGAAGAAGGAGGCCAUCGCAUCGUUUCUGAAAUUUUAUUCGAUUUUGCGUGACGAAUAAAUAAAAGCGUCGCGCAAAAUAUUUUAAAUGACUCUUGCGUGACGACAAAAGUUUAACUCCCGUCGCGCAAUAUUGUGAGUCCGCCAAAAUUUGGUAUCAGGGUAGGCUUGCGUGGUUUUGCGCGAUGCAUAGUAAUGUUUUUCGUCACGCAAGGUUGUCAAUCCACCAAAAUUUUGGGACUUAGGGUUUAGCGGGAGAGAUUGAAAACUUUGCGCGACGCUGUCCGUAUUCGUCGCGCAAUGUUGUAAUUCCGUCAAAAUUUGGGGUUUUAGGGUUUAUUGGGUAGAGAAAUUGCGCGAUGAAUAUGGACAGCGUUACGCAAGUCUGCUUUCUGUACACUUGAAAAAAAUUUGGACCAAGUGUUGAAGGGGGAAGAGGGUGAAACGGCUAACUGAGAUUGCGCGACGACGAAGUCUAUGUUCGUCGCGCAAUACUGUUUUAUGCAGGCUUUGUGCGAUCAAUCAACUUUAUUCGUCGCGCAACGUUGUAAUUCCGUCAAAAUUUGGGGUUAAGGGUUUAUUGGCAGAGAGAUUACGCGACGAAACUGUACAGCAUCGCGCAAGUCUGCUUUCUGUACACUCGAAAAAAAUUUGGACCAAGUGUUCAAGGGGCAAGAGGGUGAAAGUGAUGACUGAGAUUGCGCGAAGACGAAGUUUACAUUCAUCUCGCAAGACUGUUUUCUACAGGCUUUGUGCGACCAAUCAACUUUAUUCGUCGCGCAAACCCUAAACCCUAAACCUUAAACCCUAAACCACGGAAACCUUAAACCCGAAACUAGUUUUAAUGAUCCAACCGGCAAACUUGUUUUUUUAUACUUCGAGAUCGUAUACGCCGAAAAUCGAAAAAAACAAACAUGAAGAGAUCAAGUAACGGGACAAAACUUUUCGACGGUUCUAAAUGAAAAGUCAUGAUUUAACGGUUAUUUUAACUCCGAUUUUUAUGAUUUUUUACAGCUACAUUUCUUGACCCUAUAUGAAUACAAUUACUGUAUUUGAUCUUCAAUUUAAGAUGUUUACACUAGGGGGAUACCACAUAAUCUUAUGUUAUAUUUAACGAAAGUAUAAGUAAACUAUUCAUUGUUGGUGAAUAUAUGGUUUUGAUGGCAUACGCAUUCUACGAAACUAGUUUCAGUAAUCUAGCCGUCAAACUUGUUUGUUUAUACUUCAAGAUCUUAGACCCCAAAAAUCGGAAAAAAAAUAAAUUCAGAGAUCAAGUAACGAGACAAAACUUUUGAACGGUUAUAAAUGAAAAGUCAUGAUUUAGCGGUUAUUUUAACUCCGAUUUUGAUGAUUUUUUACAGCUACACUCCUUGACCCUAUAUGAAUACAAUGAACUAACUCGAUCGUCAAUUUCAAAUAUAUAUGUGUAUAUAUAUUAUAUUAUAAAAUAAUAUACAUUUGCGCGACAAGAGGAACCCUGUCGUCGCGCAAAUCGCAUGACGAAUCAUAGGUUGUCGCGCAAUGUUUUAACUUUACGCGACGAGUGUAUUGUGUGUCGCGCAAACUUUGCGCGAUGAGGAUUAUUUCGUCGCACAAGGAUUUUCAUUUUUGAAAAAUGUUUGGUGUCAAUAAUUUUCAAACUUUGUAUGUAAAGGGUUUGGAUAUAUUUAUUUAUCAAUGUUUUAUAACAAAUUUAUUUUAAUAAUGUUUCAUUUCUCCACAUAUAUAAGGUUUGGAUAUAACAACUACAUAUAUUCAAACAUUUGUAUUACACAAAAUCUGUACACUAGCAUAAUAAAAUUACAAAAAAAUUCAUUAUUCAUCAUCUGAACUAUAAUAACUUUCGUUAUCCUCGCUAUCAUCACUUUCGGUCUCCCAAUCCUCCUCCUCCUCCUCCUCCUCUAUAACUACAUCAUCGUCGUUGCUCGGGCCCACUGCAACAUCGAAUCUUGGAAGAUCACCGAGGUCAAUUGUAAUUGACUAAAUCGGUAUUUCGAUUGAAGACCUCCUUGUAUUUGAAACGGUUCUUGUAUAACAUGUGUAUCUCGAAGUGUUUCCGCAUCAUUUUCCAUUGAAGAUUCUAAACGUUGGUCAGCCACAUUAUCGACGUCGUUGUCAGUUGGGUCUAGUUCUGUUAUAGCAUACACGUUCCUAUGAUCCAUGUUUGCCAAAAUGUAAGGGUCGUCAUCAUACCAAGUUCUGUUAGUGUUCUCAGAUAGUAAGCCAUGGUCGAUUUUAACACUUUUCGGCCUAUUUGGGUUGCUAUCAAACCAUCGACACUUAAACAUGAUCACUUGGUAUCGAUCUUUGUAAAGCAAUUGAACGACCGUUGUGAGUUUGCCAUAGAAAUCAAUGUUCAUACUUUCGCCUCCACCUGGGAUAUGGACACCGCUGUUUUGCUACACAACUUGUCAUCUCGUGCAGCCCCCAAAAAUUUGACGCCGUUAAUAUAACAACCCGAAAACAAUUCAGCGCGAAUCGGGCCGAACGCCAAGUUAUAUAACUCAUCACUGUAAGUGGGGAAUUCGAUGAUUUCAACUUAUUCACCUAAUAUAAUACAAAACCAUUCACAUGUUAGUCUGACAAAAUCAAAUACUACAAUUUAUAUUUGUCAAAUACAAAAUACUUAUAACUUACAGAAUCCAAAAACCAUUGUGGAAACAAUUCACGGUGUUGCUGGGCAACUAAAUGUGAUGGAUGUUCUCGCUUCAUCAUCUCUUCAUGCUCAUCUAAGUAUGCCAUUAUCUCAUCACAAUUGUUCAGUACGAACCAAUGCGCUACCUCCAUGUCAUUUCUAGAAAACGACUCUCCUCGUCCAGGAUCUCCAAAGGGUCGUGCGCUUUGGGCAAAAACUGAAAGUUUUUCCUUUCUCAUACCUCCGUCAUUAUUGCGCUAAGGACGAUUGAAAGCCAUCUCCACAUCUUUUAAAUACAUUCCACAGAAAGUAAGUGACUCAUAUUGAACCCAAGCCUCUAUAAUUGAUCCUUCGGGCUUCGCCCUGUUGCCUACACUUUUUUUUCAGCUCUCCGAGAAGCCUGUCAAAAUAAAGCGAUAUGAUACAAAUUAGCAAGCCUGUGAUAAUGAUGCAUACACAAACGAUAAGGAUUAUAUACCUUUCUAUUGGAUACAUUCAGCGAUAAUUGACAGGACCAGCAAGCAAUGCCUCUUCUGGCAACUGAACCAUCACGUGCAUCAUACUUGUGAAGAAAGCUAGAGGAAAUAUCAUCUCAAACUUGCAUAGGACUUGGAAAAUGUCAUGGCGCAACUGAAACAUGUUUGUCUUUCGCAAUGUUUUUGCCGUCAGUUGGGAAAAAAAUAUGGACAACAACAUGAUUGGCUUCACAACAUCUUCCGGCAAUAGAUGUCGAAUACCCACAGGAAGUAGGCUUUGCAUAAACACAUGGCAGUCAUGAAUCUUCAGUCCAGUAAAUUUACCCCCGUCAACAUUCACGCAACGUGCGAUAUUUGAAGCAUACGCAUCAGGAAACUUUACAGACGAUACAAACUUUAGAAACUCUUUUUUGUCAUUCGGUUUCAUAGAAAAGAAUGCAAGAUCCCUUCUAGCUUUAUCACUGUCCCUGUUCAUCCAUAAACCCCUUCGUAUACCCAUUCUUUCCAAAUCAAGACGGGCUUUGAUUGUGUCCUUUGUCUUGCCCUCGAUAUCUAGAAUCGUGCCCACCAAUGUGUUAAAUACAUUUUUCUCAACAUGCAUCACAUCUAGAUUGUGCCUCAAUUUGAGUUUCGACUAAUAUGGGAGCUCAAAAAACAUAGGCUUGUGAGUCCAGUUCAUAUGUGUAGAAGGUCUGGUCCGACUAACUGUUUUUCCGAACGGAGCAAAAUCCAAAAGGUUAAGCUGUUCCAAGAUUUCAUCACCGGACCAUUCUCUAGGUCUGAGGCGACGCUUUGUGUUCCCGUCGAACUCUUUAUCUUUUUUUCGCCACUCAUGGUCCCAUGGCAACCAUCUUCGAUGACCAAGGUAAUAAAUGUUUCCCGCUUGCCAACCAGAAGUUACAUCUUCCUUGCAUACAGGACAUGCCAUAUAACCAUUUGUGCUCAACCCAGAAACCAUUGCAUAUGCUGGAAAAUCAUUCACAGUCCACAUAACUGCUGCCCGCAAAGUGAACAUCUUCCCAGUUGAUUUAUCGUACGUGCGAACACCGUUUGUCCAUAAAUCGUUCAGCUCAUCAACCAGUGGCCUUAAGUAAACAUCGAUUGACCUCCCAGGAUCCUCAGUUAUCAAAACAGUCAUCAUCAUGUAUUCUUUUUUCAUGCAUUUCCAAGGCGGCAAAUUAUAUGGGAAUACGAAAAUCGGCCAAGUGCUGUGGUGUUAGUUUAGAACCCCAUACAGAUUGAAUCCGUCAGUGGCAAGUCCCAAUCUCACAUUUCGGGGAUCAGCAGCAAACUUAGGGCCUCCCCAUCUGCAGGAUGCCGCAUCACAUCAUCGUCUACCCAUUUUUCCUUAUGUCAUCUCAUGUCUGUGGCAGUAUGCGUCGACAUAUACGAUCGCUGCAACCUAGGUUUCAGGGGCAGAUAACGCAUGACUUUUUGUGGGAUCUUAGUCGUUCUAUUCUGAGAUGUCAUUUUGAACCUCGACUCAUUGCAUAUAGGGCAUGUAUCCAACGUUUCAUGCUCCUUGUAGAAUAACAUGCAAUUAUUUUUGCAAGCAUGAAUUUCUUCAUAACCCAAUCUAAGACCAUUCAACACCUUCUGCGCGUGUUUAUGGUCUUUCGGCAAACAAUUGUCCGUCGGAAGCAUUCUCUUGAAAACCCCGAAAAAGUAAUCGAAACACAAGUUCGACAUACGAUACUUUAUUUUUCCGUGCAUUAGCUCUACAAUGGCCGUGAGAAUGGAAAAGCUCUCGCACCCCGGGUAUAACUCUUGGUUGGCAUUUUUUAACAGUUUUUCAUAUUGUUCAAACUCCGCGCUGUCUAUUGGUGCAGGCACGUCAUCUUUCAUUUCAUGAUUGAUGUUGGUCGAUGCAAAUGGAAAAGCAUCCUGUAUAAUAUCCGUGACUUGAUCAUUAGGAUCCACAAUAGGUUCAACAUUGUCCAUUCUUGUGGCAUUUGAAGACGAAGCAUGGUCUAAUUGUUCCCCAUGAAGGUUCCAAAUGCUAUAUGUCUCAAUCAUUCCAAUCCUUACUAAAUGAAAUCCAACAUUUUCAAUUGUCUCCCACAACGUGUUAUUACACCUCCUACAAGGACAACGGAUUCUAGUUGCACCCGGGUUGUGUCUACGUGCAAACUCAAUAAAAUCCUCGAUUCCAUCCAAGUAUUCGCCUGCGCAUCUAUUCGGGUUCUGUAUCCACCUUCUGCUCAUAAUUCCUGAAACCACAAUCACAACACAACAAUUACAACAACUUCAUACGAAGUUAUAAUGUCACCUUACGCCUCCAGUAAGGGCCCUAUCCCAUUCGGGAAUGCAUUAUCCUGUCACGUAACCUACGGCUACAUGAGAUUAGAUUUCGACAUGGAUGAAUUUCGGCAGCAUCUCGAUACAGUUCUUGAGGUGGGCAUAGGUAUAAAUACCUACGUACCACCCAAAGAACGUACCAAGAUGACACCGAAAUCUCCACAAUCGAAACCUAAUCUUGUAGCCGUAGAUUACGUGACAACACUAUGCAUUACCAAACUGUCCAAAUAGUGGGACAAUUCAAGAAUUAAUUGGACUGCAGUCAUGCUUUACGUAUCCAUGUACGAAAUCCAACUAAUCUCGAACGGAAAACUAAGUGUUACUAAACAUACAAAUAAAAGUACGAAGUUAAUUUCAAUUAACUUCGUACAUCACAACACAUUGUGCUACGUCACGCACAAUUUAACAUAAUAUAAUACUUCACAAAAAAAAUAUAAACAUAACAAACUAACUUUAACAUUUUUAAUAUAUAAAACGAAUAAAAUACCUUCUCAGUCGUUCUCCACCAAUCGCUAAUUACAAAUAUCCCUAACGAGAACAAAAUUAAUAGCGUUAGUACGAAUUUACAUUAAUACUUUUAAACUAACGACAAAAACUACUUACCCAAUGAACGUACUGAAUUUUCAGCAAAGGCAGCGGCAGAGAGGUUGAGAGAGAGGCAGAAUGCUAUAUUUUUUGCAUUCUGCCUUUGCAAUGGCAGAAUUCAGAUAUGAAGAAGAAGGACUUUGCGCGACGAACCACAAAUUCCGUCGCGAAAAAUUAUUUUUCCAUCGCACAAAACGACUUUUUUCGUUGGGCAAAAAAUUGUCGACAAAAAACUUUUGUGCCACGCAUGACAUUUUCGUCGCACAAACUUUCGUUGCGCAAAAAAAAAAAAUUCCGUCGCGCAAGAAUGUACCGACAUCAACUUUACGCGACGAAAACUAAUUCCGUCGCGCAAAAAAAAAAAUCCCUCCUAAAUUAUUUUGGCGCCAAAAAAAAAUAUCCCUCGUUUUCUUACGCGACGAUAAAUGGUUUCGUCGCGCUAAGUUGUCUUUUGCGACGAAACCUGUCGUCGCACAAGUUUUCGCAGCCAAUUGACGGGAUCGAUCCCUGUUUUGUGUUCACCUUUACGAAACGAAGUGUCCCAUCAUCGCGCUAGGUUUUCUUAUGCGACGAUUGCUCUCGCUGCGCAAGUGUUUGGCGCCAACAAAAAACCCUGGUUUUUUUUCGCUCACUUUGCGCGACGAAGGUAAAUGUCUGUCGUGCUAAGAGGUUCUGCGCUUCGAAAACUUUGGUCACACAAGUUUUCAAUUUUUUGCGCGACGAAACUUUUUUUCCGUCGCUGGAAUGCAUUUUGCAUGACGAACUUGUAUUUGUCGCGCAAAUAAUAAAACGUAGUAGUGAUCUCACAUCAAGAAAGUACACAUCAAGUUUUUAAAUUCUCUCGCAAUUAAUCCUUCAGAGUUCAAACCAAACAAAAUUCAUUUGGAAAAUUAAAAAUUACAGCACAUUCAAAAAAAAAAAAAUCCCAAGAAAAGAAAAACCAUUAUAUAUAACUAAAACCCUAUAAGAUCAUCACACCAAUUUUAUUAUUUUUUCAAUUAGUUGUUAAUAUUUUAUUACACAUAAUGUGGACCCUACGAAUGGCAUAUCAUCACUUAACUGAUUUUACGACGAUCAAGGUAAUGACGGAACCAUAUAGCAAUAAAUUUCCAAUGUGGGGUACUAUAUUAUUAAAAUUGAAAGAGCAUGGAUAAAUAACAUACCUAACGGCUUAAGGAUAGAAUUGCUUGGUAACUUAAUUUUUGAAAUAUGGGGGGUUUUUUUUUUAUGUUCGUUUAUUAAACCUCUAAUUAUUAACUUUCCUAUCAAGUGUAUUUUCUCACAAUUAACUUAUAUUAGGAAAACCCACAGCUGUAAAGACGUCUCCCAUCUUCAUCAAGGAGGAAGUAACUCUAGCUUGCCCUUCAGGGCUGGCCUAACCGAAACGGCCUACACUUCAGGGCGACCUCUUUCUCUUACUACCCAGGUGCAUGAUGUAGCCUGUAACUCCUUUGCAUCCAGAUUGGCACGCCGACAACGGCCCACUGUGCCCCUGAUGUGCGCGCACAUGCCGUUCGCAGGCUCCUACCCCUUCCUAACCAUCCUUAAUGCCCCCACAUUGGGUCACAAGAUCACAUGACUGAGCUCAGCACUUCUUAAACCAAGACUUGGGUAUGUUAGGUUCUUAACUUUUCUCUAUUUGAUCGAUGUGGGAUUGUGAAUACAUAAAAUCUGAGUUCUCUUUCUUCACGUAUUUGAAUGAAAAAGCUUUGCAUCUCUUUGGUCAUAUCUAUUUAACAUGAAAUAGAAAGAUGAUUUUUCUAACAGUUUUUGCGUAUUUCAACUAAAUCAUAAACACCAAACAGAUUGAACAAAAUGGAGAAAUCGAUUGCUUGUUUUGUUUGGUUUCAAACUAUACAAGAUGGUUGCCAAGAGCAUUUUCGAGUGCCAUUCUCAAUGAAGAUCCUGUGCACGUAGAACAAUCCAAAGAGUUGAUUGAUUUGCCGAGUCCAAAUCUUAUGUUUUUGCCUCAAGAAUUCUGGGAUUAGGGAUUUAUACGUUGGCCUUCAGCUUCGACUAGAUAAACAAGUUUAUUGUUGACGCACCAACUCCCCCAGAUAUCCAAUUUGAAGAAAGAAAUUUUCAAAGUCAAUUCUCAGUCUCUUCUGAUAAACUUUAUGAAUGGAAUAUUGAUGGCCUGUCUGAACAAGAAAUUAUGAAUAAAUUACAACAUAUGUCUAUGGUCGCCAAUAGUUACAUUACUAACCAUAACCUAAAACAGUUAGAAAUAGUACCUCUCCUAGAAACAGGAUUCAUAGGAACCUUACGUUCUUGGUGGGAUAAACACCUUAUAGAAGAGUCAAAACGACAAAUAAUACAUGCAGUAAAUUAAAUGAAGAUGGAUUCCCUAUAUUCGAUGAAAAUAUCAAUAUUGGAAUUGAGGAUGGAGUCAAUACAUUAUUAUACACAAUAAUUGAACAUUUCGUAGGAACACCGAGUUAACACUACAGCCAUAAUUCAUGAUCACCUUGGCAAUCUUAGAUGCCCUAAGUUAAGUGACUUCAGAUGGUACAAAGAUGUUUUUAUCUCCAGAGUCAUGCUAAGAGAUGUAGUAAUCAACCAUUUUGGAAAGAAAAAUUCAUUAAUGGUCUUCCCAAUUUUUUUGCAAACAAAAUACAAAUAGUUUUAAGUAAUGAUCGAGGCCAUAUCGAUUUUGAUAGUUUAACUUAUAGAAAUAUAAUUAAUAUUAUAUAUAUAUAAUAUUAUAUCUAUAUAUUAUAAACCAAUUGACGUUUUUGACUUGGUUGAGGGAGUGGCUUUUAAAAAGGUAGUUGUGAGGAUGGCCAAAUAGUUGGCUGAAACCAAGUCAAGAUCUUGGCUUCCCAUGUUGGUGAGUUGGCUGGAAAUGGAAGUUUUGGCUAAAGAGUUGGUUUUUUGGCAUGAGAGAACCCACAUGGGUUUACCUUGGUAUUCUCAAACUUGGGUCAAAUUGGCAUGGGUUUUUAAAAUGGCUGUGAGUUCGUAGGCCACUUAGUUCGCCUUUAAUUCUUGUCUCCAACUUCCCAGGCCAUAGGCCUUAUACAUACAUAAAUUUAAUAUGCAAUAUAUAUAGAGGGCUUCUAUAGUGAGUGGGAAGUUAUAAGGGGUGUUUUUGAGGGGUAUGUAAGAGCCGUUGGAUUUCAUCCAACGGUGAGUUUUUAAAAGAGGGUGCAUGUAGAAUCGGGUUGAAAUCUAACCCAUUAGAAACCCAACUUCAGUUGUUCCCCUCUUUCCCUCUCUGUGAAAAACUGAAGAACACAAUCCUCUCUUUUUGAAUGUAAAGCAAACCCACAAUUAGAAGGAUCCAAAUCUCCCAAACCUUAUAGUCACUCGAUUGUCAUUAGCUCGUUGGGAGGCCUGCGAUCUAUGGUAUCCUGGAUAUUACGAAGAAUGGCUCUUACCUAGCUGUUGCCCUGUUUUGAUUCUAUGGCUCAAGUGAAAACCCCUUCUCUUUUUCAUUCAGCUGACAAGAUUCCAGAUGAAAGCAAAGUAGCAUAUCUCUUUUUGUAGCUAUAAGCCGCAGCAGCAGUUGUUCCUCGAUUUUGGUAGAGAUGGAGUCUCAAAUACCAAAGAGUCUUCUCUAAUGUCCACCACAUUCUUUCAAGCUGACUGACUGCAGAGCUCCCGAUUGAUUUUGAGAGGUAAGUUCACUUGCUGGAUUGAUUUUGUUGGGUUAGGUUUAUUUUUUGUGAGGGUGGGAAAUUCGUCAUUUGUGGCAUCAAUAAUGCGUCAUUUUUGGAAUCAAUAAUGUGUCAUUUCCUUAUGAAUAUUCAAUAUACUUAGUUCAUUGUUGUUGGUCGGGGUGGAAAAUUAUGAAAUGUAGGUAAAAGAACCUAAACUUAGGCUUAAUGACAAUAGGAGUAAGCAGUUGGAGAGGAUAUUGGGUGAAGUUCUGUAAUUGGUGGUUUGAAUUACAUUUGUGUUCUUAGUUGAACAUGUUGGUUCUAAUGUUAUUUUUACCAGAUUAUUUCACAAGAGAUGACGUAACUUUUAUGAAAUUUUGCUUGCGUUUUGUGUAAUCGGAAGUUAGGGUAUGCGUAUUUUGUGUCAAUUUGGGCAAUGUUUUGUGUAAGUGGAAUGCAUUGAUAUGUUGUGAUGCAGUAAUGACUGAUUAAUGAAUGAAUAAUUGCUAUGCAGUAAUAUAGAAGUGGAUCAAUAAUAUACGUAGAUAAAAUGUCUGAGGGCUCAGAGAGUGAUGAAUGUGCAACAGCUAAUGGGAGGGUUUAUAUUCCUGAAGUAAGAAAUGAGGAAACACCAGCAGUUGGAUGAAGUUUGACUCGCUUGACCUCGUUUACAAUUUCUAUAAUAGAUAUGCAUUCUUUGCUGGCUUUGGUAUUCGACUUCAUUCUAGCUUUUGGGGGAAAAUAAGAAAGAGAUUUUGAGGAAAGAAUUUGUAUGUUGCAAACAAGGUGCAUACAGGAAGGAUGAAACUCGGGAGAGAAAAAGACAACGGGGAAUAAGUAGAUGCAAUUGCAAAGCUAAGAUUGUGGUUGUGAAGACAAAUGGGCGCAAGAAGUAUAUCAUAUCUCUUUUUGCAGAGGGACACAAUCAUUAGAUGACACCCUCAGAAAGAAUGCAUUUAUUGAGAUCACACCGUCAUAUUUCAGAUUCUACAAAAGUACUCACAAAACAGUUGGGUUCAGUUAAUAUUCCCAUUCAUCAGAAGGUAAGUAUUUUGGAGGUGCAAUCCGGAGGAAUGGAUAAAAUCGGUUUUAUCAAAAAAGAUAUCUACAAUCUUGAAUGUAGUGUGAAUGGGAAGCUGAGGAACCACGAUGUUGAACUAGUGACCGAGUAUUUUAUGGCUGAACAGAAAAAACAUGAGGCUUUUUAUUUCAAGAUUGAGGGAGAUGGGCAUGAUAGGUUUAGUCGAUGUUUUUGGGCAGAUGCAACUUCUAGACGGGCGUAUGGGUUUUAUGGAGAUGUUGUUGUAUUCGAUACCACAUUCAACACGAAUCGAUACGACUUGACAUUUGCACCAAUGCUGGGAGUUAAUAACCAUGGUCAGACAAUUGUCUUAGCAUGCGCAUUUUUGAGCAAGGAAACGACUGAGUCGUUUGUUUAGAUGUUUGAGGAGUUUAAGAAAGCCAUGCCAGGUGGGGAACCUAAAACGAUCAUUACAGAUCAAGAUGCGGCAAUGGCCAUAGCGAUUUCAAUAGCCUUCCCGACCACAUUUCAUCGACUUUGCAUAUGGCACAUCACAUCAAAGUUCUCUGUCAAGUUACCAUGUGACGCUUAUAAGGAGUAUUGGCGUGAAUUUCAGAAAGCCAUAUGGGAUACUGACAAUAAGGAUGAGUUUGAUGCAAAAUGGAAUAUUGUGGUUACAAAGGCUGGUUUGACUGACCAUCCAUGGCUAAGUUCAAUGUUUGAUUUAAGGGAAUCUUGGGUUCCAGCCUACGCACGAUAAUUUUUUGCCGCUAGAAUGUCAAGCAGCCAAAGAGCGGAAGGUUCUCAUGGUUUUUUCAAGCAAUACAUAUCAAGGAGAAAUUCGUUGAUAGAUUUCAUAAUACGAUUGAGAGGGCACUUUCUCAUCAACGUGAAAAAGAGUUAGUUGCUGAUCAAGUAGAUGCAUUUGAAGUGGCUCAAUGUAUUCUACCGAUGCCAAUGAACAAACAAAUGGCUACCUUGUACACAAGGACAAUGUUUCAAAAGUUUGAGCAAGAACUAAUACAAAGUACAGCAUGUUUCCUAGAGCUCAAAACAGAGGAUGCUUGUAAAGUUGUCUUUAACGUGAGCGAAAGGAAAAAUUGGGAAACAAGAGUGGCAGAAGUCGUAUAUGUCAAAGAUUCUGACCACGCAUCGUGUAGCUGCAAAAGAUUUGAAUUUGUUGGAAUUAUUUGCAAGCACAUCCUAGCAUUGUUCAGAAGGGACCAGAUUGAAUAUAUGCCCGAUAAAUAUAUUUUGAAGAGGUGGAAGAAAACUGCGAAAUCUGGAUUGGUGUCAGAUGCAAAUGGCAACAAAAUUAAAGACUGUGCAGAUCCUGGCCUUCUAAUAAAGCGGAGUACAAUGUCUCGACUUGCUUCAGAUGUGGUUGAGGAUGCAUUAAUGAGUGAAGAAGGAUGUGAGCUACUGUCAGAGACUCUAAAAAGUUUGCAGGUGAAGUUGAAGUUGCUGAAGGAUGGACCAAGUAAUAACGAAGUUGGAGGGUCCAGCUCUCAAACACAAUAUAUGAAAGACCCUAAGAGAGUGAGGUGCAAAGGAAGGUCGAAAGGAGUAACGGGUGCAAAGGAAAAGGCAAUGAAGUGAGGGAUUAGACACUGUCGGGAGUGUGGACGCAUUGGUCAUGAUAGAAGACAAUGCCCAGCCUUGAACACACUGUAAGAUGCUAACACUAUUUGUAAUAACAUCUAAAUUUUGAAUAGGUAAAAUUUUUAUGUGCUUGUGUUUGAUGUUUAUGCAGGACAUCACCGUCGAACAAUGACGAAUCAACUCCAAUACAUCGUAGUGACCCAUUAUUCGACGAUUUUGACAGGAUGCACGGACCAACUGAAUGAUUUAUAUUUGUAUUAGACGAAAUAUGGUUGUUAUGAAGAUUAAUGAUCAGGUGAAGUUUUAUAGAUUCAGUUUUUAAAUAUUAUUGUGUUUUUGUUCAUGUCCACCGAUGAGCUCUUACUAUGUCCACUGGUAAUUGAAAUGAAAAUUUGCUUGGUUUCAUUCUUCCAUGAAAUUUGGAGACAUGUUAAUUUUACGUCUUCUCCCUAUUUAUAAAUUUUUCAUAGACAUUUGAUCAAGUAUGAAAUUUGUAGUUAUGUGAAGAAGCAAUGACUUUUACCAUGUAAAAUGGGCAGUUUAGGGUGAAUUAUGUUUUAACAGAGAUUCAUUUUUCAAAUCCUCAGGCUAAUGCAGCAUUUCCAGCAGCCAGCUGUUGUUUCCAUUACCAGUAAUCAUUUCCAGCAGUAGCCACUUUUUCCGACUGGUUAUUAGGGGCACGAUUUUGUACACUUUUGUAACUGAAGGAUACUUGAAGCACUUUGUUGGAACAGAGCAAAUAGAAAGUAGCGUGUAAAAAAGAAACAUAACAUUGCAGCUAAUUACAUUUCGAUACUUAGGUGAAAAAUAUUAAAGGGUACACUAACUUACAUAAAUACUCAUAAUUCCACACACAAAAGAACAUUUGAUUGCAAAAAUAUUAUGUGCUCCCUCUUAGCAAUACCACAAUCUCCCCAACCAACUGAACAACGGUAGCCACAAUCACUCGGUCGUACUGGUCAGCUUCUUCUUAGCAGGUGUCACAUGCUUAUGGCCACUCAUAUCCCUAGUGAUAUAGACGAAAUAAAUCUUCAGCAAUAUUUGGAAUUUUAUUAUAUAUAAAUAAACCAAAAACCAUUCACUAAACAAUGUAUAGCACAUGUUAUGUUACUUACGACUCACGUGUCAGUUUUUUUUGAACACAUUAGUACGCCAGCUCUUUAAUGUAAAUGGACAUGAUAAGGAACAUUUACUGAUCCCGGCUUGCUGUGAUAUUGACUGCUUGUUGAAUAAUAUUUCCAUAUUUGCAAAAUAUAAUGUUAGACAUUAUAACACAUGAUGACUUGCAAUACAUAGUCCCAAUAAUUAUAUAUGAAGUAAAUGAAACUGAUAUUUGUGUUAUUUUAAAUUAGAUAAUGAUAUUAAGGGAGUAUAUGUGCAAUACCACGGUCACCCUCAACCAACUGAACAGCGGUAGCCGCAAUCACUUAGUCGUAUCGAUCGGCUUCUUCCGAGCAGCUUUGACGUGCUUAUGCUCAUUCAUGUCACCCCCAUCGUCUAGUAUCUCUCUCACAGCAUCAGGGGACACAUAGUUCCAAUCAUAACUUGUAUGAGUAGUUGCCGCAAAUGCUCGGAAUUUGUCGAAUCCUUCGUUGAAUGCCAACUCCAGUUCACUAUGGUGCUCUUUGCAUCGCAUAUGGUUCAUCAAACAACCUUUCAUUUCAUCAUUCAUUACUGUAUCCAACUCCUCAGCUUUCAGCUUCCUUUUAUGACUCAGCUUCAAGUACUUGUUCUUUUGGGAGAACGCUUUGUUCACUCUAAUGUUAAGAUCAGCCAAAAUUGCCUCGUCUUCAACACAUUUCUCUUGCCAUGAAUUGAUCAGUCUGGAAUUAUAAUCCAGCUUGCCACUGACUGCAUGUAUUGCCUCUAAUGGAUCAUCGGAGUCCCCCUCACUCCCAAAUGAUGUUGAAAAAGGAAGGGGUCGGCGAGUACAAUGUGGAAAUAGAACCUGCGACUCCAAUUUGUCAUCUUCGAUUGUGUUGUUGGCGCCUGAAGAGGUUGACAUGCUUCAAUAAUCCUCUUUGUUUUGGGAGGAUGAGGAUUGCAUAUGCAAUUUCGUUUGAGAAAGGGAACAUAGGUUUAUAGACCAACAUACCAAAGCUUGUGUGUAGUCAACAUAUGUACUUUUUGGAGGGAAUUUUUUAAAAAUAGGUGUCAGCUUUUGCUUUUCAAGCAUGUCAACCUCACACUCUCCUUACACCACUGAUAGUGGUUGAAAGAAACUCAAUGGAAGUGACAUCUACUUAGUUAACUCAACCAAACUAGUUAGGAUUAAACUUAGAUUGUAUCAGACCAAAAAUUAAUUUCUACAUUGUCAACCAAAUAUUUUUUGGCGGGAACCCUUUUCUUGGUAUUACUAUCACCCCUUUCAUAUAAAUUCCCCUUCCACACAAAACUCACUCCUCCACCGAAUCUGUCUCCAUCUACUGAUACUCUCUCAAGCAAACAAACUCAUUGCCCCCAAACAAUAGAUUUACUAACCAAGUUUGAUGUGAGCAUAAUAAACACCCCUCCAAACAAAGACCGCCUUCGACACGCAAGUGAGUCACCAGACAAGCAAUGUCACAUUCCUAGACAGAAUGACCAUUUUGUUGGAAGUUUUGAGUCUGAAAGAGUUGUUGCUUUUUGGAAGGAGAGGCAUCUUCAACUUGGUGAUGAAAUCCAAAGGGCAAGGGCACGUUUGGAAUUUGUUGAAGGCCAAAUUGAAGAUGACAAAAGGCAGGCCAAUCUGGAUAGGGCGAAGUUGCAGUGCAUGAAGCGUAGACACAAACGACUUCGGAGUGUAGCUGUUAAAAAAUACAAGAACUCAUCUAAUGCAGUGGAGUCAAAGAAGCGUGUGAUGCAAGCUGGAUUCGACUACUUCCGAUCCUAUGCAAAACUCGUCGUACCCGGGUUUGAUUGGUCAUCUAUUACCGUUUUCGACGUCACCAAAUAUACUCAGCAAGGGAAGUAACCAUUUUGGUUCUCGUGUUUGAGCAAAGGCAAAUCACUGGAAUUGGAAUUUUCGUUACACUCUGCUUCAAAGCUAUUUUGAUGCUAACUACUAUGGAAGAUUUAAACCUUAAUAUUUUGAUGUCUUUAAUUACGAAAACACAAGAUGCAAAGAGCCCAUCUACUUCAGUCAUAUGUUGCUGCCAUGUCCAUUUUUUGUUGAUCACGUAUCAGAUUUGGACAUGGUUGCAUCAUAUGCAAUGUUGCCUUUAUUUAUUAUAUGUUAGGACAAGGUUUAUGGAAAAGCUUUUGUGAGUGUGUUUGUGACAAGGUUAUGGAAUUAUUAUGUACCAUUUAUAUAUUGUUUUUUGUACUGGUUCAUCUCCUACUAUUUCUUGCUUUCUUUAUAUUUUAUGUUUGUGGAAUCCCUCUCAAAGUUAACAUAUACUGUGCAAAAAAAUGCAGACUGAUUAUAUAAUCACUCAUAUAGACUAGGACAAAUAUUAACUAAGGGUUUUAAAAUUGCUUCACUUGUGUGAGGUUAUUGACAAAAAGUAUGGCAUUAUUUUAUGUGAUUGGACAUGAUUGAAAAUAUAUUACUGAUUCCCAAUGCUGCGUCAUAUGGACAACUUAUUGAAUACUUCUGACGUGUUAAGUUUCCUCGAGGUGCAGUUGCAUGUGGACAACUUAUUGAAUACCUCUGACGUGUUGAAAACUCUAGGUGCAGUUGCAUGUGGACAACUUAUUGAAUACGAACUGACGUCUUGAAAGCCCUAGGCCUAGUUGCAAUGAUGGCUUCAAAGCAUGUGCAAUUAUUAUGGAUGUACAUUAUUAUAACAAAACAUAUUAUUGUAUAUAGUCAAACUAAAUAUUGUAUUAUUACAAAUUAUAUAUUGAAUAUUAUCCGAAAUAUACGUGUUAACGUGAAUUAGGGUUAAGAGGAAAGUGAGUUAUGUACAAAUAAUUUUGAUUUUCUCAUUUUCCGGGUAUUUUUUGGAUUUUCGUAGAAUUUUUUACCUAUUUCCACAGAUUGUUGCACUAAAAAAGCCAAAAUAAUAGCAAGAGGACACCUGGCGUGAUCUCAGCCCGUCACUUUUGACUACUUGCACAAGUGUACGUUAGUCAACAUGGCCACAGCCUCCCAUUUUAUCCUAAAUUAUUAUUUUAUUACUUUGUCUUAGAAAAUUCAGAACUAAAUACACAAAAAUUCAAAAUUAUUUCCAAAAAUUGCUACGAACUCAUUGACACUCCAUCUCCCUUGCUGAAUUCUCCGAUUCAUUGUUACGCAUUUUAGACAAUUAUUCCCAACAUUAACGGGAGAUGCUUGUUGAAGUAGGUUAUUGAAGUUUAAGUUAACAAACAUCAAUACUUAGGGUUAAGAGGAAAGUGAGUUAUGUAAAACAAUUUGGAUUAUUUCAUUGCGAGACGAAUGAUUUAUAGGUUCUCCUAGUUUUAUGACAUCACAAGGAGGCCGGAGUAAUUUUUGGGGCAUUUUUAGGAUUUUUCUACUAUUUAUUACCUAGUUUCAAAGACUUUUUAACAAGAGAAUCCAAAAUUGAAAAGAAGAUGACACCUGGCGCGAUCUCAGCCCGUCACUUUUGACUACUUGCACAAGUGUACGUCAGUCAACAUAGCCACAUCCUCCCAUUUUACCCUAAAUUAUUAUUUUAUUACCUUUUUUCUUUGAAAAUUCAGAACUAAAUACACAAAAAUUCAAAAUUAUUUCCGAAAAUUGCUACAAACUCAUUGACACUCCAUCUCCCUUGCUGAAUUCUCCGAUUCAUUGUUACGCAUUUUAGACAAUUAUUCCCAACAUUAACGGGAGAUGCUUGUUGAAGUAGGUUAUUGAAGUUUAAGUUAACAAACAUCAAUACUUAGGGUUAAGAGGAAAGUGAGUUAUGUAAAACAAUUUGGAUUAUUUCAUUGCGAGACGAAUGAUUUAUAGUUUCUCCUAGUUUUAUGACGUCACAAGGAGGCCGGAGUAAUUUUUGGGGCAUUUUUAGGAUUUUUCUACUAUUUAUUACCUAGUUUCAAAGACUUUUUAACAAAAGAAUCCAAAAUUGAAAAGAAGAUGACACCUGGCGCGAUCUCAGCCCGUCACUUUUGACUACUUGCACAAGUGUACGUCAGUCAACAUGGCCACAUCCUCCCAUUUUACCCUAAGUUAUUAUGUUAUUACCUUUUUUCUUGGAAAAUUCAGAACUAAAUACACAAAAAUUAGAAAAACGAUCCGAAAUUUCUACGAAGUUAUUGAGACUUCAUCUUCCUACUGAAUUCCCUGUUUCAUGGUUAUGCUACAUUAGUAUUUUAUUAUUAUUUAUCCACAAUUAUUAUAAUUAUUAUGAUAUUACUUUUUACACUGUCCAUUUGUUAAUUAUAUUUAGUCCAACUUGUUGAAAACAAUUUUAUUUUCCGUGCGAAUAGGCCAUUUGUAGUGCUCAUCGGUUUCUCUGUUCUUCUAUUUGUUAAUUUUUUUAUUUUUUAGGUUGAAGGGAUGUUUUGAAACAUAAUAUGAAAAUAUACAAGUCAUCCAUUGUACUCCUUCCACACAAAAAAAUUAUUCUACGUCAUUCACUGUUGUUGUUUUGCUUAAGAAACGUGUAACCAAAUCCCUUCGGAUAUGCUAAGUGGGAAAAUGUCAUUCCCAAGCACUGGUGAAAAGACACCUAUUUACUCCAUGCAUGACUUUUCGUUUACCAAAUAUGAAGAUUGGGGUCGGUGAGCAAAAUAUCUGUGUCAGUAAAAUGUCAUUCCUAGCCGUCUAUGAUGUAAGUAAUAAUUCCGCUAUAUAAUAAAUAUUAUACAUUUAUAUAUAAAACGGUUUAUGACAAAAUACCAACAUUUGAACAACAUUUAAACAACAUUUGUACAACGUAGCCAGCCAACCUAGAAGUGAAGAGAAGCAAGUCCACAAUGCAUCAAAACCGUAAAUUCGUACUAAAACUAAUGCAAAAAUACGUGAUUCCCUCGCACAACAUACUCACGCAUCAGUUUGAACCAAAAAAUACUCUCACGGUGCCAUUUGCAUCGAUUGCAACAAGUCCACAACGCAGGAUUUAUCUUGUCUUCACUAGGCCAGCCUGGAAUAACAAAAUACCAUUCAUUGUUGUUACAAGCGCUGCAGCGACUGAACUGAAUCUUCCCAUAGUCAAACAUAUCUACGAUAUGUCUUGCAACUCUUGAUGUGGUUAAUCUUCGUGUCAAAGCAUCCCUGGUUCCUUUCAUAUCAAUGUUGUUACGUUGAUUCAAAGAACACAAGAAUUGUAAUGCAUCCUCUUUUGACUGACCAAUUCCGGACAUACCAAGUAGUCCAACUACAUAUGCCGCUUCCAUAUGGCCUGCCGUGGCUGCAAUGCACAUCCCAUACAACGCUUCCACCUUACCGUGCCUGAAAAAACCUUCGAAUGCUUCUCUAAAUAUGGACUCAGGGUUAUCGCAAGCCCUGCAUUGUUGCAAGAAAUGCUGGACCGCAGGUCUGGCACGGUACCAGCUAGGAUGGUCUGGGUACUUUGCCAUUGAAAUGGUGUUCCACACUUGUGGACUGUUUGCCAAAGUUUGGAACAAUCGGCACACAGAUGCCAUAAGGAAGAGAUCUUCCGAUGAUUCGGUUGCCACGUAUAACAUCACUUGAAACCAAGCGGACUCCGGGAUGAAGGCUUCGGGCAUAUCGAAAUGGAGAUGCUUCCUUCUCUUUCCUCCGAAUGUAGUGAAGUGUUUCGAAUUCAUUGAAAAGUUUUUGGAAUGGAACAAUUUGAGGAGUGGCAGAGGGGAUAAAUGAUAAUAUUUGGGGUACACGUUUUGUUUUAGCCUCUGUUUAUAGUGUUUUGAAAAGGUGUUUCCAGUUGGGGUUUUUCCAAGUUGACCCUUUUGAAAGAAACUGAACCCAAGUGAAUUAAAACUUAAGACAAAAGAAGGGAAAACGUCAUAACGGUGCAUACAGAGUCAGACAGAAAGUUAAUUAAAUGGCUAUUUGCAUAGCCAUUUUUGGGUUUAUCCCACUAUCAAAUUCAUUGAUACAAAUGUGAUGGAUUACUGACUAGUGACAGAAGGUCCCAUCAUAUACUUUUUCAUUUUCCCACACCCAACUACCCCUAGUAAUGUUAUUAAAAUGGAACCAAUAAUGACGGAUUCUUAUCCAACUAGUUGCCUUAAUGAAAUAUAAAUAAAUUAAAAAAACUGAAGCAGUGUCCCCUCAUUUUUCAGAAAAUAUAUUUGGUAGUGAAGUAGUUUAUAUUGCUUUUCGGGCUAAAAGAUGUCACAAUGCUGACGGUACAGGUGUCGACAUCGUGACCAACCCACCAAAUGAUCCCAAAAAAAAUAAAUAUAACUCGAUUUGGGCAGAGAUGAGAGAGAGCUGAGUGACAAGUUUAGGGUUAUGAGUGAAGGGGUAUGAAUGACAACUAUGAGUGAGAAGGUAUGAGUCCGAAGAGGUUUCAGUGAGAAGAUUUGAGUGAGAAGAGGUACAACUGAGAAGAUUCAACAUGUCUUCGUCUUCAUCUCCCGCUCAAACAAAGAGGUGUCAGUAUUGUGGAGCUACAAUGGUGCUUCGGGUUUCAAAAUCUGACAAAAAUCGAGGGAAGCCAUUCUGGAAGUGUCUAACCUCCUAUGUAAGUUUUAAUUUAAAGAAUAUGUAUGUGGGUGAAAAAAAAACCUAUGUCUAACUCUGACAGAAUUAUAUUCCAUAUAUGAUGCCUGCAAUUAGGGAGCCACCAGUUGCAAUGGAUUCGAAUGGGUUGAUGUAACCUCCGCUGAAGCAAAACAUCAAGAUGACACGUAUGAUGCUAGAGUGCUGAACAUGCUGAAGUCCAUUAAGGACUUGGUAUUAGUUUUAUUAGUUGUAUCAAUUGUCAUUUUAUUUGUUCUUUUAAUGAUCAUUUAACUGCACGGUUUCAAAGAUUGUGAAAGUUCUCCCGCACAAGACAUGUUGCACGCACCACCAAUGAGACCCUAAACCCAUUUUGUAAUAUUUGUUAACUGCAUGCAUUUCGCAAGUUAUAAAACCGAUAUUGAAUGUUUAUUGAAGGUUUAUUGAUAGUUUGCUGCAUGUAUAUGGAAUAUCAUUACCCCAAUAUUGGAUGUUUAUUGGGGCCACAAGUAUCACUCAAGUAAGAAUGAAGGGGGGAAACGGACCUUAUUCUUUCUUUUAGUAGGAAGAGCAACUGUUAAGUUUAAUAUCCUAUUCAAUACGACUUCCUUAUGGUUGGUGUAUUUGGGGACUGAAGUAUAUUGCAUCAUUAUUGUGGGCAAGGGCAUGUCUAUUGUGUAUGUUAAGGGAGUAUUGCGUGUACAUUGCAUGUCUAUUGUGUGUAUAUUGCAUGUCUAUUAUGUGUAUAUUGCAUGUCUAUUGUCUGUAUAUGGCAGGCCAAUUUUGUGUAUAUUGUUUGUCUGUUGUGUGUAUAUUGCUUGUCGAAACGCAAGUGAAUUGUUGUUCAUUUUGUGUAUAUUGUCUUUGUUUCUACUUUUAUGCUACUAAGCUGCCGAAAACCGUGCUCAUCGGUUUAGACACCUAUUAUGAUGCAACACAUUGCGAUUAAUGGUGGCUUGCAUCAACAAUGACAUAUCACUUUGCAAUGAUGUAAUACACUUAAAAAGCCAUCUUCAAAUCCCAAUUCACAUAUGCAGUCUUAAAAUUCCAAUUCACAUAUGCAGUCUUAAAAUUCCAAUUCAAUGCAGUUUGGUUAACAAACAUGUAAAUGUCAUGAAGGACUUAGCGGUAGAAUUCGAUAAGGACCCGUACGUCUCUAUUGUGUAUUUACAUUAGUUUGAGAAUGGACAUUCCCAAAACCUUCUCAUGUACCAUUUGUCAUCUUCAACCAAUAUCAUGGGAAGUAAGCAUCUCCCCUUGUUAUCUCCGCAGCCAAUUUCAACCGAAAAAAAGGCAUGUUGUGCUAGGUGCAAGUAGCUAACGGAAGCUGAGCACUGAAAAGCUCAAUGUACUUUAACGCAAACAUGCCACAAUCGCCUCUGAAGCAAAACAAGAACUCGAUCAAUUCAACUAAUGACAUUCUAACGUAAUUGACAAUUCAAAGUAAUAAAGUUAAAUUGCAAGUUGUGCUUACUCAUUAGACUGUUGUGGAACAUCCACACGCUCUAUUGGCCACGGACACCACCAAUCUCGGCUGCAAUUGUUUGCAUAAACACCUUCUUCAUAAAAGUCGAUGGUGUUGAGAAGAUUUGGAAGCGUAAUUGAUAGCGGGGCGAGUUCUUCCUUUACGAUGUCAUCUGGAAUUAGUGAAACCUUUGAAUCGUAAACUUUGAUUUCACACAAUACCAGAUCAAUCAUUACAGCCACCCAAUGCUUGUACUUCGUCAACAUAAAUGGGGUAUACACCUUAUAGACGUUCUGCCAAUCCAUCCCACACGGAGGAACCUUCCCAUUUACAACGUUUAGUAAACUUUUUCUGAUUUUCCACCCAAGCUGCUGUUUUUUUCUUUUAUUAUCCGCAAAGCAAGUACGAAUGUGAUUCUGUGAAAUACAAAACAAUCAAUGGUUAAACACCUCCACUAGUGUGUGUAUGGAAAAUGUGGAAUUAUUAACGGCACUUGGUCAAGGCCGAUGACAUACCAUAAAAAAAACAUCGGUCGUUGUCUAGUCCGCUAUUUCUACUUCCUCCAACUGUUGUUGUCGCUUCCGGAUGAGAUACAACCCCAAAUCAAUGUGCUGCAACAUGUUUUUCUUGUCAAUCUCACAAUCUAUGUACAUUAAAACAAAUGCGUAAUCAAUUACACUUACAUCUCUUUUCAGCCAACCAUCAGCUUUCACGAGGGAAGCGAAGAAUUCAAUCUCAGCUUCCACGUUGCCAAAUUGCAUCACCAAACUAUGAAUAUAAAACAGUUUUAGAACACUGUAUAUUAAAAAUUAUAUACAGUCAUGCUUCUAUCUUAUAAUUGCAAGGGACUUACUUUGGGUCGUGGCGCCAUUCCCGACAAAGUUUCAGCAAAUUCACCAGAUCAUCAUGCAGAAUCGCCUUCAUUGGGUCUAACAUCUUCAGUCCGGUUGUCUGUGCCCCAGUUUUUGGAACCAAUUCACUGCCUUCAAUGAUCUUCCACAUAGGAAUGAUCCUCUUCAUUUUCCGUAAUUGGACCCUUUGUGCCACAGCUUUACCUUUAUCAUUCAACCACACGUUCAAUUGAGAUAGCACAGCUGUAGGUUCAUCCAAAUCAAUGUCCCGGACAGUAAACUCAAGCAGUGUCCCCUCCGUGCUCUCGCCAAUGUCACCCCCAAGCAACAUAACUUCAUUAUCUUCUUUCUCACAUUGGUUUUUUUGCACUUCCUUUUCCUCACUUCUUUGUGUUUUCACUUCCUUGCCCUCCCUUUUUUUUUCCUUUGUAGUUUCUCUCCCUUACUGCUUUUUCUUUUCACUUCCUCUCCCUCACUGCUCUGUCUUUGGGCUUCCUCUCCCUUGCUACUUUUUACUUGCACUUGCUCUCCUUCACUUCUUUUCCUUUGCCCUUCCUCUACCUCACUUGGUUUUCCUUGCACUUCACCCCCUUCAAUCCCCUCCUCUUCCUUUUCCUCUCCUUCAAUCCCCUCCUCUUCCUUUUCCUCUCCCUCAUUUCUAUUACUUGGCCCUUCACCCCCUUCAAUCCCUUCAUCUUCCUUUUCCUCUCCCUCAUUUCUGUUACUUGGCCCUUCAUCCCAUUGAAUGUCAUCCAUUUCCCCAUAUCCCUUAAAUAGAUGUGAGACGACACAACGAUUCGUCCUCUGUUUCAGUAAAGCUAGGUCCCUCCUUACUUCCUGCUCAAACUGAGGACCUAAACAUUGGUCCAACAGUUUUUCCAUCCGUAUGACCUUUAAGUGAAGGACGUCUUUUUCCCGCUUUACUUGAAACAACUUGGACCUCAACAAGCCUACCACCUUGUUCAACUCAUCAAGAUCACCACAUGAAGAAGGAAUUGACUUUGCCGAGACAACAGCAGGGCGAUCCUGUGGCCAACUCCAAUAUGGCUGUCUCAUUUCCUCUUCACUCGAACAUAGCGCCCGCAAUUGAACUGACUGUUUCAGAAUACAGACAAGAGUCAUAUUAAAUCAUUCUACUUCAUAAUUUCAUUCAAUCUUAUCAAUAGUUCCAAGGGCUGCAAACCAAACCUCUUUGCUCUGGAAAAAAUAAUUGUUCAACUUUCUCAUCUCUGGAACAGGCGUAGUAGUUCUCCAUCGCAAAAUACGCGGGACAGCGGUCGGAUCAACAACCUUGCAGUAAUUCAGGUCCACCAUUCUAGGAAUUAAUUCAUAUACCCAAAUCUACACAAUUCACAGGACAAAAGUCAUUAUUUAUGGUUUAAAGAAAAACAAAACAUAACUGACAUGAACAUUAUUACCAUGUACCUGGAAAGCAUACGUGAAACCUUUAAAACUCCAGCCACUCCUUUGCGCUUCACCAUGCUUAUCCUUCUUGCCCUUCUCAUUUCUCCGGGUUGUUCCCGUUACCUUACUUUUCCCCUUCCCUCUUCCCUCUUCAUUUUCCAAGCUUUUCACAUACUUUGUUGGUGCAUAAAAUAGACUGUCUUGGGUUUUGUCAAAGGACACCGAACCCCACGGAUACCUGUUGAACGCAUCCAAGUCCUCUACAAGGGUCAGGUAAUUUAGAUUCAUGUUCAAAUGUUUGUCCCUUCUCAAAACCACUAACUCAGCAAAGUACACAAGAGCUAGCUUGUAGAUGUCAUCUUCCUCUGUGCACCUCAGAAAUGCUUCUUCUAAAGCAUUGCAUGUAAUUCCUUCGUCUAUAAAAUAUCUUUUCUGAAGUCUGAUUUCAUCACUCUCUCCACUGGAAACUUCAGGCACUUCCCCAAAAUGAAGCCCUGUGAUCAAACAGAAAUCUUGACGAGUGAACUGAGCAACGUCACACCCUAAUAAGAAACUCAGUCCAUCCAAGUCUUUCACACCCUGCCCCGCUACUCUACGCAACACAACCCCAUGCACAAUCUGCCCGCUAAACUGAAUCUUAUCUAUAUUCAGAAGAUGGCCAAAGCAUGAUGUCUUGAAUUGUUCUAAUUGUUCCGCACUCAACUUCGCUCGAAUUGCAGCUAGAGAUGAAUUUGCAUGUGAGCAGUUGUUCACCCGUGACGAAUAUACCUCUGCCUCUGGCCAUACCAGCUCCACGUUGGAUCCCAUUUCCUCAAAUACAAUGUGAAAUAACGUGAACACAUAUACUACCACGUAUUUGCACAAUCACAACUAGUCAACCAGGCACAUUACAAAUUUUACAAAGUACAUGAGCAUAGGGAUUACUGAUCACAGGCUUUAACAUCAUCAAAGCAAUAUGGCAAAUUUUGUGCAAAUACCUGUUAAUGCAAUGAUUAUGUGAAUUACAAACAAUUUCACCGGUUUUAUUUAUGGAUCUAUACUCGUGUGAGUGCAAUGUAGGCAAGUUCUGCACUUCACACACAUGACAAUUAUUGUCAUCUCAUACACAACACAAAAUAAAUAAAUAAGAAAUAUAGUGGAAGGAAGCAAAGCAAAGCAUCUACUCUGCUAUCUGCUUGCUAAGCAAUUGCCACAUCCUUCUUUCUUUCUAGCUUUUUCUUCAGUCACCCACAAUCGUCAUAGAUCAACCUUCAUUUCAAAUGCUUUGCACUUUUAUUCAUGAGUUUAUUAUUAUCUGUUCUCAUUUCUCAUAGGCAAAUUUAGUAACAAAUGAAAUAAUAUUUAUUUCAUAAAAUAUAUAAAUUCUAGUGCCAGAGAGGUACUCUUCACUCUGCACUGCUUCAAAUGUGGAAGGUUUUGAGCGCCUCCUCCAAUUUAACACCAUUAUCUUAUUCAUAUCAUUACUAACAUGUUAUUGACAUGUUAUUCAGACGUUAUUGACAUGUGAUUGACUUUAUUUUCAUUCGUUUUUUAACAUAUACCCAAGCAAAAAUUAACAUGCAAUUGAAGCACAAAUAAGAGAUGUCAAAUCCAACAACAUUGAUGGUACAAAUUGGGGAAAACCAUUACUCUAACCCUAAACUCAAAUUCCUUACAUUACUCAUCAAAUGCUUUGCAGUUCUAUUCAUGAGUUUAUUAUUAUCUGUUCAAAUGUUUCUCAGGCAAAUUUAGUAACAAAGGAAAUCAUAUUUACUUCAUAAAAUAUAUAUAUAUUCUACCGCCUCUUCUUAAUCUGCACUAUGCAUUGCUUCAAAUGUGGAAGGUUUUGAGGGCCUCCUCCAAUUCAACACCAUUUAUCUUAUUCAUAUCAUUAUUGACAUGUUAUUCACUUGUGAUUGACUUGAUUUUCAUUCUUUUUUUAACAUAUACCUAAGAAAAAAUUAACAUGCAACUGAAGUACAACGAAGAGAUGCCAAAUCCAACAAAAUUUAUGGUACAAAUUGGGGAAAACCAUUACUCUAACCCUAAACUCAAAUUCCAUAAAUUACUCACCAAAUGGGUUAUUGCAAGGUGUUUGUGUGGGGUCUUUCUAUUUCUUUGCUCCACAAAUGGAACCUACCACUUCCAACGAAUACAGCUUCUCCCCUUCCCCUUCCACUGCUUUGCCCCUUCACUGAUUUGGAAUCCACACCUUUGCCCCUUCUACUCCAAAUAAAUACUUUUUCAGGGUCUGGAGAACGGAGUGGCGAAUCGUUGCCUUCAACUGUCGUUAGCCGUUGCCUUCAUUGGGUAUCUCAGACCUCUGGGUUUUAGAGAGAUGAGUUCUUUCUGUUCAAACUUCGAACUUGCCUCUUCUUCUUCUUUUUCGGACGUGUUUCCCUCUUCUUCUUCUUUUUGGACGUGCUGGAUAUUCAAUUCGGGUUUGGGUUCCUCACCUACCCAAUUGUGAAACUUUAUCUCAAUUCUCCCCAGCCCUUGGAUUGAUCUGAUGGCUAUAAAGUGAACCCCUUCUAACUUACCCCUUAUAACUUUCCACUCAUUAUAGUCUGCGCGAUAUAUAUAUACCUUGGCCAAGUUUCUUGAAUGGACUUAUUGAAAUUUCAAGUCACCCAACAUCGAUGGAUUAUGCUCAAUCAAAAUUAGAGACUCCGGAGGCCACAUUGUCUCACCAGAUGUUAGGCCCAAGUCCUCAGAGGCCCAAGCUCUACCUGCGAAAGUAGGCCCAAAAACCACCGGAUGUUUUCAUGGACAUGACGAGAUCCAUCCAAGGAAAGCAAUCAAAAGAGAGUGAUGUCAAUCUGGAACAUCCCUAAGAAGGAGAGAAUCAAGUGAUCAGAUUUGUAAUCUGAUCAUCUCAUUCGAAUCAAUUCCGUGAAUUUAGGAAGCCACACAAGGAAAGAUUUUGAACAAAGUUGACCUUCGGCCAUUUAGUGGCCAGCCCAUGGGCUGACGAAUGCCCCUCUAUGAAAUACAUCAGACAAAGAGCAAAGGACCCCGAUAUCAGGCACAAAACCUACUUUUUGUCUUUCAAUUUUCUAUCCCUAGACUAGUUUUUUUAUUUUCCAAGCAAGCAGACUAGAUUUGUUCUUCACUUUCAUUAGUGUAAGUUUAAUUUCUUGUAUUUUCCAUUAUGUUGUUUUAAGAUUCAAUUUUGCCGCUGUAUUUUUAAUUUUUAUCGAAUUUUCUUUAAGCUUAAUUUAAUUUCAAAUUGCUUUAUUUUAUUGCCUUUAUCAUUUAUAUCAUUCUUAUUUCGUUCUUCGUUUAAUUUAAGUUUAUCUAUCGCUUUGAUUUACUUUGUCGCACUUUAACUCUCAUCUUUAAGUUUAAUUGCAUCUUUUAAUUUAAUUUGCAUUAUUAUCAUUAAAAAUCUCAAAAAUACUAAAACACCCAUACGAAACCUAACCAUCCUCAACCCCGAGGAAGUGAAAGAACCUAGGUUAAGAGGAGGUUCCUUGCUUGGCCGAUCAAUCUGCUGGUUAGAAGUCAGAAGCAUGAACACAUUGAUCCAACUUUUUCCAUUCAAGCCAAUCAGUGGCUUAGUGGUGGCACUCCUACGCAAUCUAAAAUAAGGACCAAAACUCCUUCAAUCGGCCUACCCGGACGAAAAGAGGGAAAUAACAUCAUUGUGGCUCAGGAGAUGUUACACAAAUUUACAGUUUCAAAAGGGAAAAAAGGCUUCAUUGCUUUGAAAAUUGACUUAUCUAAGGCUUAUGGCAGACUGAACUGGAAUUUCAUUAAGGAAGUGCUUUGGGAGAUUGGUCUCAGAGGCAUGAUUCUUGAUGUUAUCAUGAAGUGCAUUAGUUGUGUUCAAUAUAAAGCUAUCCUCAGUGGUUAGUUAACUGAGGCUUUUACGCCUAGGCAAGGUGACCCGUUGUCCCCUUAUAUAUUUGUUUUGUGUAUGGAAAAGCUCUCUCACCUUAUUCAUAAAGGGUCCAUGAUAAUUUUUGGACAUCGGUGCAGAUUUGUCAAGGUGGUCCUUUUGUGUCUCGCUUAUUCUUUACUGAUGACUUAAUUCUUUUCAGUAAAGCUUCCAUGAACCAGGCUAUGGUGAUGAAACAAUGUUUGGAUGAGUUUUGCAACGUCUCUGGUCAGAAGGUAAGCUUUGAGAAAUCAGUUAUUUCUGUUUCUCCAAAUACAAGCCAUGCACUUGCUCAAUCCAUUGCUAAUGUUAGUGGAUCUCCCCUCACUGCCUGUCUUGGUAAAUACCUUGGAGUCCCUUUAAUUCAUAAAAAAGUCACUAAGACCACUUAUAUGGAGAUUGUCGAGAAGGUCCAGAAAAGGUUGUCUGCCUGGAAGAGUCAUUUCCUUUCCAUGGCUGGUAGGCUUACUCUCCUACAAUCUGUUAUUGCUGCCAUUCCCAUUUAUUCUAUGCAAACUGUUAAGUUACUUGUUUCCGUUAGUGACAAACUUGACCAGCUGAACAUGAAUUUUCUUUGCUUCCACACUAAUAAUUCGUGUAAGACCCAUCUUGUUAAUUCAGAAAGAUCAGGGCCUUUGGGCCAAGGUCUUGAAUUCUAAGUAUUUGAGACAACGUGAUCUUAUUGCUGCUAUGAAUCCCAACACUAGUUGUGUUUCCAGUGUGUGGAGGGGUGUUUUAUUUUGUGCUAAGCUUCUUCCUCCUGGUCUCAAUUGGAGAGUUGGAGCUGGUGAUAACCAUCUUGGUUUGGACGGACACGUGGGUGAGUUGUGGCCCUUUACAGAAUUUUGCCACCGUUUUAAGCUUCUUCUUACUGUGAGUGACUUCAUGGAGCAUGGAUAUUGGAAUGUCAACUGCUUACAGGAUUGCCUGCCUCCCAACAUUGUUCCUCCGAUUUGAAGUACUCAUGCCGGCUUCUAUGGAGGUAGGAUUGAUACUUGCGUAUGGAAGCUCUCCUCUAAUGGUGAGUUCUCUGUUAAAAUUGCCAAUUACUCUAUUGUCCUUGGGCAAGACCUUCCCCCCUAGAAAUGGGAAUUUAUCUGGAAGCUCCACAUCCCCCCAAAGAUUAAAACCUUUUUGUGGGUUAUGUGUCAUAACAAGCUCUUGACUAAUGCCAACGUGUCAAAAGAGGACUUGCCUCUUCUGCUAAUUGUCCUCGCUGCAGUUAUUUGGAGUAAGUUUGGGUCUAACUCUACCCUUCCUAUCUGCUUUGUGGCAGAUUUUGAUGCUUGGCUGUUUCACAACCUUAAGUCCCGAAAAUUUGUAUGAGAUGAUAUGCCUUGGUACAUGGUUUUUGCUGUCUGUCUUUGGUAUAUUUGGAAAUGGCGCUGUAAACUUAUUUUUGAGGAAGGAUUUGUGAUGCCAUUAAGCCUCAACAAGUUUUGCAGUAUCCUGUUGAGUGGUUCACUGCUCGUAAGGCUAUGACAACUUCUAUUGCAAUUUGUGUGAUGCAGCUAUGCUGGCAACAUCCUAUGCCUGGUAUUUUUAAGCUUAACACUGAUGGGAGUCGAAAGUCUGAGUCUGGCCUCAUAGGUGCUGGACGAAUUAUUAGAGACUCUAUUGGUGUUUGGAUUAAAGGCUUCUCUGUGAAUCUUGGUGUGGGAUUUACAAUUGAGGCUGAAUUACGGGGUGUCUUUUGGGGCCUCCGUUUGGCUUGGUAUUAUGGGUGCCGAAACAUUGCGGUGAAUGUGAUGCUAGUGAUGUGGUUUCCCUCCUCUCUUGCCCAACAUCUCUCACUCAUCCCCUCCUUAGUCUUAUUAAUUGCUGCAAGCUGAAGAUGCAAGAAAACUGGAUUUGUUCCCUGAGGCAUGUCUUUCGUGAACAAAACCAUGUUGCUGACGUUCUUGCUAAAAUGAGCCAUGAGUUGGACCCUGGUUAUCAUUGUUUUGAUGUUCCCCUUCCUAAUGUCUAUGACACCCUUUAUGUUGAUCCUAGCAAUUUGGCUAGGACUCGAAUUAUCUCUCUGUAGUUUGCUUUGUUGAUAGGCCUCUAGCCCAUCUGUACCAAAAAAUAAAAAUAAAAAUAAAGCCCACAACUAAAUGCCCAUUCUGCUUCUCUCUCGCCUUUUGAACUGAGUCCAAAUUACUCACCAAUUUAAGGGAGCUUCUAUAGUGAGUGGGAAGUUAUAAGGGGUGUUUUUGAGGGGUAUGUAAGAGCCGUUGGAUUUCAUCCAACGGUGAGUUUUUAAAAGAGGGUGCAUGUAGAAUCGGGUUGAAAUCUAACCCGUUAGAAACCCAACUUCAGUUGUUCCCCUCUUUCCCUCUCUGUGAAAAACUGAAGCCUUUCUUUUUGAAUGUAAAGCAAACCCACAAUUAGAAGGAUCCAAAUCUCCCAAACCUUAUAGUCACUCGACUGUCAUUAGCUCGUUGGGAGGCCUGCGAUCUAUAGUAUCCUGGGUAUUACGAAGAAUGGCUCUUACCUAGCUGUUGCCCUGUUUUGAUUCUAUGGCUCAAGUGAAAACCCCUUCUCUUUUCAUUCAGCUGACAAGAUUCCAGAUGAAAGCAAAGUAGCAUAUCUGUUUUUGUAGCUAGAAGCCGCAGCAGCAGUUGUUCCUCGAUUUUGGUAGAGAUGGAGUCUCAAAUACCAAAGAGUCUUCUCUAAUGUCCACCACAGUCUUUCAAGCUGACUGACUUCAGAGCUCCCGAUUGAUUUUGAGAGGUAAGUUCACUUGCUGGAUUGAUUUUAUUGGGUUAGGUUUAUUUUUUGUGAGGGUGGGAAAUUCGUCAUUUGUGGCAUCAAUAAUGUGUCAUUUUCUUAUGAAUAUUCAAUAUACUUAGUUCAUUGUUGUUGGUCGGGGUGGAAAAUUAUGAAAUGUAGGUAAAAGAACCUAAACUUAGGCUUAAUGACGUUAGGAGUAAGCAGUUGGAGAGGAUAUUGGGUGAAGUUCUGUAAUUGGUGGUUUGAAUUACAUUUGUGUUCUUAGUUGAACAUGUUGGUUCUAAUGUUAUUUUGACCAGAUUAUUUCCCAAGAGAUGACGUAACUUUUAUGAAAUUUUGCUUGUGUUUUGUGUAAUCGGAAGUUAGGCUAUGCGUAUUUUUUGUCAAUUUGGGCAAUGUUUUGUGUAAGUGGAAUGCAUUGAUAUGUUGUGAUGCAGUAAUGACUGAUUAAUGAAUGAAUAAUUGCUAUGCAGUAAUAUAGAAGUGGAUCAAUAAUAUACGUAGAUAAAAUGUCUGGGGGCUCAGAGAGUGAUGAAUGUGCAACAGCUAAUGGGAGGGUUUAUAUUCCUGAAGUAAGAAAUGAGGAAACACCAGCAGUUGGGAUGAAGUUUGACUCGCUUGACCUCGUUUACAAUUUCUAUAAUAGAUAUGCAUUCUUGGCUGGCUUUGGUAUUCGACUUCAUUCUAGCUUUUGGGGGAAAAAUAAGAAAGAUAUUUUGAGGAAAGAAUUUGUAUGUUGCAAACAAGGUGCAUACAGGAAGGAUGAAACUCGGGAGAGAAAAAGACAACGGGGAAUAAGUAGAUGCAAUUGCAAAGCAAAGAUUGUGGUUGUGAAGACAAAUGGGAGCAAGAAGUAUACCAUUUCUCUUUUUGCAGAGGGACACAAUCAUAAGAUGACACCCUCAGAAAGAAUGCAUUUAUUGAGAUCACACCGUCAUAUUUCAGAUUCUACAAAAGUACUCACAAAACAGUUGGGUUUAGUUAAUAUUCCCAUUCAUCAGAAGGUAAGUAUAUUCGAGGUGCAAUCCGGAGGAAUGGAUAAAAUCGGUUUUAUCAAAAAAGAUAUCUACAAUCUUGAAUGUAGUGUGAAUGGGAAGCUGAGGAACCACGAUGUUGAACUAGUGACCGAGUAUUUUAUGGCUGAACAGAAAAAAAAUGAGGCUUUUUAUUUCAAGAUUGAGGGAGAUGGGCAUGACAGGUUUAGUCGAUGUUUUUGGGCAGAUGCAACUUCUAGACGGGCGUAUGGGUUUUAUGGAGAUGUUGUUGUAUUCGAUACCACAUUCAACACGAAUCGAUACGACUUGACAUUUGCACCAAUGUUGGGAGUUAAUAACCAUGGUCAGACAAUUGUCUUAGCAUGCGCAUUUUUGAGCAAGGAAACGACUGAGUCGUUUGUUUGGAUGUUUGAGGAGUUUAAGAAAGCCAUGCCAGGUGGGGAACCUAAAACGAUCAUUACAGAUCAAGAUGCGGCAAUGGCCAUAGCGAUUUCAAUAGCCUUCCCGAGUACAUUUCAUCGACUUUGCAUAUGGCACAUCACAUCAAAGUUCUCUGUUAAGUUACCACGUGACGCUUAUAAGGAGUAUUGGCCUGAAUUUCAGAAAGCCAUAUGGGAUACUGACAAUAAGGAUGAGUUUGAUGCAAAAUGGAAUAUUGUGGUUACAAAGGCUGGUUUGACUGACCAUCCAUGGCUAAGUUCAAUGUUUGAUUUAAGGGAAUCUUGGGUUCCAGCCUACGCACGACAAUUUUUUGCCGCUGGAAUGUCAAGCAGCCAAAGAGCGGAAGGUUCUCAUGGUUUUUUCAAGCAAUACAUAUCAAGGAGAAAUUCGUUGAUGGAUUUCAUAAUACGAUUUGAGAAGGCACUUUCUCAUCAACGUGAAAAAGAGUUAGUUGCUGAUCACGUAGAUGCAUUUGAAGUGGCUCAAUGUCUUCUACCGAUGCCAAUGAACAAACAAAUGGCUACCUUGUACACAAGGACAAUGUUUCAAAAGUUUGAGCAAGAACUAAUACAAAGUACAGCAUGUUUCCUAGAGCUCAAAACAGAGGAUGCGUGUAAAGUUGUGUUCAACGUGAGCGAAAGGAAAAAUUGGGAAACAAGAGUGGCAGAAGUCGUAUAUGUCAAAGAUUCUGACCACGCAUCGUGUAGCUGCAAAAGAUUUGAAUUUGUUGGAAUUAUUUGCAAGCACAUCCUAGCAUUGUUCAGAAGGGACCAGAUUGAAUAUAUGCCCGAUAAAUAUAUUUUGAAGAGGUGGAAGAAAACUGCGAAAUGUGGAUUGGUGUCAGAUGCAAAUGGCAACGAAAUUAAAGACUGUGCAGAUCCUGGCCUUCUAAUAAAGCGGAGUACAAUGUCUCGACUUGCUUCAGAUGUGGUUGAGGAUGCAUUAAUGAGUGAAGAAGGAUGUGAGCUACUGUCAGAGACUCUAAAAAGUUUGCAGGUGAAGUUGAAGUUGCUGAAGGAUGGACCAAGUAAUAACGAAGUUGGAGGGUCCAGCUCUCAAACACAAUAUAUGAAAGACCCUAAGAGAGUGAGGUGCAAAGGAAGGUCGAAAGGAAUAACGGGAGCAAAGGAAAAGGCAAUGAAGCGAGGGAUUAGACACUGUCGGGAGUGUGGACACAUUGGUCAUGAUAGAAGACAAUGCCCAGCCUUGAACACACCGUAAGAUGCUACCACUAUUUGUAAUAAUAUCUAAAAUAUGAAAAGGUAAAAUUUUUAUGUGCUUGUGUUUGAUGUUUAUGCAGGACAUCACCGUCGAACAAUGACGAAUCAACUCCAAUACAUCGUAGUGACCCAUUAUUCGACGAUUUUGACAGGAUGCACAGACCAACUGAAUGAUUGAUAUUUGUAUUAGACGAAAUGUGGUUGUUAUGAAGAUUAAUGAUCAAGUGAAGUUUGAUAGAUUCAGUUUUUGAAUGUUAUUGUGUUUUUGUUCAUGUCCACCGAUGAGCUCUUACUAUGUCCACUGGUAAUUGAAAUGAAAAUUUGCUUGGUUUCAUUCUUCCAAGACAUUUGGAGACAUGUUAAUUUUACGUCUUCUCCCUAUUUAUAAAUUUUCAUAGACAUUUGAUCAAGUUUGAAAUUUGUAGUUAUGUGAAGAAGCAAUGACUCUUACCAUGUAAAAUGGGCAGUUUAGGGUGAAAUUUGUUUUAACAGAGAUUCAUUUUUCAAUUCCUCAGGGUAAUGCAGCAAUUACAGCAGCCAGCUGUUGUUUCCAUUACCAGUAAUCAUUUCCAGCAGCAGCCACUUUUUCCGACUGGUUAUUAGGGGUACGAUUUUGUACACUUUUGUAAGCGAAGGAUACUCGAAGCACUUUGUUGGAACAGAGCAAAUAGAAACCAGCGGGUAAAAAAAAAACAUAACAUUGCAGCUAAUUACAUUUCGAUACAUAGGUGAAAAAUAUUAAAGGGUACACUAACUUACAUAAAUACUCAUAAUUCCACACACAAAAGAACAUUUGAUUGCAAAACAUAUUAUGUGCUUCCUCAUAGCAAUACCACGAUCUCCCCAACCAACUGAACAACGGUAGCCACAAUCACUGGGUCGUACUCGUCAGCUUCUUCUUAGCAGGUCUCACACGCUUAUGGCCACUCAUAUCCCUAGUGAUAUACACGAAAUAAAUCUUCAGCAAUAUUUGGAAUUUUAUUAUAUAUAAAUAAACCAUAAACCAUUCAGUAAACAAUGUAUAGCACAUGUUAUGUAACUUAUGACUCACGUGUCAGUUUUUUUUUUAACACAUUAGUACUCCAGCUCUUUAAUGUAAAUGGACAUGAUAAGGAGCAUUUAUUGAUUCCCGGCUUUCUGUGAUAUUGACUGCUUCUUGAAUAAUAUUUCCAUAUUUGCAAAAUAUAAUGUUAGACAUUAUAACACAUGAUGACUUGCAAUACAUAGUCCCAAUAAUUAUAUAUGAAGCAAAUGAAACUGAUAUUUGUGUUAUUUUAAGUUAGAUAAUGACAUUAAGGGAGUAUAUGUGCAAUACCACGGUCACCCUCAACCAACUAAACAGCGGUAGCCGCAAUCACUUAGUCGUAUCGGUCGGCUUCUUCCGAGCAGCUUUGACGUGCUUAUGCUCAUUCAUGUCACCCCCAUCGUCUAGUAUCUCUCUCACAGCAUCAGGGGACACAUAGUUCCAAUCAUAACUUGUAUGAGUAGUUGCCGCAAAUGCUCGGAAUUUGUCGAAUCCUUCGUUGAAUGCCAACUCCAGUUCAGUAUGGUGCUCUUCGCAUCGCAUAUGGUUCAUCAAACAACCUUUGAUUUCAUCAUUCAUUACUGUAUCCAACUCCUCAGCUUUCAGCUUCCUGCUAUGACUCAGCUUCAAGUACUUGUUCUUUUGGGAUAACGCUUUGUUCACCCUAAUGUUAAGAUCAGCCAAAAUUGCCUCGUCUUCAACACAUUUCUCGUGCCAUGAAUUGAUCAGUCUGGAAUUAUAAUCCAGCUUGCCACUGACUGCAUGUAUUGCCUGUAAUGGAUCAUCGGAGUCCCCCUCACUCCCAAAUGAUGUUGAAAAAGGAAGGGGUCGGCGAGUACAAUGUGGAAAUAGAACCUGCCACUCCAAUUUGUCAUCUUCGAUUGUGUUGUUGGCGCCUGAAGAGGUUGACAUGCUUGAAUAAUCCUCUUUGUUUUGGGAGGAUGAGGAUUGCAUAUGCAAUUUCGUUUGAGAAAGGGAACAUAGGUUUAUAGACCAACAUACCAAAGCUUGUGUGUAGUCAACAUAUGUACUUUUUGGCGGGAAUUUUUUAAAAAUAGGUGUCAGGUUUUGCUUUUCAAGCAUGUCAACCUCACACUCUCCUGACACCACUGAUAGUGGUUGAAACAAACUCAAUGGAAGUGACAUCUACUUAGUUAACUCAACCAAACUAGUUAGGAUUCAACUUAGAUUGUAUCAGACCAAAAAUUAAUUUAUACAUUCUCAACCAAAUAUUUUUUGGCGGGAACCCUUUUCUUGGUAUUACUAUCACCCCUUUCAUAUAAAUUCUCGUUCCACACAAAACUCACUCCUCCACCGAAUCUGUCUCCAUCUACUGAUACUCUCUCAAGCAAACAAACUCAUUCCCCCCAAAGAAUGAGCAUAAGCACAACCAAGUUUGAUGUGAGCAUAAUAAACACCCCUCCAAACAAAGACCGGCUUCGACACGCAAGUGAGUCACCAGACAAGCAAUGUCACAUUCCUAGACAGAAUGACCAUUUUGUUGGAAGUUUUGAGUCUGAAAGAGUUGUUGCUUUUUGGAAGGAGAGGCAUCUUCAACUUGGUGAUGAAAUCCAAAGGGCAAGGGCACGGUUGGAAUUUGUGGAAGGCCAAAUUGAAGAUGACAAAAGGCAGGCCAAUCUGGAUAGGGCGAAGUUGCAGCGCAUGAAGCGUAGACACAAACGACUUCGGAGUGUAGCUCUUCAAAAAUACAAGAACUCAUCUAAUGCAGUGGAGUCAAAGAAGCGUGUGAUGCAAGCUGGAUUCGACUACUUCCGAUCCUAUGCAAAACUCGUCGUACCCGGGUUUGAUUGGUCAUCUAUUACCGUUUCCGACGUCACCAAAUAUACUCAGCAAGGGAAGUAACCAUUUUGGUUCUCGUGUUUGAGCAGAGGCAAAUCAGUGGAAUUGAAAUGUUCGUUACACUCUGCUUCAAAGCUAUUUUGAUGCUAACUACUAUGGAAGAUUUAAACCUUAAUAUUUUGAUGUCUUUAAUUACGAAAACAGAAGAUGCAAAGAGCCCAUCUACUUAAGUCAUAUGUUGCUGCCAUGUCCAUUUGUUUUUGAUCACGUUUCAGAUUUGGACAUGGUUGCAACAUAUGCAAUGUUGCCUUUAUUUAUUAUAUGUUAGGACAAGGUUUAUGGAAAAGCUUUUGUGAGUGCGUUUGUGACAAGGUUAUGGAAUUAUUAUGUACACUUUAUAUAUUAUUUUUUGUACUGGUUCAUUUCCUACUAUUUCUUGCUUUCUUUAUAUUUUAUGUUUGUGGAAUCCCUCUCAAAGUUAACAUAUACUGUGAAAAAAAUAUUAUGCAACUGAUUAUAUAAUCACUCAUAUAGACUAGGACAAAUAUUCACUAAGGGUUUUAAAAUUGCUUCACUUGUGUGAGGUUAUUGAGAAAAAGUAUGGCAUUAUUUAUAUGAUUGACAUGAUUGAAAAGAUAUUACUGAUUCCCAAUAAGGCGUCAUAUGGACAACUUAUUGAAUACCUGUAACGUGUUAAUAACUCUAGGUGCAGUUGCAUGUGGACAACUUAUUGAAUACCUCUGACGUGUUGAAAACUGUAGGUGCAGUUGCAUGUGGACAACUUAUUGAAUACGAACUGACGUCUUGAAAGCUAUAGGCGUAGUUGCAAUGAUGGCUUCAAAGCAUGUGCAAUUAUUAUUUAUGUACAUUAUUAUAACAAAACAUAUUAUUGUAUAUAGUGAAACUAAAUAUUGUAUUAUUACAAAUUAUAUAUCGAAUAUUAUCCGAAAUAUACGUGUUAACGUGAAUUUGGGUUAAGAGGAAAGUGAGUUAUGUACAAAUAAUUUUCAUUUUCUCAUUUUCCCAGCAUUUUUUGGAUUUUCGUAGAAUUUAUUACCUAUGUCCACAGAUUGUUGCACUAAAAAAGCCAAAAUAAUUGCAAGACGACACCUGGCGCGAUCUCAGCCCGUCACUGAUGACUACUUGCACAAGUGUACGUCAGUCAACAUGGCCACACCCUCCCAUUUUACCCUAAAUUAUUAAUUUAUUACUUUUCCUUACAAAAAUCAGAAAUAAUUACACAAAAAAAAAAUAAAUUAUCCGAAAAUUGCUACGAACUCAUUGACACUCCAUCUCCGUUGCUGAAUUCUCCGAUUCAUUGUUACGCAUUUUUAAAAUUAAUUCCGAACAUUAACGGGGGAUGCUUGUUGAAGUAGGUUAUUCAAGUUGAAGUUAACAAACAUCAAUACUUAUGGUUAAGAGGAAAGUGAGUUAUGUAACACAAUUUGGAUUUUUUCAUUGCGAGACGAAUGAUUUAUAGGUUCUCCUAGUUUUAUGACGUCACAAGUAGGCUGGAGUAAUUUUGGGGGCAUUUUUAGGAUUUUCCUACUAUUUAUUACCUAGUUUCAAAGAUUUUUGAACAAAACAAUCCAAAAUUUAUAAGAAGAUGACACCUGGCGCGAUCUCAGCCCGUCACUGAUGACUACUUGCACAAGUGUACGUCAGUCAACAUGGCCACACCCUCCCAUUUUACCCUAAAUUAUUAUUUUAUUACUUUUCCUUACAAAAAUCAUAACUAAUUACACACAAAAUAAAAAAAUUAUCCGAAAAUUGCUACGAACUCAUUGACACACCAUCUCCGUUGCUGAAUUCUCCGAUUCAUUGUUACGCAUUUUUAAAAUUAAUUCCGAACAUUAACGGGAGAUGCUUGUUGAAGUAGGUUAUUCAAGUUGAAGUUAACAAACAUCAAUACUUAGGGUUAAGAGGAAAGUGAGUUAUGUAACACAAUUUGGAUUAUUUCAUUGCGAGACGGAUGAUUUAUAGGUUCUCCUCGUUUUAUGACGUCACAAGGAGGCCCGGGUCAUUUUCCCAACCUAUAAUAGGAAUUUCCUACUAUUUUUUACCUAAUUUCAAGGAUUUUUCCACUAAAAUAGCCAACCCUAAUUGCAAGAAGACACCUGCCGCGAUCUCGGGCCGUCACCUUUCACCACUUCCACAAGUGUACGUCAGUCAACAUGGCCACAUCCUCCCAUUUUACCCUAAAUUAUUAUUUUAUUACUUUUUUUGUUGGAAAAUUCACAACUAAAUACACAAAAAUUAUAAAAAAGAUCCUAACAUUUCAACGAACUUAUUGAGAUUUCAUCUUCCUACUUAAAUCCCUGUUUCAUGGUUAUGCUACAUUAGUAUUUUAUUAUUAUUAAUCCACAAUUAUUAUAAUUAUUAUGAUAUUACUUUUUAGGCUGUCCAUUUGUUAAUUAUAUUUAGUCCAACUUGUUUAAAACAAUUUUAUUUUCCGUGCGAAUAGCCCAUUUGUAGUGCUCAUCGGUUUCUCUGUUCUUCAAUUUGUUAAAUUUUUUAUUUUUUAGGUUGAAGGGAUGUUUUCAAACAUAAUAUGGAAAUAUACAAGUCAUCCAUUGUACUCCUUCCACACAAACAAAUUAUUCAACGUCAUUCACUGUUCAAAUUUUGCUUAAGAAACGUGUAACCAAAUCCUGUCGGAUAUGCUAAGUGGGAAAAUGUCAUUCCCAAGCAUUGGCGAAAAGACACCUAUUUACUCCAUGCAUGACUUUUGGUUUACCACAUAUGAAUAUUGGGGUGGGUGAGCAAAAUAUCUGUGUCAGUAAAAUGUCAUUCGUAGCCGUCUAUGAUGUAAGUAAUAAUUCCGCUAUAUAAUAAAUAUUAUACAUUUAUAUAUAAAACGGUUUAUGACAAAAUACCAACAUUUAAACAACAUUCGUACAACGUAGCCAGCCAACCUAUAAGUAAAGAGAAGCAAGUCCACAAUGCAUCAAAACCGUCAAUUCGUACUACAACUAAUGCAAAAAUACGUGAUUCCCUCGCACAACAUACUCACGCAUCAGUUUGCACCAAAAAAUACUCUCACGGUGCCAUUUGCAUCGAUUGCAACAAGUCCACAACGCAGGAUUUAGCUUGUCUUCACUAGGCCAGCCUGGAAUAACAAAAUACCAUUCAUUGUUGUUACAAGCGCUGCAGCGAUUGAACUGAAUCUUCCCAUAGUCAAACAUAUCUACGAUAUGUCUUGCAACUCUUGAUGUGGUUAAUCUUCGUGUCAAAGCAUCCCUGGUUCCUUUCAUAUCAAUGUUGUUACGUUGAUUCAAAGAACACAAGAAUUGUAAUGCAUCCUCUUUUGACUGACCAAUUCCGGACAUACCAAGUAGUCCAACUACAUAUGCCGCUUCCAUAUGGCCUGCCGUGGCUGCAAUGCGCAUCCCAUACAACGCUUCCACCUUACCGGCCGUGAAAAAAAUACCGAAUGCUUCUCUAAAUAUCGACUCAGGGUUAUCGCAAGCCCUGCAUUGUUGCAAGAAAUGCUGGACCGCAGGUCUGGCACGGUACCAGCUAGGAUGGUCUGGGUACUUUGCCAUUGAAAUGGUGUUCCACACUUGUGGACUGUUUGCCAAAGUUUGGAACAAUCGGCACACAGAUGCCAUACGGAAGAGAUCUUCCGAUGAUUCGGUUGCCACGUAUAACAUCACUUGAAACCAAGCGGACUCCGGGAUGAAGGCUUGGGGCAUAUCGAAAUGGAGAUGCUUCCUUCUCUUUCCUCCGACUAUAGUGAAGUGUUUCGAAUUCAUUGAAAAGUUUUUGGAAUGGAACGAUUUGAGGAGUGGCAGAGGGGAUAAAUGAGAAUAUUUGGGGUACACGUUUUGUUUUAGCCUCUGUUUAUAGUGUUUUGAAAAGGUGUUUGCAGUUGGGGUUUUUCCAAGUUGACCCUUUUUCAAGAAACUGAACCGAAGUGAAUUAAAACUGAACACAAAAGAAGGGAAAACGUCAUAACGGUGCAUACAGAGUCAGACAGUCAAAAAGUUCAUUAAAUGGCUAUCUGCAUAGCCAUUUGUGGGAUUAUCCCAGUAUCAAAUUCAUUGAUACAAAUGUGAUGGAUUACUGAGUAGUGACAGAAGGUCCCAUCAUAUACUUUUUCAUUUUCCCACACCCAACUACCCCUACUAAUGUUAUUGAAAUGGAACCAAUAAUGACGGAUUCUUAUCCAACUAGUUGCCUUAAUGAAAUAUAUAUAAAAUAAUAAAUUUGAAGCAGUGUCCCCUCAUUUUUCCGAAAAUAUAUUUGGUAGUGAAGUAGUUUAUAUUGCUUUUCGGGCUAAAAGAUGCCGCAAUGCCGACGGUACAGGUGUCGACAUCGUGACCAACCCACCAAAUGAUCCCAAGAAAAAGAAAUAUAACUCGAUUUGGGCAGAGAUGAGAGAGAGCUGAGUGACAAGUUUAGGGUUAUGAGUGAAGGGGUAUGAAUGACAACUAUGAGUGAGAAGGUAUGAGUCCGAAGAGGUUUCAGUGAGAAGAUCUGAGUGAGAAGAGGUACAACUGAGAAGAUUCAACAUGUCUUCGUCUUCAUCUCCCGCUCAAACAAAGAGGUGUCAGUAUUGUGGAGCUACAAUGGUGCUUCGGGUUUCAAAAUCUGACAAAAAUCGAGGGAAGCCAUUCUGGAAGUGUCUAACCUCCUAUGUAAGUUUUAAUUUGAAUAAUAUGUAUGUGGGUCAAAAUAAACCCAUGUCUAACUCUGACAGAAUUAUAUUCCAUAUAUGAUGCCUGCAAUUAGGGAGCCACCAGUUGCAAUGGAUUCGAAUGGGUUGAUGUAAACUCCGCUGAAGCAGAACAUCAAGAUGACACGUAUGAUGCUAGAGUGCUGAACAUGCUGAAGUCCAUUAAGGACUUGGUAUUAGUUUUAUUAGUUGUAUCAAUUGUCAUUUUAUUUGUUCUUUUAAGGAUCAUUUAACUGCACGGUUUCAAAGAUUGUGAAAGUUCUCCCGCACAAGACAUGUUGCACGCACCACCAAUGAGACCCUAAACCCAUUUUGUAAUAUUUGUUAACUGCAUGUAUUUCGCCUGUUAUAGAACCGAUAUUGAAUGUUUAUUGAAGGUUAUUGAUAGUUUGCUGCAUGUAUAUGGAAUAUCCUUGGCCCAAUAUUGGAUGUUUAUUGGGGCCACAAGUAUCACUGAAGUAAGAAUGAAUGGGGGAAACGGACGUUAUUCUUUCUUUUAGUAGGAAGAACAACUGUUAAGUUUAAUAUCCUAUUCAAUACGACUUCCUUAUGGUUGGUGUACUUGGGGAGUGAAGUAUAUUGCAUCAUUAUUGUGGGGUCUAUUGUGUGUGUUAAGGGAGUAUUGUGUGUAUAUUGCAUGUGUAUUGUGUGUAUAUUGCAUAUCUACUGUCUGUAUAUUGCAUGUCUACUGUGUGUAUGUCUGUAUAUGGCAGGCCAAUUUUGUGUAUAUUGUUUGGCUGUUGUGUCUGUAUUGCUUGGCCAAACGCAAGUGAAUUGUUGUUCAUUUUUUGUAUAUUGUAAUUGUUUCUACUUUUAUGCUACUGAGCUGCCGAAAACCUUUCGCAUGUUUAGACACCUAUUAUGAUGCAACUCAUUGCGAAUAAUGGUGGCUUGCAUCAACAAUGACAUCACUUUGCAAUGGUGUAAUACACUUAAAAAGCCAUCUUCAAAUCCCAAUUAACAUAUGCAGUCUUAAAAUUCCAAUUCAAUGCAGUUUGGUUAACAAACAUGUAAAUGUCAUGAAGGAGUUAGCGGUAGAAUUCGAAAAGGACCCGUACGUCUCUAUUGUGUAUUUACAUUAGUUUGAGAAUGGACAUUCCCAAAACCUUCUCAUGUACCAUUUGUCAUCUUCAACCAAUAUCAUGGGAAGUAAGCAUCUCCCCUUGUUAUCUCCGCAGCCAAUUUCAACCGAAAAAAAAGGCAUGUUGUGCGAGGUGCAAGUAGCUAAUGAAAGCUGAGCGCUGAUAAGCUCAAUGUACUUUAACACAAACAUGCCACAAUCGCCUCUGAAGCAAAACAAGAACUCGAUCAACUCAACUAAUGACAUUCUAACGUAAUUCACAAUUCAAAGUAAUAAAAUUAAAUUGCAAGUUGUGCUUACUCAUUACACUGUUGUGGAACAUCCACACGCUCUAUUGGCCAUGGACACCACCAAUCUCGCCUGCAAUUGUUUGCAUAAACACCUGCUUCAUAAAAGUCGAUGGUGUUGAGAAGAUUUGGAAGCGUAAUUGAUAGCGGGGCGAGUUCUUCCUUUACGAUGUCAUCUGGAAUUAGUGAAACCUUUGAAUCGUACACUUUUAUUUCACACAAUACCAGAUCAAUCAUUACAGCCACCCAAUGCUUGUACUUCGUCAACAUAACUGGGGUAUACACCGUAUAGACGUUCUGCCAUUCCAUCCCACACGGAGGAACCUUCCCAUUUACAACGUUUAGUAAACUAUUUCUGAUUUUCCACCGAACCUGCUGUUUUUUUCGUUUAUUAUCCGUAAAGCAAGUUCGAAUGUGAUUCUGUGAAAUAUAAAACAAUCAAUGGUUAGACACCUCCACUAUUGUCUGUAUGGAAAAUGUGUAAUUAUUAACGGCACUUGGUCAAGGCCGAUGACAUACCAUAAAAAAAACAUCUGUCGUUGUCCAGUCCGCUAUUUCUACUUCCUCAAACUGUUGUUGUCGCUUCCGGAUGAGAUACAACCCCAAAUCAAUGUGCUGCAACAUGUUGUUCUUGUCAAUCUCAUAAUCUAUGUACAUUAAAACAAAUGCAUAAUCAAUUACACUUACAUCUCCUUUCAGCCAACCAUCAACUUUCACGAGGGAAGCGAAGAAUUCAAUCUCAGCUUCCACGUUGCCAAAUUGCAUCACCAAACUAUGAAUAUAAAACAGUUUUAGAACACUGUAUAUUACGAUAAAUAUACAGUCAUGCUUCUAUCUUAUAAUUGCAAGGGACUUACUUUGGGUCCUGGCGCCAUUCCCAACAAAGUUUCAGCAAAUUCACCAGAUCAUCAUGCGGAAUCGCCUUCAUUGGGUCUAACAUCUUCAGUCCGGUUGUCUGUGCCCCAGUUUGUGGAACCAAUUCAAUGCAUUCAAUGAUCUCCCACAUACGAAUGAUCCUCUUCCUUUUCCGUAAUUGGACCCCUUGUGCCACAGCUUUACCUUGAUCAUUCAACCACACGUUCAACUGAGAUAACACAGCUGUAGGUUGAUCCAGAUCAAUGUCCCCGACAGUAAACUCAAGCAGUGUCCCCUCCGUGCUCUCGCCAAUGUCAUCCCCAAGCAACAUAACAUCAUUAUCUUCUUUCUCACAUUGGUUUCUUUGCACUUCCUUUUCCUCACUUCUUUGUGUUUUCACUUCCUUGCCAUCCCUUUUUUUCCUUUGCAGUUUCUCUCCCUUACUGCUUUUUCUUUUCACUUCCUCUCCCUCACUGCUCUGUCUUUGGCCUUCCUCUCCUUUGCUACUUUUUACUUGCACUUGCUCUCCUUCACUUCUUUUCCUUUGCCCUUCCUCUACCUCACUUGGUAUUCGUUGCACUUCACCGCCUUCAAUCCCCUCCUCUUCCUUUUCCUCUCCCUCAUUUCUAUUGCUUGGCCCUUCACCCCCUUCAAUCCCCUCCUCUUCCUUUUCCUCUCCCUCAUUUCUAUUACUUGGCCCUUCACCCCCUUCACCCCCUUCAAUCCCCUCCUCUUCCUUUUCAUCUCCCUCAUUUCUAUUACUUGGCCCUUCACCCCCUUCAAUCCCUUCAUCUUCCUUUUCCUCUCCCUUAUUUCUGUUACUUGGCCCUUCAUCCCAUUGAAUGUCAUCCAAUUCCCGAUAUCCCCUAAAUAGAUGUGAGACGACACAACGCUUCGUCCUCUGUUUCAGUAAAGCUAGGUCCCUCCUUACUUCCUGCUCAAACUGAGGACCUAAACAUUGGUCCAACAGUUUUUCCAUCCGUAUGACCUUUAAGUGAAGCACGUCUUUUUCCCGCUUUACUUGAAACAACUCGGACCUCAACAAGCUUACCACCUUGUUCAACUGAUCAAGAUCACCACAUGAAGAAAGAAUUGACUCUGCCGAGACAACAGCCCUUCGUCCUCUGUUUCAGUAAAGCUAGGUCCCUCCUUACUUCCUGCUCAAACUGAGGACCUAAACAUUGGUCCAACAGUUUUUCCAUCCGUAUGACCUUUAAGUGAAGCACGUCUUUUUCCCGCUUUACUUGAAACAACUCAGACCUCAACAAGCUUACCACCUUGUUCAACUGAUCAAGAUCACCACAUGAAGAAGGAAUUGACUCUGCCGAGACAACAGCAGGGCGAUCCUGUGGCCAACUCCAAUAUGGCUGUCUCAUUUCCUCUUCACUCGGACAUUGCGCCCGCAACUGAACUGACUGUUUCAGAAUACAAACCACAGUCAUAUUAAAUCAUUCAACUUCAAAAUUUCAUUCAAUCUUAUCAAUAGUUCCAAGGGCUGCAAAACAAACCUGUUUGCUCUGGAAAAAAUAAUUGUUCAACUUUCUCAUCUCUGGAACAGACGUAGUAGUUCUCCAUCGCAAAAUACGCGGGACAGCGGUCGGAUCAACAACCUUGCAGUAAUUCAGGUCCACCAUUCUAGGAAUUAAUUCAUAUAUCCAAAUCUACACAAUUCACAGGACAAAAGUCAUUAUUUAUGUUUUAAAUAAAAACAAAACAUAACUCACAUGAACAUUAUUACCAUGUACCUGGAAAGCAUACGUGAAACCUUUAAAACUCCAGCCACUCCUUUGCGCUUCACCAUGCUUAUCCUUCCUGCCCUUCUCAUUUAUCCGGCUUGUUCCCGUUACCUUACUUUUCCCCUUCCCUCUUCCCUCUUCAUUUUGCAAGCUUUUCACAUACUUUGUUGGUGCAGAAAAUAGACUGUCUUGGGUUUUGUCAAAGGACACCGAACCCCACGGAUACCUGUUGAACGCAUCCAAGUCCUCUACAAGGGUCAGGUAAUUUAGAUUGAUGUUCAAAUGUUUGUCCCUUCCCAAAACCACUAACUCAGCAAAGUAAACAAGAGCUAGCUUGUAGAUGUCAACUUCCUCUGUGCACCUCAUAAAUGCUUCUUCUAAAGCAUUGCAUGUAAUUCCUUCGUCUAUAAAAUAUCUUUUCUGAAGUCUGCUUACAUCACUCCCUCCACUGGAAACUUCAGGCACUUCCCCAAAACGAAGCCCUGUGAUCAAACAGAAAUCCUGACGACUGAACUGAGCAACGUCACACCCUAAUAAGAAACUCAGUCCAUCCAAGUCUUUCACACCCUGCCCCGCUACUCUACGCAACACAGCCCCAUGCACAAUCUGCCCGCUAAACUGAAUCUUAUAUAUAUUCAGAAGAUGGCCAAAGCAUGAUGUCUUGAAUUGUUCUAAUUGUUCCGCACUCAACUUCACUCGAAUUGCAGCUAGAGAUGAAUUUGCAUGUGAGCAGUUGUUCACCCGUGACGAAUAUGCCUCUGCCUCUGGCCAUACCAGCUCCACGUUGGAUCCCAUUUCCUCAAAUACAAUGUGAAAUAACAUGAACACAUAUACUACCACGUAUUUGCACAAUCACAACUAGUCAACCAGGCACAUUACAAAUUUUACAAAGUACAUGAGCAUACGGAUUACUGAUCACAGGCUUUAACAUCAUCAAAGCAAUAUGAUAAAAUUUGUGCAAAUACCUGUUAAUGCAAUGAUUAUGUGAAUUACAAACAAUUUCACGUGUUUUAUUUAUGGAUCCAUACUCGUGUGAGUGCAAUGUAGGCAAGUUCUGCACUUCACACACAUGACAAUUAUUGUCAUCUCAUACACAACACAAAAUAAAUAAAUUAGAAAUAUAGUGGAAGGAAGCAAAGCAAAGCAUCUACUCUGCUAUCUGCUUGCUAAGCAAUUGCCACAUCCUUCUUUCUUUCUAGCUUUUUCUUCAGUCACCCACAAUCGUCAUAGAUCAACCUUCAUUUCAAAUGCUUUGCACUUUUAUUCAUGAGUUUAUUAUUAUCUGUUCUCAUUUCUCAUAGGCAAAUUUAGUAACAAAUGAAAUCAUAUUUAUUUCACAAAAUAUAUAAAUUCUAGUGCCAGAGAGGUACUCUUCACUCUGCACUGCUUCAAAUGUGGAAGGUUUUGAGCGCCUCCUCCAAUUUAACACCAUUAUCUUAUUCAUAUCAUUACUAACAUGUUAUUGACAUGUUAUUGAGAUGUUAUUGACAUGUGAUUGACUCUAUUUUCAUUCGUUUUUUAACAUAUACCCAAGCAAAAAUUAACAUGCAAUUGAAGCACAAAUAAGAGAUGCCAAAUCCAACAACAUUGAUGGUACAAAUUGGGGAAAACCAUUACUCUAACCCUAAACUCAAAUUCCUUAAAUUACUCAUCAAUUGCUUUGCACUUCUAUUCGUGAGUUUAUUAUUAUCUGUUCAAAUGUUUGUCAGGCAAAUUUAGUAACAAAGGAAAUCAUAUUUACUUCAUAAUAUAUAUAUAUAUAUAUAUUCUACCGCCUCUUCUUAAUCUGCACUAUGCACUGCUUCAAAUGUGGAAGGUUUUGAGGGCCUCCUCCAAUUCAACACCAUUAUCUUAUUCAUAUCAUUAUUGACAUGUUAUUCACUUCUUAUUGACUUGAUUUUCAUUCUUUUUUUAACAUAUACCUAAGCAAAAAUUAACAUGCAACUGAAGCACAACGAAGAGAUGCCAAAUCCAACAAAAUUUAUGGUACAAAUUGGGGAAAACCAUUAAUCUAACCCUAAACUCAAAUUCCAUAAAUUACUCACCAAAACCUGGUUAUUGCAAGGUGUCUGUGUGGGGUCUUUCUGUUUCUUUGCUCCACAAAUGGAACCUACCACUUCCAACGAAUACAGCUUCUCCCCUUCCCCUUCCACUGCUUCGCCCCUUCACUGAUUUGGAAUCCACACCUUUGCCCCUUCUACUCCAAAUAAAUACUUUUUCGGGGUCUGGAGAACGGAGUGGCGAAUCGUUGCCUUCAACUGUCGUUAGCCGUUGCCUUCAUUGGGUAUCUCAGACCUCUGUGUUUUAGAGAGAUGAGUUCUUUCUGUUCAAACUUCGAACUUGCCUCUUCUUCUUCUUUUUCGGACGUGUUUCCCUCUUCUUCUUCUUUUUGGACGUGCUGGAUAUUCAAUUCGGGUUUGGGUUCCUCACCUACCCAAUUGUGAAACUUUAUCUCAAUUCUCCCCAGCCCUUGGAUUAAUCUGAUGGCUAUAAAGUGAACCCCUUAUAACUUACCCCUUAUAACUUUCCACUCAUUAUAGUCUUGGCCCCAAUUUAAGCGCGAGACUAUAAUGCGGAGAUUCUAUGCGGAGGUUAUUUGUGGGGAUUACUUACUAGGCCAUUAGAUUGAUCAAAUGGCUAACAUUAGUAUCCUCUUUAUGCUACAACCGGGUUGGCAUUACCCGUUGAGCAAUGCUAUUCACAAUCGAAGUACUCAACUGUCACCUCCUCAGAACCCACAUCAGCAACGACGACCUCACUCUCUCUCUUUCGGCCGCUGUUCUCCACCUCCAUCUCUCACUCUCUGUCACUUAUUUCAACCGCCGUUCUUCCCCCUCCGGUUCAACAAAUUUCUCAAUUUCUUCAGCAUUCCUGAAAUCCAUAUACCUAGAGAUGACGUCCCAGGUACCCAGCUCAACUUUUCGCCUUUACUUUCAUACCCAUAUGUUAUUUGGGUUUUCUUCUGAUUGUUUCAAUUUCAUAUAGUGGUCUAGAAAGUUGCUCAAAAUCCAAAUUCUUGCUACAUCGUUUUAUUUAUCAUGCUUAUUUGCUUGUUCUGAAUAUAUGGUUCUAUUUGUUUGGUUAGGCUGAGUUGAUGAGUGCAUGAAAAAAUGGCCUGUAGGUGUUCGAUGAAUCACCUUAAUGAGGCGCACUAUGGUUUUCUUUGAGAUACAAACCAAUUGGGACAAUUCUCAUGGUAUAUACUUAAAGGUGAACUUCUAGGAGGACCCAAUGAACCCAUCUAAAUGGAAGGAAGCACAUGUGAGUUUUAUUAUAAUUUGUUUACGAAGAUGUCUUUACAGUGCAUAAUGGUUUUGUUAGAUCGCCAUUGACAUUAGUUUAAUUACCUUUUAACAAUGCUUGAGAAAUGUCCCUGUUUUUGCAUGAAGACUUACACAGGUGCCAUAUUAUGUCAGUUUAUAGUGAAUGGAUACUUGGUUGUGUCAUUUGAUAUUUGGAAUUCUAUUAGAUUUAUUUUCUUAUUUUUCAACUUUUGUGUCAUGCCUUGAGUUUCUUUCAUUUCGACAUCGCCAUUUAACUUGUGCUGUGAACAAGUUAAUACUACACUGUUUUGUGUCAUUGUGAAAUUGAGAAAUAAAGUUCAUGUUAUUAUUUUGCAGGAAUUCUAAGGGCCAUGAUAUGGUAAAAAAGUAUGUGAACAAACAAAAGAAACAUAGAAAGGGUCUGAUGCUGCUACUUCACAUGGCCAGGUUUUGCUGCUGCUUCGUCUUCCUCAUUUACCUAAAAGAAAGGGUCUAUAUCUCUAGCAUUUGCAUCCAAAUGUCCCUUGCCCUGCCCUGCCCUGCCUUGCCCUGCCCUACCCUGCCCUGCAGUACUAGCUAGCACAACAGCCCCUGUUGUACGUGGUCCCCUGAUUUGGUUUCUUUGAGCCAUGUGAUGCUUUCAGCUUCCUAGAUCCAACUCCAAUGACUAUUUAUUAAGUCAUAAUUUACUGCCUAUAAUUAGGACCUGCGGUUUGAAGUUUUUAAUUUGGAACAAUUCAUGUACUGUUAAAACAUAAAUGGUGCAAAGCCAAUGCCAAGAAUAGAAAAAAUAAGCAAUAUGAUCAUACAGGGGUUAACGCCCAUGUAGAUAUGCACUGAUCAAGCUUGAGCAGUAAGGCUUUUCGUCUUGUGCUUGGUAGGUUUGCUUUUCCUCGUCCAUUAGAUGUUUUCCAAUUUUGAGGUGAUAUGAUACUCUUCCUCUUGGCAUUAUUCUCAUGGCUAUGAAAUUUCAGUUUGCAAUGAAUGACUAUAUCAAUCUAAAAGAUUAUUUUUGUGUAGAAAUUGAAUGAAAGUAAAUUGUACUGCAUACCUCUGUGGUGUCUAUGUUCUGGAGUUAAUGUUGUUGAUCAAUGAUAGCCUCUUUCAUAAUUCUUUCAUUGAUUAAUAUUGUUGUUCUCUCAUUGUUCCAGAGUUAACUUGAUUGAGUUUUGAUGCACUGCGUGAAAUUUUGGAUACCAUGUGAGUUAUAAGUUACGAAUGAAGCACAGACAAAAAACAAUGAACUCUAUUUUUAUAAGAAACUUAGUCUGCUUUGAGUCUUUUCCUGAUACGUAAGUAGGAGAUUUUAAAUUGGGCUUGUUUGUGCUUUUGCGCAUCUGCAUAUAUAGCAAUAAAAGGAAAGUGAUGGUUCCAAUAGAGCAUAUCAAAGAUCUACCUCAUUAGUACCAAAUUGUCUUUUGUAUUACUCUGUAUAUACAUAUUUAUAUAUGUACAUAUUGAUAUUGCUUUAUUUUGUUUCUGUUGUAGAGGAAGAUGAUGGAUGAAUUUGGGAAGGUGAAGCAACAAUUGGUAGAGUACGUGAUCAUGUCACGGCCUAUAUCCCACAAGCUUGGUCUCUAGCGAUUUGAAACCCUAACUCUUAAGUCUUGAGAUAAUUGACAUUUUUUUUUCAUAACAGUUGGAGCAAGAUUAUUGUUGGCUUCUAGAAGAUUGUUGUCAUUGAGAACCUUCAUCAAUUUGGGGUGGGACAACAUUCCAUUCUGUUGCAAGAAGUGUACUAUAGUUAUAAGGAAAAAAAAACAUGUAAUUAAGGAACUAUUUGUGUGUCAGACAGACCAUGUAAUUAUUUAGUCCUCAUGGAAUGAAAUUGAGUUUAAUUUACUUGAGAAAUUUCAGUCUUGAAUAUGUUGUUUGUAUAUAUUUGCAAGUGUAUGCAAUGGAAAAAUACUUUUAUUUAUAUUAUUAAUUGAAGAGAGCACAUUAUAUACAUUAUGUGUAUAUAUAGCUCAUUCUUCUUGCCUUUGUAGGAUGGCAAUGGGUCAAAUCGGGGGUGGGUAUGCCAUUCCCAUCCCCAUCCCAGUGAAGCUUUUUUCCCACAUCCCCACAUUCAUACCCGCAAUACAGACUUGAAAAAAAAAAAAAAAGGAUAUAUGAGGUCAAUACAGUAGCAAUACACAAGCAAUAAAGGGCUAUACAAUGGCAAUACACAAACUCCAUACCCCCCUAUAAAUUUAUUCCAACAGACUUGAAAAAAAAUAUAUAUAUAUAUAUAUGGGGGCAAUACAAUAGCAGUACACAAGCAAUAAAAGGCUAUACAAUGGUAAUACAGUAGCAAUACACAAGCAAUAAAAUGCUAUACAAUGGCAAUACACAAACUUCAUACUCCCCCUAUAAAUUUAUUCCAAGACUUUAAAAAAAGAUAUACGGGGGCAAUACACAGGCAAUAAUAGGCUAUACGAUGGCAAUACAGUAGCAAUACACAAGCAAUAAAAGGCUAUACAAUGGCAAUACACAAACUUCAUACUCCCCCUAUAAAUUUAUUCCAACAUACUUUUAAAAAAAGAUAUACGGGGCCAAUACACAAGCAAUAAAUAGCUAUACAUGUGCAAUACAUAUGCAAUACAUAUCAGUCAUGGCAUUUGCCAAUUAAAUCAUUGAUUUGGUUACAUUUGUAUUUUUUUCUUCUUUGCAAGGGGAAUGAUAAAACCAUGGAAACUAGAGAUUGACAAAUUUCCUUCUAACUUGACUUUCAUAAAUUGAUGAACUAACAGUGUUAUCUCAUUACAUCUUAAGAUAUACAUAAGAAAGUGGCAAAAAACAAAAAAAUUUCAUCUCCUCUUGGUCUAGAAUUUUAACACAAUUCAUAUGUAUAAGAAACAUUCCAAGACAUGUCCUCUUAGACCCGAAUUUAAGCUCAAAGUUAGCAAUUUCCUCCCCAAAUCAUUGAUUUGGUUACAUUUGUAUUACUUGUUCAGAAACGGAGUGCAAAGUUAGGCGAGUGAGAGACUACUGGAGGCUCUUUCAACAUAUCAUGUGUCUCUUUUUCUUCUUUUCUCUCUACUAUGAAGAUCUUGCAAAUAAUUUUUGUGACACAAAGACAGAAUAAGAGAGCUCUUAGGUUAUAGUUGUUGUAAUAGGUAAUGAUGAACCAUUUUCUGCAACAUUAAUGACAGGGGUUUAACAAAACAGAAUAUUUUUUGAAUAAAAGGGUUUGCAAUAGGGCUGAAAAAUCACAUACCAGUGAAAGAAUUGAGUUGUGGGUUUCAACCCUUGUUCCUUCUUCUUCAGCAACGUCCUCCACAUCUGAGUGUCUUGGAGCAGCAAAUUUGGCUUUUGGAAGUUGGAAAGGGGCAGCUCUUGUUUGUCUCCAGAGGAAGUUUCAGACGUAGGACUUUGGACCUCUGUUUCAAAGAAAAUAGGAGAUAUGAGAGAGAAGUUCCGGGUUGCUCAUUUUGUGAUGGGUAAUUUUAACCCGAUUGUAAAAAAAACUUCCUACUUAAAUCUGAACCGUUCAUUUAAUAUUGAUGGUUGUUAUCAUUCCGCACAUAACCUCCUCAUAAUAGCCUCUGCAUUCUAGCAGCUCCCCCAAUUUAAUGCCCCCAAUUCAGACCCUAAUCUCCAUCGCAUUGGCAAUAGAGGAGGUGAAGACCAUAGGCCGAGAGCUUGCGAUGGGCUCUCAAGGCGGCUUCGCCAAUUCAAGGAGUUCCUGGAUGUCGUCAAGUCCAUCGGUGAAGCUUGAUCCAAGGCCGAAGAAGAGCGCAUCUUCCUCCUCGAGAUCGAAACCCUAAAACGAUGUCUCCCCUAGCCCGAAAUCCCCAAGUACAAGAUGAAGGAGUACAUCAUCCGCCUCAUCUACGUCGCAAUGCUCGGCCACGACGGCUCCUUCGCCUACAUUCACUCCAUCAAGAUGACCCCUGACGACAAUCUCUUGCUCAAACGCACCAGUUACCUCGCUGUUUCGCUCUUCCUCAGUGACGAUCACGAUUUGAUCAUCUUGAUCGUCAACAUCAUCCAGAAGGAUCUUAAGUCGGACAAUUAUCUUGUCGUUUGCGCUUCUCGCUCAUCAACGACGAGACUGUGCCUACCGUUUUUCCCAGAUCGUGGAUCUGCUUGCCCAUCCCAAGGAGGCUGUGAGGAAGAAGAUCACCAUGGCACUUCACCGCUUUUAUCAGAAUAGUAGUCUUCGGUUUCGCAUCUGGUCUCGAAUUCCCAGAAGCGGCUUUGUGAUAACGAUCGGGGAGUUAUGGGUGCUACGGUCUGCCCCUUGUUUGAUCCCAUUACCAUCGAUGAGAAUUCUUAUAAGGAUUUGGUGGUCAGCUUUGUCAGCAUUCUUAAACUGGUCGCCGAGGUUAGGUUGCCCAUGACCUACGAUUAGCAUCAGUUGUUGGGGCCAUCUAUUCAGGUUUUACUUACUUUCAAUGAAGUUGAGCUUAUUCAUGUGGGAAGUUUUGGGCAUGAUAGAUGAAUUGAAAUAAUGAGCCUUGUUUGUUGUUUGUUGUAAUGUAAUGUACUAAUGGAAUUAGUUUGAUAAAGCAGAUUAGAUUGUUGAAGAUCUUGGCAUUGUUGGGAAGUGGUGAUAAGCAAUCGAGUGAGAAGAUGUAUAUGGUAGUCAUCGAUAUUUUUAGAAAGUGCGAUUCUACUAGUAAUAUGGGAAAUAUUGUACUUUAUGGGUGUAUUUGUUGCGUUUCUGCCAUAUAUCCAAAUCCUAAGUUGUUAGAACAGGCUGCUCAAGUCAUCUCAAGAUUUUUGAAGCUUUGAAGUUUUUAUAUUUUUCAGUGUAAUUUCCUGCAAAUUAUAGUCUGCAUGUAGAUUAUUUGGAGAGUUAAACACCAAUUCCUUGUUGUAUAUUUGGUGGACAAAGUGACAGUCAUAAUUUGAAAUACAUGGGUGUUGAUGCUCUUUUUGGGAGGUCAACUUAGAGAGAAGUGGAUUGUCUUCAGCAGUGGAGAAGGUGGGGAUAUUCAGUAAGAGAAGAGCCUGGAGAAGACAAAGUAGGAUAAGCAAUCGUUAAGCUUCGGACAUCGGUGUGGUGUUGGCCAAAGGCUCUCCGAUGCUUAAGUUAGCUAAGAGUAGUAACUUUGACAGAGUAACAGUAAAAGUGAGAAAGUAGUUAUCUUUUUUACUUGGGUACUGCUCCCUAUUUAUAGGGGAGUGAAAAUAGGAGGUUUGCACAAAGUUUCGAUGUGGGACUUUGUGCAAGUUGCUGUGGUGGUGACACGUGUCCUAGGGAUUAGGUUCAGCAAUUGGGACCUUCGACAGUCAGGAGCUUUAGCAGGUGCUUGGCACCUCGGAAGAAUGUAUUCCUUCAACGGGGAAGAAGGCGUGUUUGCCUUUGGUGCUAGUCGCUUUGAGGCUGGAUAUGCUCGGUUGAUUAUGGUGUAAAUAGUAGUCCCCCAAGUUCGCGGUCAAGAAGUAACUUCUAGGUUGGGAACUUGUUAGAUUUUUGUGUAAUCAUGACCAAGCAUUCCAGAUUCAAUGGGAGUCGUAGGGCAUUCCAUAGUCCCCCAAGUUGGCAAGCUAGAAGUUGCGUCAAUACUUGGGAGGUAUAGUAGAAGCUGUGUGAGCCUCUAGAACUAUUGGUAGGUGGGUACCUGGGCACUCAGCAAGGAACGGGUUAAGGGCUGGGCCUUUUGGGUAUUCGGUGCUGGGCCUUUGAUUAGAGCCUAGCUCGUGGCACGGAGGGGUGCCGUGGUGGGCUCAUUGAAUUGAAGCUGGGUUUCAUCAGGAUCCGUUCGGCAAGGGUCAAUGUUGCUUUGUGAAGAAGGCUGUGCAAAGUCAUUGUUGUUCCGGUAAGGGGAGCCGGGCUUGUCCUUGUGGAGUCUAAGCUUCGGCAAGGGGAGCCAGGCUUGUCUGUGAGGCCCGUUGUACAUUCCACAUGGCCCUUGCCGUUCGGCACGGACCCUUUCCUUUUUUCUUUUUAUCUUUUUUUGUUUUUUAUUUUUUGGGAACCUUGUGGUUCUUCUUGAACAGCUUGGGUCCUGGCUUGUGUCGGCAUGGUCCUUACUGUUCGGCAAGGGACCAAUAUGGGCUUGGGCUAGCAAGGAGCAAGGGUUGGGCCCUAGAUGGACUUCGGCAAGGCUUUGUCCAUUUGGACUGGUGUUGGUUGGAAAAGGAGCGAGCACCCCAUAGCCGUUACAUAGCCCUUGCCGUUCGGCAAGGGUGUGUUUUGGGAGAAAAAUUUCGAAAGGCAAUCAGGUGGGCCAUUGGGGCUGGGCCCUUGGGGUGUUUUUAGGCUCUUGGCAAAAACCUAAGGUCAAAAAGGCCGGGCCUUGUGCUUGUGGGCUUCAGCAGGUAUGAGGCGCUAGGGUUAGGAUUUGUGAGGAAAGUAUAAACAACCCCUUGUAGCUCUUGCCGUUCGGCAACAGAGCCAACCUCUUUUUCGAUAGCUGCGGUAGGGCUGGCGUGCUGGGAGAUCUCUUUCUAUAGCUUAGUUGCCGAUUGGUACCAUUCAAAGAUUCUCUCUCUGAGUCCUCAUAUAUCCUUUCGAUACCGUGGUGGGAAGGAGACCCCUAGAUUGAGCACCAGUCUACCGUUCGGCAACCCAGUCUCUUCGGGGAGAAGGGAUCAAGGACUUGCGCAGCAAGAUCUACUAGCACUCCCGCAGCUAUGUCACAGUAGUCCCUGCCGAACGCCAGGGUUGGCUUAAGUUUUGUUGAAGGUGUCGUGAGCCAAAGGUGUGAACUAUUCGUGUGGCUACGAUUUAGUCUUUGUAGGUGGGCCUUCGGCAAGAAGACUUGUGGAGGCGCCUCUUAAACAUUUUGCAUAGCCCUUGCCGUUCAGCAAGGGCAACUGGGGGUUAUGCGCGUGUUUUUGUUUGAGAUUUUGGGCCGGGCAGCACAGCAGUGGUCUAGGCUCGAGGACUUGGCGAGUGAUUACCUUCGGCAGGUGCUUGGAAAGAGAAGACCAAAGGGGUUGGCUUCUAAGGAUUCGAAGUGAGCUGGGAUAAUGAAGUGAGCUUUUUUGCAAGGACCCAUUUUCUUCUUGCUCAACCCUUGCUAUUCGGCAAAGGUGUCUUGAUCAUAUUUUUGGGUCCUUGAAUUGUUCCUACAUGUAGUUUGGAUUAUUGGUGUAGCGGGUUGCUUCUUUAGCAUGAGCUUAUCCGUAGCUUUGGUAGGUGUCUUUUGCUUUGACUUGGUCAUGAUUUGAGCACGAGAUUGGACUCGGGCAUGGCCCUUGCCAUUCUGCAAGGGUGAAUGUAGCAGAAGCUCUUGACUUGGUCAUGAUUUGAGCACAAGAUUGGACCCGGGCAUGGCUCUUGCCAUUCAGGUCCAGCUCAUUUGGGCUUCAUAAGGAGGCCUUGAGGUUUCAGUAGUAAUUUAGGAGCUGGGUUUCUUCGGUUGGAGUUGGACUAGACGUGAUCUGCCUUUAAGGAGGCUGCAGUGCCAAGGACUCUUUGUGAGACCCGGUAGGCUAAUUGAAAAGGUACCUUUGGUUAGGGCAAGAUUUUGCAUAGGCCUUGCUGACGAUUUUCGCUUGACAGUUGGCAAGGAGGCUGGGCGAGUGAUGCAUUGGUGUAACUUGGAGCUGGGUUCUUGAACGUUCAGCAAGGUUCUAGUAGGUAGUCUCGUGAGCCCCUUAGGCAAAGUGUUGUGGGUCUUCGAUUUCCUCCACCUUCUGGUCUGUGUAUUGGGCUUAACCAAGUGGCCUAAAAAAUUUCCUCCAUAAGCCUUGCCGUUUGACAAGGCCAGCUUGUUCAUUCGUAUGAUGCUGACUUUGUUUUUGUGUGGUGGUUGUUUAAACUUCGGCAGGUCUUAGAGUCGGGUUCAACCUUGCACACGGGCUGGGACAUCAGACCUUUGGGAAGAGCUGGGCUUUGAAGGUGGAUUCAGAAGCCUUUGGUUGUGCCUUUUCAUGUGGGAAGUGUAGCUGGGUCUUUGUUGAGGUGAAAUUUUUUGGAGGCCUCCAUUUGUUUCUGCACGGGCUUUGCCGUUCGGCAAGGUCAUUUCAAGUUCCCCUCGUUUUUUUUUUUGAAUUUCAAAUUUGAAUUUCAAAUUGUGUGUAGGUACAAGGGAUUUGAGAGGGAAGAUAUUCCUGUUGUUUGUGAUUUUCCUGAUGUCUUUCCAGAUAAUCUCCCUGGUUUACCCCCUGAAAGGGAAAUCGAGUUCACUAUUGAACUUCUUCCGGGCACCAACCCUAUUUAUCUAACCCCCUAUAGGAUGGCACCAGCUGAACUUCGGGAGUUGAAGAUUCAAUUACAGGAGUUAGUAGAUCUUGGGUUCAUCAGACCCAGUGUUUCACCGUGGGGUGCACCUGUGUUGUUUGUGAGGAAGAAAGAUGGAACCAUGAGGUUAUGUAUUGAUUACCAGGCAGCUGAAUAAGGUGACGGUACGUAACCGUUAUCCUUUGCCUCGGAUUGAUGAUCUGUUUGAUCAGUUGAAGGGUGCUAAGUAUUUUUCUAAGAUCGAUUUGAGAUCAGGAUACCACCAGUUGAGGAUCAGGGAAGAGGAUAUUCCUAAGACCGCGUUCAGAACACGGUAUGGACAUUAUGAAUUUCUGGUGAUGCCGUUUGGACUGACGAAUGCUCCAGCAGCGUUUAUGGACCUCAUGAACAGAGUGUUCCGACCAUACUUGGAUCACUUUGUGAUUGUAUUCAUAGACGAUAUCUUGGUGUACUCCCAGACUUUGGAAGGGCAUAAGAAGCAUUUGAGGUUGGUAUUGAGAACCUUGAGAAGGAAGCAGCUUUAUGCUAAAUUUAGUAAAUGUCAGUUCUGGCUGGACAGAGUGGUAUUUCUGGGACAUGUAAUUUCAGCUGAAGGGAUUUAUGUGGAUCCACAGAAAGUUGAAGCUAUUGUGAACUGGGUACAACCCACCAGUGUGACAGAAAUACGGAGUUUUCUGGGAUUGGCAGGCUACUAUCGUCGAUUUGUGGAAGGGUUUUCUUCGAUAGCAGCGCCUCUCACACGGUUGACAAGGAAAGAUGUUGCAUAUGAGUGGACGGAAGAAUGUGAACAAAGUUUUAAAGAAUUAAAGAAGCGAUUAACUACUGCACCUGUUUUGGCUCUUCCGGAUAAUGCAGGAAAUUUUGUGAUCUACAGUGAUGCAUCUUUGCGAGGCUUGGGAUGUGUUCUGAUGCAACAUGAUCGGGUGAUUUCUUAUGCCUCGAGCCAACUCAAGAAGCAUGAGCAGAAUUAUCCAGUUCAUGAUCUGGAACUUGCCGCUGUAGUGUUCGCUCUUAAGAUCUGGCGGCAUUAUUUGUAUGGUGAGACGUGUCAGAUUUUCACUGAUCAUAAAAGUCUCAAGUACUUUUUCACUCAAAAGGAGCUUAAUAUGAGACAACGGCGUUGGUUGGAAUUGAUAAAGGAUUAUGACUGCACGAUUGAGUAUCAUCCGGGCCGAGCUAAUGUGGUAGCAGAUGCACUGAGUAGGAAGACUACGGGAAGUUUGGCUCAUCUCAGAACGGCAUAUCUUCCGUUGUUAGUGGAACUACGGAAAGAUGGUGUGGGACUGGAAAUGGCGCAACAGGGAGGAUUACUUGCUAGUUUGCAUGUGAGACCCAUUUUGGUGGAACGGAUAAUUGAAGCCCAGUUGGGAGACCCAACACUUUGUAGAAUAAGGGGAGAAGUAGAAAGUGGUUCACGGAAAGAUUAUGCAGUAAGGGGAGAUGGGGCGUUGGUAACAGGAACUCGCCUCUGUGUACCUAAGAAUGAUUACCUGAAAAGAGAAAUCCUAGAGGAAGCUCACUGUUCCACUUACACUAUGCAUCCAGGAAGCACCAAGAUGUAUCGAACCCUACGGGAGUAUUACUCAUGGCCGCAUAUGAAGGGAGACAUUGCCAAGUAUGUGAGUAGAUGCUUGAUUUGUCAACAAGUGAAAGCGGAGCGACAGAAACCUUCCGGACUUAUGCAACCGCUUCCAAUUCCUGAAUGGAAGUGGGAGCACAUUACCAUGGAUUUCGUUUUCAAGCUUCCACGUACUCCCAAGGGACAUGAUGGAAUUUGGGUGAUAGUGGAUAGACUCACCAAGUCCGCCCAUUUCCUACCUGUUAAGGAAACUUAUUCUUUGACAAAGUUGGCAAAACUUUUUGUGGACGAGAUUGUGAGGUUACAUAGAGCACCUGUGUCCAUUGUAUCGGACAGAGAUACCCGAUUUACUUCUCGAUUCUGGAAGUGUUUGCAGGAAGCUAUGGGUACUAGGUUGCGGUUCAGCACAGCUUUUCACCCCCAGACUGAUGGACAAUCAGAAAGAACUAUUCAGACUUUGGAGGAUAUGUUGAGGUCUUGUGUACUGCAGAUGAAAGAUUCAUGGGAUACUCACCUUGCCUUGGUGGAAUUUGCAUACAAUAACAGUUAUCAUGCGAGUAUAAAGAUGGCUCCUUAUGAGGCGUUGUAUGGGAGACAGUGUAGGACUCCUAUUUGUUGGAACGAAGUGGGAGAUAAGAAAUUAGAAAAAGUGGAAAGUAUCCGAGCAACAACCGAAAAAGUGAAGAUGAUUAAAGAAAAGCUGAAGAUCGCACAAGACCGACAGAAGAGUUAUGCAGAUAAUAGGUCCAAAGAUCUCGAAUUUGCAGUUGGGGAUUGGGUGUUCCUGAAGUUAUCUCCUUGGAAGGGUGUGAUGAGAUUCGGGAAACGUGGGAAAUUAAGCCCUCGUUAUAUUGGACCCUAUGAGAUUACUGAACGCAUCAGACCGGUUGCUUAUAGACUUGCAUUACCUGCAGAACUAUCUCGAGUGCAUGAUGUGUUCCAUGUAUCUAUGCUUCGGAAGUAUAUGCCAGACCCUUCUCACGUUUUAGAAUAUCCACCUUUGGAGUUGGAAGAAGAUUUAUCAUUUGAGGAGCAACCUGUGCAAAUUCUAGAUAGGAAAGAACAACAGUUGCGCUCUAGAUCCAUUCCAGUAGUGAAGGUUCUGUGGAGAAGCCAAACUGUGGAAGAAGCUACAUGGGAGCCUGAGGCACAAAUGAGGGUCAAGUACCCUCAUCUUUUCCAUUGACAGGUACGUAAAUUUCGGGGACGAAAUUUUCUUUAAGGAGGGUAGAUUGUAACACCCCGACUCCAAAUUAAAUGAUUAUUUUAAUCAAUUUUUAUAAAAUUAUGAAUUUACCCUUGGGAUAGGGGUAAAUUGGUCACUUUCUUCUUCGGAAGGAUUUUGGGACCACGAGUGGCAUUUCUGAGAAGAUGGUACUGAGACGAAUUCAUAGACACGCGGUAGGCUUGAAUCGGGGUUGUAACGAAAAAGUUACGGGCAAAAUAGUGUCAGUGGCAAACUUGUAAAUAUUUCAAAAAGUUUGGUAAAAAUCAGAUUUUCACCUCAGCUCUCUCUCUCUCUUCGCGCGCGACACUCUCUCUCUCCUCAGUCUCUCUCUCUCCCUGACGUUCACUCUCUCUCUCCUCGGCUUGCUCAGUUCCGGCCACGGCAGGACCUGAGAUCGGUCCCGUUCAACUCGUCUCGUCGCCCCGGUCAGGCUCUGCCCGUUUUUCCCGUCGGAAACCAGGGAUUCGUCCAGAUGUGACCCAUAUGCAUGUGGGCCCCGAAGGAAGCCCCGCACAGGGGCAUAUUAGCUCAGCGCAAAUCAUAAUUCUAAAAAUUCGUUUCUUAAGAAUUGGGAUUAAAAGAUAAUUUUAAGUACAAAUUUUGCUCGAUUGGAAUCAGUCGUGGUGUAGUUAUAGAAAUAUGAGAGGGUUGGGCACAAUAUUUUGUUUUUUCCAUUUGCUUAAGAAGCAAACUCUCUCUCUACACACUCUCUCGCACUCCUUCUCUCCCUCAACGGAAACUCGUAGAAAAUUGGAAACUCUGAGAAACUGAUGGUAAAACUUUCAAGCUUUGAAAGUCUUCUGCUAUGAAAUGCCGAAUCUACGCUGGUUUCUUUACAUGAGCGCACUGUUUGGAGACCCGAUCGCUUCUAAUUCUAGUGCACCGUCUACCUUCGCUUUCCGUUGAUGUGGUCAUUGUUGUUGUUGUUGUGGCCUUGCCUUUUGCCUGUGUUCUACCUUACCUAUUGCCAUGCUCACAGGAUUUUUGUGUUCUGCCUUAUUUACUGCUGUGCUCACAAGGUUUCUGUGUUCUGCCUUACCUAUUGCUGUGCUCACAGGGUUUCUGUGUUCUGCCUUAUCUACUCCCAAACCCUGUGUUCUGCGUUACCUAUUGCCGUGCUCACAGGGCUUCUGUGUUCUGCCUUAUCUACUGCCAUGCUCACAGGGUUUCUGUGUUCUGCUUUACCCAUUUAUCUAGUCCUUCAUGUCAAACAAAGUAGGGUAAAAUGUAACACCCCGACUCCAAAUUAAAUGAUUAUUUUAAUCAAUUUUUAUAAAAUUACGAAUUUACCCUUGGGAUAGGGGUAAAUUGGUCACUUUCUUCUUCGGAAGGAUUUUGGGACCACGAGUGGCAUUUCUGAGAAGAGGGUACUGAGACAAAUUCAUAGACACGCGGUAGGCUUGAAUCGAGGUUGUAACGAAAAAGUUACGGGCAAAAUAGUGUCAGUGGCAAACUUGUAAAUAUUUCAAAAAGUUUGGUAAAAAUCAGAUUUUCACCUCAGCUCUCUCUCUCUUCGCGCGCGACACUCUCUCUCUCCUCAGUCUCUCUCUCUCUCCCCGACGUUCACUCUCUCUCUCCUCAGCUUGCUCAGUUCCGGCCACGGCAGGACCCGAGAUCGGUCCCGUUCGACUUGUCUCGUCGCCCCGGUCAAGCUCUGCCCAUUUUCCCCGUCGGAAACCAGGGAUUCCGAUCGCGAGCUCGACGGUUUUAAACCGAAGCAUUCCAGCCGUCGCGCCGCCGCCUCCGCCGCCCAAACCCGGUGAUUGAGGUAUGGUUUCUCUCCCAUUUUCCGAGUUCUAGCUGAUGUUGGUAUAGGUUUUGAUUGAUUUCGAGUUUAGAAAAUCGAUUAGAAAUCUAGGUUUUGGGCCGAAUUUCAACAUGAAAUUCCGGCCAGUUGCCGGCCGAAUUGGAGCUUCUCGUAGUUGAAUGAAGUGAUCCUGACCUCGAGUAGAAGCUAGGGUAGGAAGGGUGAGCUCGGGUGUGGAGUUUUUCCGUCACCGGAGUUACUCUACACACCCACGCGCUGCCGGCCCAUGUGGUGGAGCGUGGGCGAGUCUGGUGAGGAUGUAAACUGACCCGAUGAGAUCCUUAGGUUGUCACGAGCGCAUUCCUAUUCGGAUGUCGUUUGGCUAUCGAACGGAUUUUCGCAUAUUAUGCGUUAUCCGGGUUCGAUAGGUUCCGACCGUUAGAUCUUUCCCAAUUUAAAAUAUGUUGUUCUAGGUAUUCCUAGGACCGUAUGGGACUUCACGAAUUCUGAAUCGGAGCCCCGGAUGUUCCGAUUCAAAAAUGCAAAGUUUGCGGGUUAGCGAUAACCGUAAAAUCGUGAACGCUUUCUAAACCUGUAAUCGGACCUUAUGGUACCAUCUUCGACGUGCACGUAUGGGAAUUUAGGGAGUUAAGCAUUUAAUUUGUAAUUUCCGCUUAGACGUGGUUUUUAUAUUAAUUAACGGUUCGUAUUUCGAAAUAGGUAUUUCGACUGCACGCACGCAGCAAGCAGGACCUUCACGUGGUCAGGCAGCGAGGGAAUACUUGUGAGUGGACUUUGUUUUAAUCAUAUGCCUGGUUUUAAUUAAUGAAAGAUUUUGCAUAAUGUUUUAAUGGCUUCUGGAUUUUUAUAUAUUUUAUGCAUGGAUAAAUUCUGAUGGGUGUAUAGCAAUUGGCAAUAUAUUGUGAGAUUGGCAUUUUUGGGUUUUGUGAGUGUAUUUUAUAUGUGGAUUGUGGGGAGGUAUAUUUUGAUACAUUCUUUUUAGAUGAGAUAUUUGGGUUGUUGGAGGGUGUUAUGGAAGAGUGUGUUUAGAGAGGAGUUGUGGGAUUACACUACGUAAGUACCUUCCCCAGUUACUAGUCUCACUCGCGGCGUUGGAUGUUCCGGCGGGUGAGACACUUUCCGUAUGCGGCGUUGGAUGUUCCGGCGUAUGGAAAGACUGUGUAUAGAGUUUAGGGUCAUCACCGCGGCGUUGGAUGUUCCGGUGUGUGAUGAUCCAGUCUGCGCGCGUAGGACAUAGUUUGAGAGCUACACAUGGCGUUGGAUGUUCCGGUGUGGGAGCUUUGGAGUUUCGUCCCCCGGUUGGACCGCUCAUCCCUAGACGCAGGAUAGCACCUGGAAAUCCUGCGGACUAGUCAAACGAUCCCCCAGUUGGAUUGUUUUCCCCGGUACCUAGGUGGUGUGACGAGUAUAUCGUAUAGUUAUUUAUAGUUAAUUAUAUAUAUAUAUAUUUUUAUGUAUAUUUAUUGAAUAGGUAUAGUUGAGGGUGAAAGGAAUUGGAGUGUGUUUAAUAGUUGACAGGAGUGGUGAGUUUGAGAGAAUGUGGUUCUUUUUAAAGGAGAUAACUGAUGUUUUUAGAUGAGUUUUACUGAAGCAUGUUUUGAGAAAUUUCUUAUUGAAUUGUGAACCUGCAUGACUCGAGCAUUAUUUUUACAUGGUGGGGUUAUUAUGUUGUUUUUAACUGCAAACCUGGUUUUUGUCCACUCACAUGUUUUCUGUUUUGCGCCCCCCCCCCCCAGCCAGUAGUUGCUCUUGGAAGUGCAAGUGGUGUACGAAGCGGAAUCGGUGCAUCUUUCUAAUUAGGAACUGUGUAAAUUCUUCUACUCAAUUGUACUUGUAAUCUAAAUUCAGUAGAUGCUCUGUAUUGCCAUGGUAGAUUUUACUUGUGAGGCCGGAGGGCACUCUAGUAUGAAUUAUGUAUGUAUGAAAGCAUGCUGCUGGUUGGGAUUAGUAUUACUGUGUGUUGCAGGUUGAAUAAAUUUUGUUGGGAUUGCUUAAAUUGCAGGGGAGACUCUGCCAAAUUUUUGGUAGAAAGUCUCAAUUAUUUAGUAGGUGGGCCCGGCAUCGGGAUGAUGUCGGGAUCAAGACGGGGUCGGCCUCGGUCUUGGGGAAAUUCCGGGGCGGGUCCUGUCAUAAAAAUAUUUAGUUAUGCUCAAUAGAUGCUCAUAUUGUUGUUCUUCUCCAAUAUGGAGGUAUUUAUACAAGUACAAAGAUGUGUUAACCCUAAAUAAAAUAGGAAAUAUAUCUAAAUUACAAUAUGAAGUAAAUCUCUAUUACAAUAGGACUAAAUAAUAAUUGGUAAGUAAACAAAAUUCUAAUGAAAUAACGAACCAAAAUCCUAACUAAGUAAGGACUCGCCAACACUCCCCCUCAAGUUGGGCAAAGAUAUUUUGCACGCCCAAUUUGACAAGCGAGUCACAGAACACUUUACUGAGAAGCACCAAUUGUAGAGAAGGUCUUUUCGUCAACCACGAGUGAAACAAGUGACAAACUAAAGUAAAGUUCGCAGCGGAAACACAAGAGCAAACCCUAAAAAAUAGGGCACUUAGCAGAAUACAAAAACCUUGUGAGCACGGCUGUAGAUAAGGCAGAACACAGAAACCCUGUGAGCACGGCUGUAGAUAAGGCAGAACACAGAAAUCCUGCUAGCACUGCAAUAGGUAAGGCAAAACACAGAAACCCUGUGAGCACGGCAGUAGAUAAGGCAGAACAUAGAAACCCUGUGAGCACGACAGUAGGUAAGGCAGAACACAGAAACCCAUGAGCACGACAGUAGAUAAGGCAGAACACAGAAGCCCUGUGAGCACGACAAUAGGUAAGGCAGAACACAGGCAAAGGGCAAGGCCACAACAACAACAACAAUGACCACAUCAACGGAAAGCGAAGCAAGCAAAGGCAACAUCGACCACAACAGAAACACACCAGCAAAGGCAUGAACAACAAUACUGGCACCAUAGUAGGCAGGAGCAACAAUACUGGUACCAAACAACAGCAAUACAAGGUACUGGCACCAGUAAGACAAGGUAGGGCAAACAACUGUGGUAGCAGCAACAACAGAGACAACUUCUAUGCACUCUCCCUCUCCCCCUGAAGAGACGGGGUCGAUAGAGCCAUACUUGAGAAACAGGCACGGACAAUCAGCCAUGAUAGAUAGAUAUGUGAAUUGCAAUGGAAUAGAUGAGCAGCAGUGUCACUCCCUCUCAAAUUCGACAAUGCAUGAGAGUCGAGAUUUGGAGAAAGUAACACCCAAAUAAACAGAGAGACAAAGGCCACCUAGGAGAAGGCUCGGCGAGCGGUGACGAGGCUUCCAGAGGUUUGAGAUGGCUCGAUGAGCGGUAACGAUGCUCACGGAUGAAAGAGAUCAGGCCAUCAAUGGCCAAGGGGCGUGUUGCCCAUAUGGUACACAUUUAAAAGAGAGGCUCGGCGGUGAGCGCAAGAGACUAAAACUAACAUGGGCUCAAUCUGAUUUUAACAUAUAGCAAGCACAUAGAGAGAUGAAAAGUAAGAGAAAAAAAGGCAGCUGCAGGCAUAGGUAGAGAAAAAGAAAGGUAAUGACUCAACAUAAACACGACAUGGACAGAGACAAGAGUAAAAUUGCAAAAAAAUGCGGUUAUGGCUAAGGCAGAAGAAAUAUAUGUUGAUUAUUAAGGAAAGGAGAAACGGGGAUUUACAGCAAGGUGAAGACCCAUGAUGGGUUAGGAAUAAGGAACGCCAACGACUCUCAAUUUGUUAGAGGAUAUCACAGGUUAGCAACCAGGCUCUGAUACCAUGUCAAACAAAGUAGGGUAAAAAUAUUUAGUUAUGCUCAGUAUAUGCUCAUAUUGUUAUUCUUCUCCAAUAUGGAGGUAUUUAUACAAAUACAAAGAUGUGUUAACCCUAAAUAAAAUAGGAAAUAUAUCUAAAUUACAAUAGGAAGUAAAUCUCUAUUACAAUAGGACUAAAUAAUAAUUGGAAAGUAACGAAAAUUCUAAUGAAAUAAGGAACCAAAAUCCUAACUAAGUAAGGACUCGCCAACAAAAAUGCCCUCCUUGAACUUUUGAAGAAGAGAGAAUUAUUUCAAGAUUUGUUUCCAUUGUUGUGAAAUUCUUUUGGUACUAUUGCUGCUCUGCUACAGGAGAUAGUUUCAAUUUACCCUGUUCUGUCACCACCAAAUUUAACUCCUGCUCAAUCAAAUCGAGUUUGCAAUGCUCUAGCUCUUCUUCAGUGUGUGGCUUCUCACCCAGACACAAGAAUGUUAUUCCUCAAUGCUCAUAUACCUUUAUAUUUGUACCCUUUCCUUAAUACAACAAGCCAGUCAAGGCCUUUCGAGUACUUGAGGCUCACUAGCUUAGGUGUCAUUGGUGCCUUAGUGAAGGUCGAUGAUACAGAAGUGAUUAGUUUUCUUCUGUCAACAGAAAUAAUUCCACUGUGCCUGCGCACUAUGGAAAUGGGUAGUGAACUCGCAAAAACAGUGGCCACAUUUAUUGUUCAAAAGAUUUUGUUAGAUGAUGUGGGCUUGGAUUAUAUUUGUACUACAGCUGAGCGGUUUUUUGCAGUAGGUCGAGUCUUGGGAAUUAUGGUAGCAUCACUUGCGGAUCGCGCUUAUUAAAACAUAUUAUCCGAUGUUAUCUUCGAUUGUCAGAUAACGCAAGGGCUUGUGAUGCUUUAAGAAGUUGUCUUCCAGAGGCAUUAAGAGAUGCUACCUUUAGUGGUUGCCUUCGUGAAGAUCCAACUACAAGGAGAUGGCUGCAGCAGUUGCUUCACAAUGUUUCGGUUAGUCGGGUUCCUGCACUUCAGGCCGGAGGAGGGUUUGAUCAUAUGAUGGUGAACUAAUAUAAAUAAUUCAAUGUUGUCCUUGGGCUGCCAUCUGCUGUUUAUGCAUCAGAGAGGGCUGCAUGCUUCUUAUUUAUCUACCUCAGUGCUAAUGGGAAAAUUUCAUCUUUGUAAUUACAAAAUGUUUCUUCUGUAAACUUGGCCUCAAAAGGCGAAGCUUUUAACUAUUCACUUCCAAGAGAAAUCAAUUGUUCCCAGAAGAAAUUGUCUUCUUAGCUGAUUUCUUGUGUAAUUUUUUGAAUUGUUCGGUUUAUUUAACAAAUUCCGUAUUUUAAGAGUAUUUCAUCGGUUUCAUGGCAAAAUUAUUCCUAAUAAAGUCAGCCUUUCUUUUGGAAAAAAAAAGAAGAAAAAAAAAGAAGAAGCAAACAACCAUAUAUUCCGUAUUUUAAGAGUAUUUCAUCGGUUUGAACUUUUCUUCUCUCAUUUUUUAUUUUCGGUUAUCUAUUCAUAAAAAAAGCACCAUUUGUAUUUGUGUGUAGAUUUGUAUCUUACUUGUUCAAAUUGAAGUGCGCCUGUUCUUCUUUUGAAAUUAUAUGCCUUUGAAAUUUCAGCUCAGAGAAGUGGAUAUCCUACCUAAGGUGCAUAUAAUGAACAUGGAAGUUUGCUGCACUAGUUGGCUAUCAAGGUGCCAUCUUCUAGAACUUUGCUACUAUAGGGGUUGGUAAAGUCAUGGAAGUUACUGUUUCACCCUCACUUUGGUCUAGGGUGAUAAAAAAUUGCUCCAUGUGUGUUCAGUAUGACCUAAUUUUUGCAUAAUUGAAUCUGUUGUUUUUCUACGGGUGGUUUUAUUUUCUUUUAGCUUCCUGCUGAAAAAUGAGGUAUAGGCUUGUAUUUGUUGCACAGUGUGGCUUAUGUAGGAAUAUAACCAAGUUAGUGAUGCUUGAACAUGUUGUUUUGAGCCAAUUCAAUGGGGAGCUUUUUAUUUGCGGCAAUGCGGGCAGUUUGGAGCGCUCUAUGGAUGCUGGGCAUGUUUGUCUGCAUUUACACUGCUGUGUACCGUUCCCUUGUUAUAAUAAUUCUGUCUGAAGUGAAUUUUUGUUUUUGUUGUAGGGACAUUUAUUCCUGUCAAAAGCUUUACUUGGUGUCAGUUCACGUUGUAAGUUCUAGUUAUCUUUUUUACUAUGAGAAGCCCGUUGUAAUUUUUUUGUGCAUAAAAUUGAACAUUAGACAUCUGUAGUAGCUAUUCGGUCAUGCAAUGACAAUAAUAAUGCACUUUCGUGAACAAAGAAUAAAGUUGUAAUUCCUGCCCUUUUUUUCCUAGUUUCUAAAGCCAAUUUCUUUUUGGGUAAAUGGAGCCAUUGGAGAUGUUAGCUCUACCAGGGCUGUUCAAACAGCAACUGGUAUUCAAAGAACCAAAAUCAAUUCGCAAUCUAGACAGGAGUUUGAAAACUACAAAAUAUGGAUGACACUAUCAUUGCCCGUCAAACUUUUCAUCUUGCAGUUUCAAUUGUUCCAAAUCCCAUUUCGUUAUCAAAAAUCCUGCAGCUGAGUUGCAACAACUUCACAUCAUUUAGACAUGCUGGGAUUCUUGUACCUUGCCAAUACCAGCAACAUCACUAGUAUAAUGAGACAUAAUCUUUCAACAGAAAGAUGUUGGACAUAUUUGGAUGCCUGUUUACAAUUAAUGUCUGAUUUUCAAUAAACCUUGAUUGGAAAUUAUGAAAUAGAUAAAUCUGUUACAUUUUGUCCCCAACACACAUCAAUUCCAGUUAAUGAGAUAGAAGAAUCAUAGACAAAAUAUAUGUGUGGAAUGAAAGUAUUAGAUAAAUCCGGCAUUGUUCAUCCACGGAUAAAUGCUGGAUGCAUCAAUUGAGAAGAAAGGUAUUGCCUUAUGCAACUUAAAAUGGAAUCUCAGAAAUUGGUGGCGCCUCAACACACCUCUUGAUUACUAGACCAUUGCCGGAAAUUGGGUUCGUUUCGACAGCUAAACAUGGGGCUCGCAUAAAACCACUUUGGAACUUCAUUGCCUGAAAAUUUAAUAUCGAAUAUAUAGCGCUAAGAAAAAGGAUUUAACCCAAAACAAAAUGAAAAAAAAACUCACACCCUGAAAACUACAACAUAUACCUAGAGAUGCACAGCAAAAUAUUGCUAAAUUUGAAUUGAACACAAAAAGCAGAUAUAUGACCAGAAAAUGCAAAGAUAUCAUUCAAAAUUUGAUGGAUUUACAUACUUUGGCUCCUUAUUAGGAUCAGUGUACCUCCUCUUUUGGUGAUCCGCUGGUCCAGUAAACAAGGUAAGCCAUCGAGCUUCAUGAUCACCAAUGUCGACGACGUUAGCACGAUGAUCAUCGUGAAGUGCCAUGUAAUCUGAUUGGCGAGGCCUCUUGCCAAGACUAGUCUUUGAUGCUAAAGACAAGGAAAGCAAUUCGCAGUCUUGGUGUUGAUCAUCAUCAAUAUCAUCGUCGACUGCCAUCGCAUCAGGUAACAACAACUACGUUGGCCCAUGAUCAACAACAGCAGUCUCACUGACAUCAGCAACCUGGUGGCCUAGUAGGUGGACCCCGCAGGGAAUUUUGACGGGUGUGGGCACUUUGACAAACAAGUCAAAUAUAACUUGACACGUAUUACCCUGCUUCGUCAGUGGUUCUUCAAACUCGUACGCGUACUUAUCCAAUAAUGGAAUAGACGUGAGUUGCACAUGACUUUCCCAUGAUGCAAUAUGUUUCUCAUUGACGAGUUUUCCAUUGAGAAGAAUCUUGACAUCAGCUUGAGUAACAACACAUAGAACCAAUCUUAACGUCUCCCAUUUUAAAUUUGGAGGAAUUUCAAAAAUAACUUCACAUCCAGAAUUGUAUUUCUUUGUUCCAGGACCUGUAACCAAAUAAGGUCUAACUAUUGAUGCACCUUUACGACAGCUGAACCACUUUGGAACUUCAUCGCCUGGAAGACGAAUGUCAAAAUGAGAACGCGAAGAAGAAACAGAAACCUGAUUCAGAAAAAUAUUUUCUGUGAUGUCGUAGCCGCGUAGUCUAACGCAAUUGAUCAAACUCAGAUACAUAUUGUCAUCCUUCCGUGGGAGUUCUGGAAUUUUCUCCAAUGAUGUGCAGUUAUCUAGCAAUACCCAAGCCAGUUUUGGAAUUUUUUCCAAUGAUGUGCAGUUAUACAGCGAUACGGAUUCUAUUCCUGGUGGAAGCACUUGUUCUGGAAUUUCCAGAAGACUCUUGCAAUAACUCAAGUCAAGAGUCCGCAAGUUGACAAAUUUGCUAAAGCAUCUCGGAAGAUUGACAAAAUUGUUUCCCGAUAGAUCAAGUUCUGUUAAUGUGGACCAGCAAUCAAGGUGCAGGAGUAAAUCAAUUUUUGAUAGAUUGCAUCCUGUGAGACUAAAUUGAAAUAGGUUGGGAAGCAGCUGUAAUUCGGAGUUGCUGGAUGAAACUUGAGAGUUGAACGUAAUUGUAAGGUUCUCACAAUAUGCAGCGAACAAGUGAGAAAGCCCAGUAAGAUAUGCAAUUGAUGAAGGCAAUUCUCUUACGCCACUUCCUGAUAUGUACAAAAUCCUUAGUGAUUCCAUCUCGACUUCUAUUUCUGGGAAACUUUCAAGCCUUUUGCAACCACAAAGAUCAAGUAGUUCAAGAGAUUUCAAUCCAAGUGUUGCAAACCUUGUAAGAUUGAAGCAUCCACCAAGAUUCAAUUUUUGAAGGCCAGUAAGAUAUGCAAUUGAUGGAGGCAAUUCUCUUAUGCCACUUUCUUGCAUAUCCAAUAUCUGUAGUGAUUCCAUCUCGACUUCUAUUUCUGGGAAACUCUCAAGCCUUUUGCAAUUAUUAAGAUAAAGUUUUUUAAGAGAUUUCAAUCUAAGUCUUGUUCCAAACCUUGUAAGAUUGAAGCAUCCACCAAGAUCCAAUUCAACAAGUUUAUCAAGGAAUCCAACAGAACCAUCGACCUCAAACAAAAGUGUGCACUCGCGUAGAUUCAAGUACUUUAUAUUUGGGAUUCCAGAUAAAUCAGGGAUUUUUUCUAAGAAUUGACAACCCCUCAAAUUCAUAGAUGUCAACUUUGACAAAUGCUGUGAGACAAGAACACAAAAACAGGAAAUAAUUAAUCACACGCUUCAAAAGACAAAAACUUAGAAAACAAUUUUUCAUUUUUUUCCUUCUGAAAUUAACAACAGUAUUUGAAAUUAUAUAUAAUGGAUGAAAAUAAUUUCAAAUGCAUACCUUAAAGUUAAAUCCAUCCAAUUGUCUGAUAUGACUGCGUGGCAUAUUGAACUCAACAAGACGAUUUCCUUGAAAAUUGGGUGGCAAAGAUUGUAACUGACAUCUAUCCCAAUCAAUCAAUCUUAACGCGUUGGGCAGAUAGUUAAUGUGCCCACAUAGAGAUGCAUUACGGUUUAUGAAAAUUUCAAGAUUUACCAUAUUACAGAAGCAUUCUGGAUUCAAGGUUAUCUCUGCUGGUUCUGGAAGCUUCACAAUGAUGCCUUUAAUAUUUCUUGUUCCCUAAGAUAGAAAAGCAUUAAGAUCAAAAAACGGAGUCAUUUUACAAACCAAAAUGCAACCACAUUUUGUUAAGAAAAUUAUAUAGGUUACAUAAGGUAUUCUUUCUUGUCAAAUUGAAUAUAAUAACAUAUGUGAUACUUACUGUACUUUCCGUUAGAACUUGUUCAACAUCCUCGUAAAACCACAAUCUACUACGCUUGCCGGGAUCAUUGGGGGAUUCUUUGUGAACUAUAUCCUUGCCCAGUUUUUCUAGUAAGUCAUGCAUCUGAAUCGUACCAUAGUCAAUAGUUAUCAUUGCCUUCUGAAUGAGUACUUCAAUACAAUCUCGGGAGACCUUGUUCUUAGAAUUGCUUACUAUUUGUAGAACAUAGUCCUUCUUUUUACCCUUGAAGAAACAUGCGAUGUCUAGAAAAAAUUGUUGCAUGGAAUUUUCCAAGGCAUCAUAACUUUUUUGAAGUAUUUUUUGAAUACCUGUAUAUGGUUCUCCUUCAUAACUAUUUAAUAUAUCUUGCCAACGAUCUUUGUCUUUAUUACGAAGAUGAGAACCUAAAAUUGUUAGAGCUAGUGGAACGCCUUGAGCAUACUCUAGUGCACGUUGUGCGAGUUCCAAAUAAUCCUUUGGAGGUUUGUUGGUUCCGAAGGCACAGAAACUAAAAAGCUCAAGAGCUUGGUUGCGAUAUAACUUUUGGACCUCGUAUAUCAAAUCAAUUCCAUGACAUUUUAGCAAUCCGCUAUCUUGUGUAGUUGUAAUGACUCUACUUCCCUCACCAAACCAACCAACACCAGCCAAAUUGUCUAAUUGCUUCAAUUGAUUUACAUCAUCAAGAAUUAAGAGAAUUUUUUUAUGGCUCAAUCGUUCUUUUAUGACACCAAUUCCUUCAUCAACACUAUGAAUUUUCCAUUCCCCGCCAAGAAUUUUAUGAAGAAGAAUCUCCUGUAGCUUGAUUAAGUCUCCAUCUGACAUUGAAUUUUCUCUCACAUUUGACAAGAAACAGCUUCCUUCAAAUUUAUGUGCAAUGGCAUUCCAUAUAGCUUUUGCAAUUGUUGUCUUGCCUAUUCCAGAUGUCCCCCAUAUCCCAACCAUGCGACGACCAUUCCCACCAACAUCUAAAAGCUUUUUCACAUCUUGGACACGAGAAUGAAUUCCAACUGGGUGCUUGGCCACAUUCCAAUAUGUACGGCUCAGUACUUGGCUUAAGAUUCCAUCAACGAUGUUGUUGAUAAAUGUAGUUUCAUAUCUGCCAGUUGAACCAAAUUUAAACAAAUCCAACCACGCAAAAGAACACAACAUACUCAAGUACGUAAUAGUUGUUCUGACCAAAAAAGAAAAAAAGAUGUAAUAGUUGUUUAACCACAAACCUAUGUUAUGUAUCAUUUAUACUUGUAUGCCUUUUGAAGAGAUUAAUAUAUGGAUUUUGAACUUUCUACUUACAGCUAUCAAAAAUACAAAAGUACCCAAGAAAAUAAAUCUUCUCACUACAGUUGUAUAUUUUUAUAACAGAAUACUUCUCACUGCGUAAUAGUUACUCAACUUGCCGCUAUUCGGUUUCACGUUUUUUUGUCAAGACGAAAUUAUCAUAUAAUACUUAGCAAGCAACAUAAAAUCCUACAAAGCAAUCUAAAGCAAACAUUAAAAAGUAGAUAUCAUCGGUUUUCAAAGUCGAUAUGCAAAAUGAUUUCUUACAGAGAAAUUAUUUGUUCGCUAGCUGAGUUGACUUUGGCUUACCUUGUUCUACUUCAAAUGAUGAAGUUUUAUGAUGGCUCGUUUGUGAGUGAUUCCGGAUAGGUCAAUAAUCACUUUUAUGGAGAAGUACAUGGGAAGUGUUUCUCUCCAUAAUCACUUAAAAUUAUUAAAAAUGAUUAUAUAAAGAAGUACGUAGAAGGUGUACCCAAUAAGUGACAGAAUAACUCGCAAAUGAAUUUGGUAGAUUUUCGUCACCAUUGGCAUAAGAGUUGGAUUAACAAAAUCGUAUAACACAGUACAAACAUAUCCUCGCUAGAUCAAGUUCCAAUGAUCAAUUCCAAUUGUGUCUAUAAUUUGAGCUGGAAAAAUUAAAAGGAAAUUCCAAUGCAAAAGUACUCGUAAUUUUAUAUUUAUUCAAUUUCCAAUAUUAUGAGUUACAUAAUUACAUUACUCUAUUGAGAAAAGUGGAGGGCAUCUUCAUCAAAACUAAAUUUAAGUAAUAUUUCUGGAAAUGUUACUUUAACUUAGGGGUGGGCAUCUAAAAUCGAAAUACCGAAAUCGUACACUAACCAUACUGUACCAUACUGAUUUCAUACCGUUUCAUUUGGGAUGGGGAGAUAAUCGGUACCGUAUCAAUAGAGUAUGGUAUGAUAGCGGUAUCAAGUAUUUGGUACCGGUCAAUACCGUACCAUACCGAAAUAUAAACAUGUUCAAAUAGAAACAUAUAUUUGUUGUGAUGAACUGUGAAGGUAGGAAGCAGAUUUUCCAAAGUCCCGUUUUGCAAAUUUGUACAUAUAAAAAAGAAGAAUUCUUGAGGCUGCUGGGGAUUUGGGUAGCUGUUGUUUACUUUCUUUGAUCAAUGUCUAUGAAUUGUAAUUUUCUUUUUGCAUCUUCUGUCAAAUUUUCUCGGAUAAUCAUAUCUAUAAGUUCAUUUUCAUGGCUUAAUUAAUGUAAAUUUCAUCCUCAAUUUUUGUUUUCCCCAUUUUUGCAAUUGAGUUGGGUUUUUUCCCCCAUAAUUAAUGUCUUGCACAUAUAAGAAAAUGUUGUAAUUUAAUAUGGGUAGCCAACAUUAUGAUGAAAAAAGUUGUGUUUUGUCUUCAAGCUUCAGUCUGAAGCUUUGGAUUCUCAAGGCAUAUCAUAUGAAUGAAUUAUGAAAUUUAAUAACUAUUUUUAUUGUCUCAUUCAUUCCGUCUUGCAUUUUUUAGUUUUGUCAUUUUAGUAUCGAUAUCGUACCGUUACUGAUUUGACACGGUACGGUAUUGUACCAACUAAAGUUUAGCGAAUCAUGUGAUGACUCAUACAAUACUCUCUAUUUCCAAUAUUCUGCAGUUGCUGUGGCUAUCCUGUACCCACCCACGUGUGGCAGCACAUAAGACUUGAUGUCUUUUUACUUUUUCUAAUUUUUUUUCAAUUAUAUAUUAUUAGUGUAUUUUAUAUGCUUAUUAAAAUAUAAGUUUCGCCUCAAAAUAUGACAUCGAAAAUAUUUAUAAAAAAAAAAUUAAAAUUAAAAUAAAGAUCUUCUCCCUGCAAUUUAAUAAUGAGUAACAAUUAAAUGUGUAACAAAUAGUAAUGAGAAAGAAGAGAGAAAAAAAAUUAAACAUAAAAAUGAUAAAGAUAGAAAAUAUACGUACUCUCCAUCCUUGAAAGUAUGUCCGGACAAAUUUGCUGCUUCUGUAAGAGCUUCCCUCCAUAUGAGCACUUUCUCCUUGUCAUUCUUGAAUUUCCUUUUAAUAAGUUCUUCAAAUGCGUCACCAAAUUUACUUUUUUGGUUUCGCACAUGAGAUGGAUCCACCUUGUAAAAAAUGGGCAAAACUACUUGUUGCUUUGAUUGUUUACAUUGAAGGAUCUUGACAAGUUCAUCCAAGCACCACCUCGAAGAUGCAUACUUUUCAGAGAAUACAAUGAGAGAAAUUCUUGAUUCUUCAAUUGCUUUGACAAGGGCUGGGGAUAUUUCUUCUCCUCUUACAAGCUCUCGAUCAAUGAAGGUCCAGAUUCCCUUACGGACUAAAGCCUUGUGCAAAUGAUCUGUAAAAUUGAAGCGUGUAUCCCCACCUCUGAAACUCAAAAACACAUCGUAUGAAAAAGAAGAAGAAGAAGAGACUGGUUGAGUGGUCAUAGGGGGCAGAUCUGAAGGAAGUUGAGGUUGAGUAGCCCAACUCCCUAUACACCUGAAUAAGGAUUUGAAGAACAUCGAAGAAUUGAAGAAGAAGCAGAGAGAAUCUUAUCUGAUUUUGUAUUGAUUUUCUUUCUUAAUAAAACGAUACAGUAAGAACUAAGCUUAUAUGCAUGACAAAUAGCUUAAGGCUUAAACAAACUCAACAAAAUCACGUGCUCUCCAUGUGCCUAACUCAACUAACUUGUGCAUUCAUCAGGAUAAACUAAACAUAAGCUCAAAAAUUGGGUAUGGUAGUGGAGCCCUAGUUAGAUUUAUGAGGUCUUUCAGUGCAAGUAGUUGUAGACUAGUCAGCCGAAGCAGUUUCUUUGUAAUGCGACGGUACCUAAAACGUGUUGAGAUGGUCUUUUAGUGCAAGUAGUUGAAGACUAGUCAGCCGAAGUAGUUUCUUUGUAAUGCGACGGUACCGACAACGUGUUGAAGUGAAGGGUAAGGAACCCGUUUUCUUUGAAAUGAUGGUCUUUUAGUGCAAGUAGUUGUAGACUAGUUAGCCGAAGCAGUUUCUUUAUAAUGCGACGGUACCUACCACGUGUUAAAGUGAAGGGUAAGGAACCCGUUUUCUUUGAAAUGAUGGUCUUUCAGCGCAAGUAGUUGUAGACUAGUGAGCCGAAGCAGUUUCUUUGUAAUGUGACGGUACCUACAACGUGUUGAAGUGAAGGGUAAGGAACCCGCUUUCUUUGAAAUGAUGAUCUUUCAGUGCAAGUAGUUGUAGUCUAGCCAGCCGAAGCAGUUUCUUUGUAAUGCGACAAUACCUACAAUGUGUUGAUGGUCUUUCAAUGCAAGUAGUUGUAGACUAGUCAGCCGAAGCAAUUUCUUUGUAAUGCGACGGUACCUACAACGAGUUGAAGUGAAGGGUAAGGAACCCGCUUUCUUUGAAAUGAUGGUCUUUCAGUGCAAGUAGUUGUAGACUAGUCAGCCAAAGCAGUUUCUUUGUAAUGCGACGGUACCUACAACGUGUUGAAGUGAAGGGUAAGGAACCUUCAAGGCAACUUCUCCUCUGGUUGAGCUAAUAGUAGAGGAAAAUGUAAUGAUUCUUUUGGGUAUUAAACUCCUUGCAAGAGAAGAAAAGAAAAGAGAUGGCAGCCACAAUCGCAUCAUAACUUCUUAUAAUACUUCAUAGGCCAUAUGUCAAUGCAUCAUAACUUAUUCUGAGUAAUAUGAAAUUUCUAUUUUCACUAAAUCAAUAUAUAAAAGUGAUGGCUAAAAAUGAUUUAGGCUAAAAAUCAUGUGAUCAGUUAAAAGAUUAGAAACUCACUAGCAACUUGACUAGCAGUUUCCACUAGCUCACGAGCUGAGACCUCAGAGGAGAUGAGGAUCACAAGAGCAAACAUAAAGCCAAGAAGAAGAAAAGUCUUGGAGGAUGAUGCCAUGUUUUUCUUAACAACACAAUUUAGAUGAAGACAAGAUUGUUGAGUGAACUUAAUGUGGCUUCGCCUCAACCAGUUUAUAGACCCUUGAGGAUAGAGUGGGUGGUGGGGGAAGAGAGGGAGAGAUAAGAAUUUCUGUGGACAUCGUUGAACUGAAGACGUACGCCUAAAGGAGAGGAACACUUGAAACCUAGUUGAUCACAUUUUGUGGACUUAAUUUGAAAAAAAAAACACUCAUUUUUUUUCCACAAACGUUGAUGGUUUGUCUCCUUUUGUAAAUCAUUUAACGAACAGAGAUGAAAAUCAAGUCUACACAUAUAUCUUCAAUAAAUAAGUUUCAAAUGUCUUUGUAUGCCUUUUGGUUUUAUGAUUGAACUCUUGUUCUCAAAAAGUUUCAUAUGGACGUCAAGGGUGGAAUCAGGAAUUUUUCAACGGGUGGGCUAGCUAAAGUUAUUAGCUUAAAAUUUAAUGAUUAUUUUUUUUGGUACUUACAAUUUCUAUAGUCUUUCUAGAAAUAAAAGUAAACAUUAAAUCGUAUAAACCAAGCUAGUUCAUAGCUCCAUAGACUAAUUUUUAAUAAGUUUUAACAUAAACCAAAUAGGGUUUAACACCAUAGUAGAUUGAACAUCUAAGGCUUUUUACCUAGAUUUAGGUUCCUUCAUGCAUUCAUAUCAUACAUGAAAAGUUGUUUUAUGUAAAAAUAUUGACUAAGUAUGAAAAAUGGAUUUUCAGAAAAAUCAUUUUCUUAAGAUAAUUUUUGGCGGCUUUUAUUCUUCACACAUCAAAUAAGAAAACUUCAUUUUAUGGGAUUUUAGUAUGAAGUAUAUAUUGAUUUAAUGGCAGCUACAAAAGUCGUCAAACGCUGAAAUUUCUAUUUUCACUGACGCGCUUUCUUCCAAUACAAAAGUGAAAGUGGGUAAGGAGCCUUCAAGGAACUUUCAUAAAUAAAGACCAAAGAUUCUUGCCCUUUUCUAACUCCUAGCGACUGUAGCCUUUAUUCUACUUACCCUAUUUUUUCUAAAUUAAUUUAUUCACACAUUGACUUAUAUAUAUAUAUAUACCUUUCGUAAAUAAAGACCAAAGAUUCUUGCCCUUUUCUAACUCCUAGCGAUUGUAGCCUUUAUUCUACUUACCCUUUUUUUUCUAAAUUAAUAUAUUAACACAUUGAGAUAUAUAUAUAUAUAUAUAUGCUAUAAAAUGAACUGGGAUAUGUGCGAAUAUUGAGCUGCACGUAAAGUAGAUGAGACACAGUAUUUAACGAGGUUCGGCUAUGCCUACGUCCUCGGAGAGCAACAGCAGUAACUUUUCACUAUAUGAAAUAAUAGGGCUACAACUUUAGUGUUUACAAUAUGUAUGACUCACUCAAUUUUCUCUCUUGGAGAAUUUCUCUCUUGCUCUCUUUCCUCUCAACUCACUCACCCUCAUUCUUCCUUAUCUUCCUCUUCUCUAUGUGUAAACUUCUCUUGAUGGAGGUAUCUAUUUAUAGGCCUAAGACAUUGGUUGUUCACCUCACAAUAUAAUUGGUAGACAACAUCAUUAAUAUUCUUCAAUCAACAACAUCAUUAAUAUUCUUCAAUCAAUUGGGUAGUGGUUUGGUUUGGUGGUUGAGUGGUUAGGUUUAGUGGGUGUUAGUUGGCUAUGUGGGCUUCACCUAUUCUUCUUUACUUAUUCUUCUUUACAACACUCCCCCUUGGAGACCACAUGUCCCUAGAUUGGUUGCCUCAUUAAAACCUUGCUUGGAGAAAAACCCUGUGAGGUAGAAAACUGAUGGAAGGAAGAAAAAAAAAGAGUACAGCAAUCUGUAUAGCAUACUUCUAGAUGCCCCCCCUGAUUAAUAUCUCCCCCUGAUGUCUUCAUGACUAUCUUUUGGAGUGAGAAUCUUUCGGAGUGAGUGGAGGAUAUAGCCAUUAAUAAUUCUCGUAGUUGAGUAAGUAAAUAUAUUUCCAGUGAGCUAUCUCUAUGUAAAUCAUAGAAAUUUUCAGAGUCCGCGUUUCUAACAAAACUUGGGCUAUUUGUAAGUUCACUUGAAAGAAUAUGCCCGUACAUGGUGUUAUGCGGAGAUAGCAUCAAAUAUACCUCACAUCAUCCCAAAAUGAUGGUGAUGGAGUUGAGCCCUAUCUGGAAAAUAUGAUGGCCGGUCCAAUAUACUUCCGGAAAAUCAUUAAAGUGUCCAACGGAUAAUACUCAUAAAAAUGCUUCAAUACUUUCUUAGUAUAAGCAAGAAUCUCGUUGGUAUAAUGCUCGAUCCUUAAGUCGAGACAAAUAUUUCGUGAAUUCUGCAGAAGCUUUAAUGUGUUGCAAUCACAUUAUAAUCAAUGUACUCAAUGAGGUAAUUUAUGCAUAUUAAUAUUGAGUACAAAUUUUGUGCUUCAAGCACAUGUUUUGUGCUUCAAGCACAUGUCCUUUAGGGACUUGCUUUAUGCAAUUGUCAAUCUUCUCAACGGAUUUUGUCUAAAAGGGAUUAAACUUUAUGACACAUUAUAUAGCUUUAACCCAUCUAUUUAUACAUCUUUAGGGAAUCGCUUCUGGCGAUAUGCUCCGUGCAUUUAAUAACCCUUAAAGAUAAUAUGUUGGUCUCCGUAAUUGUGUAAUAAGGGUGGAGAAAACCCAACAUUCCUUGUUUCUGCUAGAAAACAGUGUGUCAUACAAAGUAGGUAUAUUCCCUUUUAUUCCGAACACCCAAGUAUAAAUUCAGUAUUAACAAAUUUUGGGGUUCGUAUUGUGGGUUUGUUCUUUCACGUUCAUUCUCAUUUAUAAUGGAAUUACCUCGUUCCAUUUUGGCCAAUGAUAUUGUCGACAUUUAAUAAUUGAACGUGGUUCCAAUCAACACGGCCCAUUGAUGAUUCGAGUAGCUACUCAAAAACCAAAAAUUGUCAUUCAUCAAUUCAUAAUCUCACAAUUCUCAUGUGCAUGCGCAUGCAUCAAUUAUAAGCAUUUCUUUUGCUUUUGGGUACCCAAGCCACUUCAUGGGGCUUUUAUUAUGUGAGAAUGUGGAUUAUAACCUCCAUUGGAGCGUUAUUUUACAUAGGGCGUGGAAAAUCUCCAUUUAGGGAGUUGGAACAUUUAGAACCCAUAUAUCUGUCAUGCUGCAGGCAUGCCACAGAUUAAUACAUACAUGUCAAUUAAUUUCUGGGACUUUAACCCAUAUUAUGGGACUUUAACCCAUAUAAUUUGUUACGCAUUAGGCGUGCAUAAUAUCAAUAUUGACAUGUCAAAGGAUUGUCCUUUCGGGACUUCAAUCCAUAUCAUUUGCUACGCAACAGGCGUGCACCCAUAUAUCUGUCAUGCUGCAGGCAUGCCACAGAUUAAUACAUACAUGUCAAUUAAUUUCUAGGACUUUAAUCCAUAUUAUGGGACUUUAACCCAUAUAAUUUGCUACGCAUUAGGCGUGCAUAAUAUCAAUAUUGACAUGUCAAAGGAUUGUCCUUUCGGGACUUCAAUCCAUAUCAUUUGCUACGCAACAGGCGUGCACCCAUAUAUCUGUCAUGCUGCAGGCAUGCCACAGAUUAAUACAUACAUAUCAAUUAAUUUCUGGGACUUUAACCCAUAUAAUUUGCUACGCAUUAGGCGUGCAUAAUAUCAAUAUUGACAUGUCAAAGGAUUGUCCUUUCGGGACUUCAAUCCAUAUCAUUUGCUACGCAACAGGCGUGCAUCAUAUUGAUCACUGCUAUACCCAUAUUCUGUUCUUAUGGUACAUUAAUCUGUGCAGUGUAUUAUCAAUGUAUCCAACUUGCAAUCUGUAAAAUUUGCAUUAAUAAUUCAUGGAUACAUACAAGCCAUUCUUUUGGAACGGACUUAUCUCCCCAUUUGGUUACCUUUCAAGAUAAAAUAUCAAAUAAGUAUAUAAGCAUAAAAUAACACAAGUAUUGCUUACAUCCUUAGGUGGGAGAAACUUUUCUCAAGUAUCAUUCAAGCUCGUAUCAGCCCAGUAAAUAUAAUGUAGCGCUUGAUGAUCUAGUUAUAUCCUGCAAGAGCAAAAAUCACAACUCUUUUGCCUCUGUUAAAACAAAUAAACCUCACAGUUAGGAUCACUUCAUGGAUUCAUUCUUCAGAUGUUCAUUCUAAAGAAAUAAAAUCUCUUAUGAACAGAGAGUUAUAAAAAGAGAAAAAAUGCAAAAAUAAUGUGAUAUUGAUUGCAAGAGAAGGUAAGCAAUCAAGGAAGGAAGCUGGUGGGAGCAGACAACAAGCUCAGCAAUCAAGGAAGGAAGCUGGUGGGAGCAAACGACAAGCUCUCAUUUCUUCUAGUUUAGAAGAACUUCCGGAGAUUAGAGCAUAAGGUUGCCUUCACAGUUCCCUGAUGUGGCGGGAACGUGAUCAGGGGUAGUCUCGCUUCCUGAAUGGAUGAUCAGAGAUAGUCUUGCUUCUCGGGCAUAUUAAGUGCUCACUGAUAAGAAAAACAAGUAGAUAUCGCAUCACUAGGUAUGGAGAAAACUGGAUGUCUUCUGCAAAGAAAAUUUCGUUAGUAACACAUUUAUACACAAAUACAAUGAAUAGGUAGAACCGGUGAAUUUCAAAUUAACCAUAAGAAAAUUGCGAGAUUCUCGGGGUACUUUUGAAAAAGUAGCUCCGUGAAAUCCGUAAAGCAAGAUCUGCUUUUGAUGAAAAUAAAACUUUGAAAACGCCGAAAGUGCCGACAAACAUUUAAUGGAGGCCACGUGAAGUUUUGGAAUCUGGGAAAGAAAAAGAUAAUAUGGGGAUCUGAGAUAAUAUUGGGAUUCUGGAAACUGUAGCCAUAUUUCCUCCUAUAGAUAUUGCCUUUGCAAAACUUGAUUGGAGCAACUGCGUUUCAACUUGCUCCUUUCCUGUAUAAUAAUUGCGCACAUUCUUAAAAUUUGCACCUGUGGUUUUUACGUCUUUUCAAAAUGACGGUUUGGAACCUUGUGCCUUAUAGGUUCAAAUAACCACAUCGACUCUCCCAAAUUUCAUAUUUCAACGUAUGGGAGCCCGGAACUUUUGGCCUGGGCUAAACACAAACUCAUAAUUUAUUUGCCCUUUUCAAAAUGGACAUGAAAUAUGAAUUGAGUAAAAGCCACGCUAAUAUCUCAUAUAUUUGGGUUCAUGAGCUUCCGGCCCAGAUAUAACGAAAUAUGUGGGGAGCCUCAAUUCAUCAUUCUCUUAUGCCAAAGAGAUAUGUGGCGUACCACAAUUUGCAAUAAUACCUCAAGGGUUGUCCAUUUAAUUGUUGGAACUUCAGGUUCUCAACACUGUUAGAUUUUGAACUUCUGGCCAAAAUCACAUAUUCUCAUGGUAUGGACAUUCAACCCCCUUAGAUUUUGAACUUCGGGCCAAAAUCACAUAUUCUCAUGGUAUGGACAUUUUUAUAAUUUUCUGUACAUAUUUCUGGACUUCAAGCCCUUACAUAAUUGUCCAUAUUUUGAGGAACUUCUAGCAUCUCAUUUAAUUGCUCAUCCAUGAGUUUAAGGAACUGCAGGUUCCCUCUUUGAAUAGUGAUGGUUUACCCAAAAUGGUAAAUAUUUAUGCAUACAUCACUAUUCAUGUAUACAGCACUAUUCAUGUGUACAGUACAUUUGCCAGUACAGUUAUCAUCUAUGUGUACGGCAUUAUGAACCAAUACGGUACUGUUACAUCAUUAAGGAACCCCAGGUCCUUAUUUACAUGUCAGGGAUCAAGGACCCUCAAGUCCAAUUACAUGUUUACAAAUAUAGUACCGGAGAGACUGCCAGCUCUCAUAUUAACAUCAUCAUCAAGGAUCUUUAAAGUAUAAUUUUUGGGUAGUCUAGGGUAUAUAUUAGGCUGUAAAACCAUAAACCCUUUUAUCAACUUAAUUUUUAAAAUUAUAUAAUUUAGUUUUAAGGGUUUAGGGUAUUAAUUGUUAACGACGGUGGUUGAGUCGUGGAAUACAUAUGUUACGUCGUGUAGUAAAAUAUCCGACAUGGUUUCCACUUUAAACGACGUCAUUUUAAUAUGUAAGUCGUCUAUUAUAAUUUACAACGUUUUCAAUUUGUUAACUUCGACGUGGUUUUUCAGUCGUCUUUAUAUCAAAAUAUUCAAAAUAAAUUUAAAAUUAAUCCGAAAAAUGAAGCGUCAAAAUAAACGGCGUUACGUUCAGUGUUUCCGUCGUGGAAUAUUACAUUUACGUCGGUUCUUGUAGAACUUUCGCCAUGGUUUUUCUUUCGACGUUUUAAAGAGCGCGCACUCUAAAAAUUUUCGCGCGCCCUAAAUUUUUUUAUAUUUCGCUCUUAUUCUUAUACUUCUAACCCUGAACCCUAAAAUUUUCAGAUUUCGCGCAACAUAACAUUCGCUCUCUCACUUCUGCUCUAAUUAAAAGUUGCACUCUCCAGGCUCCGUCGAAUCUGUGAGCUCGUCCAACCUGUAAGUACAAACCCUAUCUUCCCCUUGUAAAUUCAUUGAAUGAUAUUAGGUUGUUUUGUUAAAGGGUUUUAGGUACAUGCUCUGUGAUCUGUUAAUAAUGUGCUUAUAGGUAUGGGUUCAUGGAUUUUCUGUUUAAUGGGUUCAUGGAUUACAUUAUCUGUUAUGUUGAAUUGGGAAUGGUUUUAAUUUUGUCGGAUCUUUUAAUCACCCUAUGUUAUGUUGAAUUGGGAAUGGAUUUAUUGUUUUCAUGCUUGGUUUCAUGUAUAUGUUGGUUUCUUGCUUGGUUUCAUAUAUAUGUUGUGUUCUUAAUGGGUUUUGGGUUCUUGAAAAUAAACUGAGACACGACGCCUUUUUAGGCAUACGACGACGAUUACACGACGGUUUAUGAAAAAACCGUCGUUGUAUUACUUAUACACGACGCUUUUUUCAUAAACUCUCGUUUGUAUUACUUAUAUUAGACGAUGUCUGUUGAAAAUCCGUCGUCUAUAUAUGCCAAAUACGUCUGUUUUUGUUUAAAACCCGUCAUCUCUGUUGUGUAUUACUUGCUAUUAGAUCUUUGUAUAAUCUGCUAUAGUGAUGGUCAUUGCCUGUAUUUUCACUUUAUUAUAGAUAAUAGGUUAUAGUGUCGGAGAUGGAUAAGUCAUAGAUGCACUCGGAUAGAAGAUCGAAGGCAUAUGAGUUUGGGGUGGAAGCAUUUUUGAACUUUUCUGUAGAAAAUCUUCUAACUACAACACAUAUCCGUUGUCCAUGUGUUAAAUGUGUUAAUUUGAAGUUGUUUGGGGUUGGAAUUAUAAGGGAUCACUUAUACUUUAAUGAAAUUGGCCAAAGCUAUAAGAAUUGGACAUUUCACGGAGAACCUUGGGAAGCAACUACUAAUGCUAGUAGAAAUGUUGAAGAAGAUGAUGGCCAUAGUAGGUACAGUUUUGUGUUUGAAGAAAUUGAUAUGGAUGACAAUGAUUUUGGUUCCAAUCCGUAUGAGUUUGCCAAUGUGAUUGGGGAUGGAGAUCAACCAGUGUACCCUGGUUGUAGAAAGUACACGAAGUUAUCGGCAUUAGUGAAGUUGUAUAAUUUGAAGGCAAAACAUGGGAUGAGUGAUGUCUGUUUUACAGAAUUAUUGAUACUUCAAGGCGAUUUGCUUCCAGAAGGAAAUACAAUACCAACCUCUAUGUAUGAGGCUAAAAAGACUUUGUGUGCAUUGGGGCUGAGUUAUGAGAAAAUGCACGCAUGCCCCAAUGAUUGCAUCUUGUAUAGGAAGGAGUAUGAGGAUUCAACUAAUUGUCCUACUUGUGGUAUCUCAAGGUGGAAGGAAGGCAAAGAUUCAAUCUUGAAAGAGGGUGUGCCAGCAAAGGUGGUGUGGUAUUUUCCUCCAAUUCCAAGGUUUAAAAGGAUGUUUCAAUCACAUGAGACAGCUAAGAGUUUGACUUGGCAUGCUGCUAGAAAAUCAAUUGAAGGUCAGAUGUCUCAUCCGGCGGAUUCCCCGUCUUGGAAACUUCUUGAUGAUAAAUGGCCUGAGUUUGGUAAUGAGCUGAGAAACUUGAGAUUGGCUCUUUCAUCUGAUGGAUUCAAUCCCCACAGUUCUCUAAGUAGAAGAUAUAGUUGUUGGCCGGUUAUUUAGUUACAUAUAAUCUCCCUCCAUGGCUGUGCAUGAAACGAAAGUUCAUGAUGUUAACCUUAUUGAUUUCCGGUCCUAAACAACCCGGAAAUGAUAUAGACGUCUACUUGGAGCCUUUGAUUGAUGAUUUAAAAUCUUUGUGGGAUGGGAUUAGAGGAGUGUAUAAUGCACAUAAUGGAGAAUACUUUACACUCAGAGCUGCAUUAAUGUGGACAAUUAAUGAUUUCCCCGCCUAUGGAAACUUAUCUGGUUGUGUUGUUAAAGGAUAUAAAGCUUGUCCAAUAUGCGGCGAAGAUACACCUAGUCACAGGUUGAAAAAUGGCCACAAAAUUUGUUACAUUGGGCAUAGAAAAUGGUUACCAAUCAAUCAUCCAUAUAGGAGGCAACGUACAGCUUUUAAUGGGAAACCUGAAUAUGGCAUACCUCCCGAGCCAUUAACCGGAGAAGAAGUGCUGCAUAUGGUUGAAAAUGGUGACAGAGUUUGUUGGAAGAAGAAAUCAAUAUUCUUUGAUCUCGAGUAUUGGAAAUACCUUCCUGUGAGGCAUGCCCUAGAUGUUAUGCACAUUGAGAAGAAUGUUUGCGAUAGUAUCAUUGGUACAUUGCUGGAGAUCCCUGGAAAAAAUAAAGAUGGGAUUGCUGCUCGAUUAGAUUUAUUGAACAUGGGGGUCAAAACUGAUUUGCAACCCGAGUAUGGAGAAAGACGUACUCGUUUGCCUCCUGGGCCUUGGAAUUUGUCAAGAGCAGAGAAGAGAGAGGUUUGCAAUUCUUUCUAUGGUAUGAAGGUGCCUGAAGGUUAUUCUUCAAAUAUUAAAAAUCUUGUAUCUUUACAAGAUUCAAGACUUCUUGGCCUUAAAUCACAUGAUUGUCAUACCUUAAUGCAACAAUUGCUCCCUGUGGCAAUUCGUUCUGUUUUGGAGAAGCCUGCAAGGUAUGCAAUAACUCGUUUGUGCUUCUUCUUCAAUGCUAUAUGUGCAAAGACUGUUGAUGUUUCCAAGCUAGAUAAGUUGGAAGAAGAUGUAGUAGUUACUCUGUGUUUGCUUGAGAAGUACUUUCCCCCUUCAUUCUUUGAUAUCAUGGUUCAUCUAGUAGUACAUCUUGUCAGAGAAGUUCGUCUAUGUGGGCCAGUAUAUUUUAGGUCGAUGUAUCCGUUUGAAAGAUAUAUGAAAGUGCUGAAGGGGUAUGUUCAGAAUCGUACUCGUCCCGAAGGUUGCAUUGCUGAGCGGUAUAUAGCUGAAGAAGCGGUAGAGUUUUGUACUCAGCAUUUAUCUGAUGUUAGUACAGUUGGAGUGCCUUCAAGCCAAAAGAUAGGACUUUCAAAGCCAUUAUCAGGUUGCACAGUGAGCGUAGUUGAUCAGGACCUGUUGAAUCAAGCACAUCUAUAUGUCUUGGAGAAUACGGAGGAAGUCCUACCUUAUAUCGAGUACGUAUGAGUUUUAUUCUUUAACUUAUUGAUUUUAAAUUAUUUCUUAUGUUUAUCUUCUAUAUUUGGGACCGUAAUGCUUGAAUUUUUCGUGUCAUGUAGGCAACAUAUGAUCCACAUCAAGACUGCUUAUCCAAAAUUUAGAAAGAGAACAAAGUGGCUGCAGGAUAAGCACAAUAGCACUUUCAUUCAAUGGCUACGCUUCAAGGUAUAUGUUGUUGAAUAACAUAUUUCUCUUUUAAUUUUCUUCUUAUUUCUAUGUUAGAUUGAAUUAAGAUAUGAUUAAUUUGAGGAAGACAAUCAUGGCGUAUCAGAAAAUUUAAGGUGGCUAGCAGCUGGUCCAAACAUGGCAGUGCCAUUAUAUAGGAGCUAUCUUAUUAAAAGUAUUAAAUUCAAUAUCAAGGCACAAGAUGAUGUGCGGACAACUCAAAAUAGUGGAGUUUAUUUACUUGCACAUACCAUGCAAGUUGCUAGUGCCAAGGAUAAAAACCCAAUUCUCUCAAAUAUGGGUUUCUAUGGUGUCAUUCAAGAAAUUUGGGACCUUGACUACCAAAACUUUACAAUCCCAGUCUUUAGGUGUGAUUGGAUAGAUAGUUCUGGUCUUGUAGUCGACGAACUUGGAUUUACCCUUGUAGAUUUGAGUAAAAUUGGACAUAGGAAUGACCAAUUUGUUUUGGCUUCUCAAGUCAAACAAAUAUUUUUUGUUGACGACCCGAUGCAUCGUGGUUGGUCGGUAGUGUUAUCAAUGCCUAAUAGAGAAUAUAAUGAUGUUAUUGGUGAUGAAGUCUUAGGUGAUGUGAUAAUUGAGUGUGAGCCAUUUACUAGAGGGAUGCCAAAUGUUGACACAUUUGAUGAACUGGUGGGUGAGUUAGGCGGUCAAAAUAUUCGAGAUGGAUGUGAAGAUAUAUGGAUUGAAUGAUGCUUAUGUAAUUGGCAGUGUAUGACAUUAAUUUUGUAAUAUAUUGUAAUGUGAUUUCUUCACUUUCUACGUUCAAAUAAAACACGACGUUAUUGUGAACCAGUUAUUCAGCAUAUUUACCGACGUCUUAAAGCAACGUAACAAUGAAGAACCACGAUGCUAUUGUGAAGCAAUUAUUCAGGAUAUCACGUCGGGAAGGAUUAAGAACCGCCGUGUAAUUCAAAAUAACACGACUCCAAUCCCAUAAUACCGACGUCUAAAAAAUGAGAUAUAUAAUCUGAACGUUAAAAAAUACGACGUCAUCAUACAUUUUCCACGUCGCAAGUUCUUUUAUAAACGAAGAGGAACGAAAUGAAUUCCGACGGUAAUUCAUUAUAACCGCCGUCUAAUAUCAAUUAAACGACGUUAUUUGUAAUACGGCUCUCAUCAUAAUCAACGCCGUCUAUAUGUUCUGUAAUACGGCUCUCAUUUAUUUGGAACCGACGUUGUUUAGAAGUUCAACAUCGUCUAUAUUAAUAAGUGCGUCGUGAGUAAUGAAUACAUAUAAAUACAACGUCGACUACAUAAAUGCCACCGACGUUGUUUCGCAUUCAACGUCAACUAUAUAAAUACAUACGUCAUAAAUAAUGACACUGACAACUAUUUCCACGUCAUCUUUUUUAGAAAAAUCGAAGUGGAAAAUUUAUUUCACGACGGUUGUUUGUAAAUAAGAGACGUAGUAGAUUUCAAUAACGUCGUCUUCUCAUGUAUUUAAAGACGUCAUAUUUUUUCUUGUCGUGAAAAUUAUAUUUGACGGCGUAGUGUUUUAGUUGUCGUCGUUGUAUGUCUAUCUUGCGGCCUUGUUCUUUUAAUAUGUGUCAUAUUUUUCCUUUUUAACGACGGUGAUUUGUUUGAGUUGGUCGUCUAUUCUCAUCCUCGACAAUUUUUUAGAACUUUAGCAGACUAAACACGUCUGUUUUUAUUUGUUUUCGACGUUGUUUUAUUUAACAACGUCUAAUAUUUAUCGUCGUUGUUUGUUUCUGAAAAUAUGACGUAUAAAUUUUGUAAUACGACUCUCAUAUAUUUGUAACCGACGUUGUUUCGUUGUUCAACGUCUACUCUAUAAAUACAUACGUCGUAAAUAAUGACACUGACAACUAUUUCCACGUCAUCUUUUAUAGAAAAAUCGAAGUGGAAAAUUUAUUUUACGACGGCUCUUUUUAUAUAGGCGACGUAGUAGGUAUCAAUAACGUCGUCUUCUAAUGUAUUUAAAGACGUCAUAUUUUUUAUUGUCGUGAAAAUGAUAUUUAACGGCGUCUUAUUUUAAUUUUCGUCGUUGUAUGUCUAUCUUGCGGCCUUGUUCUGUUAAUAUGUGUCAUAUUUUUCCUUUUUAACGACGGUUUUUUUAGAGAGUUGGUCGUCUAUUCUCAUCCUCGACUUCUUUUUUAGAUCUUUUUGCAGUACAAAGACGUCGUUUUGUGUUUUUUGAUGACGUUGUAUAUUGUAACAACGACGGUGAUUUAGCGUCGUGGUUUAUGAGGGAAAAGAUGACGGUGGAUUCCACGACCAUUGAAAAACCGAAUACACGACAGUGAUUUACCGUCGUCUUUUUGCUUUUUUGUAGUAGUGUUUUCUUAACAACACAAUUUAGAUGAAGACAAGAUUGUUGAGUGAACUUAAUGUGGCUUCGCCUCAACCAAUUUAUAGACCCUUGAGGAUAGAGUGGGUGGUGGGGGAAGAGAGGGAGAGAUAAGAAUUUCUGUGGACAUCGUUGAACUGAAGACGUACGCCUAAAGGAGAGGAACACUUGAAACCUAGUUGAUCACAUUUUGUGGACUUAAUUUGAAAAAAAAAAACACUCAUUUUUUUUCCACAAACGUUGAUGGUUUGUCUCCUUUUGUAAAUCGUUUAACGAACAGAGAUGAAAAUCAAGUCUACACAUAUAUCUUCAAUAAAUAAGUUUCAAAUGUCUUUGUAUGCCUUUUGGUUUUAUGAUUGAACUCUUGUUCUCAAAAAGUUUCAUAUGGACGUCAAGGGCGGAAUCAGGAAUUUUUCAACGGGUGGGCUAGCUAAAGUUAUUAGCUUAAAAUUUAAUGAUUAUUUUUUUUGGUACUUACAAUUUCUAUAGUCUUUCUAGAAAUAAAAGUAAACAUUAAAUCGUAUAAACCAAGCUAGUUCAUAGCUCCAUAGACUAAUUUUUAAUAAGUUUUAACAUAAACCAAAUACGGUUUAACACCAUAGUAGAUUGAACAUCUAAGGCUUUUUACCUAGAUUUAGGUUCCUUCAUGCAUUCAUAUCAUACAUGAAAAGUUGUUUUAUGUAAAAAUAUUGACUAAGUAUGAAAAAUGGGUUUUCAGAAUAAUCAUUUUCUCAAGAUAAUUUUUGGCGGCUUUUAUUCUUCACACAUCAAAUAAGAAAACUUCAUUUUAUGGGAUUUUAGUAUGAAGUAUAUAUUGAUUUAAUGGCAGCUACAAAAGUCGUCAAACGCUGAAAUUUCUAUUUUCACUGACGCGCUUUCUUCCAAUACAAAAGUGAAAGUGGGUAAGGAGCCUUCAAGGAACUUUCAUAAAUAAAGACCAAAGAUUCUUGCCCUUUUCUAACUCCUAGCGACUGUAGCCUUUAUUCUACUUACCCUAUUUUUUCUAAAUUAAUUUAUUCACACAUUGACUUAUAUAUAUAUACCUUUCGUAAAUAAAGACCAAAGAUUCUUGCCCUUUUCUAACUCCUAGCGAUUGUAGCCUUUAUUCUACUUACCCUUUUUUUUCUAAAUUAAUAUAUUAACACAUUGAGAUAUAUAUAUAUAUAUAUUGUAUAGUAUAACCCUAAUUUUUACCCUUAUCAGAUAAGUUCUAUCAAUUUCAAGAAAUAUCUUCAUCUUUAGACUGCAAGUAAGCUAGUCUAUUUUUCUCUCUAAUGCUUCGCAAUUGUAAUUUGAAGUUCCGUAUAAUUUAGUUGUAUAAUUUAAUUGUAUUGUAUUAUUCAUAAAUUUUUCUUAUUAAAUUAAAAUAAUGUUAAAAAGGCUUAUGCGUCACUGCUUCAAGGCUUACGCCUCGCAUAGCGCUACUAAAACGCCUCGCAUCAUCACCACACCUUUCAAAACAUUGAUAAACACAUCAAAAUUAAGGUUGAAAGAACUAUGAUUACAUGCUAACACAGUAUAAUAACCAAUAAAUAACUCAAAUUGAUUAGAUAAUGAGGCAUCAGAGUACCAAGAACUUCAUCCAAAUCACUAGGCCGCUCAUUCCUCUCUCCUUUCUCGAUAAUCUUCUUCACAAUCCCACCAUCUUUGCUCAAAUUCACCACUUUGAUCAAAGAAAUGAGUUGAAUUCGAAUCGAACAACAGCAUUGGAUGGCACAACAGAACCACCCCCACCAACAACACCAUAGACUAGCUCAGCAGGCAAUGUGAACAAUGCAAUCUCUCCCUUCUUCAUAGAGACGACGCCAUGGUCCAAACCCUUCACCACUCGACCCUCAUCGAGCUUAAUGGUGAGAGCCUCAUCUCUGUCUCUGGUCGAUUCGAACUUCAUCCUAUCAAGUAGAGUUCCAACAUAGUGCACUAAAUUCAAAUUUCCACACUGAAUGUAUCUAAAAUUAUAAAGUUUUAAUAGGAGAGAAAAAUAGAGAGAAAAAAGAAAGAAAGGGUAUUUUUGGCAUUUAAAAAAAUUAAAUACGGGUAUUUUCAUCAUUUUAAAAUUUUCAUUAAAUGGAGCCAAGUGCUUUAUGUGUUUUUGUCUUGCAGGUCCUUUAUGAAGAAGCACCUCUCAAGUGCUUCUUCCAGAACCACUCCAAGUGCUUUGGGAUCUCACCCAAAGCGCUUUUGCAAUUUUUGCUAAACACCAUUUUUAAAAGACAGAAGCGCUUUCACCCGCUCUUCGUUGCUCCAAAAGCACUCCCAAAUGAGCCAUAAUUCUCUCAAUUCCUCCACCUUCCUUCCUUCUGCAAAUAUUCAACAAAAAAUAACAUUAAAACAAAAACUAGUUUUUUUAUACGGAAGUAAUAAAAACUAGUUUGUGUACAUUUUAUAUGUGUUGAAAGCUUUAAAUUCAGCCAGUUGAGUGUAACUCAGUUGGUUGAGCUCUUCUACUUUCGCCCAUGUAGGCAGAAAUUUGAAUUAUAAUUAUAUAUUAUUGUAUUAAACAAACACAAAAUUCAUAAUAAAUUGGACAACUUUAGUUAUUUCGGUAAUAAAUUUAUCAAUUAGCUCCCCAAAUCACUAGAAAGAGGUGAAAGACCCACCACUUUUGUAUUCAUGGCCUAUAUCAAAUUGUAACAAAUAUAAACUUCGUAUUUUUGUUAUCCUACAUAAAAUUGCUCACCUGGGGUUAAUAACUUAUUAUAAAUAAAAAAAACCUAGAGAAACUAGUUUUAGUUCCAUUUCACGACAAAGCGCUCUCUUUUCUUUCUCAAGCAUUUUCUCCUUUCCCCUUUUACCCAUUCCACCUACGGAGCAAUCAGUCUUUAACAAACGUUAACGGUGUGUUUGGAUGAGGGAAAAAAACUUAGGAUUUUGACAAAAGUCAAAAUUUCUAAAUUGACAUGAACCAAUUCCCGUGUUUGGAUAAAAAAAACAUAGAAAUUUAGAAAUUCCGUGUAGGAAAAAAAUGGAAUUUGUAUAUCAUAAAUCCCAACUUUAAAUUCUGUCUAAAAGUCAUCAUUUCUAACAUCCCAAGAGAUAUUGAGUUUUUAAAAAAGAUAGCUUUACAAAUAAAUGAUAAAUUCCGUGUUUUAAAUCCGUUACCCAAACAAAAAAACUUUACAAACUCUAUAACAUUAAUUUCCGUCAUUUAUGAAAUCCCUUGUACUUUGAAAUUUCCUCAUCCAAACGCACUGUAAAAAAGAUUAAAACUAUUUUCUCUCUCUUUUUUUGGGAAAAAAAAUAGUGGAUAAAGCAUAAACUCAUAUGAAUAAUUGAAAUUGUGAUUUCAUUUCUUUUGUGGGAAAAAAGUAUUUAGCAUCUGUAGGUGUGAAAGUUGGAUUGGAAAUUCUAAUGUCGACCGAUUUUUAUUCGAAAUUUUUGAACUUUUAGUGAGUUCAAAUCAAUUCCAACGUCCAAAAGUUUCAAAAAUUCUAGAAUUUUUUUUUUAAAAAAAGAAAAGGAUUGAAAUUAGAAUGUAUCUCAAGAUUACAAAUUUUUUGAAUUAUAUCAGAUUUCCAAUGUUGAACUGCAUAUAAUGAGUAAUAUCCAUGGCCACCAGAUGCACUUUGCAUAAGCAAAAACAAUUGAACUAAUGUUAUAGCCGCAAUAUCAGAAUAUGAUUAUGUCAAAUUCUAAACAUGGAAACUUUAAACAGAAAACUUGAUCAAUCAUGAGGAUACCAUGGCAUCUAAUUUCUUCGUUAUGAAGAAACAUGUGAUUUCUUUUUAUUCUAAAACAUGCAGACUAUGAUCUAACACCACAUGUAAACUGUAUUGACUGCACAUAAGUAGAACACAUGUAUUUUAGUAUUCCAUUAGAGUUGUCGGAAUAUCAAGAACAUACAAGAUCUCUUCUCCUCAAUACAACCCCUCACACACUCAUUUAUAGACAGGGUGAAUACUUUAGUGUAGAUUACAUUGAUCGGGUAAGUUGUGGCACCUGUAUUUAUAUGCAUCUGCCUAAGAGUCUUGCCUAUCAAGAAACUCUCUAGGAAUCCUUAUUGUAAUAGGAAAAGAAACCCUUGUCCAUAUUUAGAACCCGUUUGAUAACAAUUUCAUUUUCUAUUCACUUUUCACUUUUCACUUUUUUAAAAAAAAUUGAAAACAUAUUUUAUAAUACUUUUCAUUUUCAGUUUUCAGAAUCACCCUUACUAAUUCUCAUUCUAUCUAACAUUUUCAAAUAAUCCAUUCUUCAAAACAAACAGUACUUAAUAAGUAGUGACAUCUGAAUCAUUGCGUGUUAAUGAACUAUCUAAGACAACAUGACGUUCAUUAGAUAAUGCUUUUGACCUCAUUAUUCUUGUAGUGAGCGUACAAUUAGAAUAGUACAUUACCAUUUGAAAUGACUAUAAUUAAUGAGCCAACAUAAAAACAAUAAACCCAUCCCACUAAAAGCCAACCAUAUAAACAAAUAGAGCAUAAUUCUCAUGUAAAAUCAGUGCCGAAUCGGACCUAGCAAACACCUCUGCUUUUGUCAGUAUUUGAGAAGAGGACAGUACCAUUAAGAGAAAGAGCAUAUCCACCAUAUUCCUCCAGAUUUUCAUACAAGCAUCACAGCACCUUCCUUUCUCCACCAGGUCUCAGCACCAAAACUCUGACAACAGACAUUGGCUUCUCCUCCAGGAAACCACAAGCCUCCAAAAACAGAAAGCCCACAGCUAAAAAAGGAGAUCUAUUCCAGAUACAAAUAGGGGCACCACCAGACCUUGACAGAUCUAGAACAGAUUUUUUUUUUUUUUUAUAUAAAAAAUAACAUGCCUAGCUAAGGGAGAAAACACUUGAACCAAAGAGACGAUGGGGGAAACACUCUCCACAACAUCACAGGGGAAAGAGAAGCCAGCGAAUCACCGAUUUCUUAGGGGGUGUUUGGUAUCCUAUUCAAAUAGGAAAUUCAAAAACUUUAAUUUUUCUUAAAAAUAAGGAGUUCUCAAAUCUAUUUUUAAAGUUCAAAAACUUGUUUGGUAUGCAACUUGAAAACUAUUUUCAAUUUUUAAAAAUUUGAGAACUUGUUUGGUUGAAGUCUUGAAAACAUUUUCUCUUCAAAUUACAUUUUUGUCCUUGAGGGUAGGGGUAUUUUGAUCACUUUUUGUUCAUGAAAAAGUUUCCCCAACCUCUCUUCUAUCUUUUCCCCCGAAGAUUCGGCCCCAUACCUUGCUAGAAAACCCAAACUGACGCAGAGAAAUCAAGGGUUUUCUCGUCCAAAAAUCUUAAAAUCCAGCCACCUCCUGUCAUUUUUGGCCGUCAACUCAGGUUUAAAGAAAACCUUAAACCCAAACUGACUAUCAUUGCAUUGUUGAUUUUGCUCGAAAUGUAAGUUUGGAAAUCUUAGAGAGAGAGAGAGAGAGAGAGAGAGAGAGAGAGAGAGAGAGAGAGAGAGAGAGAGAGAGAGAGAGAGAGAGAGAGAGAGAGAGAGGAGAAUGGGAGGAGAGAGUCAUACGGAACAAGGAGGAGAGAUAGAGAAAGCAUGGAGAGAGGGAGGAGAGAGAAAGACAGAGAGGAAGAAAGAGGGGAAGGGGGAGAGAGAGGCACAGUGGUGGGUUAGAAAAAUACUAUAUAAAAAAAAUUUGUUUUUAAUAAUUGGGGUGUUUUUGAGUUUAAAUUUUUAAAAAUAGGACUACCAAACAGGUUUUCUUUGUUUUGGACUCAAAUUCUUAUUUUUUUCUAAGAGAUCCGGAAGAAACCCCCAAAUCUAAAGAAAUCCAGUGGCUGGGAGGAGGGUUUUUGGUUUUCCUUGGUAGAUCCUUCGAGAGGGAGAGAGAAACAGAGGGAAAAAUAUUUUGGAAUAAGUUUGUGAUUGAAAAUUUUCAAACAAUUCAUUCUCCAAAACAAAUAGGACUUAAUAAUUAAAAUGAGUUAGAUUCAAAUAUGCUCUAACAACUCCCAUAAUUCAUUUUGUAACUGCUAAAAUAUGAAAACUAUGAGAGAAUAUUGUUUGUGGGAAUUUUCUGUGUAUUCUUCUCCUUGUAGGAGGUCAUAUUUAUAAUACAACGAAACCUGAAUGGGCAAGUAAAUAAUAAAUUCCUAAAUCUAUUUGCAGUAGGAAAUCAGGAAUUAAAGUAAAUCAAUUACAAUUAUAAUAGGAAUUCUUGGUGUGUAAGGAAAGUAAGUCAAUAUCCACAAGUCACGCCAACACUAACUACAAUCUAUGAGUUCCCUUACUACAAUAGUUAGGCACUUCUCACAAUUUUCACGAGAAAUGUCCACAGUACAUUCAACUGUACCAUAAAUUUGUAUACCUUUAUUAUAUGGAAUAUGUGCCCCCUGAGCAUACAAUGAUCCACGAACAGCUAUAGCAUUCAACACUACUACAAAAAAGAAAAAAGACGACGGUAAAUCACCGUCGUGUAUUCGAUUUUUCAAUGGUCGUGGAAUCCACCGUCAUCUUUUCCCUCAUAAACCACGACGCUAAAUCACCGUCGUUGUUAAAAUAUACAACGUCAUCAACAAAUACAAAACGACGUCUUAGUACUGCAAAAAGAUCUAAAAAAGCAGUCGAGGAUGAGAAUAGACGACCAACUCUCUUAAAAAACCGUCGUUAAAAAGGAAAAAUAUGACACAUAUUAACAGAACAAGGCCGCAAGAUAGACAUACAACGACGAAAAUUAAAACAAGACGCCGUUAAAUAUCAUUUUCACGACAAUAAAAAAUAUGAUGUCUUUAAAUACAUUAGAAGACGACGUUAUUGAUACCUACUACGUCGCCUAUAUAAAAACAACCGUCGUAAAAUAAAUUUUCCACUUCGAUUUUUCUAUAAAAGAUGACGUGGAAAUAGUUGUCAGUGUCAUUAUUUACGACAUAUGUAUUUAUAGAGUAGACGUUGAACAACGAAACAACGUCGGUUACAAAUAUAUGAGAGUCGUAUUACAAAAUUUAUACGUCCUAUUUUCAGGAAAAAACAAUGACGAUAAAUAUUAGACGUUGUUAAAUAAAAUAACGUCGAAAACAAAUAAAAACUGACGUGUUUAGUCUGCUAAAGUUCUAAAAAAUAGUCGAGGAUGAGAAUAGACGACUAACUCAAACAAAUCACCGUCAUUAAAAGGGAAAAAUAUGACACAUAUUAAAAGAACAAGGCCGCAAGAUAGACAUACAACGACGACAACUAAAACACUACGCCGUUAAAUACAAUUUUUACGACAAGAAAAAAUAUGACGUCUUUAAAUACAUGAGAAGACGACGUUAUUGAAAUCUACUACGUCUCUUAUUUACAAACAACCGUCGUGAAAUAAAUUUUCCACUUCGAUUUUUCUAAAAAAGAUGACGUGGAAAUAGUUGUCAGUGUCAUUAUUUACGACGUAUGUAUUUAUAUAGUUGACGUUGAAAUUCGAAACAACGUCGGUAGAAUUUAUAUAGUCGACGUUGUAUUUAUAUGUAUUCAUUACUCACGACGCACUUAUUAAUAUAGACGACGUUGAACUUCUAAACAACGUCGGUUCCAAAUAAAUGAGAGCCGUAUUACAGAACAUAUAGACGGCGUUGAUUAUGAUGAGAGCCGUAUUGCAAAUAACGUCGUUUAAUUGAUAUUAGACGGCGGUUAUAAUGAAUUACCGUCGGAAUUCAUUUCCUUCCUCUUCGUUUAUAAAAGAACUUGCGACGUGGAAAAUGUAUGAUGACGUCGUAUUUUUUAACGUUCAGAUUAUAUAUCUCGUUUUUUAGACGUCGGUAUUAUGGGAUUGGAGUCGUGUUAUUUUGAAUUACAUGGCGGUUCUUAAUCCUUCCCCGACGUGAUAUCCUGAAUAAUUGCUUCACAAUAGCGUCGUGGUUCUUUAUUGUUACGUUGCUUUAAGACGUCGGUAAAUAUGCUGAAUAACUGGUUCACAAUAACGUCGUGUUUUAUUUGAACGUAGAAAGUGAAGAAAUCACAUUACAAUAUAUUACAAAAUUAAUGUCAUACACUGCCAAUUACAUAAGCAUCAUUCAAUCCAUAUAUCUUCACACCCAUCUCGAAUAUUUUGACCACCUAACUCACCCACCAGUUCAUCAAAUGUGUCAACAUUUGGCAUCCCUCUAGUAAAUGGCUCACACUCAAUUAUCACAUCGCCUAAGACUUCAUCACCAAUAACAUCAUUAUAUUCUCUAUUAGGCAUUGAUAACACUACCGACCAACCACGAUGCAUCGGGUCGUCAACAAAAAAUAUUUGUUUGACUUGAGAAGCCAAAACAAAUUGGUCAUUCCUAUGUCCAAUUUUACUCAAAUCUACAAGGGUAAAUCCAAGUUCGUCGACUACAAGACCAGAACUAUCUAUCCAAUCACACCUAAAGACUGAGAUUGUAAACUUUUGGUAGUCAAGGUCCCAAAUUUCUUGAAUGACACCAUAGAAACCCAUAUUUGAGAGAAUUGGGUUUUUAUCCUUGGCACUAGCAACUUGCAUGGUAUGUGCAAGUAAAUAAACUCCACUAUUUUGAGUUGUCCGCACAUCAUCUUGUGCCUUGAUAUUGAAUUUAAUACUUUUAAUAAGAUAGCUCCUAUAUAAUGGCACUGCCAUGUUUGGACCAGCUGCUAGCCACCUUAAAUUUUCUGAUACGCCAUGAUUGUCUUCCUCAAAUUAAUCAUAUCUUAAUUCAAUCUAACAUAGAAAUAAGAAGAAAAUUAAAAGAGAAAUAUGUUAUUCAACAACAUAUACCUUGAAGCGUAGCCAUUGAAUGAAAGUGCUAUUGUGCUUAUCCUGCAGCCACUUUGUUCUCUUUCUAAAUUUUGGAUAAGCAGUCUUGAUGUGGAUCAUAUGUUGCCUACAUGACACGAAAAAUUCAAGCAUUACGGUCCCAAAUAUAGAAGAUAAACAUAAGAAAUAAUUUAAAAUGGAAACUUAAAGAAUAAAACUCAUACGUACUCGAUAUAAGGUAGGACUUCCUCCGUAUUCUCCAAGACAUAUAGAUGUGCUUGAUUCAACAGGUCCUGAUCAACUACGCUCACUGUGCAACCUGAUAAUGGCUUUGAAAGUCCCAUCUUUUGGCUUGAAGGCACUCCAACUGUACUAACAUCAGAUAAAUGCUGAGUACAAAACUCUACCGCUUCUUCAGCUAUAUACCGCUCAGCAGUGCAACCUUCGGGACGAGUACGAUUCUGAACAUACCCCUUCAGCACUUUCAUAUAUCUUUCAAACGGAUACAUCGACCUAAAAUAUACUGGCCCACAUAGACGAACUUCUCUGACAAGAUGUACUACUAGAUGAACCAUGAUAUCAAAGAAUGAAGGGGGAAAGUACUUCUCAAGCAAACACAGAGUAACUACUACAUCUUCUUCCAACUUAUCUAGCUUGGAAACAUCAACAGUCUUUGCACAUAUAGCAUUGAAGAAGAAGCACAAACGAGUUAUUGCAUACCUUGCAGGCUUCUCCAAAACAGAACGAAUUGCCACAGGGAGCAAUUGUUGCAUUAAGGUAUGACAAUCAUGUGAUUUAAGGCCAAGAAGUCUUGAAUCUUGUAAAGAUACAAGAUUUUUAAUAUUUGAAGAAUAACCUUCAGGGACCUUCAUACCAUAGAAAGAAUUGCAAACCUCUCUCUUCUCUGCUCUUGACAAAUUCCAAGGCCCAGGAGGCAAACGAGUACGUCUUUCUCCAUACUCGGGUUGCAAAUCUGUUUUGACCCCCAUGUUCAAUAAAUCUAAUCGAGCAGCAAUUCCAUCUUUAUUUUUUCCAGGGAUCUCCAGCAAUGUACCAAUGAUACUAUCGCAAACAUUCUUCUCAAUGUGCAUAACAUCUAAGGCAUGCCUCACAGGAAGGUAUUUCCAAUACUCGAGAUCAAAGAAUAUUCUUCCAACAAACUCUGUCACCAUUUUCAACCAUAUGCAGCACUUCUUCUCCAGGUUAAUGGCUCGGGAGGUAUGCCAUAUUCAGGUUUCCCAUUAAAAGCUGCACGUUGCCUCCUAUAUGGAUGAUUGAUUGGUAACCAUUUUCUAUGCCCAAUGUAACAAAUUUUGUGGCCAUUUUUCAACCUGUGACUAGGUGUAUCAUCGCCGCAUAUUGGACAAGCUUUAUAUCAUUUAACAACACAACCAGAUAAGUUUCCAUAGGUGGGGAAAUCAUUAAUUGUCCACAUUAAUGCAGCUCUAAGUGUAAAGUAUUCUCCAUUAUGUGCAUCAUACACUCCUCUAAUCCCAUCCCACAAAGAUUUUAAAUCAUCAAUCAAAGGCUCCAAGUAGACGUCUAUAUCAUUUCCAGGUUGUUUAGGACCGGAAAUCAAUAAGGUUAACAUCAUGAACUUUCGUUUCAUGCACAGCCAUGGAGGGAGAUUAUAUGUAACUAAGAUAACCGGCCAACAACUAUAUCUGCUACUUAGAGAACUGUGGGGAUUGAAUCCAUCAGAUGAAAGAGCCAAUCUCAAGUUUCUCGGCUCAUUACCAAACUCAGGCCAUUUAUCAUCAAGAAGUUUCCAAGACGGGGAAUCCGCCGGAUGAGACAUCUGACCGUCAAUUGAUUUUCUAGCGGCAUGCCAAGUUAAACUCUUAGCUGUCUCAUGUGAUUGAAACAUCCUUUUAAACCUUGGAAUUGGAGGAAAAUACCACACCACCUUCGCUGGCACACCCUCUUUCAAGAUUGAAUCUUUGCCUUCCUUCCACCUGGAGAUACCACAAGUAGGACAAUUAGUUGAAUCCUCAUACUCCUUCCUAUACAAGAUGCAAUCAUUGGGGCAUGCGUGCAUUUUCUCAUAACUCAGCCCCAAUGCACACAAAGUCUUUUUAGCCUCAUACAUAGAGGUUGUAUUGUAUUUCCUUCUGGAAGCAAAUCGCCUUGAAGUAUCAAUAAUUCUGUAAAACAGACAUCACUCAUCCCAUGUUUUGCCUUCAAAUUAUAUAACUUCACUAAUGCCGAUAACUUCGUGUACUUUCUACAACCAGGGUACACUGGUUGAUCUCCAUCCCCAAUCACAUUGGCAAACUCAUACGGAUCCGAACCAAAAUCACCAAAAUCAUUAUCAUCCAUAUCAAUUUCUUCAGACACAAAACUGUACCUACUAUGGCCAUCAUCUUCUUCAACAUUUCUACUAGCAUUAGUAGUUGCUUCCCAAGGUUCUCCGUGAAAUGUCCAAUUCUUAUAGCUUUGGUCAAUUCCAUUAAAGUAUAAGUGAUCCCUUAUAAUUCCAACCCCAAACAACUUCAAAUUAACACAUUUAACACAUGGACAACGGAUAUGUGUUGUAGUUAGAAGAUUUUCUACAGCAAAGUUCAAAAAUGCUUCCACCCCAAACUCAUAUGCCUUCGAUCUUCUAUCCGAGUGCAUCCAUGACUUAUCCAUCUCCGACACUAUAACCUAUUAUCUAUAAUAAAGUGAAAAUACAGGCAAUGACCAUCACUAUAGCAGAUUAUACAAAGAUCUAAUAGCAAGUAAUACACAACAGAGAUGACGGGUUUUAAACAAAAACAGACGUAUUUGGCAUAUAUAGACGACGGAUUUUCAACAGACGUCGUCUAAUAUAAGUAAUACAAACGACGGUUUAUGAAAACACCGUCGUGUAUAAUUAAUACAACGACGGUUUUUUCAUAAACCGUCGUGUAAUCGUCGUCGUAUGCCUAAAAAGGCGUCGUGUCUCAGUUUAUUUUCAAGAACCCAAAACCCGUUAAGAACACAACAUAUAUAUGAAACCAAGCAAGAAACCAACAUAUACAUGAAACCAAGCAUGAAAACAAUAAAUCCAUUCCCAAUUCGACAUAACAUAGGGUGAUUAAAAGAUCCGACAAAAUUAAAUCCAUUCCCAAUUCAACAUAACAGAUAAUGUAAUCCAUGAACCCAUUAAACAGAAAAUCCAUGAACCCAUACCUAUAAGCACAUUAUUAACAGAUCGCAAAGCAUAUACCUAAAACCCUUUAACAAAACAACCUAAUAUCAUUCAAUGAAUUUACAAGGGGAAGAUAGGGUUUGUACUUACAGGUUGGACGAGCUUACAGAUUCGACGGAGCCUGGAGAGUGCAACUUUUAAUUAGAGCAGAAGUGAGAGAGCGAAAUGUUAUGUUGCGCGAAAUCUGAAAAUUUUAGGGUUCAGGGUUAGAAGUAUAAGAAUAAGAGCCAAAUCUAAAAAAUUUAGGGCGCGCGAAAAUUUUUAGAGAGCGCGCUCUUUAAAAUGUCGAAAGAAAAACCAUGGCGAAAGUUCUACAAGAACCGAUGUAAAUGUAAUAUUCCACGACGAAAACACUAAACGUAACGCCGUUUAUUUUGACGCUUUAUUUUUCGGAUUAAUUUUAAAUUUAUUUUGAAUAUUUUGAUAUAAAGACGACUGAAAAACCACGUCGGAGUUAAGAAAUUGAAAACGUUGUAAAUUAUAAUAGACGACUUACAUAUUAAAAUGACGUCGUUUAAAGUAUAAACCAUGUCGGAUAUUUUACUGCACGACGUAACAUAUGUAUUCCACGACUCAACCACCGUCGUUAAAAAUUAAUACUCUAAACCCUUAAAACUAAAUUAUAUAAUUUUAAAAAUUAAGUUUAUAAAAGGGUUUAUGGUUUUACAGCCUAAUAUAUACCAUAGACUACCCAAAAAUUAUACUUUAAAAAUAAACCCCAAUAAAUAACAACCCUAAUCUCUGAACCCUAAAUCAUAAAGCUAGAAGUGAUUUUAUGACUCAUCAAAAUAAUUUUGUUUUGGAUGGUCAUUUUAAAUUUUUGUUAUUCAAAAUGAAUUUUUUCAAGGUUUAGGGGGAAGAAAAUAUAUCAAUGACUUCAUAGGAGUUGACUUUGCAUUUUUCUGAUUUAUUUUAAAUUUAUUUUGAAUAUUUUGAUAUAAAAAUAAUAAAAUAUUCUUAUCACAACAACAAACCACGUCAGUGUUAAUAAAUUGUAGACGUUGUAAAUUUUAAUAGACGACUAAGUUGUUAAAAUGACGUCGUUUAAAUGAGAAACCAUGGCGGAUAUUUAACUAUCCGACGUAAAAUAUAUAUUACACGACUUAACCGCUGUCGUUACAAAGUACUACCCUGAACCCUUAAGAAAUUGAAGACGUUGUAAACCAUAAACGACUCAAUUGUUCAAAGAAUGUCGUCUAAAUAUCCUUUUACGUCGGAUUUGUUUAAAACGAAAUAACAAAAAACGACGGUUUUUGACUUUAUUAGGUCGUUGGAAAUGUAUUACACGUCGGUUAUGCAAUUUGUAUGUUUGUUUUUUUUUUUUAAUUUAAGAAAACCUCAACAAAUUUUUACAUUAUAUAUUAUAGACAAAAUAUGUACAUUAUACAUAAAUAUCAAGUGUUCAAUAAUUCCCCUAUUCCAGGUGAAGGCAAACAAACUCUGCCCAUUCAUUCCGGACUUCAUCAAUUGCUUCUUGGGGGUAUGGCGCUUCCUGUUUUCCCUUGGCAUACUGCAUAAACAAUGACUAUUAGGGUUUAUAAAUAAAAAGAAAUUCAAUCACAGACGACGAUAUUUUUCAUAACCGACGUAGUAUAUCUAUUCAACGACGGUAAUUUUACAUGACCGUCGUUGAUAAUACAAAAAACGACGUAAAAUGUAUGAAGGUAAUUUCUUCUUACCUUCUUCUCAAACGCCAAGGAAGGAUUCGACACUGCUGGGUUGCUUUGGUGUGCCUGACAGAAUUUUCCAAAUUACUGCCUUACGGCCUGAUCUGGCUAUGUGAGAAUUAUAAAUUUUUAUAGCACUGUUCACGAUGUUUUUGGCCUCUUCAUCGACCACACGAUUUCCUGGCAGAGGAUCCAGAAAAUAGACGGUUUCCCUCUUUGGUCUCACAAUCAGCAAGAUCCAAUGACGGUUGCACAAAAUUAAUAUAAAAACGACGGUUAUUUACAAAAACGACGUAUUAUAAUAUUUCACACGACGAAAUAAAGUAGCAAUCGACGACAUUAUAUAUUUAUCACGACGAUAAAUAACUGCCGACGUGGUUAGUAGUUUCAAACGACUCAAUAAAAUAAAACACCGACGUGGUUAGUUUAUACGCUGUCAUUUAUUGAAAAUCAUAAAAACAAAAUCCUGUUAAGGAGACUAACCCUGGAUUGUAAGGCAUCAUGAAAAUCUGUUCACCGUCAGUCCUCUGAAGUCGAGCUGCUACCAGACGUGAUCUGUCAGCUAUUGUGCCAGAGUUGGCACUAACUGUAGCAGGGUCGAUAAAGCCUACCAUGCUGCACAUAUUUGCUUGUUUCAAAACAUCGUGUAAGUACCUAAAUAUAUAAAAUAAUAUAAACAAGUCAGCACAAAAAAACACACGACGGUUAUGUAUAACAAAACGACGUAUUAUAAAAUUUCACACGACGUACUGAAGUAGAUAACGACGUUAUAAUGUAUUUAUCACGACGGUACAUACUAACGACGUGGUUAGUUAGUUAAGACGACGCAAUAACGACGGUACAUACUAACGACGUGGUUAUUUUAGAAUGACAAACCUCAUAUAUACAGCAAUGACCGUAGCUCCUAUUUCUUCCAUGCCUGCAAAUUGUGUAAUAUCUUCAGGCAGGAGGAAGGUAUCGCGCUCUAGACCAAACACCUCCUUAUCAAUUGUAAAGUUCAGGGUCUUAUCCUGAGGCACGAGUGUCGUUUCCACAUAACGACAAAGGGAUUUUAAAGAAGAUGGCGCCUCCAUAUUUGAAUAAUCAACAACUUCAAAAACCUGUUUAAAGAAAUAAAAAAAAGACGUGGUAAUUUAAUAAAAACGACGGUUUAAGGAACAAAACGUCGUCUGAAAAGAAUUUAAACGACAGCGAAAAAACCGUCGUGGUGAAUAAUUUAUUACGUCUUAAACAAAAUUCCGCCGUCUAAGUUGUAAACAAACGACGGUUUAAAGAAAAAUAUCGACGUCUGAAAUUUUGAAAAAUAAAUAAAACAGGCAAAGUUAUGUGAACAUACCUGGUCGUCAUGCUUUUCUUCAUCUUCUUUCUCCUUUUCAUCUUGUUUUUCUUCUUUCUUCUCUUCAUCUAUUACGUCGGGAAUGACUAACCCCGUCGUCUAAAAACCACAAAAUUUUAAAAAUAACGACGUUUAAUGGCGUGUAAAACAAAUAAACUAAAUACGACGUGGUAUUGAAAUACAAACGACGGUUUAUUUUUAAAACGUCGUGGUAUGUAUUUCAAACGACGGUUUUAUUAAAAAUAACGACGUCUAAUAGUUUUUAAAAAAACAGAGAAUUCAAAGUUCAGAUAUGUUACCUUUUCUUCCUGAUGUUUCCCAUUUUUGGCAGUAUCAUCCUCAAAAUGUAGGGAUCUCACAUCACCUCCAGAGCAGCUUGCUUUGUCAGACAUUGGAUUUUUGGGACUUUGGCUAAUUCUUGGUUUAAGCAUGCUUGGAUCAAAAUUGGGAAUUAAUUGGGAAAGCUGACUCAGGAAAUGCUCCCUCUCAGCCUCUACCAAUUGCUUGGUUCUAGCCUCCAUCCUUAAAGCCUCUUCCCUUGCCCUAGCCUCCAUCUUUUUAUUCUCUUCUUGAAGGAGAACUCUUAAACUGUCCUUUAAACGGUCGUCAAAGCUCAUCCUCUGUGGUUUUGGUAAAUUGAAAUAUUGCCUUGGGGAAAUCCCAGCACCUACCCCUCUCACUCUGCCUGGAUGCUCGGGGCCCAAAGCCAUGGUCAGCACAUCAUUGCUGCCAGAUACAGUGACUUUGCCUUCCGAGACUUGUUUUUGCAAUUCAUCCUAAAACAAAGAUAUAUAAAAAAGUAAGAACAAAAAACAUACGACGGUUAUUUAUAUACAAACGACGUAUUAUAUAAUUUCAGACGACGCAGUAACAUAUAAAUCGACGUUAUUAUAAUUUAUCACGACGGUAGUUAUACCAAUGUGGUUAGUUUUUUAAAACCACGAAAUGAAUAAACCACUGACGUCUUAUGCUUUAUUUACAGAUAACAGAGGGAUGAUUCAAUAUUCACACCUUUAACGACCUUGUUUAAAACAUUUCGACGUAGUAAUUUAAUACAAACGACGCGAAAAUGAACCAUCGACAUCUUAUGCUAUAAUCACAGAAAACAGAGUAGUGAUUCCUGAUUUAGACCUUUAACGACGUUUUUUAAAAAAUUUCGACGUGGUAAUAUCAUUCACACGACGCAAAAUAUAACAUAAGACGUAAUAAGAAUUAUUCACAGUUUAAUAAAAAUUUAAAACAGAGUGAGUAGGCUUACAAUUAAUUUUGCUUUCUCUGCCACCUUUGGAUCCGGGAUGUUACCAUGUUUGUCCUGUCUAGCUUUCUUCCAUAAGGUAGAUCGAUCAAUUUCUACCCCAGGCAUGGUUUCCUCCAAUUGAUCCUCCAAACCAGCAUAUCCUUUUCGAGACAAUCGAUGAUUGUACUCAAGUUUCUCCCUAAUCUGUGCAUGUUGAGAAUGCACAGACUCAAAAUCUUUGGAUAACCUUGAAGCUACAAAGGCAUCCCAUUGUGCUUUCUCUAUGAAUUUAUAUGUUUCAGGGGGUUGGCUUAAUCUCUCCCUGUCAUUGGUGUAUGGAAGGAUAUAAUGCCUCGUUAGUGUAGACUUGAAAUCCUUCCAUUUCUUGGCAGCAGAAGCUAACACAGAGUUCUUGUUCCCUUGACCUACCACAAAAGCAAUGUCAACUGCUUCCCAAAUCUGCUUCUUUAUAUCCUUGGGGAUUUGAGCCCAUUUCAUGUCCACAAGUGGAACUCUGGAGCGUGCCAACACACCAAUGUAGGACUGCAUCUCACUAUGUGCUUGGCCAAUUCCUUUCCCCCUUUUAUUGUACUCAACAAUUGGCCUGAGUUUCUGAAGUUUUCUCUUCACAACACGAGGCAUUGUGCUCAUACCUCGACCAGACUUUGAAUCAUCAGAGAUUGUUGUCGUGCUGGUUUGUUUUGUCUCAGCAGAUGAUGAAGCAAACUUCAUCUUCUUCGAAGACUUCUCUUCAGGAGUUACAAUUCCAAGCUCCUACCUCCAUCUUUCUUGGAGCCAGAGUCCUUACUUUGGUCUUGGUGAGAAACCAUUUUUACAGACAAAACUGCAAGUGAAAAUAUUUCAGGAAAAGAUUAAGAACACAAACGACGGUUAUUAAUAAAAUACGACGUAUGAUAUGAUUUUAAACGACGCAAUGAAAUAAUCUCAGACGUAAUAAAUGUUUAAAACCAAGGUAAUUAAACAACGACGAAAUAAUAUAAAAUAAGACGUAAUAAUAACUUAUAAACGACGUGAUAAUUAACUAUAAACGACGAAAUAUUUAUAUAACGUUGUGGUAUUGAUGUUCACACGACGUCAAUAGUAAUAUACCGUCGUCUAUAUAAGGAUCCAAAACCCUUCUUUCUUUCUCUGUGAAUGUUUGAUUGCAGAUUUAAUUUUUCUGAACCAUGGUUUUUGUUUUCUAAUUUGAUAAAAUACAAGGCCAAGAAAGAAAGUUUUGGAAUCUUAUAUAGACGACGGUAUUUUAAUAUGACGUCGUGGUAUUAACAUUCACACGACGUAAAACAAUAAGAUACUGUCGUCUAUAUUAGAUACCAACCCUACUUUCUUUUUCUUUAUAUUUUAUCAAAUUAGGGAAAAACAAAAACCAUUGUUCAGAGAAAUCAAACCUGCAAUUAAACAAGCAAAUAAAAAAAAGACUAUAAUUUUAAAAACAACUUUGUCAAUUUUCAGACGACGCUAGAACGACUGACGAACUGUCAUGGUCUACAUAUUUAACCACGUAAAUAAGAAGCUACCGUCGUCUUAUUUAGUUGAGGUAGUUGUCUUCAAAGUUGGAAACUUCCCCUCUUUGUCUGUAUAUUUUAUCGAACUUGGAAAGAAGUAAAAUGAUUUUGGCCAGAAAAAAGGUAAAAAGAUUUUUCAAACAAAAAACGUAUGAGCAUGCAAAACAGCAACCAAAAUAGUACUGAAAAUGAAAGCUUACCUUUUGCGUGCAAUGAAAGCAAGAGGAAGACGAUGUUUAAGUUUAGAGACGACGAAGAAGACGAGAGGAAGACGAUGAGAUACUCUGACAGUGCUCUGACAAGGAAAAAGUCUAAAAGUUUUCUCUGGGAGAUUGAAAUUUUUAAUCGGGUUUGGAAACAGCGCAUGUGUAAGUCAGGUAGACGAAAAGUUGCUUACAUAUAAAACCAUUUCAAAAAAAUAAUACGGCGGUUACAUAUAACUACGACGUAUAAAUUACAAAAUACGACGGUACAUUUAACUUCGGACGUGGUAAAUAAAUACGACAGUAGUGUUGUAGGUACCGUCGUAGUAAACUCAAAAAUUAAAGUACAUAAGUAAUAACUCGCGUCAUGGUAGAUUAUUUAACACGUCGUUUUUAUUAAUGUACCGACGUGGAUUUCUGUAAUAUACGUCGGUCAUAUCGACGUUGAUUUUACAAUUUAAACGGCGUUUUUUUUGUAAGGACCGCCGUUGGUUUUAAAAAUUUAUUCUAUAAAUUUGUCACUUUCAUUCAUUUUCGGUUUACAUUUAGGGUUCCAAGUUCUUCCUCUCUCAGAGACACUGUCUCUCACGUCUCAAAGACAAUAAUUUGGAUGUCUUUCUCAAAGAGAAAUUGAGCUUACUCGCAUCAAAUAUAUGUCCACAAGAAGAAGCUUGUCAAUUAGCCUUCUCACUUCCUUGAUCAAGCCUGAUAGGACACUUAGUGCUUCUGAAUACUCCUUGCUUUCCAUCAAAAGAGAUGCAAGCCUGGCCUCCACUCGCUGUCGAAGGAAAGUUCGCUUCUCAGGGAAAUCUGAAGAUCAGAUGUGCCUGAUCCUCUGCUUGAUUUUCUUGGCUAAGAAGAUCCGUCAGAUUUGUGAUAGUCUCUUCCUUUAUCCGUAGAGCUUCAGAAGAAGAAGAUGGGUUUCAAGAAUGCGAUAAAGAAUAGAAAUGGCUUCAGAUGGCCUCUAAAGGACCAAACUGUUAAAGAAACUGAAACAACGGCGGUUUUCUGUUCUACCGUCGUCUUUUCUCGUCGUCUAUAUUAAGGUAAGAUGGCGGUAGAUUUAUAAUUACCGACGUAGAUUAUUUUGUUAAACGUCGUUAAGUGUACUACAACCGACGUGGAUUUUAUUUUUAAAUUAUAAAUACAGUUUUUUUUUCCGAAUUCUUUCAGUUUUAGUUUUCAAUUACAAAGCGUGAUAAAUAGAUUUUUCUUUCCCGAGGAAAUUUAAAAUGAGGGAAAUUAAUGUUCUAGAAUUUGUAAACUAACACGACGCAAUAUUACUAACCCGAGGAAAUUAUAAAUAGAUUUUGCUUUCCCGAAGAAAUUUUAAAUUAAUUCAGUUUGAAACAACGGCGGUUUUUUGUUAUGCCAUCGUUUUUAACUAACACGACGCAAUAUUUGUUUUGCGACGUGGAAUUUUUUCAUUUAACGUCGUUAGGUUUAAUAUAACCGACGUGGAUUUGCCUUAAAGGUAAUUGAUAUCCAAUAGUUUUAUCCUCUAAAUGCACAAGUCUAGUAGGAGUAGUUACCUCAAAGAUAUUCUCAGGAGAUUGGUCCGUUGGUACUGUUGAGUGAGAGGGGGAUAGGGGGUCUUCAUCUUGUUGUUCUGAGUUGUCUGUAGGAGUAUAACUCGAAUCAAAAACAGUUUCGCAAGGGUUAGGCGAUCGAUUGUUGUUUGGCAGAGAGCAUUCGCAUGUGCCAGACUCGGGACGAUCGAUUGUUAUUGUUUCUUGGGCGAGAGCAAUCUUCAUGCAUAGAUGAAUAUCUUCAUUUUCCAAGCUACUCCAAUUGAGCUUUUCACUCCGCAUCUCCCAUUGAAGAGUAGAAUUGGAUGCUGGGUUAUAGAAGAACAUCUCUGAUUCUAGAAUGGUGACAUCCAAAGUGGCAUAGGUUCGCCGGGUAGGAGGGUGAUAAUAUUGGUAACCUUUUUGAUGAGUGGCAUAACCCAAAAAAAUGCAACGAAGUGCACAUAGAUCAAGUUUGCUUCCUUGAUUUUUGUGGAGAUGAACGAAGGCCACACAUCCAAAAAUGAGAGGGGUAAGCACCAAAACAGAGGGUAGAGGCCCGUGUUGCGCGAGCACUUGUAAUGGAGUUUUGAAGUUCAAGACCCCAAAAGGCAUGCGGUUAAUAAGGUGGACAGUAGUGAUGACGAGGAACAUGGCUACCAAUGAGAAGAGCAUGGACUGUUUCAAGGAGGUGACGAUUCUUCCAUUCAGCAACACCAUUUUGUUGUGGUAUCUGGGGGCAAGUUGUCUCAUGAAUAACGCCAUGUGUCUGGAAGUAAGUCUGAAAAUCAUAAUUAACAAAUUCUCCACCGUUGUCAGAGCGAAGAAUCUGUAUUUGAGCAUUAAACUUUGUUUCCAUCUGUUUGUGAAAGAAUUGGAACAGGGAAAACACUUCAUUAUUAUUUUUCAUCAAAUAAAGUCAUGUUAUUCGUGUACAAUCAUCUACGAGUGUGACAAACCAACGAAUACUGGAAUGCGUAGAAAUAGGUGAGGGUCCCCAAACAUCAUAAUGAAUUAAAACAAAAGGAAUAGUACUUUUAUUCAUACUUAAAGGACAUGAUGCUCUGUGACUCUUGGCUAAAAUACAAGUGUCACAUUUAAAAUAUGAGUCCUUAAAUACAGAAAACAACUUGGGUAGUAAGUGUCUUAUAUAACCAAAAGAUGGAUGCCCCAAAUGUCAGUGCCAGAGCCAAAUUUGUCGGUGCUUAUCAUCAGACGGAUGCUUCACACUGUAAGCACAUCCCAUACUGAAGUCAUCCACAUAGUACAGCCCCCCUCUUUUAGUACCACACCCAACGAUCUCCUUGGUGAGAAUAUCCUGUAGUAAACAAAAAUUGGGAUAAAUUCGUGCACAACAAUUUAGUUGUUCAGUUGCCUGGCUCACAGACAUUAAUUUAUUUGACAAAGAUAGAACGAGUAGAGUAUUGGAAAGGGACAGAGAAGGUGAAAGGGUGACAGUGCCGGCCCCUGUCACAGGAUAGGUAACUCCAUUCGCAUUGGCAAUACUUAUGUGGCUGGGUGUAAUGGUGUACAAAAAGUCAUUCGGAUAAAAGGUCAUACGAUCAGUGGCGCCAGAAUCAAUUAUCUAACCAGUAGCAUCUUGUAGAUCAGAAGUAUGAAAUGCAUAACCGCAGUUACUUGAGACAUCCAGAAGUGCGGGACUAUCAAUAGGGUCUAGUUGCGGAAACAAGGCUAAUUGGGGUUCGGUAGAGACAUGAGCAGUACGACCGGAAUUACUAGCAAUUUCUCUGAGCUUGCGAGCGCAGAGGUCCUAUCACCAAUCAGGAUAACCAUUCAGCUUAAAGCAGGUGUCACGGGUAUGUUUGGGGUUGCCACAGUACGUGCAACCACUUCCAUCAAUCGAAGCCUUGGGACAGGAAUGUGGGAUGGUUUUAGAAGGUGGCACACUAGUAACAGUAACAUAUGACUGGAUCUGAAGGUGGGCCGCAAUAAAGGAAUUCUGGGGCUGUUCGGCACGAGUAAAGGGACCUGAUCGAGGUGCACGCUUGGCUGUUAAGCCAGCGCCAAUAGGUGCAGAUGAACCCAUCAUCACAGCUUGUCAAACAUCUUCAUGGCGAACAUAGGCAUAAGCUUGGUCCAUAGUAUGGAAUGGAGUCAUGUGAAGAACAUCACUUCGGGCCUUAUCAAGAUGAUCAUCAAGGCCAUCCAAAAAUAUGUAAACUCGAUGUUCCUGCAGAAUAUCAUUAUAGCGCUUGAUAUCACUUUCAUACUCCAUCAUAUUUGGACGACAUAAAUCAAUCUCUCUUCAUAAGCUUUGGAGAGUAUUGUAAUAGGUUCCAAUGGAGCCGCCAGCUUGUCGCAUACAGGAGACUCGUCGUUUUAGAUCAUAAACCUAAGAGGUGUCAGUGCCAUCAUAGUAAGUUAUGACAAUUGCAUCCAACAUUGCUUUUGCCGUCGGAAAAAGAAUGGAAUUGCCAAUCAAGCUCUGCUCCAGAGAAUUGAUGAGCCAUCCCAUCGUAAUAGAGUUCUCGGUGCGCUAGCGAGGAAACAUUGGAGCUGUCGAAGGAGGUUGUGGAAGAUCACCAUUAACAUAUCCGAAUUUGUCUUUGUCGGAGAUAUACAACUUGACAACUUGGGACCAUAGGGCAUAGUUGGUGCCAUCCAACUUUAUGCCAAUCUAUGUAGCGGAAGCUUCAUAGGUAAUUGUCGUCGGAAUCGUCGUUUGAUUCGGGUUCAACGUCGUCGUCUGAUUUGAGUUCGGGGUCGUUGUCUGAGUCGAGUUCGGGGUCGUCUUGGUAGGAUCCUGAUUUAGGAUCGAGUUUGAGGUCUGAGUCUGCAUCUUCGUUAGUUGAGCCACAUGGGCACUCAACUCGGCAAUGGUUGGUUGAGAAUGAGAGGAGGAAGCAGUGGUGUUACCACCAUGAGGAUUAGAAGUCAUCCUCCCCCAUGGUGGCGGCUAGGGUUUAGAAGCUAGAGUCAGCAAUCCCAAGAUCGUUGCUCUGAUAUCAUGCUAAAAUAAAACUAUGAGAGAAUAUUUGUUUGUGGGAAGUUUAUGUAUAUUCUUCUUUUUGUAGGAGGUCAUAUUUAUAAUACAACGAAACCUGAAUGGGCAAGUAAAUAAUAAAUUCCUAAAUCUAUUUACAAUAGGAAAUCAGGAAUUAAAGUAAAUCAAUUACAAUUAUAAUAGGAAUUCUUGAUGUGUAAGGAAGUAAGUCAAUAUCCACAAGUCACGCCAACAGUUACAUCACUAAUCGUAACCUAAAACAGUCAGAAAUAGUACCUCUCCUAGAAACAGGAUUCACAGGAACCUUAUGUCCUUGGUGGGAUAAACACCUUACAGAAGAGUCAAAACGACAAAUAAUACAUGCAGUAAAAUUAAAUGAAGAUGGAUUCCCUAUAUUCGAUGAAAAUAUCAAUAUGGGAAUUGAAGAUGGAGUCAAUACGUUAUUAUACACAAUAAUUGAACAUUUCGUAGGAACACCGAGUAACACUACAGCCAGAAUUCAUGAUCACCUUAGCAAUCUUAGAUGCCCUAAGUUAAGUGACUUCAGAUGGUACAAGGAUGUCUUUAUCUCCAGAGUCAUGCUAAGAGAUGAUAGUAAUCAACCAUUUUGGAAAGAAAAAUUCAUUAAUGGUCUUCCCAAUCUUUUUGCACACAAAAUACUAACACUCUUAAGUAAUGAUCAAGGCCAUAUCGAUUUUGAUAGUUUAACUUAUGAAAAUAUAAUUAAUAUUAUAUAUAUAUGUCAGUCCCGAUCUCUUGGACCACAUGAGUUCAAGAGAUUGUAGUCACCCACCGUUGGAUAUUAAUCCAAUGGUUGAAAAAAGUUUUUUAAAAGGAGUGCAAGAGUGAGUGAACCGUUGAAUUUACAUCCAAUAGUGAGUGACCACAAAUCUCUUGGACCCCUGUAGUCCAAGAGAUCAGGAUUGAUAUAUAUAAAAUAAGGGGCGGAUCCGUAGCACUAUGUUUUUGACAUAAUUUUUGGGCCACAAUGGUUGAGAUUAAACCUCACAUGGUAAGUAGUUUUAAUUUUUUUUAAAAGACAAUAAUUACUUUUAUUGUCUCUCUCAUAAAAAUAAAAGAAAUGAUUUUCUCUCUCCUCCCUUUUUUCUUGGAGACGUAAUCCCAGCUGCCUCUUUAAUAUCAAAUAUUUAUUAAGGUGUAAUAAAUAAAGAAUUUCACAAAAAACUAAAGGCCCAAACCGUGAAGAGUCUCUUCAGUUUCCCCUUCUUCUCGCACAUGUAUAUGCAGCCAUCAAUUCAUCUUCAGUAGUUUUUUCUUUUAUGUCAAAGCAAUUUCUCCUAUCUUAAUACAGAUAUUGUAUCAUCAAAAUAUUGGAGCACCCACAAGAUAUUUCCUCCAACUCUCAGUCCCAUAUCUCCAGGAAAAUUAAUUAAAUUUCAAGUCAACUUCCAAUCAUAGCUGUAGCCAAUUUCUGGAAUGGUAAAUGCCCAGUUUAUUAAGCUCAUGAUUCACAACAAUCUGUAGCUCAAAGAAUGACUUUCCCCCCAAGGCUACCUGUGUUUAUUGUAUAACCCCGACCAUGCCAGGUGCCAUCUUGGACAUUGUUCAUCUCUAAUGUUUUGAUAUUCCUGUUCACAUUGUAAGAAUACUAUCUAUAAGUUUUCAAGCAUAAAAAUCUUAAUCAAAAUUAAGCCAUGUGUCUACUUUCAAAGAUUUAAAGAAUUUCAAUAGUUCCAAAAGGAUAGCUGCCAGUCGUAGAACAUCAUUUUUAAUCAUGAAUGGUGAUUCAAAUUAAAGAAAUUCUAAGCUCAUCUAAUUGGUAAAAGUGAAGGUUGAUCAGUGGAACUUGCAUUCUUCCUGAGAUAAUCAACAAGUGUUGUGGCAUCAAAUUUUUACUUUGUAUUCUCUCUCUAUUAAAACGAUAAAAGUUCUUAAUGAAAAAAAAAAAACAGUAAUAGUCAAAAUUUUCAGAUAUGAGAAGAUUAAAAUCCCUAAAUCAAACCCUCAAAAGAGAUGGAGGUCUUUUCUAGUUUCAUGAAAGAGAGGGAGGGAGGAGACUCUUGUUGCAGAUAAAGAGAGAAAAAGAGAUCGAUGUUUUUUAUGGUCUUAUGAAAGAGAGUGAGAGAGAUGUGUGCAAGAAAGAAGAGAGAUUACCAAGAAAAAGGGAGGAGAGAGAAAAUCGUUUCUUUUAUUUUUAUGGUGAGAGAGAAAAUAAAAUUAAUGGUUGUCUAAUUAAGAAAUUAAAAUUAUUUCCCAUGUCAAGUUUAAUCUCAACCAAUGAAAGUAAAGUAAUCUAAUGGCCCAAAAUUUGUGUCAAAACUUGUGUAAAAAAUAUAGUGCCAUGGAUCUGCCCCCUAUAUAAUAUUAUAUAUAUAUUAUAAACCAAUUCCCAUAAAAAGUUGGCUAUACAUAUAUAUUAUUAUAUCUAUAUAUUAUAAACCAAUUGACUUUUUUGACUUGGCUGAGGGAGUUGUUUUUAAAAAUGUAGUUUGAGGAUGGCCAAAUAGUUGGCUGAAACCAAGUCAAGAUCUUGGCUUCCCAGUUGGCUGAAACCAAGUCAAGAUCUUGGCUUCCCAUGUCGGCGAGUUGGUUGGAAAUGGAAGUUUUGGCUAAAGAGUUGGUUUUUUGGCAUGAGAGAACCCACAUGGGUUUACCUUGGUAUUCUCAAACUUGGGUCAAAUUGGCAUGGGUUUUUAAAAUGGUUGUGAGUUCGUAGGCCACUUAGUUGGCCUUUAAUUCUGGUCUCCAACUUCCUAGGCCAUAGGCCUUAUACAUAUAUAAAUUUAAUAUGCAAUAUGUAUAUACCUUGGCCAAGUUUCUUGAAUGGACUUACUGAAAUUCCAAGUCACCCAACAUCGAUGGAUUAUGUUCAAUCAAAAUUAGAGACUUCGGAAGCCACAUCGUCUCAUCAAAUGUUAGGCUCAAGUCCUCGGAGGCCCAAGCUCUACCUGCGAAAGUAGGCCCAAAAACCACCGGAUGUUUUCAUGCACGUGACGAGAUCCAUCCAAGGAAAGCAAUCAAAAGAGUGACGUCAAUCUGGAACAUUCCUAAGGAGGAGAGAAUCAAGUGAUCAGAUUUGUAAUCCGAUGAUCUCAUUCAAAUCAAUUCCGCAAAUUUAGGAAGCCACACAAGGAAAGAUUUUGAACGAAGUUGAGCUUCAGCCAUUUAGUGGUCAGCCCAUGGGCUGACGAAUGCCUACAUCAGACAAAGAGCAGAGGACCCCGACAUAAGGCACAAAAUCUACUUUUUGUCUUUCAAUUUUCUAUCCCUAGACUAGGUUUUUAUUUUCCGAGCAAGUAGACUAGAUCAGUUCUUCACUUUCGUUAGUGUAAGUUUAAUUUCUUGUAUUUUCCAUUACGUUGUUUAAGAUUCAAUUUUAUCGUUUUAUUUUUAAUUGUUAUCGAAUUUUCUUCAGGGAGCUUUAGUUUUAAAAUAAAAUAUAGUUUACUAAUUUGGAAGAUAAGAAUACAAUUUCAUCUAAUUAGCAUAAGGCCAAAGACCAUAAUUUAGUACCUAAUUUUAAAAAAAUAUCAUUAAAAAAUAUCAAAAUUACACACAAUGCCACUUCUUCUAAGGCAAGUAUACUAUGCCACAUGUACAUAUCUAGCCAACCACCACGGUUUGAAUCCCGCCGCUUGCCACCUGCCGUUGGCCACAAUCGUUGGAAUCUCGCCGCCGACCACCACCGCUGGCCAGCUGCAACCACCACUUGUCGCCGCCCUGCCAUCGUCUGCAGGGGACCAACUCCGUUGCCCUUUAUUCACCUUUUAAAAAAAAAAGAUUUUGCGUCAUUGAAUGGACUCAAACCUUGGCCUUCAAAGAAGGAAGGCUCACUCACAAACCACUACACCAAACUUGAUGUUGUAAUAUUUAUUAAGUUAUACAAUAUUUAUAUAAACAAUCAACGAUUUUUUUAAAAUAAAAUAAAAAACCAUUUCAACACUUAUUCACACAAAAACGAAAACAGCUAUAAAAACAAUUGUAAUUAAAUGAAAACUACAAUGCAGUUUCCAGUUUCCAAAACUGCAAUGCAAUUUCCAGUUUCCAAAAGUGCAAUUUUGAGUUCCCUUGCUCUUGGGUAGUUCUACUCUUCUCUUGCCCACCCAAUUCCUCAUUUGGGCAGCCUUUACUGUUCAAAUUGGUGAGGUUGAAGGCCAAGCAAAGAACAAAAAUCAAAUUGUAAUUAAAUGAAAACUGCAAUGCAGUUUCCAGUUUCCAAAAGUCCAAUUUUGAGUUCCCUUGCUCUUGGUUAGUUCUACUCUUCUCUUGCCCACCCAAUUCCUCAUCUGGGUAGCCUUUACUCUUCAAAUUGGUGAGGUUGAAGGCCAAGGAAAGAACAAAAAUCAAAUUGUAAUUAAAUGAAAACUGCAAUGCAGUUUCCAAAAAUCCAAUUUUGAGUUCCCUUUCUCUUGAGUAGUUCUACUCUUUUCUUGCCCACCCAAUUUCUCAUUUGGGUAGCCCCUACUCUUCAAAUUGGUGAGGUUGAAGGCCAAGGAACAAGCAAAAAUCCAAUUGUAAUUACCAAAACUGCAAUGUAAUUUCUAAAUUUGCAAUGUAGUUUGUGCAAAACUACAAUGUAGAAUCUGUGUAAAAUUUCACUAAACUAAAGCUUAAAUGGUAUUGUAAGAUAUUAUAUGACAGUGAUGGCACCAACCAUUUCCAAAUCAAGACAAAUGCAUAGUAAGUGAACUUUAUAAUAAGAAGUUGCAGCUAAAUUAGAUUGCCUGACCAAAUUUUGUGCUAUAUAAAACAACGUUUGUGCUGUAUAAAACAAGACCAAAUUAGGUACAACGAACAAUGAGCAUAGAAUAGGAUGCGUCAACCUCCAGACUUGCGUGAUGAGUAUAGGCCCUAAAUAGAAGGAGAAAAUAUAUUUGAAACAAGCAAGGAGCAAGUGGCAAUCCUUGUAUUAGAGCUGUAUCAAAUUGAUUUAAUAAAAAAAGAAUUCUAGCUACGUUCUGUCACUUGCUUGUCUAGCUGGAUUACUAGUAACACUAAGCAUGCUAAUUGAAAAGACACUGGAACAUGCAAUGGAAACAUAUCAAGGUAACAGAAGUUCCUUCCAGAUCAACUAGAUGAAAUUGAAUUUGAUUCUUCAAAGCAGCUUUUUUUUUUCUCAAGUAUUUUGAUUUUCACAAAAUUGACCAAAACAUAAUCACUUGUAUCAAAAAUAAAAAAAGAGAGGCAAUUAUACAGCAAAAUUGAUCCAACAACACCAGACCAUCUUUUCAAACAAACAAACAAAAUGGAUCAAGCAAACAAACAAAAAAGAAAAAGAAAAACUUAUAAAAUCGUAAGGAUUAACAGUAUUUUCAAACCCCCAAUUCCAAAUACAAGCAAAUGCAUUAAAAGAGAAUGAAAGAGAAAGAGGCUCUCACAGGUGGAGGAGAGUCGAUCUCCUUGAAAUACCCAAGCAUCCUACACACACACACACAAAAGAAAAAACUGAACCAAGUAUCAAUCGACUGCUUCAAAUAGCCUUAUUAAUCAGAAAAUAGUAAUCUUCUUCGUGGAGUGGGUCUCAUCCUAGAUGGGAAACAAAUAGAAAUUGUUAGUUGGGAAGAAUAACAUCUUUCAAUAGAUAAAUAAAAAAUUAAUAAAUAACAAAGAAGUGCAAAUAAAAUAAAAUAUCAUAAAACCAUAAAAGAUAAAACAUAGGAAAGAGCAAAAUGAAAUGGUGUCCAGGGUGGGGGUUUGACAUUUUCCUAAGUUUACACAAAACAAGAAUUCCUUUCAAGUCUUUUGACAAACUUAAAAGAAAUUAUUUCCAUACCUAGACCACGAGCAGCAACAUCUGUUGCAGUUAUUAGCUUUAAACUCAGAGAAGACCCAAUCCCUUUCUGCUUGACUUUUGUCUCCAUGAAUUGAGAGAGCAGGCCAACCAUUAAUGCGGAGCUGUCGAGGGAUCUAAUCACAUCCUUUCUUAGUAUCCAUGAAUAUCAGUAUUCUGAUGCCAUCCAAUCUAAAAGAAAAAGGACCAAAAACUCCUUCAAUCGGCCUACCCGGCCGAAAAGAGGGAAACAACAUCAUUGUGGCUCAGGAGAUGUUACACAAAUUUAAAGUUUCAAAAGGGAAAAAAGGCUUCAUUGCUUGGAAAAUUGACUUAUCUAAGGCUUAUGACAGACUGAACUGGAAUUUCAUUAAGGAAGUGCUUUGGGAGAUUGGUUUCUAAGGCAUGAUUCUUGAUGUUAUCAUGAAGUGCAUUAUUUCUAUUCAGUAUAAAGCUAUCCUUAGUGGUGAGUUAACUGAGGCUUUUACACCUAUUUGUGGGAUUAGGCAAGGUGACCCGUUGUCCCCUUAUAUAUUUGUUUUGUGUAUGGAAAAGCUCUCUCACCUUAUUCAUCAUGGGUCCAUGAUAAUCUUUGGACAUCGGUGCAGAUUUGUCAAGGUGGUCCUUUUGUGUCUCACUUAUUCUUUACUGAUGACUUAAUUCUUUUCAGUAAAGCUUCCAUGAACCAGGCUAUGGUGAUGAAACAAUGUUUGGAUGAGUUUUGCAACCUCUCUGGUCAGAAGGUAAGCUUUGAGAAAUAUGUUAUUUCUGUUUCUCCAAAUACAAGCCAUGCACUUGCUUAAUCCAUUGCUACUGUUAGUAGAUCUCCCCUCACUGCCUGUCUUGGUAAAUACCUUGGAGUUCCUUUAAUUCAUAAAAAAAGUCACUAAGACCACUUAUAUUGAGAUUGUCGAGACGGUCCAGAAAAGGUUGUCUGCUUAGAAGAGUCAUUCCCUUUCCAUGACUGGUAGGUUUACUCUCCUACAAUCUGUUACUGCUGCCAUUCCCAUUUAUUCUAUGCAAACUGUUAAGUUACCUGUUUCCAUUUGUGACAAACUUGACCAGCUGAACAGGAAUUUUCUUUGCGGUCACACUAAUAAUUCAUGUAAGACCCAUCUUGUUAAUUGGGAUUCUGUUACUCAACCUAAGAUUUUUGGUGAGUUGGGCAUCAAGAAAACUGUGUAGAUGAACCAAGCUCUGUUGGCUAAAACUGGGUGGAGGUUGAUUCAAAAAGAUCAGGGUCUUCGGGCACAACUACAAAAAAGCAAAAAGACGACGGUAAAUCACCGUCGUGUAUUGGGUUUUUCAAUGGUCGUGGAAUCCACCGUCAUCUUUUCCCUCAUAAACCACGACGCUAAAUAACCGUCGUUGUUAAAAUAUACAACGUCAUCAACAAAUACAAAACGACGUCUUUGUACUGCAAAAAGAUCUAAAAAAAGCAAUCGAGGAUGAUAAUAGACGACCAACUCUCUAAAAAAACCGUCGUUAAAAAGGAAAAAUAUGACACAGAACAAGGCCGCAAGAUAGACAUACAACGACGAAAAUACAAAUACGACGACGUUAAAUAUAAUUUUCACGACAAUAAAAAAUAUGACGUCUUUAAAUACAUUAGAAGACGACGUUAUUGAUACCUACUACGUCGCAUAUAUAAAAACAACCGUCGUAAAAUUAAUUUUCCACUUCGAUUUUUCGAUAAAAGAUGACGUGGAAAUAGUUGUCAGUGUCAUUAUUUACGACGUAUAUGUUAAUAGAGUAGACGUUGAAAAACUAAACAACGUCGGUUACAAAUAUAUGAGAGUCGUAUUACAAAAUUUAUACGUCCUAUUUUCAGAAACAAACAACGGCGAUAAAUAUUAGACGUUGUUAAAUAAAACAACGUCGGAAAAAAAUAAAAACAGACGUGUUUAGUCUGCUAAAGUUCUAGAAAAUAGUCGAGGAUGAGAAUAGACGACCAACUCAAAAAAAUCACCGUCGUUAAAAAGGAAAAAUAUGACACAUAUUAAAAGAACAAGGCCGCAAGAUAUACAUACAACGACGACAACUAAAAUACUACGCCGUUAAAUAUAAUUUACCCGACAAGAAAAAAUAUGAGGUCUUUAAAUACAUGAGAAGACGACGUUAUUGAAAUCUACUACGUCUCUUAUUUACAAAAAACCGUCGUGAAAUAAAUUUUCCACUUCGAUUUUUCUAAAAAAGAUGACGUGGAAAUAGUUGUCAGUGUCAUUAUUUACGACGUAUACAUUUAUAUAGUCGACGUUGUAUUAUAUGUAUUCAUUACUCACGACGCACUUAAUAAUAUAGACGACGUUGAACUUCUAAACAACGUCGGUUCCAAAUAAAUGAGAGCCGUAUUACAGAACAUAUAGACGGCGUAGAUUAUGAUGAGAGCCGUAUUACAAAUAACGUCGUUUAAUUGUUAUUAGACGGCGGUUAUAAUGAAUUUCCGUCGAAAUUCAUUUCGUUCCUCUUCGUUUAUAAAAGAACUUGCGACGUGGAAAAUGUAUGAUGAUGUCGUAUUUUUUAACGUUCAGAUUAUAUAUCUCGUUUUUUAGACGUCGGUAUUAUGGGAUUGGAGUCGUGUUAUUCUGAAUUACAUGGCGGUUCUUAAUCCUUCACCGACGUGAUAUCCUGAAUAAUUGCUUCACAAUAGCGUCGUGGUUCUUCAUUGUUACGUUGCUUUAAGACGUCGGUAAAUAUGCUGAAUAACUGAUUCACAAUAACGUCGUGUUUUAUUUGAACGUAGAAAGUGAAGAAAUCGCAUUACAAUAUAUUACAAAAUUAAUGUCAUACACUGCCAAUUACAUAAGCAUCAUUCAAUCCAUAUAUCUUCACACCCAUCUCGAAUAUUUUGACCGCCUAACUCACCUACCAGUUCAUCAAAUGUGUCAACAUUUGGCAUCCCUCUAGUAAAUGGCUCACACUCAAUUAUCACAUCACCUAAGACUUCAUCACCAAUAACAUCAUUAUAUUCUCUAUUAGGCAUUGAUAACACUACCGACCAACCACGAUGCAUCGGGUCGUCAACAAAAAAUAUUUGUUUGACUUGAGAAGCCAAAACAAAUUGGUCAUUCCUAUGUCCAAUUUUACUCAAAUCUACAAGGGUAAAUCCAAGUUCGUCGACUACAAGACCAGAACUAUCUAUCCAAUCACACCUAAAGACUGGGAUUGUAAACUUUUGGUAGUCAAGGUCCCAAAUUUCUUGAAUGACACAAUAGAAACCCAUAUUUGAGAGAAUUGGGUUUUUAUCCUUGGCACUAGCAACUUGCAUGGUAUGUGCAAGUAAAUAAACUCCACUAUUUUGAGUUGUCCGCACAUCAUCUUGUGCCUUGAUAUUGAAUUUAAUACCUUUAAUAAGAUAGCUCCUAUAUAAUGGCACUGACAUGUUUGGACCAGCUGCUAGCCACCUUAAAUUUUCUGAUACGCCAUGAUUGUCUUCCUCAAGUUCACUUUGAACCUGCAAAUUAAUCAUAUCUUAAUUCAAUCUAACAUAUAAAUAAGAAGAAAAUUAAAAGAGAAAUAUGUUAUUCAACAACAUAUACCUUGAAGCGUAGCCAUUGAAUGAAAGUGCUAUUGUGCUUAUCCUGCAGCCACUUUGUUCUCUUUCUAAAUUUUGGAUAAGCAGUCUUGAUGUGAAUCAUAUGUUGCCUACAUGACACGAAAAAUUCAAGUAUUACGGUCCUAAAUAUAGAAGAUAAACAUAAGAAAUAAUUUAAAAUGGAAACUUAAAGAAUAAAGCUCAUACGUACUCGAUAUAAGGUAGGACUUCCUCCGUAUUCUCCAAGACAUAUAGAUGUGCUUGAUUCAACAGGUCCUGAUCAACUACGCUCACUGUGCAACCUGAUAAUGGCUUUGAAAAUCCCAUCUUUUGGCUUGAAGGCACUCCAACUGUACUAACAUCAGAUAAAUGCUGAGUACAACACUCUACCGCUUCUUCAGCUAUAUAACGCUCAGCAAUUCANNNNNNNNNNNNNNNNNNNNNNNNNNNNNNNNNNNNNNNNNNNNNNNNNNNNNNNNNNNNNNNNNNNNNNNNNNNNNNNNNNNNNNNNNNNNNNNNNNNNNNNNNNNNNNNNNNNNNNNNNNNNNNNNNNNNNNNNNNNNNNNNNNNNNNNNNNNNNNNNNNNNNNNNNNNNNNNNNNNNNNNNNNNNNNNNNNNNNNNNNNNNNNNNNNNNNNNNNNNNNNNNNNNNNNNNNNNNNNNNNNNNNNNNNNNNNNNNNNNNNNNNNNNNNNNNNNNNNNNNNNNNNNNNNNNNNNNNNNNNNNNNNNNNNNNNNNNNNNNNNNNNNNNNNNNNNNNNNNNNNNNNNNNNNNNNNNNNNNNNNNNNNNNNNNNNNNNNNNNNNNNNNNNNNNNNNNNNNNNNNNNNNNNNNNNNNNNNNNNNNNNNNNNNNNNNNNNNNNNNNNNNNNNNNNNNNNNNNNNNNNNNNNNNNNNNNNNNNNNNNNNNNNNNNNNNNNNNNNNNNNNNNNNNNNNNNNNNNNNNNNNNNNNNNNNNNNNNNNNNNNNNNNNNNNNNNNNNNNNNNNNNNNNNNNNNNNNNNNNNNNNNNNNNNNNNNNNNNNNNNNNNNNNNNNNNNNNNNNNNNNNNNNNNNNNNNNNNNNNNNNNNNNNNNNNNNNNNNNNNNNNNNNNNNNNNNNNNNNNNNNNNNNNAUACUCGAGAUCAAAGAAUAUUGAUUUCUUCUUCCAACAAACUCUGUCACCAUUUUCAACCAUAUGCAGCACUUCUUCUCCGGUUAAUGGCUCGGGAGGUAUGCCAUAUUCAGGUUUCCCAUUAAAAGCUGCACGUUGCCUCCUACAUGGAUGAUUGAUUAAUUGGUAACCAUUUUCUAUGCCCAAUGUAACAAAUUUUGUGGCCAUUUUUCAACCUGUGACUAGGUGUAUGAUCGCCGCAUAUUGGACAAGCUUUAUAUCCUUUAACAACACAACCAGAUAAGUUUCCAUAGGCGGGGAAAUCAUUAAUUGUCCACAUUAAUGCAGCUCUGAGUGUAAAGUAUUCUCCAUUAUGUGCAUCAUACACUCCUCUAAUCUCAUCCCACAAAGAUUUUAAAUCAUCAAUCAAAGGCUCCAAGUAGACGUCUAUAUCAUUUCCGGGUUGUUUAGGACCGGAAAUCAAUAAGGUUAACAUCAUGAACUUUCGUUUCAUGCACAGCCAUGGAGGGAGAUUAUAUGUAACUAAGAUAACCGGCCAACAACUAUAUCUGCUACUUAGAGAACUGUGGGGAUUGAAUCCAUCAGAUGAAGCCAAUCUCAAGUUUCUCGGCUCAUUACCAAACUCAGGCCAUUUAUCAUCAAGAAGUUUCCAAGACGGGGAAUCCGCCGGAUGAGACAUCUGACCGUCAAUUGAUUUUCUAGCAGCAUGCCAAGUCAAACUCUUAGCUGUCUCAUGUGAUUGAAACAUCCUUUUAAACCUUGGAAUUGGAGGAAAAUACCACACCACCUUCGCUGGCACACCCUCUUUCAAGAUUGAAUCUUUGCCUUCCUUCCACCUUGAGAUACCACAAGUAGGACAAUUAGUUGAAUCCUCAUACUCCUUCCUAUACAAGAUGCAAUCAUUGGGGCAUGCGUGCAUUUUCUCAUAACUCAGCCCCAAUGCACACAAAGUCUUUUUAGCCUCAUACAUAGAGGUUGGUAUUGUAUUUCCUUCUGGAAGCAAAUCGCCUUGAAGUAUCAAUAAUUCUGUAAAACAGACAUCACUCAUCCCAUGUUUUGCCUUCAAAUUAUACAACUUCACUAAUGCCGAUAACUUCGUGUACUUUCUACAACCAGGGUACACUGGUUGAUCUCCAUCCCCAAUCACAUUGGCAAACUCAUACGGAUCGGAACCAAAAUCAUUAUCAUCCAUAUCAAUUUCUUCAGACACAAAACUGUACCUACUAUGGCCAUCAUCUUCUUCAACAUUUCUACUAGCAUUAGUAGUUGCUUCCCAAGGUUCUCCGUGAAAUGUCCAAUUCUUAUAGCUUUGGUCAAUUCCAUUAAAGUAUAAGUGAUCCCUUAUAAUUCCAACCCCAAACAACUUCAAAUUAACACAUUUAACACAUGGACAACGGAUAUGUGUUGUAGUUAGAAGAUUUUCUACAGCAAAGUUCAAAAAUGCUUCCACCCCAAACUCAUAUGCCUUCGAUCUUCUAUCCGAGUGCAUCCAUGACUUAUCCAUCUCCGACACUAUAACCUAUUAUCUAUAAUAAAGUGAAAAUACAGGCAAUGACCAUCACUAUAGCAGAUUAUACAAAGAUCUAAUAGCAAGUAAUACACAACAGAGACGACGGGUUUUAAACAAAAACAGACGUAUUUGGCAUAUAUAGACGACGGAUUUUCAACAGACGUCGUCUAAUAUAAGUAAUACAAACGACGGUUUAUGAAAACACCGUCGUGUAUAAUUAAUACAACGACGGUUUUUUCAUAAACCGUCGUGUAAUCGUCGUCGUAUGCCUAAAAAGGCGUCGUGUCUCAGUUUAUUUUCAAGAACCCAAAACCCGUUAAGAACACAACAUAUAUAUGAAACCAAGCAAGAAAACAACAUAUACAUGAAACCAAGCAUGAAAACAAUAAAUCCAUUCCCAAUUCAACAUAACAUAGGGUGAUUAAAAGAUCCGACAAAAUUAAAUCCAUUCCCAAUUCAACAUAACAGAUAAUGUAAUCCAUAAACCCAUUAAACAGAAAAUCCAUGAACCCAUACUUAUAAGCACAUUAUUAACAGAUCGCAAAGCAUAUACCUAAAACCCUUUAACAAAACAACCUAAUAUCAUUCAAUGAAUUUACAAGGGGAAGAUAGGGUUUGUACUUACAGGUUGGACGAGCUCACAGAUUCGACGGAGCAGAAGUGACAGAGCAACUUUUAAUUAGAGCAACUUUUAAUUAGAGCAGAAGUGAUAAAGCGAAAUGUUAUGUUGCACGAAAUCUGAAAAUUUUAGGGUUCAGGGUUAGAAGAAUAAGAAUAAGAGCCAAAUAUAAAAAAAUUUAGGACGCGCGAAAAUUUUUAGAGCGCGUGCUCUUUAAAACGUCGAAAGAAAAACCAUGGCGAAAGUUCUACAAGAACCGACGUAAAUGUAAUAUUCCACGACGGAAACACUGAACGUAACGCCGUUUAUUUUGACGCUUCAUUUUUCAGAUUAAUUUUAAAUUUAUUUUCAAUAUUUUGAUAUAAAGACGACUGAAAAACCACGUCGGGGUUAAGAAAUUGAAAACGUUGUAAAUUAUAAUACACGACUUACAUAUUAAAAUGAUGUCGUUUAACGCAGAAACCAUGUCGGAUAAUUUACUGCACGACGUAACAUAUGUAUUCCACGACUCAACCACCGUCGUUAACAAUUAAUACCCUAAACCCUUAAAACUAAAUUAUAUAAUUUUAAAAAUUAAGUUUAUAAAAGGGUUUAUGGUUUUACAGCCUAAUAUAUACCCUAGACUACCCAAAAAUUUUACUUUAAAAAUAAACCCCAAUAAAUAACAACCCUAAUCUCUAAACCCUAGACUCUAAACCCUAAACCAUAAAACUAGAAGUGAUUUUAUGACUCAUCAAAACAAUUUUGUUUUGGAUGUUCAUUUUAAAUUUUUCUUAUUCAAAAUGAAUUUUUUCAAGCUUUAGGGGGAAGAAAAUAUAUCAAUGACUUCAUAGGAGUUGACUUUGCAUUUUUCUGAUUUAUUUUAAAUUUAUUUUGAAUAUUUUGAUAUAAAAAUAAUAAAAUAUUCUUAUCACAACAACAAACCACGUCGGUGUUAAUAAAUUGUAGACGUUGUAAAUUGUAAGAGACGACUAAGUUGUUAAAAUGACGUCGUUUAAAUGAGAAACGAUGGCGGAUAUUUAACUAUCCGACGUAAAAUAUAUAUUCCUCGACUUAACCGCUGUCGUUACAAAGUACUACCCUGAACCCUUAAGAAAUUGAAGACGUUGUAAACCAUAAACGACUCCAUUGUUCAAAGAACGUCGUCUAAAUAUCCUUUUACGUCGGAUUUGUUUAAAACGAAACCACAAAAAACGACGGCUUUUGACUUUAUUACGUCGUUGGAAAAUUAUUACACGUCGGUAACGCAUUUUGUAUGUUUGUUUUUGUUUUUAUUUUAAGAAAACCUCAACAAAUUUUUACAUUAUAUAUUAUAGACAAAAUUUGUACAUUAUACAUAAAUAUCAAGUGUUCAAUAAUUCCCCUAUUCCAGUUGAAGGCAAACAAACUCUGCCCAUUCAUUCCGGACUUCAUCAAUUGCUUCUUGGGGGUACGGCUCUUCCUGUUUUCCCUUCGCAUACUGCAUAAAAACAAUGACUAUUAGAGUUUAUAAAUAAAAGGAAAUUCAAUCACAGACGACCAUAACCGACGUAGUAUAUCUAUUCAACGACGGUAAUUUUACAUGACCGUCGUUGAUAAUACAAAAAACGACGUAAAACGUUUGAAGGUUAUUUCUUCUUACCUUCUUCUCAAACCCCAAGGAAGGAUCCAUGAUGAUGUCCUUCAUGAAGCGCAUCACGUAAUACCCGCAUUCGACAUUGCUGGGUUGCUUUGGUGUGCCUGACAGAGUUUUCCAAAUGACUGCCUUACGGCCUGAUCUAGCUAUGUGGGAAUUAUAAAUUUUUAUGGCACUGUUCACGAUGUUUUUGGCCUCUUCAUCGACCACACGAUAUCCUGGCAGAGGAUCCAGAAAAUAGACUGUUUCCCUCUUUGCUCUUACAAUCAGCAAGAUCCAAUGACGGCUGCACAAAAUUAAUAUAAAAACGACGGUUAUUUACAAAAACGACGUAUUAUAAUAUUUCACACGACGAAAUAAAGUAGCAAUCGACGACAUUAUAUAUUUAUCACGACGAUAAAUAACUACCGACGUGGUUAGUCGUUUCAAACGACUCAAUAAAAUAAAACACCGACGUGGUUAGUUUAUACGCUGUCAUUUAUUGAAAAUCAUAAAAACAAAAUCCUGUUAAGGAGACUAACCCUGGAUUGUAAGGCAUCAGGAAAAUCUGUUCACCGUCAGUCUUCUGAAGUCGUGAUGCUACCAUUCGUGAUCUGUCAGCUAUUGUGCCAGAGCUGGCACUAACUGUAGCAGGGUCGAUAAAGCCAACCAUUGUGCACAUAUUUGCUUGUUUUAAAACAUCGUGUAAGUACCUAAAUAUAUAAAAUAAUAUAAACAAGUCAGCGCAAAAAAAACACACGACGGUUAUGUAUAACAAAACGACGUAUUAUAAGGUUUCACACGACGUACUGAAAUAGACAACGACGUUAUAAUAAAUUUAUCACGACGGUACAUACUAACGACGUGGUUAGUUAGUUAAGACGACGCAAUAAAUAAACCAACGACGUAUUAUUUUAGAAUGACAAACCUCAUAUAUACAGCAAUGACUGUAGCUCCUAUUUCCUCCAUGCCUGCAAAUUGUGUAAUAUCUUCAGGCAGGAGGAAGGUAUCGCGCUCUAGACCAAAGACCUCCUUAUCAAUUGUAAAGUGCAGGGUCUUAUCCUGAGGCACGAGUGUCGUUUCCACAUAACAACAAAGGGUUUGUAAAGAAGAUGGCGCCUCCAUAAUUGAAUAAUCAACAACUUUAGUAACAUGUUUAAAGAAAUAAAAAAAAUGACGUGGUAAUUCAAUAAAAACGACGGUUUAAGGAAUAAAACGUCGUCUGAAAACAAUUUAAACGACGGUGAAAAAACCGUCGUGGUGAAUUAUUUAUUACGUCUUAGGAAACAAUUCCGCCGUCUAAGUUGUAAACAAACGACGGUUUAAAGAAAAAUAUCGACGUCUGGAAUUUUGAAAAACAAAUAAAAAAAGGCAAAGUUAUGUGAACAUACCUGGUCGUCAUCUUCUUUCUGCUUUUCAUCUUGUUUUUCUUCUUUAUUCUCUUCAUCUAUGACGUCGGGAAUGAUUAACUCCGUCGUCUAAAAACUACAAAGUUUUAAAAAUAACGACGUUUAAUGGCGUGUAAAACAAGUAAACUAAAUACGACGUGGUAUUGAAAUACAAACGACGGUUUAUUUUUAAAAUCGUCGUGGUAUGUAUUUCAAACGACGGUUUUAUUAAUAAUAACGACGUCUAAUGGUUUUUAAAAAAACAGAGAAUUCAAAGUUCAGAUAUGUUACCUUUUCUUCCUGAUGUUUCCCAUUUUUGGCAGUAUCAUCCUCAAAAUGCUGGGAUCUCACAUCACCUCCAGAGCAGCUUGCUUUGUCAGACAUUGGAUUUUUGGGACUUUGGCUAAUUCUGGGUUUAAGCAUGCUUGUAUCAAAAUUGGGAAUUAAUUGGGAAAGCUGACUCAGGAAAUGCUCCCUCUCAGCCUCUACCAAUUGUUUCGUUCUAGCCUCCAUCCUUAAAGCCUCUUCCCUUGCCUUAGCCUCCAUCUUUCUAGUCUCUUCUUGAAGGAGAACUCUUAAACUGUCCUUCAAACGGUCGUCAAAGCUCACUCUCUGUGGUUUGGGUAAAUUGAAAUAUUGCUUUGGUGAGAUCCCAGCACCUACUCCUCUGACUCUGCCUGGAUGCUCGGGGCCCAAAGCCAUGGUCAGCACAUCAUUGCUGCCAGAGACGGUGACUUUGCCUUCCGAGACUUGUUUUUGCAAAUCAUCCUGAAACAAAGAUAUAUAAAAAAGUGAGAACAAAAACACACGACGGUUAUUUAUAUACAAACGACGUAUUAUAUAAUUUCACACGACGCAAUAACAUAUAAAUCGACGUUAUUAUAAUUUAUCACGACGGUAGUUAUACCGACGUGGUUAUUUCUUUAAAACGACGAAAUUAAUAAACCACCGACGUCUUAUGUAACAGAGGGAUGAUUCAAUAUUCACACCUUUAACGACGUUGUUUAAAACAUUUCGACGUAGUAAUUUAAUACAGACGACGCGAAAUCGAACCACCGACAUCUUAUGCUAUAAUUACAGAAAACGGAGUUGUGAUUCCUAUUUAGACCUUUAACGACGUGUUUUAAAAAAUGUCGACGUGGUAAUAUCAUUCACACGGCGCCAAAUAUAACAUAAGACCUAAUAAGAAUUAUUCACAGUUUAAUAAAAAUUUAAAACAGAGUGAGUAGGCUUACAAUUAAUUUUGCUUUCUCUGCCACCUUUGGAUCAGGGAUGUUACCAUGUUUGUCCUGUCUAGCUCUCUUCCAUAAGGUAGAUCGAUCAAUUUCUACCCCAGGCAUGGUUUCCUCUAAUUGAUCCUCCAAACCAGCAUAUCCUUUUCGAGACAAUCGAUGAUUGUACUCGAGUUUCUCCCUAAUCUGUGCAUGUUGAGAAUGCACAGACUCAAAAUCUUUGGAUAGCCCUGAAGCUACAAAGGCAUCCCAUUGUGCUUUCUCUAUGAAUUUAUAUGUUUCAGGGGGUUGGCUUAAUCUCUCCCUGUCAUUGGUGUAUGGAAGGAUAUAAUGCCUUGUUAGUGUAGACUUGAAAUCCUUCCAUUUCUUGGCAGCAGAAGCUAAGACAGAGUUCUUGCCCCCUUGACCUACUACAAAAGCAAUGUCAACUGCUUCCCAAAUCUGCUCCUUUAUAUCCUUGGGGAUUUGAGCCCAUUUCAAGUCCACAAGUGGGACUCUGGAGCGUGCCAACACACCAAUAUAGGACUGCAUCUCACUGUGUGCUUGGCCAAUUCCUUUCCCCCUUUUAUUGUACUCAACGAUUGGCCUCAGUUUCUGAAGUUUUCUCUUCACAACACGAGGCAUUGUGCUCAUACCUCGACCAGCCUUUGAAUCAUCAGAGAUUGUUGUCGCGCUGGUUGGUUCUGUAUCAGCAGAUGAUGAAGCAAACUUCAUCUUCUUCGAAGACUUCAUUAUCUUCGAAGACUUCUCUUGAGGAGGUACUUGCUCCUUACCUCCAUUUUUGUUGGAGCCAGAAUCCUUACUUUGGUCUUGGUGAGAAACCAUUUUUACAGACAAAACUGCAAGUGAAAAUAUUUCAAGAAAAGAUUAAGAACACAAACGACGGUUAUUAAUAAAAUACGACGUAUGAUAUGAUUUUAAACGACGCAAUGAAAUAAUAUCAGACGUAAUAAAUGUUUAAAACCAAGGUAAUUAAACAACGACGAAAUAAUUAACUACAAACGACGUAAUAAUUAACUAUAAACGACGGAAUAUUUAUAUAACGUCGUGGUAUUGAUGUUCACACGACGUCAGUAGUAAUAUACCGUCGUCUAUAUAAGGAUCCAAAACCCUUCUUUCUUUCUCUGUGAAUGUUUGAUUGCAGAUUUGAUUUUUCUGAACCAUGGUUUUCGUUUUCUAAUUUGAUAAAAUACAAGGCCAAGAAAGAAAGUUUUGGAAUCUUAUAUAGACGACGGUAUUUUAAUAUGACGUCGUGGUAUUAACAUUCACACGACGUAAAACAAUAAGAUACUGUCGUCUAUAUUAGAUACCAACCCUAAUUUCUUUUUCUUUAUAUUUUAUCAAAUUAGGGAAAAACAAAAACCAUUGUCCAGAGAAAUCAAACCUGCAAUUAAACAAGCAAAUAAAAAAAAGACUAUAAUUUUAAAAACAACUUUGUCAAUUUUCAGACGACGCUAGAACGACUGACGAACCGUCGUGGUCUACAUAUUUAACCACGUAAAUAAGAAGCUACCGUCGUCUUAUUUAGUUGAGGUAGUUGUCUUCAAAGUUGGAAACUUUCCCUCUUUGUCUGUAUAUUUUUUCGAACUUGGAAAGAAGUAAAAUGAUUUUGGCCAGAAAAAAGGUAAAAAGAUUUUUCAAACAAAAAACAUAUGAGCAUGCAAAACAGCAACCAAAAUAGUGAAAAUGAAAGCUUACCUUUUGCGUGCAAUGAAAGCAAGAGGAAGACGAUCGAUGUUUAAGUUCAGAGACGACGAAGAAGAUGAGAGGAAGACGAUGAGAUACUCUGAAAGUGCUCUGACAAGGAAAAAAGUCUAAAAGUUUUCUCUGGGAGAUUGAAAUUUUUAAUCGGGUUUGGAAACAGUGCAUGUGUAAGACAGGUACACGAAAAGUUGCUUACAUAUAAAACCAUUUCAAAAAAUAAUACGGCGGUUACAUAUAACUACGACGUAUAAAUUACAAAAUACGACAGUACGUUUAACUUCGGACGUGGUAAAUAAGUACGACAGUAGUGUUGUAGGUACCGUCGUAGUAAACAUAAAAAUUAAAGUACAUAAGUAAUAACUCGCGUCAUGGUAGAUCAUUUAACACAUCGGUUUUAUUAAUGUACCGACGUGGAUUUAUGUAAUAUACGUCGGUCAUAACGACGUUGAUUUUAAAAUUUAAACGGCGGUUUUUUUGUAAGGACCGCCGUUGGUUUUAAAAAUUUAUUCUAUAAAUUUGUCGCUUUCAUUCAUUUUCGGUUUACAUUUAGGGUUCCAAGUUCUUCCUCUCUCAGAGACACUGUCUCUCACAUCUCAAAGACAGUAAUUUGGAUGUCUUUCUCAAAGAGAAAUUGAGCUUACUCGCAUCAAAUCUAUGUCCACAAGAAGAAGCUUGUCAACUAGCCUUCUCACUUCCUUGAUCAAGCCUGAUAGGACAUUUAGUGCUUCUGAAUACUCCUUGCUUUCCAUCAAAAGAGAUGCAAGCCUGGCCUCCACUCGCUGUCGAAGGAAAGUUCGCUUCUCAGGGAAAUCUGAAGAUCAGAUGUGCCUGAUCCUCUGCUUGAUUUUCUUGGCUAAGAAGAUCCGUCAGAUUUGUGAUAGCCUCUUCCUUUAUCCGUAGAGCUUCAGAAGAAGAAGAUGGGUUUCAAGAAUGCGAUAAAGAAUAGAAAUGGCUUCAUGAAUGCGAUAAAGCAUGAGCAAUCGAAUCAGUGCUUUGAACUAUACUCUGAACUAUACAAGUCAAUGCUUUGAACUAUACAAGUCCUGCAGAAAGAUAAAGGACCAAACUGUUAAAGAAACUGAAACUAUUAAAGAAACCAUAAACUAACACGACGCAAUAUUUGUUUUGCGACGUGGAAUCUUUUCAUUUAACGUCGUUAGGUUUAAUAUAACCGACGUGGAUUUGAAUUGUUAAAUUAUGAAUAGAAAUUUUUUUCCCGUGACCUUUCAGUUUAUUUUUCAAUUACAGUGCGUUAUAAAUAGAGUUUUUUUUCCGGAGGAAAUUUAAAAUGAAGGAAAUUAAUGUUCUGGAUUAUGUAAAGUUUCUUUUUUGGAUGACAGAUUUCAAUUCUUGUCAUUAAGUAGAUCUACCGACGUAGGAUAAGAAAAUAAAGGAAAAAAUUGUUAACAAAAAUUCUUAUUAAGACGACGGUUUAAAUUAAAGGUACGACGUAUAAAAUUAAUAAAUACGACGUUAACUUUUAUAGUACGAUUUAAAGAUAACGUCGUAGAACUAUACAAGAAUAACGUCGCUAUAUUUAUAUUUUCCGUCGUUGUAAAUUAAUUUAAUACGGCGACAUUUUGUAUUUUAAAGCCGUCGAUUUGUUUGUAAUUAUACGGCGUCUUAUACGAAAAUUUCGUCGUGUUAUUUUAUGAGUAAAAACGGCGGCUUUUAUUGAAAUCGUCGUCUUUACUUUCUACGUCGGUCGAUUCAUAACUUCUGUCGUUCUUUGUUGGCUUUGAUUUUACACUGCGGAAAUCUGUUUCAAAUAGACGUCGGUUUUUUAAUUAGGUACCUCGUUGUUUUUGAACAGCCAUUUGAAUCUCCAUUUUUAGUUGUCUAAGGUGGUAUUACACGACGGUGUUUUUAGAACCGUCGUCUUUUUAAAAACCACGACGGUUUUCACUUAGACCGUCGUUGUUUUCUGGUCGUCUUUUUCACUUUUUGUAGUAGUGGGGCCAAGGUCUUGAAUUCUAAGUAUUUGAGACAAUGUGAUCUUAUUGUUGCUAUGAAUCCCAACACUAGUUGUGUUUCCAGUGUGUGGAGGGGUGUUUUAUUUGGUGCUAAGCUUCUUCCUCGUGGUCUCAAUUGGAGAGUUGGAACUGGUGAUACCAUCUUGUUUUGGACUGACACGUGGGUGAGUUGUGGCCCUUUACAAAAUUUUGCCACCAUUUUCUUGUCUGAUGAUAUGCUUCUUACUGUGAGUGACUUCAUGGAGCAUGGGUAUUGGAAUGUCAACUGCUUACUGGAUUGCCUGCCUCUCAACAUUGUUCCUCUGAUUUGAAGUACUCAUGUCGGCUUCUAUGGAGGUAGGAUUGAUAGUUGAGUAUGGAAGCUCUCCUCUAACGGUGAGCUCUCUGUUAAAACUGCCUAUAACUCUAUUGUCCCUGGAAAUGGGAAUUUAUCAGGACGCUCCACAUCCCCCCAAAGAUUAAAACCUUUUUGUGGGUUUUAUGUCAUAACAAGCUCUUGACUAAUGCCAACGUGUCAAAAGAGGACUUGCCUCUUCUGCUAAUUUUCCUCGCUGCAAUUACCCCAUUGAAUCUAUUGAGCACCUAGUAAAAGAUUGUAGUUUCUCUACAGCUAUUUGGAGUAAGUUUGGGUGUAACUCUACUCUUCCCAGUUCCUUUGCGGCAGAUUUUGAUGAUUGGCUGUUUCACAACCUUAAGUCCAGAAAAUUUGUUUGUGAUGAUAUGCCUUGGUACAUGGUUUUUGCUGUUUGUCUUUGGUAUAUUUUUGGAAGUGGCGCUGUAAACUUAUUUUUGAGCAAGGAUUUGUGAUGCCUAUUGAGCCUCAACAGGUGAUUUUACAGUAUGUUGUUGAGUGGUUCACUGUGUUAGUGAGAUCCUAGCUUAAUUAGGAUAUUUAUUUCCUAGUUUAUUAGGAUUAUAGUUCUUUCCUUUUGUAUAGAUAUUGUGUAAUUAUGAUUUUAUCUUGUUUCCUAGUUUGACCAUACUAGGGUUACAUCCUUCUACUAUAAAGACCUUAUUUUGGAUAAUGAAAUAUUACCUGAAAAAUAUUCUACCCAUGUUGUUUGACUUGGUAUCAAAGCCAACUUUUUCUGGUGACCUGUGUGUUGUGCCCACCCGUGUUCUAUCCCCAUAUUUUUUUUCUCUACCUGUGCCAUGUGUGCCCUCUUAGGUUUGUGUGUUGUGCUGUAGUGUUCGUGCCUCUACUGUGUUUAUGUCAUUCCUGUCUUCGUGCAUCUGCCGUAUUUGUGCCUUUGCUGUGUUCCGCUGUGUACUCUGCUGUGUUCAUGCAUGUCUUCGUGCAUCUGCCGUAUUUGUGCAUCUGCUGUGUUCUGUUGUAUACUCUGCCGUGAUCUGUUGAGUUUCUGCUGCAAUCAUGGGUGAUAACUCCAUUGUUGGUGUUGUUGCUGCUGCUGCCUCUGCAAAUUUAUGUGUUUCUGAUUCUAUUCCAGGUACUGGCUCCAAUACUUGGAUAAUUGACACUGGUGCUUCUGAUCAUAUGACUUAUUAUGCUAAUUUUUUUUAUGAAUUGUCUGGUAACACCUGUGACCCAUACAUAACUAGUGCUAAUGGCUUGCCCUCUCCAAUUACUGGUGAGGGCACAAUCUCUCUCACUUCUACUCUGUCCUUGUCUCGUACAUUACUAGUUCCUAAUAUCCAUUGUUAUCUGUUGGUCGAUUCUUGACACAUUUAAUGCUUCUGCUACUUUCUAUCUUACGCAUUGCUCUUUUCAGGAUAUCAAGACUCACGAGACAAUUGGGCAUGGUAAACGGAUAGGGGGUUAUAUUAUUUGACAUUGCCUUCUGCACCUGUUCGCGAUCGUGUCGUUAAUACUGUUCAAAGUUGCAGUGUCAAAGACAAACAUCAAAUUUGGUUUUGGCAUCGUCGCUUAGGACACUCGUCAUUUGGCUACCUUAAGCGUCUGUUUCCUUUGAGUGACAGUAAAGCUGCAAGGCCUUUUGAUUUGGUGCAUUCUGAUGUACGGGGUCCGGGUCGCGUUACUUCAAACGAAUUUCGUUGGUUCGUCACAUUUAUUGAUGAUUGUAACCGACUUACUCGGGUUUUCUUGCUGAAAAAUAAACAUGAUGUUGCUUCCAUCCUUCUAGAGUUCUGUACUGUGGUGUCUACUUAGUUUCAUUUUCGGGUCAAAGUAUUUCGGACUGAUAAUGGAGGUGAAUAUGUGAAUAACAGUUUGACAUCUUUCUUCCGUUCUUAAGGUAUUAUUCAUCAAACGACAACCCCAUUUACUCCUCAGCAAAAUGGUGUGUCUGAACGCAAGAAUCGUCAGUUACUUGAAGUUGCCUGCUUCCUUAUAUUGGACAUGUCUGUUACCCAUCAUCUUUGGAAGCAUGCUGUUUUAUCUGCUGCCUAUUUGAUUAAUCGUACUCCUAGCGGGGUUCUUGAUUUCAAGACUCCACAUGAUGUGUUUGGUGACCAUGUAUCCCCUGUCUCAAUCUCCAAGUUGCCCUCUAAAGUUUUUGGGUGUGUUGCUAUGUUCAUGUCUACUCUCGUCAACGGAGUAAACUUGAUCCUUGUGCUCUGUGAUGUGUCUUUAUUGAUUACUCUUCUACUCUGAAGGGUUAUAAGUGCUAUCAUCCACCUACCCCAAAGGUGCAUGUUACUUUGGACGUGACUUUCCAUAAAGAAGUGCCCUAUUAUGUCUCUCCCUCCUCUCCAAUUCAGGGGGAGAGGGGGAGUGAAUUAGAGAGACUAGGAUUGGAGAAUGAUGUUUUUGAAGAUACUGCUCUUAGGAAGGAAACGACUUGUGAAAGGACCCGCCCAGAAUUUUCUCAAAACCCGAGACGAACCCUUUGGAAUUCCUGACAUCACCCCGAUGCCAGACCCACUUACUAAAAACCGAGACUCCCUGCCGAAAUUUCGGCAGAGUCUCCCCUAUAAAUUGGACAUUUCCCAAAAUUUAUACCUGCAUAAAAACGCAUUUAAUAUCCACAACUGGCAGCAUGCACAAUAUAAUUUCAUGCAAUUCAGACAAAUGGCCUUCGGCCUUCCAAUAAUUCUUAACCGAUUACCAAACAAUUCAAAUACCAGAAAUGACUAAUAUUUAGUCUACGGCUGCGCCUAAUUACCUUAGGUUGCCUACGUACCCUCCUUGAGGGAUCAAGCCACACGUAGUUCUUCCAUAAAACCCAAUUCCACACUUAGGCGAUACCUUAUUUCAUUUCGCUGUAUUUCAUAUAAUCUCCCCAUACGCCGGUACAACCAACGCCACGUAUGGGGCCUGUCAACACGCCGGAUAACCUACGCCACGUGCGACCAUGCCAUACUAUUAUUAUAUCUCCCCAUACGCCGGUACAACCAACGCCACGUAUGGGGCCUGUCUCAAUGCCGGAUAACCUACGCCACGUGAGACCAUGCCAUACUAUCAUUAUAUCUCCCCAUACGCCGGUACAACCAACGCAACGUAUGGGGCAUGUCUCAACACCGGAUAACCUACGCCACGUGAGACCUGCACAACAUAUCACAUAACUCCCCAUACGCCGGUACAACCAACGCCACGUAUGGGGCCUGUCCCAACGCCGGAUAACCUACGCCACGCGGGACCUCAAUAUCACAUCACAAAUCUCCCCAUACGCCGGUACAACCAAUGCCACGUGCGACCUCAACACAAUAUCACAUAGCUCCCCAUACGCCGGUACAACCAAUGCCACGUAUGGGGCCUGUCUCAAUGCCAGAUAACCUACGCCACGUGAGACCUGAACAUAAUAUCACAAAUCUCCCCAUACGCCGGUACAACCAACGCCACGUAUGGGGCCUGUCCGCAUGUCGGAUAACCUACGCCACGUGGGACCUCACUUUCACUUAGUGGUGCUUGUAGUGAAUCCAAAAUCCGGGGAGGUACCUAAAGUAGUGCGUAUAGCACUCCAAACUGACACUCUAGACUCUGUUGUACCCUUGUACAACCACAUAUAAUUAUAAUUAUAUAAAUAAAUUCUAAUAUUGUGUAGCCUUACACAAUAGCCUAGCACCCGAUAAUCUUCCCUGGAAAGGUGAGAUUACUCCGGGAGACUCACGGUCAACAAAGGGUCAAACUACUCUAACCCUGGUCAAACGGACCUGCGGAACCCACGACCUCCAAUUUCCGAUCCGAAAGUCCCUAUGGGUUCUACCAGGUGUAGGAAACUUGUCCUGCAAGUUUGGUUCAGAUCGAACAGUCGGAUUGCUCACGAUCGCACGAUCUGACGGUUAAUAUAAAAUAUAAACUUUAAAUUAUUAUUCGGAACAUCCGGGGCUCCGAUUCACGAUCCGUGAAUUCCUACACGAUCCUAGAAAUACCUAGAUUAACAUAUAUUAAAUUUGGGACCAUCCGACGGUCCCAACCUAUCGAACCCGGAUAACGCAUAAUAUGCGAUUAUCCGUUCGAUAGUCAAACGAUGUCCGAAUUGAGAUCCGCGAAAUCCUACGCACUCGUGACAACCUAAGGAUCACAUUAGAACACAGUGCUAUUUUUCUACAGUGCCCACGCGCCGGCGCACGCGCUGGCAGCACGUGGGUGCCCAAAGCGAUAACGCUUCGCCAGAAAAUCUUAAAACCACAGCUCCAAAUUCCUACCCUAGGUAUAACACCCUAUUUGGAGCCACUUUUGUUCUUGGACCUACCCCAAAAAGUGGCCGAAAAUGGCCGAUCACGGCGGCAGAAGUUUCGGCCGAUUUUCAAUUCGAAAAUCGAGUGAUCUAGAGAUCGAAUCGAUCAAAACCCAACCAACAGGCAGCUAGAACAGCUCGAGAGGUUCAAGAUCCAUACCUGGGUCGACGGAAAUGGUGGCCGGAGGAGGGAGAUCGACGACGUUGAAGUUUCGACGACUUCCCGGCGGUUUUCUGCAUUUUCCGGCCAACACAGGCCGCGUCGCCGGCGGGAAACGGUCGGGGAAGGAAGGGGACGUCGUCCCGGUCAUUUUGGUACCGGCCCCGCUCACAGCCGUGGUCGAUGGCCGAAGAUACAAGGAGAGAAAUAGAGAGAGCCGACGGGAGAGAGAGAGAGAAGUCGCGGGAGAGAGAGAGAGAGAGAGAGAGAGAGAGAGAGAGAGAGAGAGAGAGAGAGAAAAUCAGAUUUUUAUAAAAAUCCCAUUUUGAAAUAUUUACGAUUGUGCCACUGGGUUUCUUUUGACCAUAUCUCUCUCGUUACCACUCCGAUUCGAGCCCACUACGUGUCUAUGAACUCGUCUCAGUACGACCUAUCCAAAAAUACAAGUCGCGGUCCCAAACUCUCUCCGGUUAAAAAUAUGACUAAAAUACCCUUAAAUAAUUAAAUAAUUAAAUAAGGGUUAAAUUUGGAGUCGGGGUGUUACAACUUGUCGCAUUGAAGUAAGUGACUGGUCGCCCAUAUCUGAAGAUGAAACUUGUGGUCUCUGUGAAGAAACGACUGAUCGCCCUUUGGAACUCGACCGGUCGCCCAUAUUUAGAGAUGAAGCAGGUGCUCUUGGUGUCGAAACGACCGGUCACACUAAAGCAAGUAACCAGUCGCCUAUAUCUGAAGAUAAUGACAGUGAUUCUUGUAUGGAUAAGUUCGAUGCAAUACCCCCAGCUGCCCUGCCAAUGCCCUAAUCUACUCGUGAUAGUGAAUCAAGUGAGGUAAUUUCUAAUGAUCUAUCUGUGUUAACUUAUCAGUUACCCCCACGAAUCACUCAUGGGAAACCUAAAGUACAAUAUUCUCCUGAUAUACAUGCCAAGUCUAAAUAUCUCAUUAGCCGUUAUGUGUCAACUCUUCGUUUAUCUAAGUCAUAUGCAUCAUCUUUGUGUCAAUUAUCUAGUGUAUGUGUGCCAACUAAGCUGCAGGAUGCUUUAUCUAACCCCAAAUGGAUGGAUGCCAUGUAUAAUGAAAUGGAUGCCUUGAACAAGAAUAAAACAUGGGAUUUAGUUCCUUUGCCACGAGCGAAGAAAGUUGUUGGAUGCAGAUGGGUGUUUACUUUGAAGCAUAAAGCUGAUGGUUCCAUUAACCGUUACAAGGCUAGAUUGGUAGCAAAGGGUUAUACUCAGACUUAUGGAGUGGAUUAUUUGGAGAAAUUUGCUCCAGUGGCAAAGCUCAAUAAUGUGUGUGUACUAUUGUCCCUGACUGCUAACCGCGACUGGCCCUUAUUACAAUUCGAUGUCAAAAAUGCGUUUCUACAUGGUGACCUCAAGGAGGAGAUUUACAUGGAUCUCCCUCCUCGUAUUCCUGUAACCUCUAAGGAGGGUGUUGUGUGUAAGCUGCGGAAGUCUUUAUAUGGAUUAAAGCAGUCUCCAAGAGCAUGGUUUGAGAGAUUUGCAGCAUCUAUGAAGAAAUUUGGGUAUGUGCAGAGUAACUCAGACCAUACUUUGUUUCUAAAGCAUCAUAAAGGUAAAUUGACAGCUUUAAUUAUUUAUGUUGAUGAUAUGAUUGUAACUGGAGAUGAUCAGGCAGAAAUGCAAAAUCUUCAGAAGCAUCUCGCAUCCGAGUUUGAGACAAAGUCAUUGGGUGAUUUGAAGUACUUUCUUGGGAUUGAAGUUGCCAGAUCUAAACAUGGUAUCUUUCUGUCUCAAAGAAAGUAUAUUUUGGAUUUACUUGCAGAGACUGGAAUGUUGGAUUGUAAACUAAUUGAUACCCCUAGUGAACAGAAUCAUAAGUUGGGGUUAUAUCAUGAUCAAGUCCCUACAGAUAAAGAGCGUUAUCAACGACUUGUGGGGAAAUUGAUUUAUUUAUCUCUUACACGUCAUGAUAUUGCAUAUGCAGUGAGUGUAGUGAGUCAGUUUAUGCACUCUCCUAGUGAAGAUCAUAUGGGUGCUGUGAUGCGUAUUUUGAGGUAUUUGAAAGUAACUCCUGGAAAGGGGUUAAUGUUUUGCAAGUAUGGUCAUACAGAUGUGGAAGGGUAUAUGGAUGCUGAUUGGGCUGGUUCAGUCACUGAUAGACGUUCUACGACUGGGUAUUUCACAUUUGUUGGUGGUAAUCUUGUUACUUGGAUGAGUAAAAAGCAAAAAGUGGUGUCUAGGUCUAGUGCCGAGACCAAGUACCAUGGAAUGGCUCAAGGUGUGUGUGAGUUACUAUGGUUGAGAAGAUUGUUGAGAGAUCUUGGGUUUGGACCCCAGAAACCCAUGAAUUUGUAUUGUGAUAAUAAAGUUACAAUUGCAAUUGCGCAUAACCCUGUACAACAUGAUCGUACAGAGCACGUGGAGGUUGAUCGACAUUUUGUUAAAGCGAAGUUGGGUACUGAAAUUAUUUCCUUUUCGUUUAUCUUGUUCGAGUAUCAACUGGUAGAUGUUCUUACAAAAGCUGUAUCUACUACGGUCUUUCUCAACUCGCUUGACAAGUUGGACAUGCGUGACAUCUUUGCUCCAACUUGAGGGGGAGUGUUAGUGAGAUCCUAGCUUAAUUAGAAUAUUUAUUUCCUAGUUUAUUAGGAUUAUAUUUCUUUCCUUGUGUACAGAUAUUGUGUAAUUAGGAUUUUAACUUGUUUCCUAGUUUGACCAUACUAGAGUUACAUCCUUGUACUAUAAAUACCUUAUUUUGGAGAAUGAAAUAUAACCUGAAAAAUAUUCUACCCAUCUUGUUUGACUCACUGCUCGUAAGGCUAUGACAACUUCUACUGCAAUUUGUGUGAUGCAACUACGCUGGCAACAUCCUAUGCCUGGUAUUUUUAAGUUAAACACUGAUGGGAGUCGAAAGUCUGAGUUUGGCCUCAUAGGUGCUGGAGGAAUUAUUAGAGACUCUGUUGGUGUUUGGAUUAAAGGCUUCUUCAUGAAUCUUGGUGUGGGUUCUACAAUUGAGGCUGAAUGAUGGGGUGUCUUUUGGGGCCUCUGUUUGGCUUGGGAUUAUGGGUGCCGAAACAUUAAGGUUGAAUGUGAUGCUAGCAAUGCGGUUUCCCUCCUCUCUUGCCCAACUACUUUCACUCAUCUCCUCCUUAGUCUUAUUAAUUGCUGCAAGAAGAUGCAAGAAAACUGGAUUUAUUCCCUGAGGCAUGUCUUUCGUGAACAAAACUAUGUUGUUGACGUUCUUGCUAAAAUGAGCCAUGAGCUGGACCCUGGUUUCCAUUGUCUUGAUGUUCCCCCUCCCGAUGUCUAUGACACCCUUUAUGCUGAUUCUAGCAAUUUGGCUAGGACUAGAAUUAUCUCUCUGUAGUUUUCUUCGUUGCUUGGCCUCUGGCCCAUCUGUACCCAAAAAAAAAAAUUUCUUAUUUUGAUAUAAAAAAUAAAAAGAAAGCCCAAAUUCAAUUGGGAUUUUAAAAGAUUAUUUUGAGAUAAAUACGUCAUGUGGCAUUCAAUUAAGAUUUUUAAAUAAUCUAAACAAGUCUUGUGGUAUUCCAUUAAGAUUAUUAGAAUUUUUAAAUGAGGGUGUUGAACUCUAAUGGUAUUCAAUCACGACUUUAAACAAGUAACAAAAGUCUUAUGGUAUUCAAAACCUUGCUAAUUUCAAAUGAUUUUUUUAAAAUGUGAGAUUUUUUAGUAAAAGGUAUAAAUAUCAAGCCCUAUCUCAAAUUCCACGCUAACCCAUCAGACUUUUCACAUGAGAUUUAAAAAAAAAAAUUAUUUCCUCACCUUGACCUCCACCCACCGGGUAUAAACCAUGGCGACCAAAUCACCACUAAGGACCACUCGGUAUAAGAAAUGUUCUUUCCUCUCCUUUCCUCACAUGAAGACCAAACCACCUUCAAAACUAGAGCAACCUGCUGUUGGGGUAUAAGUUCGAACAUGUGGACCUCCACACAUCUAUUUGACAAAGCCCGAUGGCUAGGCAAAAAUUGCCCACCAUCUGUUCGACACAAGCCCCAAAAGGGCGCAGCUUCUGUUUAGAUUAGUUACUAGAAAAUCGUUAAUAGAAUUCUUGUUGUGGAAGAGGUUGGCAUUCAAAGGCAACUCACGUAUUUGGGAUGGUGGUGGUGUGGACCCAAAUGCGGUGGUGACGCAUGCAAAGGCUUGGCUGGCUGAAUAUCAGCAAGUGAGGGAUGACUUGGUCUCCAAUAUCCCACGCUCGGCUCCAAAAAGAAGGGUAGUUCCAAGAGAUGUUUUUGUUAAGAUUAAUGUGGGUGGUGCCUGGAAAGUUGAGGAUCAUAAUGGAGGUCUGGAAGUGGCGGUACGGGAUGAGCAAGGAACCUUCAUUGCAGCUCGUUUGCGGCCAGUUAGGACGGUAGGGUGUCCUACCCAAAUCCAGGCACUGGCUCUCUUAGCUGGGAUGCAAUUGAGUGUCUAUGAUAUUUUGAUUCAUGAUAUUUUGUUUCAAUAUUGUACUCCUAUUUGAGUUUCAAUGAAAUUUCAUCUUUUAUCAACAACAAAAAUAGAUUUUGAUACAAAUAAAAGAUUUUGACAGAGGUGAGAACCAAAAGCAUUGAAAUUGUUGGCAUUGAUCAAUGUGAUGUACUGAUAAAUAGUUUACUUGCAAAAUCCAUACAAAAUUGGAAUGCAACUCCAUCAAUACACAAAUGAGAGAGUGUGUGGUGACUGUGGGAGGGUGGGCUGCCGAGAGUGAAGGUUGGCUUUGUGGGUGUCGGGAUGGUGAAGAGAGCAUGAGAGCAUUUCCAGCAGCGGGGUUUUUUUUUUUUGGGGGGGGGGGGGCGGAUGCCGAGAGUGAAAGUUGGCUGGGUGUCGGGAUGGUGAAGAGAGCAUUUCCAGCAGUGGGGUUUUUUUUGGGGGGGGAGAGGGGGCAGCGGUGUGGGCUAAAAACUCGUUUCCAGCAGCAAAAGGAGGCCUAGGUGCGAGGUGGGACUCAACAACACGGGCUGGGCCGAGUGCUAGCCCAAGUGUCGAUGCUUACGUCAGCGCCCUGGCUGCACGCGCCAAUGUUAAAAAAAUUUGAACGCACCGCUACAGUGCCCGCCAACGGUUAUGUGCCACGUGUCGCGUCCUAGGCUCUCCGAUCAGAAUGUUUGCUCCAAUCCAACGGCAGCCAAUUUUUGUGUAAUAAAAAAAUGAAAAAAUAUCGGAAAAAAUUUAAAAAAAUACUGAAUUUUUUUCUAUAAAUACCAACCAAUACUCUUCACUUUUAAUACCAAAUCCUCAUACAUUUUCUUCUCCUUCUACUAUUAUUCACUUUCUACUCAAUAUUUUUUUCACUUUCAAGUUGUAUUUUUCUCUAUCAUAUUAUGGCUUCUUCUAGUGAAACCGGAGGGGCAUGCAACAUGAUGGAAGAUGUUUUGUUAUGUGAGUGUUGGGUCCAAAUUAGUCAUUGUCCCGUAACGGACAAUGAGAUGAAAUUUUGUCAUAUGUGGAAAAAAAUUCAUCAAGAAUUUUGUGAAAGGGCAAUUGGUUCGACCCAUACAGAAAUUGCAUUAUCUAGUAGGGGGAAAAUUCUCAAUAAAGAGUUGGUGAAAUGGAGAGAUGCCUUGGCAAAAGCGAUGGACAACCAUAGAAGUGGGGAAAACCUUAGCAAUGAGGUAAAUUAUUUGUAAUUUUCCUUUAAUUAAUUUCUAUGUCAUAUUAAAUUUUAUUUAAAUGUUUCUUGCAAUUUAUAUAUUUUGUUAAUAUUUCUUGCAUUUCUAAUAAAUUGUUAAAAUUUCUUGCAUUUUCAUUAUUAUUUUUAUAUUUGUUGCAUUGUCAAUAUUUUUUAAAGUUUCUUGCAUUUCCAUUUUUUUUUUUAUACUUGUUGCAUUGCCAAUAUUUUUUAAAGUUUUCUACAUUUCCAAUUUUUUGAUAUACUUGUUGCAUUGCCAAUAUUUUCUAAAGUUUCUUGCAUUUUCAAUUUUUUUUAUAUAUAGAUUAUGCAAGCACAAAUGUGGUAUGGAGCUACUGGGAAAGGCAAAAAAACUUUCAACCAUACCCAAUGUUGGGAGGCGGUGAAGAAUUGUAAGAUAUUCCGAAUUAUUCCAACGGGUCCGACAGUGGUGUUGAACGAGACGCUACUCCAUGAUUCACCGGCAUCAUAUUCACCUAUGGAUUCCCCAAUGAGUCAAGACUCACCUAUCGAAAAGGAGCCGAGGCCUAUUGGGAGGAAGGCGGCGAAGGCGGAGAGAGGGAGUAAUUCUACCUAGAAUGCAUCUAAAUUUUUGGGGGAAAUUUCAAGGCACCAAGCCAUGAGAAUUGAAAUGGACAUGAAAACCCAAGAGCACGAUAGGGCAAUGCAAUUAGAAUAUGCAAAAGAAAGGGAGUAUGUACGCCAACAAAACAUUGAAAAAACGGAUCGGGAAACCAUGGCUAUGGAUACAAGCCAUAUGUCCCUUGAAACAUAACAAUUUUGGAAGCUAGAAUGAAGGGAUGUUAUGAGACGAAGACUUUUUUGUGACGAUGGACCUAGCAACACGGAUUGGUUAAAUGAUCAAAACCAUUGAAUUAGUUUGCUUGCCUUUGAUUUCAUUGUAUUUUAUGUUUUAUUUAAAAAAUUAGUGGUAAUUCAUGUAUUUUAUUUUAUUAGUUGUAUUGAUUUUCUUUUAGUGAAUAAAGAAAAUAUUCAACAAAAUUCAUUUUUAUUCAAAAUAUUCCAUACAUAAAAAGCAAACCACAACCAAAGCAUAACUAGAAAUACAACAUAAACAUAAUAAAUUUAAAAAAACAUCUUCACUUCACAUCAUUCACCUUCAUUGCCUUUCACCGCCCAUAAAUGCUUCAUCAAGUCAACUUGGCGACGUUCAUGAAUAUACGACGAUUGCAUCUCCGUGUAGCGAUCAAUCAUCCAGGGCAUGAAAGUACCGUCCCUAACCAACGGUUCAUGCUGCACUGGUUCUCCAUUUGGCCCCAUGAGUUUUUUAUAAAUUCGUGUCAAGGCCGUGUUCAUGGGAUCUGGUUCAUACACUUCAUCAACAUCGUAAUCAUAUUCAUCCUCCACAAUCAUGUUAUGGAGGAUGAUACAAGUCAUCAUUAUGCUUCUAAGCACCUCCUCGUCAAAUAGACGCGUCGCGCCCCUAAUAAUAGCCCACUGGGCUUGGAGGAUACCAAAGCACCUCUCCACAUCUUUUCUGUAACCCUCUUGAUAGACAGCAAAAUAAUUUCUGCUUACGCGAUCGAGGAUGUGGAAUUGAUUUGGUCCACCUCGGGUAGAUGCCGUCAGCUAGAUAAUACCUAUUUUGGUAGACGAUAUUGUCGAUUUCAUAGGUGAUAUUUGGGGCUUCACCUCUCAAAACAUCAUUGAACACCGAGGAUUGACCCAGGACAUUCAAAUCUUUUUGAGAUCCGGCAACUCCGAAGAAGGCGUGCCAAACCCAUGUAUCGAAUCCAACAACUACUUCAAGGAUGAUACUUUCUGCCCUUUUCUAUUUCCGUAAUCCCCUUGCCAAGCAGUUGGAUAAUUUUUCCAUUUUCAGUGCAUGCAGUCAAUGCUACCAAUCAUUCUAGGAAAUCUUCUAGACUUAGCUUUUUGUAGAAGCCGUUGCAGGUCCUUGGGCGUAGGUCUGCGCAAGUAGUCCCUGGUGUACAGAGUUUUCCACUGCAUCACAAAAUCGCACCAAGCUCUCCAAAACAGUGGACUUCCCCAUCCGGACAAUCUCAUCCACCUAAUCAGCAAAUGACCCAUACGACAACAUUCGUAUCACAGCUGUGAACUUUUGCUCGGGAAGAAGUCCCAAAUUUUCAGCAACAUUUUUCUUUUGAACAAAGUAUUUAUCAUAAUUGCAAAUAUCAUGCAUUACUUUAUUGAACAAAAGGGGUUGCAUUCUAUAUCUCGCUCAAAAAUGCACAUCAGAGUAUAGAGAAUGUGAGAUAAAAUAAUCUUCCAGAAGAUUCUUACCCCGAGAAUGUCUAUGUCUGUCCACAUUCGGGCCACGCCCUUCUCGUGAACCACGGCGGCUCUAGUUUUCUUCAUCAAGCAAAGACACUACUAUGCCAAGUUACUCAUCUCGUUCUCUCUGCAACCUUUUGCUUGCAGCUCGUCUACGCGUUCUUUCUCUAGUUUCUCGCUCUUACCUCACCAAAACCUCUUGCAUGUCUGCCAUUGAGAAUGGAGAAUGAAAUCUAAAAUCUGAGAAAUGAAAAUGUAGAGAAGAUCUGGUGUGGGAGGUAUGAGCUGAGCCUUUAGUUUUAUAGAAAAAUUUAGGCAGAUAGAGAUGACACGUGGCGCAAUUUUAGAGGGUGAAAAUCUUAUCUGAAAUUUGAAAUUGAAAAUCUCAUCCGAUAUGAAUAGUAUUGACACAUAGGAACCCAAAAAUCUUAUCCAAAAAUAUUAUCCAAAUUAAUUGUUUAAGUAAAAAAAGUUGGGAAAAAAAACAAAUGAAUAGUAUCUGCCAUGGCAAAGGGCAACUGCUAGAAACACACAUUAAUAUGGCAAGGGCAGCCACUAUUCACAUGAAUAGUAGCUGCCCUAGCCCACCCUUGCCAUGGCAAGGGGCAAACUGCUAGAAGUGCUCUAAAAGAACCUUUUGCUUCUCUCUCUCCUCUCUCCUCUCCUCUCUUUUGCUACUUCAAGCAAUUGAACUCAGUCCAAAUUACUCACCAAUUUAAUGCGCCAAAUUCAGACCCUAAUCUCCAUCGCAUUGGCAAGUGCAAAAUCCUAACUCCACCAAUCAUCAGCAGCAAUGGAGCAGGUGAAGACCAUAGGGCGAGAGCUUGCGAUGGGCUCUCAAGGCAGCUUCGGCCAUUUCAAGGAGUUCCUGGACCUCGUCAAGUCCAUCGGCAAAGCUCGAUCCAAGGCCGAAAAAGAGCGCAUCUUGCUCCUCGAGAUCGAAACCCUAAAACGAUGUCUCUCCGAGCCCGAAAUCCCCAAGUGCAAAAUGAAGGAGUACAUCAUCCGCCUCAUCUACGUCGAAAUGCUCAACCACAACGGCUCCUUUGCCUACAUCCACGCCUUCAAGAUGACCCAAGAUCUCUUGCUCAAAUGCACUGGUUACCUCACCAUUUUGCUCUUCCUCAGUGACGAUCACGAUUUGAUCAUCUUGAUCGUUAACACCAUCCAGAAGGAUCUCAAGUCGGACAAUUACCUUGUCAUUUCCGCUGCUCUCAAUGCCGUUUGCAAGCUCAUCAACGACGAGACUUGCCCGUCCCAAGGAGGCUGUUAGGAGGGAAGAAGGUCAUCAUGGCGCUUCACCACUUUUAUCAGAAUAGUAGUCUUUGGUUUCGCAUCUGGUCUCGAAUUUCUAGAAGCGGCUUUGUGAUAACGAUCGGGGAGUUAUGGGUGCCACGGUCUGCCCCUUGUUCGAUCCCAUUACCAUCGAUGUGAAUUCUUAUAAGGAUUUGGUGGUCAGCUUUGUCAGCAUUCUCAAACAGGUCGCCGAGCGCAAGUUGCCCAACACCUACGAUUACCAUCAGUUCAGGUUUUACUUACUUUCAAUGAAGUUGAGCUUAUUAAUGUGGGAAGUUUUUGGUGUGAUAGAGGAAUUGAAAUAAUCAGCUUUGUUUGUUGUUUGUUGUAACGUAAUGUAGUAACGGAAUUAGUUUGAUAAUGCAGAUUAGAUUGUUGAAGAUCUUGGCAUUGUUGGGGAGUGGUGAUAAGCAAUCGAGUGAGAAGAUGUAUAUGGUAGUCAGCGAUAUUUUUAGGAAGUGCGAUUCUACCAAUAAUAUGGGAAAUGUUGUACUUUAUGAGUGUAUUUGUUGCGUUUCUGCCAUAUAUCCAAAUCCUAAUAAUCCAUGCUCAAGUAAUCUCAAUAUUUUUGAAGGUUUGAAGAUUUUGUAUUUUUCAGUGUAAUUUCCUGCAAAUUAUAGUCUGCAUGUAGAUUAUUUGGAGAGUUAAACACCAAUUCCUUGUUGUAUAUUUGGUGGACAGAGUGACAGUCAUAAUUUGGAAUAUAUGGGCAUCGAUGCCCUUGGUCGACUAAUAAAGAUUAGUCUAGAGAUAGCAGAGCAAUAAAUAUAUGGGCACUGAUUGCUUAGAGGUGAGAGAAUUUUGUUGGGUUUGAUGGAUUGGUUUCAAAUCAUGCAGGACCCAGAUGAUAUUCUGAAGCGAAAAACAUUUUAACUAUUGUACAAGAUGACCAAGUCCUCCAAUACGUGGAAGUGAUUGUGGAUCGUAUGAUUGAUAUUGGUUAGCAUUAAUGAUAACAAUUACAAAACAUAUAUAGCUUCUCCAUGUGUGGAGCGUGCGGAGCAAUUUCCACCAAGUAAUCAAUGGUUUAUCCAGGUAAGAGUAAUAUAUGUUGCCUUUUAUAUUCUAGUUAUUAAACACCCGAUGUCAUCCAUGCCUGAUACUCCUUCUCUUCAGACCAUGAAUAAAGUCUUUGAACAUGCGGGAGAUUUGGUAAAUGUCAAGGUGGCACAUAACUUGAUGAAGUUGAUUGCUGAGGGAUUUGGAGAGGAUGAUGAUUCUGCAGAUAAUCAAGGUGGCAUAUUAGUUAUUAUAUGGUAAAGAAAUGUUAUAGCAUGCCCCCCUAAAUUUUGUGAGAUUUCAAAGGUUACUGUUGAACUUUUGGUCAAUGUCUCCCUUAAAUAUUUAGACUCCUCAAAUAGUCUCAUCCAUUAACUUAGACCAUCAUCAAUUGAUGGGAAAAUCAUGGACGCAUCGUGUUAGGGAGGAUGAGUUUUCACGUCAAAGAAUUUGAAAUAUAACUUACAGGUGCCACGUGUUCUAGUUUGUUAUAAAAUUAUGUAAGUUACUCUGAAACCAUUUGAUGCGUAUAACGUUUGAGACCUCAGAGGUGGAUUUUUCCUGAGAUUUAAUUUACCUCAUUGGGAAUUGAAGCAUUACUCUAUGUUCGUUAUUUGUGAUGAAAAACAUUUUGGGGUUACAAAAAUUUCCAAGGGUUUUCGUUCUUUUUGCCAUUGAGUUCAACAGUCCCUAUAAAUUGAGGAUUAUAUGCUAGUAGUAUGUUUAGAACAUUUUGUGCAUUGCUUGCUUCUGCAUUUUGCCUUAAACCAUUUCCUUGCAGAGGCAUAUUCAAAUGAUGAAUCCGUCAAGGUAUCCCUCAAACUCAGUUUGGAGGAAUAGGGGUAUUCAAAUAUCACUGGGAAGUUUGUAAUUUUUUAGACUUUGAUUGGAAGGAAUAUUCCAUGCUUCUUAAAUUUGGUAAUGAGGUCAGGGAAUAAUUGUUUAAGAUGCAUAUAAGGGCAGUUUCAUUUACUUUCCCAAAUUUCGUUAUUUCAAUGACCUCAUGUAGAACCACUACCACAAUAAUAUAAAACCGUUAAAUGACGCAAAAUGAAAAAACCUUUGUGGUUUAAAAAACCAUUACAAACCAUGAUUGGUGUUAUAAUAACCGUCGUUAUGGAGUCCGAAACCCUUAGUUGAUUUUAAUAGCAUGACGGUUGAAAGAAGUCACUUUCGUCUUUCAAAUUAGUUGAUUUUAAUAGCACAACGGUUGAAAGAAGUCACGGUCGUCUUUCCAAGACGGGCUAAUGAAAAUUUUGCUUAAGUGAAUUUGCGGCCCUUCGUGAACCCCUCUAGUUCGCAUCUUUUCAAUCUCUAUCCAAAAGCUCCUGAUAAUUGUGAAGCUCCAAACCCUAGCCUCCUUUCUUUUGAAAUUCUCGGCCCUUCGUGCUCUUUGUCUUGUAGAUCUCGUUGAACCUAUGCUUCUUUAGAAAUAACAGACGGCAAUUCUUUUCAAAAAAUCGUUGUCUUUACAGUUAAUAGACAACGGUUUGUAGUAAAAGCGCAGUUUUUACAUUUAAUAGACGACGGUGCAUCAUCGUAGUUUGUCAUUCAAAAGAUGUCGAUUGAUAUAACAACGGUUUUCAAUGCAAAAAGACGACGGUUUUCCCCGGUCGUCUAUUUCAAUUUUUGUAGUAAUGAACCAAACUCUUUAGCCUGCCUAAACUACACAUAAAGCUUGUGCAGAUCAAACACACUUCCUCACAUGUAAAGAAAAUUGUGCUGGGGAAUCGUCCAGAUGUGACCCAUAUGCUGAACGUGUUUGCUAGAUAUUUUAUAGAGUGUUGGGCUGGGCUUUUCCCAAGGCCAUGGGUCGGUGAUAUUCUACUCUUCAGCAACUGGUCAGCUUGUUUUCGUCAAGCUGCUAGAAGCAGUUUGCCUGUUGCGUUUUUAACAAAGUAUUUGGGCAUUCUAAUUAACAUUGGGUUUUCUAAGCAAACUACUGUAUUCUUCCUAAGGCAUUGGGUCAUGUUCUCUCUCUCAUGCUAGCCCAUGUUUUUAGGGCCUUGAAAUGGGUUCAAGUUUUGGUGCUCCCAAGUAGCCCAAAAUUCUCAUUCCUUGAUCCCUUAAAUGGGCCUAGUGAAUGCUUGUAUCUAUCCACACCACAACUUUCUCAGCAAGCCCCAGGUAAUUUUCUGGCUUGGGCCUACUUAAACUUGUGGCAUAGCUUGGUGUUAGAAUAAUGGUUCUUCUUGCAUGACAUUUACGCUUGUGCUUGAGUUUUAUUAUUAUGCCGCAAUAGGCUAUAAUCAGGCCAAGUAACACCGAAUGGAUAUGCGAGCGUGGUUUUGUAAAGUUGGUAUGCUCUCGGCUCUUUUGUACGUGCUUGCUUGGCAUGAUAUGUGGCCCGUAGCUUGUAUUGUUGUGUCCUACAAAUUCUCUUUUGUCCCGAUUGAGCUUCCUUUGCGUUCAAUUAUUUGUGUUGGGCCAAGAAUUAAUAUGGGCUUAGCCCCUUGGAUUUUUGGCCCUCAACAUUAGCCCCAUUGAUUAUUGGGGCUAUGAGCAAAUAUUGAGAUGGGUCAAAUAAUCAAACCCGUCCCAAAAAGAAAAAAUCAAACCCAUGUUGUUGACGUGACCUUUUUGUUUCUCGCGUGUGUGCUGCCAUGAUUAUCUUCCAGCAGUCUUGCAUAUUCCCCAGGUACGCUUCCAUCAAAUCCAUUUUUUUUUAUUUCAUUUUAUUUCUUUCUUCUUUCCGUUUCUGAUUUUCUCCUCUGUGCGUGCAAAACCUGAGCUACCUGCCUAUUUCCUUUGGUUAUUGCUAGUUCAGGUCUAGAGAACCUUUGAGAAUGAGGAAUCAAAGGGAGGCAUCAUCCAUAACCGCUAGUUGGUCAUCACUUAAAUUGAUUGUUUCCAACUGCUCAGCUACUGCCGUCGAUCCAUCUUGCAUGUGCUUGGGUCUGUCAUUGGCUCUUGGAAAGCACAAGGCAAGGGUGCCUUGUCAUCUGGACUCCUACAGUUGCCUGCUUGCAUAGCUUCUCCUCCAUACUCUGGGCUCUCCCGUAGGAUACGGUUAAGCCCCCAACCCCGUCAUAAGCGGUACACAGUGCGCCCAUCUGGCAGCAUCACUUUCGAGCAUUGGGGAUGAUCGUAGGCAUGGUUGUUGACUUCCGAGUGUCUCUUUCUUUCUCGAUCAAUAAUGGUGAUGAGCUCCUCGUUGCUUAGAUCACGAAUUUCAGUCCAUGAAGGGAGAUACGUCCUGAAAUCCGUAGAUGAGUUGCUUCCAGCACCUGUGCAUUCGAUGUAAAAUUCUGCCUCGGAGCAGUGAGCUUCGUUUUUGUUGAAUGGUGCUUGAUUUCCAGGUAUACGAAGUGGCCUUAGUCCACAUUGUAAGUUCUAGUUAUCUUUUUUACUAUGAGAAGCCCUUUGUAAUUUUUGAUGGAUAAAAUUGAACAUUCGACAUCUGUAGUAGCUAUUCGGUCAUGCAAAGACAAUAAUAAUGCGCUUUAGUGAACAAAGAAUAAAGUUGUAAUUUCUAACGUCUUUUUCCUAGUUUCAAAGAACCAAAAUCCAUUUGCAAUCUAGACAAGAGUUCGAAAACUACAAAAUAUGGAUGAUACUAUCGCUACCCAUCAAACUUUUCAUCUUGCAGUUUCAAUUGUUCCAAAUCCCAUUUCGUGCCUUUUGCAGGAUUAUCAAAAUUCCUGCAGUUGAGUUGCAACAACUUCACAUGAUUUAGACAUGCUGGGAUUCUUGUACCUUGCCAAUACCAGCAACAUCAGUAGUAUUCUUGUACCUUGCCAAUACCAGCAAGAUCACUAGUAUAAUGAGACAUAAUCUUUCAACAGAAAUAUGUUGGACAUAUUUGGAUGCCUAUUUACAAUUAAUGUCUGAUUUUCAAUAAACCUUGAUUGGAAAUUAUGAAAUAGAUAAAUCUGUUACAUUUUGUCCCCAACAUACAUCAAUUCCAAUGAAUGGGAUAGAAGAAUCAUAGACAAAAUAUAUGUGUGGAAUGAAAGCAUUAGAUAAAUCCAGCUUUGUUCAUUCGCGGAUAAAUGCUGGAUGCAUCAAUUGAGAAGAAAGGUAUUGCCUUAUGCAACUUAAAAUGGAAUCUCAGAAAUUGCCGGCGCCUCAACACACCUCUUGAUUACUAAACCAUUACCGGAAAUUGGGUUCGUUUCGACAGCUGAACCUGGGGCUUACAUAAACCACUUUGGAACUUCAUUGCCUGAAAAUUUAAUAUCGAAUAUAGAGCGCUAAGAAAAAGGAUUAAACCCAACACAAAAAGAAAAAAAAACUCACACCCUAAAAACGACAACAUGUACCCCAGAGAUGCACAACAAAAUAUUGCUAAAUUUGAAUUGAACACAAAACGCAGAUAUAUGACCAGAAAAUGCAAAGAUAUCAUUCAAAAUUUAAUGGAUUUACAUACUUUGGCUCCUCAUUAGGAUCAAUGUGCCUCCUCUUUUGGUGAUCCGAUGGUCCUGUAAACAAGGUAAGCCCUUCAGCUUCAUGAUCACCAAUGUCGACGACGUUAGCACGAUGAUCAUCGUUAAGUGCCAUGUAAUCUGAUUGGCGAGGCCUCUUGCCAAGACUAGUCUUUGAUGCUAAAGACAAGGAAAGCAAUUCGCAGUCUUGGUGUUGAUCGUCAUAAAUAUCAUCAUCCACCGCCUUCGCAUCAGGUAACAACUGCGUUGGCCCAUGAUCAACAACAUCAGUCUCACUGACAUCAGCAACAUGGUGGCCUAAUAGGUGGACCCCGCAGGGAAUUUUAACGGGUGCGGGCACUUCGCCAGGCAAGUCAAAUAUAACUUCACACGUAUUAACC